rnacentral:lncRNA from 1 species
ACAUAUAAACCGGCCAGAACGGUGCACAGAGCGGGAUAAAGGGGCACGCGUAAUCAUCAUCAAGCUACCAGGAUAGGACAGCUCGAGACCACGCCGGUGCGGAGGCCUCGAGUAGGUCAGCGCGCCAUACCUCUAUCGACCCCUACUCCGACACCUAUACAUGUACCCUAGGCCCCUCCUUGGAACUAUAAAAGGGGGGAAAACACCGACACAACUGAUUCAGCAUGUUUAGUCCCUUGAUCUUUGAUCCCCACACUCCUAGUCAUAUGAGCUAAAAUGUUGCACAUUUAAUCUUUGGGAAGAUAUAAUGAAAAAGGCAUAUAUAUAGAUAGAUUAUCUUUCCAUUAGGUUGAGCGAUCUGAUCCGGCAAAUGUUUUAAAUGCUACACUCAUGAACUUAUCAUUCAUCAACUUUGUCUUGCUCACCAUGCUUAAGGUUAGAGAAGAACAAAUACACUUUUGGUUCUGUUGGUGUUUUCCACCAACAGGGCCCAUGCACUUGAUCUCUGCCUUGUCUCUAUGAGCAGGUACACUACGAGCACAAACACACAGAGCAAGAUACUGCCAACACCACACUUCGAACUACUGGGCAAACCAAGAACAUGGGUGACACCGUAUUAAGAGGUGCAGACGUCAAGGUCCACACCUGAAUCAAAUGACGCACCUGAAGAAUGAACACAGUGAGAAGUCUUGUUCAGAAGACUUAAAACAUUGAAUUCUCGCCGAAAGGUAAAAUCGGUAGUUAUCCAUAUUUAUCCUUUCUGCAUUCCCUUUUCCCUUUAAAUAUUUACUUUCCUUAAAUAGAUUAUUAGUUAAUCAUGCUAUUUGAAAAGAAAAUAAAAAUGUUAAAAAAUACUAAAUCCCCAUGUGAGUAUGCUCGUGGCAUGAAACCCAUAAGUACAUUCACUGUGGUGGCGUAAAAAUAAAAUAAAUAUAUUCAUGUCCUAUAGAAAUGAAAAUAUAAAAAUAAAUUUAUGAUCCUACCAAAGAGAGUAAUAUUUAUUAGAGGAAGCUCAACAUGAUAAAAGCAAAGAGAUUUAUGCUAACACUUAACCAGUUCCACAAAGCUUUGUUGUCUAUUUGAGCUCCACAGAAUUCAAGGAUCAAAGAAGACUAGCAGACGGAGGACAUUCUAAUCGCUGUCAGGGUGCUGCCGACAUUCAAAUACACCUCCGCCACCUGCUAGCUACAUCAAAAGAAAUUACGUCAAAACCUAGCUUGGGGGAGAGCACCCCCAUUUAUCCAGCUAAGUGUUUCUACUCGCGUUAAUACUUUACUCAAAUAAUAAAAAGAUGCAUAAUCAUAAAAACCCAAAUAAAGAAUUUGUGCUUAUAUAUAUAUUUAUAUCUAUGCUUAGUUUGCUAAAUAAAUAAAUAAAUAAAGUUUGCUAUGAACCCUCAUGAUAAGCUCUCACAUGGAAAUGAGGAAUAGUUGCUCUGCCAUGACUAGUUCUCAAAAUUGAAAUCUCUCUCAAGUUUAGGCAUUACUGUUAUGAAUUAAGAUUUGCUCUAAACCUGAACUUGUGAGAAGAGUACUUGAUCUAAAGUCUAAGUCGUAAGGUUGAGCUGCUGUUUAUCUGUUCCUAGAGAUGCUAGAAUUUUGGAGAAUUUUAUCUUUGAAAAUCUUUAAAAUGUUGCAUGAUGUGUUCAUGUAUGAUGAGAGUUUAAAAUCCUACCACAGCCAUAUAUACAUGCUUAUUAGACUAUGAACCAUACAUUUACUUUUUACUACUUAUGAGCAUUGAGUGUGGUCAAGCUGUAUAGACCCUUAGGAGCUUGUCAUGCGGUUAUAAUCAAGAUUCACUUGCACGUCCACUCAUACAUGCUGCUUCUACUCCGGGAGUAUGCAUGCACAUACAUCCACUCAUUUCCAUCUCCAGAUUCACCCAAAAUUAUUCUACUCCUAUCCGGGAGAGAAUAGCCAAAAAUAUUAUCCCAUUCUUGUUUUUCCCUGUGAAAUAAAUGCUUGAGCUAUUUUGGUUACUACCACUUGCUACAUUAUUCCAGGAGGGUGAGUGCUCUGAAAAAAAAGAAGAAAAAUACGAGGAAAUAAAAAAGGGCAAGUGCUCGGAACCUCGAAAGAAAAAAGAAAAAGUGAGACGAGAGCUAAAAAUGGACAAGUGUCUGACAGUAGAAUUAGGGGUACAAGAUACCCACCUGAGAGAAAAGAAAAAGAAAAUAUAUAGCAUCUCAUUCCUCUCAAAAACCUUCGAAGUGCAAGAAAGGUAUGUAUCCCCUCAAAAGAGCAAAAGUAGAGUUAGACUUUCACCAUUAUUUUCACCAUUAUCACCAUCAUCACCAUACACCAUUCAUCCGCCACACAUGCACAUCUUGGUUUGACUUAUUGACUUGUUUCUCUGGAUCCAUUGUUUGACUAUGCAAUAAAUGUCUUGUAAGUAUGUAUUAGCUGUCUCCCACCUAUGAGCUCCAGAUAUCAAACCUUAUUAGAGUAGGGUGAGAGAGAAGGCAAUAUCUCUAUGCCUCAUACCAAAAAUAUCACAUGCUUUGAGAGAAGGCGUAUAUUAUCACUGCCUUGGUAAGGAUCCAGAAAUACCACAAAAGAGAGACUAGAGAGAGUCAUACAAGGAAUCUCUGAGUUUUAUUUGAAAAUCUGCAAAAACUCCAGAGCUAUAGUUGAUCAAAGAACAAGAGACAUGGUGCUUGACUUGACCGUUCUAUCUUUUAACUGCUCAAGACACAAGUGACGGUUGCAAGCCCCAUGGUGGAAGGUAAUAUGAGUAAGUUUAAAUCUUAACAGUUUACCCUAACCUAGAGAUGAGAUAUUGUUUAAAUGCAUGUGUACCGUUAAGGCAUAAAACCACUGUAGAAACUCUUGAGUCCAUCCUUGCUCAGGGACGAGCAAGAGGUAAACUUGGGGGAGAUGUUGACGGUCCUUAAGUACCAAAUAUAAUCAUCAAAUAAACAAAGAAAAGGAUCCAAAUACAACCAACAUCUAAACUGAGAGUUUUAUCUGACAGAAUUCCACGAGUUUUGUUGUUUGUCUAUUUCUGCAGGGGGUUAUUAGGAAAUAAGGAAGAAAGGCCCACACGUCAGGUUUACAUAGAGAUAUUAACGUGCCGCGCAAUUUUCUAUCAUCUAGAAGACUCCAGAAGCCACAGGAACGAACGGGAGGCCGAGCGAGCUCGGGGGUAGGGCACCCGCCCACCCCCCUUGGGUGCCCGCCCAGCUACAGAGUCCAAUCAGGACUCUCUUCGGGGAUUACGCUCCACCGACCUAAAGGAUCAAGAAUAACCGUUCAAUCAAUGUCGGUUUGAUCCGACGGCCCAGAUUCACAUGAGGGGACUAUAUAACCAGACCCCCAGGCCCCUAGAGGAGGCACCCCUUGAUCAUUAUUCAUUAUUCAUAGACAGAGCAAAAGCUAGGGUUUAGAGAUGAGAGCUCUCCUCUCUUCUCUAAACUAGAGUAGAUCUAGAUAGUAGCGAGAUGGAGAGCGAAGGAGGAUUAGAGGAGAGGCCGGCCUGUCGGUUCUUCCUCCGGUUGUACUUCGUCAUGAUCAAGCUCUAAUCAAGCUUGCUCAUGGGAUGACUCUGGUAAUCUACUUCUAAUUCAUUAUGCAAUUACUAAUCAUUUAUGUUCUGGUUCACAACUCUUUUGAGUACUUCUAAUCUAUAGGACCCUAUAGGUUAGAGUUGUAGUAUAGGUGUAAGUGUGGUGCUUAGACCUAGAUUACUUGUGUAUAUCCCUUGUCUAGCUGGAUCGUGUGGUAGGCUGUGUAGGUGAUAGUUACGUUGGUCCUCUGUAGUCCACCUCUCGUUAGCAGGAUGGGUAGGGUUUAUCGGCCUAAGGAUAAGCAUCCUUUGUGGUGUACUCUUAUCACGUGGUUCGUCCCAGACAUAGACAUACCCCUUUGAAGUAGAGAAACCAUAGUUAUCCUCUCUAUUCUGCUACCAUCGCCCAUAUACUAGAAUUGCUCUAUUCUCUAUUCCCAUAUUAUCACUCAUUGUUAUCCUACAUUUAAUAUUGUUCUUAUUCAAUUCUACCAUCUUUCCUAUUUACACUUAUCUAUCUAUCUUGGUUAAGUUAGAGCGUAGUUGGUUCUCCCGUUUCCCUAUGGAUACUAUAAAACCUUUAACCGAGUAAAAGCUUCAACAGUAUCCGUGCGCUUGCGGAUUAUCUGUGUGCGUAUAAAUACCAUAGUACACUCUAGUGCCAUGCUGGGGAUGACAACCUAGUAUUCAAGUGGUGUUAGCGAGUGUCAACAGCAGGUACAACCUCAGAGUAGACACCGACAGGUCGGGCUUCCUCCGAUUUACACCUCCACUCUAUCUCUCUCAAUCUAGUAGAUCUAGUCUACUCUCACAUUGGAUGCUAAGCCCUAAGUCUAUUUAGAGGAGAGGUUGUCCUUCGAGGGCACCUCUCAACUCUAUGGUGAACUUGUUCUCCUCCAGGGGCCAGGGGGUCUGCUUAUAUAGUCCCCUCAAGUGAAUCUGGGCUGUCGGAUCAAACCGACAUUGAUUGAACGGGUAUCUUUGAUCCUUUAGGUCGGUGGAGCGUAAUCCAUGAGACGGGUCCUGAUUUGACUCUGCACCAGGGCGGGCGCCCUAGGGGGGAGGGGGGCACCCUACCCCCAGGCCCGAUCACCUUCCCGUUCGUUCCCGUGGCUUCUGGAGUCUUCUAGAUGAUAGAAAAUUGUGCGGCACGUUAAUAUCUCUAUGUAAACCCGACAUGUGGGCCUUUCUUCCAUAUUUCCUGAUAACCCCCUGUAGAAAUAGACAAACACCAAAACUCGUGGAAUUUUGUCAGAUAAAACCCUAAGUUUGGGUGUUGGUUGCAUUUGGAUCCUUUUCUUUAUUUAUUUGAUGAUUAUAUUUGGUACUUAAGGACCGUCAACAACUCCCCCAAGCUUACCUCUUGCUCGUCCCUGAGCAAAGAUAGACUCAAAAGUUUCUGUAGUGGUUUCAUGCCUUAAAAGUACACAUGCGUUCAAGCAAGAUCGCAACCGUCACUUGUGUCUUGAGCAGUUAAAAGAUAGAACAGUCUAGUCAAGCGCCAUGUCUCUUGUUAUUUAUCAGCUAUAGCUCUGGAGUUUUUGCAGAUUUUCAAAUAAAACUCAGAGAUUCCUUGUAUGACUCUCUCAAAUCUCUCUUUUGUGGUAUUUCUGGAUCCUUUCCAAGACAGUAAUGGUUUAUGCCUUCUCUCAAAGUAUGUGGUAUUUUUGGUAUGAGGCAUAGUGACAUUGCCUUCUCUCUCAUCCUACUCUAAUAAGGUUUUGAUAUCUGGAGCUCAUAGGUGGGAGACAGCUAAAACAUACUUAUAAGACAUUUAUUGCAUAGUCAAACCAUGGAUCCAGAAGAACAAGUCAAUAAGUCAAAUCAAGAUGUGCAUGUGUGGUGAGUGAAUGGUGUAUGGUGAUAACAAUGGUGAAAGUCUAAUUCUACUUUUGCUGUUUUAAAGGGAUACAUACCUUUCUUGCUCUUUUGAAACUUUUUGAGGAGAAUGAGAUGCUCUAUAUUUUCUUUUUCUUUCCUCUCAGGUGGGUAUCUUGUACCCUAUUGGUAUUUCUUAGUGAUGCAGCCAAUUAGCCGCAAGCGCACGGAAGUACCGUUGUAGCACUUCACCCGGUGGUAUUCAGGGUAUCGAGAUUUCACAGGGAAUGGAGGUCUUUUGAGACUUAAACUAAGUGUACCCUAGAGUAAAGUGAGAGGAAUGACUUAGGUAGUGAGGUUCUCCUAAUGGUAGAAGUUUUGUGCAAGGCAACGUGCUUUUCUAAUCUUACUUCGGGCACCAGAGCGUACCUGGUCUGCCAGGUAAUACCGUCGUGUAGCUCUACACCGUAUCCGGACGUGGGGGAAACUAAGGACAAACAAGGCUAUCACCACCUGCUGCCGACCCCUCAACCGUGGGAUACGAGGCAAACGAGGGUAACCUCUAACCUAGACACCACGUCUACGUUAUUAGCUACUACUCUAGCGUUGCGCAGGUCCUCCCGCCAGCCAGCAAAAGUCCCUCUACUAGAGUAUCUACCGAGAGAUAGACAAUGAACCCGCAAGAUUAUAAGUACACGAUAACGAUUACUCAAUAACUUCUUAGAACCAAAGAAGAAUACAACCUUUUCUUACCCCAAUAUGGUAUUCCAGGUUGUAGAGGUACAGCUCGGGAAGCGGGCAGCACUUCGGCCCUUCCGCCCAGUGCAACUAGGGGAACGGACCGGGUGCUUCCUACUUCUCUUACUCUACACUCUAACUCACUAUCCUAUUCUAUUCCUAACUAGAAGCUAAGGAUAUGAGUGGAAGCUCCGCCUCUCUACUACUACUCUUGUAUCUCUCUUUAUUCUUGUGGACUUGAAGCUUGAAUGGAUUGAAUGAUGAUGAAUGAGAGGCCCUCUCCCCCUCCUUAUAUAGGUGUGGAAGGUCGGUUUGGGAGGGGAUAAACUGCAAAAUGCAGCCGGGAACCGCGCUUCGGGCUUUGCAUGCACCGCCUCUGCAAAAGGCGGUGGGGAGCUGGGCCAGGCCGGGGUCGGCCGACCCUAGGGGCGGCCGCCCCCUGGCUGGCUCCGUUGGCCCAGGCCCAAAGCCCAGACGAUGCUCCUCAGCCUUCUGAGUUUGAAUCCAAUUGCAUUUCGAUGCACUUCUGUAUUUGAAUUAAAUGUGCCUUCAAUUCUUUAAUUUUGGCGGCUCAAACCCUAGUGUCCUGCAUACACAUGUGUUCACCAAAACUGUGGAAUUUGGUUAGCAUAAAAAGCCCUAUUUCUAAUGUUUGGUGAUAUUUUAUAGAGUUUGUAUUCAUGUUGGCGGUAUGAAAAGUGUAUUUUAAGAAACGCCAACAAACUCCCCAACACUUAGCCCUUUGCUCGUCCUCGAGUAAAGCUUAUGUUUUUGGGCUAAGAUGGUUCCACUUCUCCUGAUAAUGAACCUGCAUACAAACUAUUCCAAGCCUCACCUGAACUUAUGAGCAUUCAGAGUGUCUACCAAAACAUCUUGAGUAAUUGAAAAAUGGAACAGUUAGGAUUCAAAUCUUCUUACUCAACUUUGCUCAAAACUUGGGUUUUUACCUUUUUGAAUAAAAAUAGUCUUGCUCUUUAGAUGAUACUCUCAAAUCACUCGAGAAUGUUUCUGGUUCCUUACCAAGGUAAAAGUACCUCUUGAUUUGUCCUACCUCUAUAAGCUGUAUUUGGAGUUUUGGGUAUGGACUAAAGAGAAUGCAUACUUACCUUGUAUGUAUUGUCGAGUCAAAUCUCGGAUCCAAGAAGAGAAGUGUCAUACCCUUAGAUCAAGAUGUGCAAGUGUGUGGUAUAUGGAAUAAACAACUCUGUUGGUUGAUAUGAUCUCAUCAAGUAUUUCUAGACAUGGCUAUCAUAACUCUUUUAUUUUCUUGUGAGCCUUCAUGUGCUCAUGUUUUUUUUUUGUAUAUUUAGGACUUUCAUGUGUCCUAUGUUUUUUUUCAGGUGGGUAUUUUUAUGCCCCUAAUUCUAUGGCGGGCACUUGCCCAUUUUUUUUCUUCUCUUUUAUAUAUAUAUAUAUUUUUGCAUAGCCCAUGUCUUUAUCUAAGAUGCACUAGAGAGAUCAUUCUUUAAAACAUGGAGUGUUUGUAUGGUGGACAUGUAAGGCAUGUUUUUGGGCACUCCCAGUGUAGAAGCGGCAUAUAUAUGUAUCUGGAGUGUACGUGAUCUUGAUCUUGAGAGCAUGAUAAAUCUCUUAACAAGGGUCAACAAGACUUGACACAACUCAAAACAAAUAAGUAGCUAUUUGUAGAAUUUUUAUCAAGAGUAAUAUAUUUGGCCUUGGUAGGUAAUUAUCUAUCAUUAAAGAGUAGACUUUUUGCAAUUUAAAUUUUAUCAAAUAAAUCCCCAAGUUCAUUGCAUAAGUGAGCAAGUUUCAAAUCAUCCUACUAUAUCGCAAAUCUCAAUUACUUAGAAGCAAUGGGGUCCUUAUAAAAAGUUGCUCAUAAAUGGUAGGCUUUUGGCGAGGAAUAAAGAGUAUGCAUGUUUAAUUUCAAAGGCAGAAAGGAAAUGGAGUAUUCAUUUAUUUUUUUAUCUUUUUAUUUUAUUAGCAAUAUUUUUAUCAUAUAAAUCAGAUUUAAAUUGUCAUAGUAGGAAUAAAAAAUAAUUCUGAAAUUUUUUUCUAUGUAAGAUUACCUUGAUGACGAUUCCUCCCCCACGCUUGUUUUUGUACCUGUUCUUUGAUUUUUCUCAAGUAGACAAAAAUAAUACAAAACCAAGUGGAGACAAAAUAAUUCGAACAAAGGACUUCUUUAUUAUUCAAUAUAUGCCGAAACAUUGAUUACAAAGUAAAUGAAGGAAAUCUAAAUAAAAGGGAAAAUAAAUUACUCGGCUAAGCAAAAUUAAACUAGAUGCGGUUUGUGUCUAGAACAUGCUCUACACCCGCACCCCGAGCCACCUUGACAAGCCGGUUGGUUAGACCGAAUUGUACAACGACUAAGUCGUCCUUAAGCUCUAUAUAUUUCAGGCGGAUGUUAGCUAGUUCGCCUUUAAGCUCUUCCACGACACCACGUAGUGACCGCACAGAAGUCCUAAGCGCGGCGAUAGUGCGCGCGCUUUUCUGCUUUGACUCAUUAUCUGAAUCAUUAAGAAAUCCGUGUGGCUGCCACCUAAGGAUGGGAUUUUCGCGCUUGCAUUUUGGGACGCGAGGGGCAGCAGAAGGCAGAUUAGAGUCACUUGGCAGCCGGUUUGAUCGCCCCCCUGUAGCGGGGUUUGCGCGUUUGAUACGCAAGGGGGCGGACGAUGUGGUCGCGGCUGUCUUAGGCGAGGGCGCAGGUGCGGGUGGCGCGAGCGGCGGCUUACGCAUGAGGCCCUUCCCGCAUCCUCCACCGGGUUUUCUAAUUCCCACCACGGUGUAGGACGGGUUGGAGCGCGCAGUGGAUCCCGAAGACAGGAACCUAUAGUCUAAACUGCCCGAAGGCCUUACAACAUAUGGAUCUACAGGCGCCUUCUUCUUGUUCACCGUCGUCGGCGGCGCAUCGUCGCGCGCCGUCUUCCUCGGUGCUGCCGUCUUGUGCGCCGCCAGCCUCGUGCGAGCCGUGUAACGCAGGCUCGUUCCUUCGCUCGUGAUGCUUGAUGGGGGCAUGAUGGCAAGAGGGUACGUCAGCAUCUCUUCUUCUUCCAUACCGAACGCCUCCCUCAUGUUCGCCUCGGAGAAUUCUCCUUCGGCGUCAAAGGAUCCUCCCAACUCCACGAACAGCGCUAGCGCGUGGCUGCCCAUUCCCUAAGCGCUACUCUUGAUAGAGGUGGUUUGUGAAGAUGUAAACUUGGAAAGCACUAAUGGCUAUGGCUUAGAGAGGGGUUAGGGGGUGUUUAAAUAGGAAGAAGGCCCUCCCUGGCGAGAUCACGAUCGGCAAAUUUGAAUUUGCAUGCAGAUAAGGAUAGGGAUGACGAAGAGAUAGACGCUGGAAAAGAUCGGGCCGCAGACGUGUCAGGCCAGGGGCGGCCGACACCUAGGCACGUCCGUUGGCCCUGAAUUUUGGCGUGCGCACUCGUCCCACUUUUCAAAACUUGAAUCUGCCUACGUUUUGCUACGCUUCCUAGAUGUUUUUAGAGAAACAAGGGUUUUAUUGAAAGGUAAAAGCUAAAAACUAAAGAUCCUUUUUAGAAAUCAUAUUUUUAUUUUUGGUAAUUCAAAACUAAGCAGAAUGAAUUGAAAUAUUUUAUUUAUAUUAUUAUUAUUAUUAUUAUAUUUUUUUUACAAUUUAAACCCAAUUAAUCAAAUGUAUUGUUUCAAUUUCCUUUUCAAAAUUGGGUUCCAUGAAAACUUUUAAGCGUUGACCAUUUACCUUAGUGAUAUUACCUUCCUCAUCUUCUAUGGUGAUCGCGCCAUGCUCGGAGGUCUCGAUGACGGUGUAUGGUCCUUUCCACUUACUCCGAAGUUUUCCUGCACCGAAAAGUCGUACCUAGUUGAAGAGUAGAACGCGGUCGCCUUUUCUAAACUCCUUGGGUUUGAUUCGGUGAUCGUGCCAUUUCUUUGUUCUUUCCUUGUAUAUCUUGGCACUGUGGUAAGCUUUUUCUCGGCAUUCUUCAAGCUCAGCUAUCUGUUUCUGUCGGUUCCUGCCAGCUAGCUUGAAGUCCAUAUUCCAGUUCUUGAUCGCCCAGUAAGCUCAGUGCUCGAGCUCAACCAGGAGAUGGCAUGCUUUGCCAUAUACCAUCUGGAAUGGUGACAUGCCUAUGGGGGUUUUAUAGGCCGUCCGAUAUGCCCAGAGGGCAUCUGGUGACUUGCUCUUCCAACCCUUCCCCAUUUCGUUGACUGUUUUCUGCACGAUGUUCUUGAUUUGCUUGUUUGAGGUUUCCGCUUGACCGCUUGUUUGAGGGUGGUACGGGGUAGCUAUGUUGUGCUUUGCUCCAAGCUCACGCAGGAAGUUUCUGAAUGUUCUGUCAAUGAAGUGUGAUCCUCCAUCACUCACAACCAUCCUGGGUGUUCCGAACCGAGGAAAGAUCACUUCAUGAAACAUCUUCCGUGCGUGCUUUGCGUCAGCAGCUCGGCAUGGUAGAGCUUCUACCCACUUGGACACAUAGUCCACAGCAACCAGGAUAUACUCGCAAUCUUGGGACUUCUGGAAUGGACCCAUGAAGUUAAUGCCCCAUACAUCAAAUACUUCGACCGGUAGGUUGUAAUGGAGGGGCAUUUCAUUGCGAGCAGUGAUGUUGCCUUGAAACUGACACUUCUGGCAUCUUCGGAUGAAGUCCUUCGUGUCCUCAUACAUCGUCGGCCAGAAGAAUCCGCACUGCCAGAUUUUGGCUUGAGUGCGGAAGGCUCCAUAGUGGCCUCUGUACGGUGCAGAGUGACAUUGUUCGAUGAUUUUCUCUCCUUCGGUUGCUGGUACACACCUCCUCAAAAGCCCGUCGGAACAGACCCGAUACAAGUAUGGGUUGUCCCAAAGGUGUCGGCGGCUCUCAACUUGCAGCUUCUUCCUGCUUUCGCCUGGUGGUACGUAACUAGUGACCAUGUAGUUGACGAUGGUGGCGUACCACGGGUUCAGGUCAGUCACUCUUAACAGCAUGUCGCCGCGCAUGAAGUCAUUAAUGGGUAGUUCCUGCAUGUUAGUGACUUGCAUACGCGAAAGAUGGUCUGCCACAGUAUUUUCUGUACCCUUUUUAUCUUUUAUUUCUAAAUCAAAUUCUUGUAACAGCAAGAUCCAUCUUAUGAGGCGAGGUUUUGCAUCUCUCUUAGUGAGAAGGUAUUUUAGAGCAGCAUGAUCAGUAUAAACAAUUAUUUUUGCUCCCACUAAGUAAGAUCUGAAUUUAUCAAUAGCGAAAACUACGGCAAGGAGCUUUUUUUCUGUGGUAGCAUAAUUUAACUGAGCUCCUGUCAUAGUUUUGCUAGCAUAAGCAAUUGCAUGAUGCUGUUUAUCUUUUGUUUGACCUAAGACUGCCCCGACAGCAAUGUCACUAGCAUCACACAUCAUCACAAACGGUAGCGACCAACCCGGGGGUUGGAUGAUUGGUGCUGAGAUGAGUGCCUUCUUUAAAGUAUGAAAGGCAGUGAGACACUCAUCAGUGAACUCAAAGGGUGUUUCUUUGGCUAAAAGAUUUGUAAGAGGCCUUGCAAUUUGUGAAAUGUUUUUUAUAAACCUUCUAUAGAAACCAGCGUGGCCUAAGAAACUUCAGAUCCCUUUUACGUUCACUGGAGGAGGUAGACCCUCUAUUACUUCAAUUUUGGCCUUGUCUACCUCGAUUCCCCUCUCGGAAACUAGGUGUCCGAGAACGAUGCCUUCUCUGACCAUGAAAUGGCACUUUUCCCAAUUAAGUACCAGGUCUUUAUCACGGCAUCUUUGCAACACUUUGUCUAAGUUUUCAAGACAAUGAUCAAAAGUUUUUCCAUAGACUGAAAAAUCGUCCAUGAAAACUUCCAUAAUUUCCUCGAUCAUGUCAGAAAAGAUAGACAUCAUGCACCUUUGAAAGGAGGUGGGUGCAUUGCAUAGUCCGAAGGACAUGCGUCGAUAAGCAAACGUUCCAUAUGGGCAUGUGAACGUGGUUUUGAUUUGAUCAUCGGGGUGGAUAGGGAUCUGAUGAUAACCCGAAUACCCGUCAAGAAAACAAAAGAAAGAAUGUUUCGCCAACCGCUCUAACAUUUCGUCAAUGAAGGGUGUUGGGUAUUCUUAACAUCAUUACCAAAAGUAGACUAAGUUCUCUAAAUCUAGUAACGGUGCCAAAAAUGCCAAACCUAUCCCUCACACCACUUAAGCCAAGUUGUCAUCCCCAGCAUGAUAUAAGAGACGCGGUAUUGAAAUAUGCAAUUGCUCUUCUAAAUAAAUAAUGAAUGGGAUCUGCAAGCGCACAGAUUAAUACCGAUGUAGCAUUUUAACCGGGAAGUAUUCCAGGUAUCGUUAUUUAUAUUUUUACCACUGGGAAGGGAUUAGCAAUCAUCAAUAUUGAUUACAGAAUAGAAUAUGAGAUUGAGCAUCUAUCAUUGCAUGUAUAAUUGAGAACAUUAUAUCUAACUCUUCAUACAGGGAUAAGUGUCACAUAAAAGAUAUAUGAAAUAAUGAAUAGUGACAAGGAUAAUUAAUCAGAUCUAGCCACAUAAUAAAUAUCAUAAGCACCUCAAUUAGAUACUCUAGAAAGUCAUUAGCAUGGUAUUAGAACGAACUACAAGAAUAUUCCCUAAGUUAUUCUCAACUAUAUAGUCUAGCAUAUCAUAGUUAGUGCAAGCAUACUUAGCAAUCAUUGCGAGACAAGACUACGCCCAUGCAUAGUGAUAUUAGCAAGGAAUAUGAGAAACAUAGCAAUCACUCCCCUGUAAUAAUGUUGCUCUGCCAGCCCAAUACACGAGAGGGGGGACUAUAUAAGAAUCAAUGAAGCUGUCACUAUCACGAACCACCCCACGAUCUGGUAUAUUGGGACAAUCGCAGAUAAAUACGGUAUAAGCACCACGCCUACACAAUAUCUAUCAUUUACCCAUGGAUCCGAUGGAUAAACGCUAUACGAUCCUAAGCAUGUAUAUAGAUCCAAUCUAACUAAGCCAAGUACAUAACUAUGAUAAACUAAGAACAAUAUAAUCUUGAAUAUAAGCAAGUAGAGCAAAGUCAUAAGCAAUAUAUUGAAGUAGAACAAAGUCAUAUUCAUAAUAUUGAAGAACAAAGAUAAUUAGAAAGCAAUUAGAAGCACAAUUAGAGAAUUACCAAGAAUCCUCUUGACAGAUCCGGAAACCAAUCGAAGAUUGACUCCUUCUAGUUCUAAUCCUAUGUAGCUAUGCUAAUCUAGAUAUCUAAUUGAUGUGGUGGCUCUAAUCUUGAUCAGAGGCUUCUUCUCCCUUGAUGAACAAUGAAUUAGGGUUGAGAGGCUCUCUCCUAUAGGGGCCAGGGGGUCUGGUUUUAUAGUCCCUUCAAGUGAAUAUGGGCCCUUGGAUCAAACCGACAUAGAUUGUAUGGUUUAGAUUCAUCCUUUAGGUCGGUGGAGAUCUCCCGCGAAGCAGAGUCCUGAUUGGACUCAGGAGGUGGGCGGGCGCCCUGACCAACUGGGCGGCCGCCCAGGGUCUGGCCCCGUUUCGCCUCCGCUUCGGUCUCGUGGCUUCUGGAGUCUUCUAGAUGUAAGAUAAUUGCGCGGCACGUUAAUAUCUCUAUGUAAUCCCGACGUGUGGGCCUUUCUUCCGUAUUUCCUGAUAACCCCCUGCAAAAAUUGACAAACACCAAAACUCGUGGAAUUCUGUCAGAUGAAACCCUAAAUCUAGAUGUUGAUUUCAUUUGGAUCCUUUUCUUUAUUUAUUUGAUAAUUAAAUUUGAUACUUAAGGACCGUCAACAAACUCCCCCAAGCUUACCUCUUGCUCGUCCCUGAGCAAGAAUAGACUCAGCUAUGGAUCAUAAGUUAUUGCAAUAUAUUAAAAAUUGGUGANNNNNNNNNNNNNNNNNNNNNNNNNNNNNNNNNNNNNNNNNNNNNNNNNNNNNNNNNNNNNNNNNNNNNNNNNNNNNNNNNNNNNNNNNNNNNNNNNNNNUAGUGCAAUAUGUUUAAAAAUCGAUGGUUGUUGACGGUCCUUAAGUAUCAAAUUUAAUUAUCAAAUAAAUAAAGAAAAGGAUCCAAAUAAAAUUAAGAUCUAGACUUAGGGUUUUAUCUGACAGAAUUCCACGAGUUUUGGUGUUUGUCUAUUUCUGCAGGGGGUUAUCAGGAAAUAAGGAAGAAAGGCCCACAUGUCAGGAUUACGUAAAGAUAUUAACGUGCUGCGCAAUUAUCUUACAUCUAGAAGACUCCAGAAGCCACGAGACCGAAGCGGAGGCGAAACGGGGCCAGACCCUGGGCGGCCGCCCAGUUGGUCAGGGCGCCCGCCCACCUCCUGAGUCCAAUCAGGACUCUGCUUUGCGGGAGAUCUCCACCGACCUAAAGGAUGAAUCUAAACCAUACAAUCUAUGUCGGUUUGAUCCAAGGGCCCAUAUUCACUUGAAGGGACUAUAAAACCAGACCCCCUGGCCCCUGGAGGAGAGAGCCUCUCAACCCUAAUUCAUUGUUCCAUCAAGGGAGAAGAAGCCUCUGAUCAAGAUUAGAGCCACCACAUCAAUUAGAUAUCUAGAUUAGCAUAGCUACAUAGGAUUAGAACUAGAAGGAGUCAAUCUUCGAUUGGUUUCCGGAUCUGUCAAGAGGAUUUCUUGGUAAUUCUCUAAUUGUGCUUCUAAUUGCUUUCUAAUUAUCUUUGUUCUUCAAUAUUAUGAAUAUGACUUUGUUCUACUUCAAUAUAUUGCUUAUGACUUUGCUCUACUUGCUUAUAUUCAAGAUUAUAUUGUUCUUAGUUUAUCAUAGAUAUGUACUUGGCUUAGUUAGAUUGGAUCUAUAUACAUGCUUAGGAUCGUAUAGCGUUUAUCCAUCGGAUCCAUGGGUAAAUGAUAGAUAUUGUGUAGGCGUGGUGCUUAUACCGUAUUUAUCUGCGAUUGUACCCAAUAUGCCAGAUCGUGGGGUGGUUCGUGAUAGUGACAGCUUCAUUGAUUCUUAUAUAGUCCCCCUCUCGUGAAUUGGGCUGGCAGAGCAACAUUAUUACAGGGGAGUGAUUGCUAUGUUUCUCAUGUUCCUUGCUAAUAUCACUAUGCAUGGGCGUAGUCUUGUCUCGCAAUGAUUGCUAAGUAUGCUUGCACUAACUAUGAUAUGCUAGACUAUAUAGUUGAGAAUAACUUAGGGAAUAUUCUUGUAGUUCAUUCUAAUACCAUGCUAAUGACUUUCUAGAGUAUCUAAUUGAGGUGCUUAUCAUAUUUAUUAUGUGGCUAGAUCAGAUUAGUUAUCCUUGUCACUAUUAUUACUUCAUAUAUCUUUUAUGUGACACUUAUCCCUGUAUGAAGAGUUAGAUAUAAUGUUCUCAAUUAUACAUGCAAUGAUAGAUGCUCAAUCUCAUAUUCUAUUCUGUAAUCAAUAGUGAUGAUUGCUAAUCCCUUCCCAGUGGUAAAAAUAUAAAUAACGAUACCUGGAAUACUUCCCGGUUAAAAUGCUAUAUCGGUAUUAAUCUGUGCGCUUGCAGAUCCAAUUCAUUAUUUAUUUAGAAGAGCAAUUGCAUAUUUCAAUACCGCGUCUCUUAUAUCAUGCUGGGGAUGACAACUUGGCUUAAGUGGUGUGAGGGAUAGGUUUGGCAUUUUUGGCACCGUUACUAGAUUUAGAGAACUUAGUCUACUUUUGGUAAUGAUGUUAAGAAUACCCAACAAGCAUUUUUGGCGUCGUUGCCUGGGAAGGUUGAUUACUAAUCAGGAAUGGAAUAAAAGAUUUUGAGUUAUCAUUCGCAUCACUAAUAUGAUUGAGCUUAUCUAUUCUCUCAUACAGUUUUACCCCGAUAUUUUUCUAUUUUAUCUUAUGCAGGGGAAUGUAUGAAUAGAAGACAUCUUCCAGGAAAUUUUGUUGAUAAUCCCGAAGCAUUAUUCAAGAAGACGCGAGCCAAGCUAAAGAAAUCAUCAACACUUUAGCAAGAAGCUUCAUCCAAUCAAGAAGAUCACCGGAACUUGUCUUCAGAGUUCGAGGCCAUGGCGAACAAAUCAAUCCGCGAGUUCUCAGCUCCCACUACGGACAACAUCCGCACUGGACCUGCUGCAGAGAUCGAUGGCAACUUUGAGCUCAAGCCGGGACUUAUCAACAUGGUGCAAUCCAACCAGUUCUGUGGGAAGGCACACGAAGACGCUAGUGCUCAUUUACAACACUUCCUGGAGAUUUGCAACACAUUCACCAUAGCAGGAGUUUCCAAAGACGCUAUACUACUUCGCCUCUUCCCAUUCUCACUGUUAGGAAGAGCGAAGCAGUGGUUCUACGCUACAAAGGAGAAGAAUACUACGUGGGUUCUCUGCUCAACAAACUUCCUGGCUAAGUUCUUUCCCAUGGGCAAGACCAAUGCUCUCCGUGGGAAGAUUACAAGUUUUCAGCAACAAAAUGAUGAAUGUGUUCCAGAAGCAUGGGAGCGCUUUCAAGACUACAUCCUAGAAUGUCCCCAUCAUGGAUUGGAGAGUUGGCUACUGAUACAGACAUUCUAUCAUGGGCUCAGCAACAGUGCCCGAGAGACCAUGGAUGCUGCAGCUGGAGGAGCAUUCUUAUCACUUACUAUACUACAAGCCACAGCUCUUGUGGAGAAGAUGGCGUCCAACCAAAGCUGGAAUGAAGAGAGGACCCAGACACGCAAGAGAGGUGGAGGUAUGCAUCAGCUGAAGGAGGUAGACAUGCUGUCUGCAAAGCUAGACCUGCUCAUGAAGAAGCUCGACGAUAGAGCUGGAGACAAGAAAGAAGUUAUGCACAUCUACGACUCUCACAUGACUUGUGAGGAGUGUGGAGACACUGGACACUCAGGCAACCACUGCCCUGAGAUGCUUGAGGAUGUGAACUACAUCAUCAACAACAACAACAACUACUACAACCGUCCUCAACAAAAUCAAGGUAGGAAUCAACAGAGGCUUAACUACUCAGGUAAUUAUCAAGGUAACAAUUCUUACAACAAUAAUAAUAAUUUUCCAACUUUGAGAGAGUUAGUGACUAAUCAAGGAAAGCUAAUGGAUAACCUAUCUAAGAAAUUGGCAUCUAAUGAUAAAAUGCUAGAAAAUAUAAAUAAUAGAAUGGAUAAUUUUUCUACUGCCAUCAAGAAUCAAAUUAGCUUUAAUAAAAUGAUUGAAUCUGAGUUAAAUCAAAUAGCUGCUGCUGUUCCUACUACUAACCCCGGUAUACCAUCACAACCGGAAGGAUUAGAAUCUGCAAAUCUUGUAGACGUGUUUGAUGCAGGUAAUUUGAGUAACCCCGUCACUGAAUUCUCUACUGACCGUCUGCCGGUCAAGAGAGGCGAUCCAGGACGCCCCGUCAUCCCGAUCUCCAUCGGCAUGGUGGACGUUCCAGAAGCACUCUGUGACUUUGGCUCUAGCGUCAACAUUAUACCCAGGGUACUCUAUGAAAAAUGCUUUACAUAUCCUUUAUUAGAAAUAACCAUGUGUUUGCAGUUUGCAGAUCAGACGAUAACUUUUCCAAAAGGAAUAGUGAGGAACCUUUGUGUCCGAGUUGGUACUUUAUAUGCCCCAGCAGACUUCGUAGUGGUUGAGACCGGAAAUGAUGAGAGAGCACCUAUCAUCCUAGGAAGGCCAUUUUUGAACACCACGGGAGCUAUCAUCUACGCUAGUGCUGCCAAGAUCAGUUUCUACGUCAAAGGGAAGAAGGAGACAUUUUUCUUCAAGAACAAGACUACACAAAUUCCAGAUCAAUCCAGACGUGAAUCAGGGAAGAGGACCAACAGGAGGAACAGGAACAAGCAAGUAUGGACCGAGUCAGCUAAGAUGGUCACUGUAGUCCAUGGAGGCCAAGAUCACCAACUUAAGUCACCGUUUUUGACCAAGAAGGAUGACCCAGGAAUGCCAAGCAUCUACUGCUCCAUAAAUGGAUAUAACUUCUACAAGACGAUUUGCGACACCGGAUCGGGCGUCAACAUAAUGGCCGCAGUCACUUAUCGGCUCUUGUUCGGGACCAUGCCACUAAGACCAACAUACAUUCAGCUCCAGAUGGCAGAUCAGACAUUUCGAGAAGUUCAAGGAAUAGUAUCUGAUGUCCCAGUCAAAAUAGACGAUCACCUUGUCUACACAGACUUUCAAAUUGUUGACAUGGGACAAGACGAGUAUGAUCCACCCAUCAUCCUUGGAAGACCGUUCCUCAGCACCAUUAAAGCAAUUAUCUACAUUGGAACCGGAGAAGUCCAUAUGCACUUCCCCUCAGAGAAGGUACGCCAUUAUUUUACUGACCCUAACUAUAUCAUUGAAGAAUCUAAGCAGGUCAGAAAGAGACGCAACCGCAACCAGAGGAGGCAGAUCAUCAAGGACGGAUGGGCAGACUAUGAAGGAGAAGUUGUAAGGUCAGAAGACGUAGAGUUUAAACAGAAUUAUCCAGAGGAGAUUGAAGCACCGAGUCAGGUAUGGAAAAUGAAGAUAACUAUACAUGAAGAGGAGGCGCUACCGGAAGUACCGACUUCGCCACCCAACGAACCUCAGGACGAUUAAGAAGUUGGAGAGUCCCGUUCGGAGGACUUAAAAACACAGAACGCCCUGCCAAGAGGUAAACUUGGUAGUUACCCUUUCCCUUUCAAUUAUUUCAAUUAUUUCAAAUAGUUUACUUAGUUAAUUAUGUUCGUGCUAUCCUAAAAAGAAAAUAAAAAUGUAAAAAACAGUAAGCCCCAUAUGAGUAGACGAGUGGCAUAAAACACAUAAGUACAUUCACUGUGGUGGCAUAAAAAUAAAAUAAAUAUUUUUUUCUGCUUUAUAAAAACAAAAAUAUAAAAACAGGGAGUAACAAUUAUUAAGGAGUCUCAACAUAAUAAAGGCUAGAUAUUUAUGCUAACACUUAAUCAGUUCCACAAACUUUGUUGUCUAUUUGAGCUCCACAGAAUUUAAGAAUCAAGAAGACUCGCAGAUGGAGGACAUUCUAAUCACUGUCAGAAUGCUGCUUACUUUCAAAUACACCUCUGCCACCUGCUGGCUACAUCAAGAGAAAUUACGUCAAAAUUCAGCUUGGGGGAGAGCACCCCCAUUUACCUCGAUAAGUAUUUCUAUCUAUCUUUAUACUUAUAUUAUUUUAGAAUAUUAAAAUACAUAUAAACUAUGGGAAAACCAAAUAAAGAUUUUAUGCUUAUAUAUAUCUUUUGCUUAGUGUGUUUAAUAAAUAAAUAAAGUGGCUAUGCUAAUCUAUAUCUAAACAAAAACUUAAGCAUGGAUAUGAUAAAUAGUUGCUCUGCCUAAUUUGCAAAUUUUAAGUUCUCUCUCAAGUUUAGAUAUAACUGUUAUAAUUUAAAGCUUGCCCUAGACCUAAACUUGUGGGAUGAAAACUUGAUCUGAAGUCUAAGUUGUUAACGGAUACGAUAUAGGAAGGUUGAGCUGCUGUUUAUCUGUUCCUAGAGAUGCUAGAAUUCUGGAGAAUUUUAUCUUUGAAAAUCUUUAAAAUGUUGCAUGAUGAGUUCCUGUAUGAUGAGAGCUUAAAUUCCUACCACAGCCAUAUAUACAUGCUUGCUAGACUUUGAGCCACACAUUUAUUAUUUACUGCUUAUGAGCAUUGAGUGUGGUCAAGCUGUGUAGACCCUUAGGAGCUUGUCAUGUGGUUAAAUCAAGAUUUCACUUGCACGUUCACUCAUAUAUGCUACUUCUACUCCGGAAGUACCAUCCACAUAUAUCCAUCCAUUUCCAUCUCCAGAAUCACCCAAAAAUAUUUUGCUCCUAAUCUGGGAGAGAAUAACCAAAAAUAUUUCUGUUUCCCCUUAUGAAAUAAAUGCUCAAGUUAUCUUAUUACUACCACUUGCUAUAUUAUCUCAAGAGAUGAGUGCUCUAAAAAAAAGAAGAAAAUAAAAAAAAUAUACGAGGAAAUAAAAAGGAGCAAGUGCUCGGAACCUCGAAAGAAAAGAAAGAGUGAGACGAGAGGUAAAAAUGGACAAGUGUCCGACAGUAGAAUUAGGGGUGCAAGAUACCCACCUAAGAGACAAGAAAAAGAAGAGCAUCUCAUUCUCCUCAUAAAGUUUCAAAAGCAAGGAAGGUAUGUAUCCCCUCAAAGAGCAAAGUAGAAUUAGACUUCCACCACCAUUGUUUUCACCAUUGUUAUCACCAUCAUCACCAUACACCAUUCAUUCGCCACACAUGCACAUCUUGAUUUGGCUUAUUGACUUGUUACUUUGGAUCCAUGGUUUGACUAUGCAAUAAAUGUCUUGUAAGUAUGUAUACUUUAUCUCCCACCUAUGAGCUCCAGAUAUUAAAGCCUUAUUAGAGUAGGGUGAGAGAGAAGGCAAUGUCACUACGCCUUAUACCACAAAUACUACAUAUCUUGAGAGAAGGCAUAUACCGUCAAUGCCUUGGUAAGGAUCCAAAAAUACCACAAAAGAGAGACCUGAGAGAAUCAUACAAGGAAUCUCUGAGUUUUAUUUGAAAAUCUGCAAAAACCCCAGAGCUAUAGCUGAUCAAGAAUAAGAGACAUGGCACUUGGCUAGACUGUUCUAUCUUUUAACCACUCAAGACGGAAGUGACAGUUACAAGUCCCAUGGUGAAGGUAAAGUAAGUAAGUUUUAAGUCUUGACAGUUUACUCUAACUCAGAGAUGAGAUCUUAUUUAAAAAGCAUGUGUACCGUCAAUUUUUUUUAAUAAUAUUGCAACAAAUUAUGAUCCAUAGCUAAGUCUAUCCUUGCUCAGGGACGAGCAAGAGGUAAGCUUGGGGGAGUUUGUUGAUGGUCCUUAAGUAUCAAAUUUAAUUAUCAAAUAAACAAAGAAAAGGAUCCAAAUGAAAUUAAGAUCUAGACUUAGGGUUUUAUCUGACAGAAUUCCACGAGUUUUGGUGUUUGUCUAUUUCUGCUGGGGGUUAUCAGGAAAUGUGGAAGAAAGGCCCACAUGUCAGGAUUACGUAAAGAUAUUAACGUGCUGCGCAAUUAUCUUACAUCUAGAAGACUCCAGAAGCCACGAGACCGAAGCGGAGGCGAAACGGGGCCAGACCCUGGGCGGCCGCCCAAUUGGUCAGGGCGCCCGCCCACCUCCUGAGUCCAAUCAAGACUCUGCUUUGCGGGAGAUCUCCACCGACCUAAAGGAUGAAUCUAAACCAUACAAUCUAUGUCGGUUUGAUCCAAGGGCCCAUAUUCACUUGAAGGGACUAUAAAACCAGACCCCCUAGCCCCUGGAGGAGAGAGCCUGUCAACCCUAAUUCAUUGUUCCAUCAAGGGAGAAGAAGCCUCUGAUCAAGAUUAGAGCCACCACAUCAAUUAGAUAUCUAGAUUAGCAUAGCUACAUAGGAUUAGAACUAGAAGGAGUCAAUCUUCGAUUGAUUUCCGGAUCUGUCAAGAGGAUUUCUUUGUAAUUCUCUAAUUGUGCUUCUAAUUGCUUUCUAAUUAUCUUUGUUCUUCAAUAUUAUGAAUAUGACUUUGUUCUACUUCAAUAUAUUGCUUAUGACUUUGCUCUACUUGCUUAUAUUCAAGAUUAUAUUGUUCUUAGUUUAUCAUAGUUAUGUACUUGGCUUAGUUAGAUUGGAUCUAUAUACAUGCUUAGGAUCGUAUAGCGUUUAUCCAUCGGAUCCAUGGGUAAAUGAUAGAUAUUGUGUAGGCGUGGUGCUUAUACCGUAUUUAUCUGCGAUUGUACCCAAUAUGCCACAUCGUGGGGUGGUUCGUGAUAGUGAUAGCUUCAUUGAUUCUUAUAUAGUCCCCCUCUCAUGUAUUGGGCUGGCAGAGCAACAUUAUUACAGGGGAGUGAUUGCUAUGUUUCUCAUAUUCCUUGCUAAUAUCACUAUGCAUGGGCGUAGUCUUGUCUCGCAAUGAUUGCUAAGUAUGCUUGCACUAACUAUGAUAUGCUAGACUAUAUAGUUGAGAAUAACUUAGGGAAUAUUCUUGUAGUUCGUUCUAAUACCAUGCUAAUGACUUUCUAGAGUAUCUAAUUGAGGUGCUUAUCAUAUUUAUUAUGUGGCUAGAUCAGAUUAGUUAUCCUUGUCACUAUUAUUACUUCAUAUAUCUUUUAUGUGACACUUAUCCCUGUAUGAAGAGUUAGAUAUAAUGUUCUCAAUUAUACAUGCAAUGAUAGAUGCUCAAUCUCAUAUUCUAUUCUGUAAUCAAUAGUGAUGAUUGCUAAUCCCUUCCCAGUGGUAAAAAUAUAAAUAACGAUACCUGGAAUACUUCCCGGUUAAAAUGCUACAUCGGUAUUAAUCUGUGCGCUUGCAGAUCCAAUUCAUUAUUUAUUUAGAAGAGCAAUGGCAUAUUUCAAUACCGCGUCUCUUAUAUCAUGCUGGGGAUGACAACUUGGCUUAAGUGGUGUGAGGGAUAGGUUUGGCAUUUUUGGCACCGUUACUAGAUUUAGAGAACUUAGUUUACUUUUGGUAAUGAUGUUAAGAAUACCCAACAACGGUACACAUGCUUUUUAAAUAAGAUCUCAUCUCUAAGCUAGAGUAAACUGUCAAGACUGAAAACUUACUUACUUUACGUUCACCAUGGGACUUGUAACUGUCACUUCUGUCUUGAGAGGUUAAAAGAUAGAACAGUCUAGUCAAGUGCCAUGUCUCUUAUUCUUGAUCAGCUAUAGCUCUGGUGUUUUUGCAGAUUUUCAAAUAAAACUUAGAGAUUCCUUGUAUGACUCUCUCAGGUCUCUCUUUUGUGGUAUUUCUGGAUCCUUACCAAGGCAGUGAUGGUAUAUGCCUUCUCUCAAGAUAUGUGGUAUUUGUGGUAUAAGGCAUAGUGACAUUGCCUUCUCUCUCAACCUACUCUAAUAAGGCUUUAAUAUCUGGAGCUCAUAGGUGGGAAAUAAAGUAUACAUACUUACAAGACAUGUAUUGCAUAGUCAAGCCAUGGAUCCAAAGAAACAAGCCAAUGAGUUUAAUCAAGAUGUGCAUGUGUGGUGAAUGAAUGAUGUAUGGUGGUGAUGGUGAUAACAAUGAUGGUGGAAGUCUAAUUCUACUUUGCUCUUUGAGGGGAUACAUACCUUCCUUGCUUUUUUUGAAACUUUAUGAGGAGAAUGAGAUGCUCUUCUUUUUCUUUUCUCUCAGGUGGGUAUCUUGCACCCCUAAUUCUACCGUUGGACACUUGUCCAUUUUUACCUCUCGUCUAACUCUCUCUUUUCUUUCGAGGUUCCGAGCACUUGCUCCUUUUUAUUUCCUCGUAUUUCUCUCUUUCUUUUUUUAGAGCAUUCAUCUCUUGAGACAAUAUAGCAAGUGGUAGUAACAAGAUAACUUGAGCAUUUAUUUCACAAGGGAAAAACAAAAAUAUUUUUGGUUAUUCUCUCCUGGAUUAGGAGUAGAAUAUUUUUAGGUGGUUCUGGAGAUGGAAAUGGAUGGAUAUAUGUGGAUGGUACUUCUGGAGUAGAAGUAGCAUAUAUGAGUGAACGUGCAAGUGAAAUCUUGAUUUAACCACAUGACAAGUUCCUAAGGGUCUACACAACUUGACCACACUCAAUGUGUACCUCAAAGUCUAGCAAGCAUGUAUAUAUGGCUGUGGUAGGAAUUUAAACUCUCAUCAUACAGGAACUCAUCAUGUAACAUUUUAAAGAUUUUCAAAGAUAAAAUUCUCCAGAAUUCUAGCAUCUCUAGGAACAGAUAAACAACAGCUCAACCUUUCCAUAUCGUAUCCGUUAACAACUUAGACUUCAGAUCAAGUUUUCAUCCCACAAGUUUAGGUCUAGAGCAAGCUUUAAAUUAUAACAGUUAUUUCUAAACUUGAGAGAGAACUUAAAAUGUGCAAAUUAGACAGAGCAACUUUAUUUAUUUAUUAAACACACUAAGCAAAAGAUAUAUAAAUAAGCAUAAAAUAUUUAUUUGGUUUUUUCAUAGUUAUGUAUAUUUAUAUUCUAAGAUAAUAUGAGUAUAAAGAUAGAUAGAUAGAAAUACUUAUCGAGAUAAAUGGGGGUGCUCUCCCCCAAGCUGAAUUUUGACGUAAUUUCUCUUGAUGUAGCUAGCAAGUGGCAGAGGUGUAUUUGAAAGUAAGCAGCAUUCUGACAGCGAUUAGAAUGUCCUCCGUCUGCUAGUCUUCUUGACUCUUAAAUUCUGUGGAGCUCAAAUAGACAACAAAGCUUGUGGAACUGAUUAAGUGUUAGCAUAAAUAUCUAGCCUUUAUCAUCUUGAGACUCCUUAAUAAUUAUUACUCCCUCUUUUUAUAUUUUUUUUAUUUUAUAAAGCAGAAAAAUAUUUAUUUUAUUUUUAUGCCACCACAGUGAAUGUACUUAUGGGUUUUAUGCCACUUGUAUACUCACAUGGGGCUUACUGUUUUUUUUUCAUAUUUUAUUUUCUUUUUAAGAUAGUACGAACAUGAUUAACUAAGUAAACUAGUUUAAACAAUUUGAAAGGGAAAAGAUAACUACCAAGUUUACCUCUUGGCAAGGCGUUCGGUGUUUUUAAGUCCUCCGAACGGGACUCUCCAUUUUCUUUAAUCGUACUGAGGUUCGUCGGGUGGCGUAGUCGGUACUUCCGGCAGCGCCUCCUCUUCAUGUAUAGUUAUCUUCAUUUUCCACACCUGACUUGGUGCUUCAGUCUCUUCAUUUUCCACACCCUAAACCCUAAACUCUACAUCUUCUGACCUUACAACUUCUCCUUCAUAGUCUGCCCAUCCGUCCUUGAUGAUCUGCCUCCUCUGGUUGCGGUUGUGUCGCUUUCUGACCUGCUUAGAUUCUUCAACGAUAUAGUUAGGAUCAGUAAAAUAACGGCGUACCUUCUCUGAGGUGAAGUGCAUAUGGACUUCUCCAGUUCCAAUGUAGAUAAUUGCUUUAACGGUGCUGAGGAACGGUCUUCCAAGGAUGAUGGGUGGAUCGUACUCAUCUUCUCCCAUGUCAAUAACCUGAAAGUCUGUGUAGACAAAGUGAUCGUCUAUUUUGAUUGGGACAUCAGUUACUAUUCCUUUAACUUCUCGAAAUGUCUGAUCUGCCAUCUGGAGCUGAAUGUAUGUUGGUCUUAGUGGCAUGGUUCCGAACAAGAGCCGAUAGGUGACUGCGGCCAUUAUGUUGACGCCCGAUCCGGUGUCACAAUUCGUAUUGUAGAAGUUGUAUCCAUUUAUGGAGCAGUAAAUGCUUGGCAUUCCUGGGUCGUCCUUCUUGGUCAAAAGCGGUGACUUAAGUUGGUGAUCUUGGCCUCCAUGAACUACAGUGACCAUCUUAGCUGACUCGGUCCACACUUUCUUGUUCCUGUUCCUCCUGUUGGUCCUCUUCCUUGAUUCAUGUCUGGAUUGAUCUGGAAUUUGUGUAGUCUUGUUCUUGAAGAAAAAUGUCUCCUUCUUCCCUUUGACGUAGAAACUGAUCUUAGCAGCACUAGCGUAGAUGAUAGCUCUCAUGGUAUUCAAGAAUGGCCUCCCUAAGAUGAUAGGUGCUCUCUCAUCAUUUCCGGUCUCUACCACUACGAAGUCUGCUGGGGCAUAUAAGGUACCAACUCGGACACAAAGGUUCUUCACUAUUCCUUUUGGAACGGUUAUCGUCUGAUCUGCAAACUGCAAACACAUGGUUGUUUCUAAUAAAGGAUAUGAAAAGAAUUUUUCAUAGAGUACCCUGGGUAUAAUGUUGACACUGGAGCCAAAGUCGCAGAGUGCUUCUGGAACGUCCACCAUGCCGAUAGAGAUCGGGAUGACGGGGCGUCCUGGAUCGUCUCUCUUGACCAGCAGAAGGUCAGUAGAGAAUUCAUUGACGGGGUUACUCCAAUUACCUGCAUCAAACGUGUCUACAAGAUUUGCAGAUUCUAAUCCUUCCGGUUGUGAUGGUAUACCGGGGUUAGUAGUAGGAACAGCAGCAGCUAUUUGAUUUAACUGAGAUUCAAUCAUUUUAUUAACGCUAAUUUGAUUCUUGAUGGCAGUAGAGAAAUUAUCCAUUCUAUUAUUUAUAUUUUCUAGUAUGUUAUCAUUAGAUGCCAAUUUCUUAGAUAGGUUAUCCAUUAACUUUCCUUGAUUAGACACUAACUCUCUCAAAGGUGGAAAAUUAUUAUUAUUGUUGUAAGAAUUGUUACCUUGAUAAUUAGCUGAGUAGUUAGGCCUCUGUUGAUUCCAACCUUGAUUUUGUUGAGGACGGUUGUAGUAGUUGUUGUUGUUGUUGAUGUAGUUCACAUCCUCAAGUAUCUUAGGGCAGUGGUUGCCUGAGUGUCCAGUAUCUCCACACUCCUCACAAGUCAUGUGAGAGUCGUAGAUGUGCAUAACUUCUUUCUUAUCUCCAGCUCUAUCGUCGAGUUUCUUCAUGAGCAGGUCUAGCUUUGCAGACAGCAUGUCUACCUCCUUCAGCUGAUGCAUACCUCCACCUCUCUUGCGUGUCUGGGUCCUCUCUUCAUUCCAGCUUUGAUUGGACGCCAUCUUCUCCACAAGAGCUGUGGCUUGUGGUAUAGUAAGUGAUAAAAAUGCUCCUCCAGCUGCAGCAUCCAUGGUCUCUCGGGCACUGUUGCCGAGCCCAUGAUAAAACGUCUGCAUCAAUAGCCAACUUUCCAUUCCAUGAUGGGGACAUUCUAGGAUGUAGUCUUGAAAGCGCUCCCAUGCUUCUGGAACAGAUUCAUCAUUUUGUUGCUGAAAACUCGUAAUCUUCCCACGGAGAGCAUUGGUCUUGCACACAGGAAAGAACUUAGCCAGGAAGUUUGUUGAGCAGAGUGCCCACGUAGUAUUCUUCUCCUUUGUAGCGUAGAACCACUGCUUCGCUCUUCCUAACAAUGAGAAUGGGAAGAGGCGAAGUAGUAUAGCAUCUUUGAAAACUCCUGAUAUGGUGAAUGUGUUGCAAAUCUCCAGGAAGUGUUGUAAAUGAGCACUAGCAUCUUCGUGUGCCUUCCCACAGAACUGGUUGGAUUGCACCAUGUUGAUAAGUCCAGGUUUGAGCUCAAAGUUGCCAUCGAUCUCUGCAGCAGGUCCAGUGCGGAUGUUGUCCGUAGUGGGAGCUGAGAACUCGCGGAUUAAUUUGUUUGCCAUGGCUUCGAACUCUGAAGACAAGUUCCGGUGAUCUCCUUGAUUGGAUGAAGCUUCUUGCUGAAGUGUUGAUGAUUUCUUUAGCUUGGCUCUCGUCUUCUUGAAUAAUGCUUCGGGAUUGUCAACAAAAUUUCCUGGAAGAUGUCUUCUAUUCAUACAUUCCCCUGCAUAAGAUGAAAUAGGAAAAUAUCGGGGUAAAACUGUAUGAGAGAAUAGAUAAGCUCAAUCAUAUUAGUGAUGCGAAUGAUAACUCAAAAUCUUUUAUUCCAUUCCUGAUUAGUAAUCAACCUUCCCCGGCAACGGCGCCAAAAAUGCUUGUUGGGUAUUCUUAACAUCAUUACCAAAAGUAGACUAAGUUCUCUAAAUCUAGUAACGGUGCCAAAAAUGCCAAACCUAUCCCUCACACCACUUAAGCCAAGUUGUCAUCCCCAGCAUGAUAUAAGAGACGCGGUAUUGAAAUAUGCAAUUGCUCUUCUAAAUAAAUAAUGAAUGGGAUCUGCAAGCGCACAGAUUAAUACCGAUGUAGCAUUUUAACCGGGAAGUAUUCCAGGUAUUGUUAUUUAUAUUUUUACCACUGGGAAGGGAUUAGCAAUCAUCAAUAUUGAUUACAGAAUAGAAUAUGAGAUUGAGCAUCUAUCAUUGCAUGUAUAAUUGAGAACAUUAUAUCUAACUCUUCAUACAGGGAUAAGUGUCACAUAAAAGAUAUAUGAAAUAAUGAAUAGUGACAAGGAUAAUUAAUCUGAUCUAGCCACAUAAUAAAUAUGAUAAGCACCUCAAUUAGAUACUCUAGAAAGUCAUUAGCAUGGUAUUAGAACGAACUACAAGAAUAUUCCCUAAGUUAUUCUCAACUAUAUAGUCUAGCAUAUCAUAGUUAGUGCAAGCAUACUUAGCAAUCAUUGCGAGACAAGACUACGCCCAUGCAUAGUGAUAUUAGCAAGGAAUAUGAGAAACAUAGCAAUCACUCCCCUGUAAUAAUGUUGCUCUGCCAGCCCAAUACACGAGAGGGAGACUAUAUAAGAAUCAAUGAAGCUGUCACUAUCACGAACCACCCCACGAUCUGGCAUAUUGGGUACAAUCGCAGAUAAAUACGGUAUAAGCACCACGCCUACACAAUAUCUAUCAUUUACCCAUGGAUCCGAUGGAUAAACGCUAUACGAUCCUAAGCAUGUAUAUAGAUCCAAUCUAACUAAGCCAAGUACAUUACUAUGAUAAACUAAGAACAAUAUAAUCUUGAAUAUAAGCAAGUAGAGCAAAGUCAUAAGCAAUAUAUUGAAGUAGAACAAAGUCAUAUUCAUAAUAUUGAAGAACAAAGAUAAUUAGAAAGCAAUUAGAAGCACAAUUAGAGAAUUACCAAGAAUCCUCUUGACAGAUCCGGAAACCAAUCGAAGAUUGACUCGUUCUAGUUCUAAUCCUAUGUAGCUAUGCUAAUCUAGAUAUCUAAUUGAUGUGGUGGCUCUAAUCUUGAUCAGAGGCUUCUUCUCCCUUGAUGAACAAUGAAUUAGGGUUGAGAGGCUCUCUCCUCCAGGGGCCAGGGGGUCUAGUUUUAUAGUCCCUUCAAGUGAAUAUGGGCCGUUGGAUCAAACCGACAUAGAUUGUAUGGUUUAGAUUCAUCCUUUAGGUCGGUGGAGAUCUCCCGCGAAGCAGAGUCCUGAUUGGACUCCCAGAGGGGGCGGGCGCCCAGGGCAGGAGGGCGGGCGCCCUGCCUCUGGCCCCGUUUCGCCUCCGCUUCGGUCUCGUGGCUUCUGGAGUCUUCUAGAUGUAAGAUAAUUGCGCGGCACGUUAAUAUCUCUAUGUAAUCCCGACGUGUGGGCCUUUCUUCCGUAUUUCCUGAUAACCCCUUGCAGAAAUAGACAAACACCAAAACUCGUGGAAUUCUGUCAAAUAAAACCCUAAAUCUAGAUGUUGAUUUCAUUUGGAUCCUUUUCUUUAUUUAUUUGAUAAUUAAAUUUGAUACUUAAGGACCGUCAACAAAGGGUAGUGGGAAAUGAUCUUUCUUUGUUGCCUUGUUAAGUUUUCUAUAAUCGAUACACAUUCUCCACCCUGUCUGUGGUCGUUGGGGGAUUAACUCAUCUUUAUCAUUUGUAACGACCGUCAUGCCUCCCUUCUUUGGAACCACUUGGACGGGACUGACCCAGUCAAUGUGUGGUACGUGAUAAAUAAUCCCGGCGUGAAAAAGUUUGAGAACUUCCUUUUUCACGACUUCACGCAUCGUGUUGUUCAGCCUACGUUGGGGUUCACGAGAAGAUGUAAGCUCAGGGUCCAUAGGUAUGUGUCGGUGUUUUUCCCCCGGGGGUCACACCAACUAGUAAAUUUGUAUGCGUGCUCCCUUUUCCAGAUGGUGAUGCAAAAAGACACAAAGAUUUAUCCCGGUUCGGGCAAGAGAAGGCCCUACGUCUAGCGGGGGGCGGAGAGUUUGUAUUAUUCUGCACCUAAGUGCUUGUACAGGGGUGAAUACAAGCGUGGUAUGGACAGAGAUGGGGUGAGUUCGCUCUACUACGUGUGUGUUGUAUGUUGUGGUCUAUUGUCCCCCGUAUCCGUUCUCGGGCCCCCCUUUUAUAGUUCCAAGGAGGGGCCUAGGGUACAUGUAUAGGCAUCGAAGUAGGGGUCGAUAGAGGCAUGGCGCGCUGACCUACUCGAGGCUUCCGUACCGGCGUGGUCUCGAGCCGUCCUGUCUUGGUAGCUUGAUGAUGAUUACGCGUGCCCCUGUAUCCCGCUCUGUGCGGCGUCCUGGGCCGGUUUAUAUGUUGCAUGCUUGUACGUCGUGGCAGCAUCUGCGUCGGAGUGGUUGAAGCGCUGUCACUCGUCACCUGACCCUUUCCCAGGAAGGAAGCUUGCCUACUCGAGGGUCGGAUGCCGUGUAACGGCUUGCUAGCCAGAGCGCUGACCUUGGGCGUCUCGAGGGGGUCUUGAAUAGAUGUUCCGACCCUGCUUCCUGCGUUCUGUCAUGCUCUGGAUUGUUUGGUGGGAAAGACUGCAAAAAGAAUGACGGGAUGGGUGCCUGUUCCCUAUCACGCUUCCCGUGACUGGCGUGUUAGGUGAGAACACGACAGGCGCAUUAAAUGCCCCGAUUCCCGUGCCCGCGUCAGGCGGCGGGCGGCGUCCUUGCGCUCGACGCCUUUCGAUUCACUCGAGCCUGUUUCCGUAUUCGACGGUAGCCGGUGCUCGAGCCGUGAUCGAUUCACUCGACACCCUUUCCGUCUUUGAGGUUGCGGUCGUCAAGGACCGUACGUGUGACCGGAUAGAGCAUCGAGUUGGAGGCCUCGACUUUCGUACGGGCAAUCUCGUCAUGUACACCAGUUAGGGUACCCCUUACUAAUAUCCUCGACAGUAUGCGAUGUGUGUAGAGUGUUGGGCUUAUUCCCUUGAGGUCUUGCAAGGAAUACCCAAAGGUUGUGCUAUGUUUUUCUAAGACGGCAAUGAGUUUGUUCGACUCCUCAUCAGAUAGCUUAUCACAAAUAAUAACGGGAGUUUCUUUGUUGCCGUUUAGAAAGGCAUAACGUAGCACAGCGGGCAAGGGUUGAAGCUCAACUGGAGGUUUUGGUGGCGUUUCAUCCUCGGGGAGUUCUAUGGUUUCUCCUAGCUCGUCCUCUUCUCGAAUGAAGCUUUCGGCGUCUUUAUCUAAAGACGAUUCGGGUGUUUCAAAAGGUGAAACAGGCAUCACCUCCUUGGGCGAAGGUAGGUCGGGUCGAGAGUAGGUCACUGAGUUUUUAGCUCGAGUGAUUGGAAUGGAAAAAGUGUCUCUUCCCAGUUUUAUGUUCAUUCCCCUAUAGCUGGCAGUUCAUGGGUUAAAAGCUCUAUAGGGUGGCCUAUAAGGAUGUCAAAACUUUUAAUGUCAAAGACAUAAAAGUCAAGACUCGUUCUGAUGUUAUCAAGUCGUACAUGGGUUUGGUGGAGAAGCCCACAACUUUUCAAUUCCUUACGCGGGGCUACCCUGAGAGUUUUCUCUGUCUGGGUCAGUGGUUCAGACCCUAGAUGGGUGUGCAUAAAAGAUUUCGACAUUAAAUUGGCCCCGACAAGUGGAUUAUACAAUGCUUCUUGCCAGCUACGCCAAAUUUUGCACUUGAAUGGACGAAGAUGGAGUAUUAAUCUGAAGUGGAUCAGAAGAUAACUCCGUUUCUUUGCUCCAUUCCUGACUCAUGAUAACUGAGAGUUCAUUAAUUGAAUGUUUUAUAAAAAUCCUCAUCUAGUUGAUCAUUAGCAGUGGCAACUUGCGGCUUUCUUUGAGAUGAGUACUUCGAGGUGUUUCCGAAAUCUUUAAAAAGAUCAUCCUCGAAGAAUGGGAGAUCUGAAGGUUGAAAAUCUUCCUUCGGGGGUCCCGAUAUGGUAGGAGAUGUCUCUAUAAGUGUAUUGUCAGUGGAGGCUAUUGAGACUUCCUCUAUUUCAGGUUCGGGCUCUACGCGGAGGGGUUCUAGCGGAGGAGUGUUCUCUAGAAUGAGGUCUAUUAAGGCUUCUCCUUCUGCUGUGGUCUUGUGGUUAAACGACCCUCCGGCAGCUAUGUCUAAUUGUUGGGCAGACUCCUUGUGUAGCCCUAGCCAGAAAUGUUGUAACAACACUUGUCUAGGGAUUGACAUGUCUGGGCCAGAACGGGUAAGAAUUAAAAAUCUAUCCCAGGUUGCACCUAUGGUUUCCUUCUCUUGUUGUUGGAAGCUGAGAAUCUCUUGUCGUAGGGCAGCGACACGAGAUAUAGGGAAGAACGUGAGACAGAAUCUGUUCCUCAAUUCUUCCCAAUCUCCUUUCACCUUUCCUACGUUAUGGACGUACCAUUGUUUCGCCUUCUCUUCAAGAGAAAAGGGAAACAAUUUCCACCUAAGGGUUUCUUGCAACAUACCCGAAAUUGUCAGGCAUGCACAGAGUUGCUCAAACUCCCUUAAAUGAUGAUAUGGAUUUUCAUAAUCUAGGCCUGAGAAGGUUUGUUCCCGAACCAUGGCUAUAAAGCCAGGACAGAGCUCAUAACUUGAAGCUGUGAUUGGCUUUGACGAUUAUGGUGGUUCUACGAGCUCGCCCUUAGGAGCAGAGAGUUGGGAGAUGAUACACGGGCAACUAGGUUCGACUCAAAAACGACAGCCGUUCCCCGGCAACGGCGCCAGAAAUGCUUGUUGGUAUUUCUUAGCGAUGCAGCCAAUUAUCUGCAAGCGCACGGAAGUACCGUUGUAGCACUUCACCCGGUGGUAUUCAGGGUGUCGAGAUUUCACAGGGAAUGGAGGUGUUUUGAGACUUAAACUAAGUGUACCCUAGAGUAAAGUGAGAGGGAUGAUAUAACAAAUCCAAAUUUUUGAAUUUCAAAUUUAGUUUAAAUUUGAUUUAAUUUUGGCUCAAUUUGAAUUUUUGGGAAAUAUUAAAUAAUUUACAAAAUUAAUUAAAAUAAAAUAUAAGGUAGAAACGUGUUUGAUUUUUUUUGCAUUCAUGCUGCUGCAUAAUUUUGCUUGAUUUUAUUUAUUUUUGCUGAUGCUUGUUUUGUUUUGUUUUGGAGCAAGAAAAUUUUAAAAGAAAAAAAAGAAAAAUGGGCAGCGCCUCCCCCCCCCCCUUCUCCCAGCAGCGGCCCAGCCGCAGAGCCCGCGGCGCCCCCUGCCCCUGCCCCCGCCUGGGCCGACUAUCGGCCCAGCACCCCGCGCCCCUGCGCGCCCAAGUGGGCCGCGGCCCAGCCGCACGGCAGCAGCGCCCCUGCCCCUGCUCUCUCUGCCGCCCGCUGACUGGUGGGCCCCGCAGGUGGGACCCACCUGUCAUCACCCACCUCCGGCCGAGACGGACUCGGGGGCGCACCACCGCCCCGGUUUCCGCGCUUGGCGNNNNNNNNNNNNNNNNNNNNNNNNNNNNNNNNNNNNNNNNNNNNNNNNNNNNNNNNNNNNNNNNNNNNNNNNNNNNNNNNNNNNNNNNNNNNNNNNNNNNNNNNNNNNNNNNNNNNNNNNNNNNNNNNNNNNNNNNNNNNNNNNNNNNNNNNNNNNNNNNNNNNNNNNNNNNNNNNNNNNNNNNNNNNNNNNNNNNNNNNNNNNNNNNNNNNNNNNNNNNNNNNNNNNNNNNNNNNNNNNNNNNNNNNNNNNNNNNNNNNNNNNNNNNNNNNNNNNNNNNNNNNNNNNNNNNNNNNNNNNNNNNNNNNNNNNNNNNNNNNNNNNNNNNNNNNNNNNNNNNNNNNNNNNNNNNNNNNNNNNNNNNNNNNNNNNNNNNNNNNNNNNNNNNNNNNNNNNNNNNNNGCCCCGUCGAGCUCCCCGGCCGCGGCCAUGGCGCGCCGCCGCGGCCCAGCCCCGCCUGCUCGCCUCGCCAAGGGCGCGGUCCACCGUGGACCGCGACCCCAGUGCCCGCACGGCCGGUCCACUGGACCGGGUCCACGCCGCCCCCGCCCCUCCCCCGGUAUAUCAUGAACUGGUGUACCGUCCCCCUCCUCCCGGUCCACAGCGCCGCCAUGGACCGGGUCAUUCACGCGCUGCCACGUGGCCAGGCCGGCCACGGUCCCCGCGAGCCCCUGCGUUUUUGCAAAAACCCCCCCGGCUUUCCUUAAAAUCAACCCGCACUCCACCCAGUUAUAGAUUUAUUUAAAUUGAGCCCCUGGUUUUUGCAGUAUAGCCCCCAUAGCCGUUGGUUUUUAUAUAUUUAAUCCAAAAUGAGUUUUAAUUCAGUUUUAAUUAUUUUUAAUUACGAAAAAUAGUUCAGUAUAUCUGCAGAAAUGCCAUUCAACUUGUUUUAGCCAUAACUUUUGCAUCGUAACUCCGAUUUAGGUGAUUGUGGUCGCUAUGGUUUCGUUUCAUCGAGUAGAAUACAGUAGUGCAGUUGCUUUAUGCUUUCGCAUGCUUUGGUGUACUGUUUCUGAUUAAGUUUGUUUGCUUGCAUGUGUUGUUCCUAUGAUUGAUGAUUGUCGCGUUUAGCCAACGAGACAUUCGUGAAGGAAGAGGUACAGGAUCCCGCUGAGUUCGAGCAACCCGACUUCGAUCAAGGCAAGUGCAGACACCGUUUGAUCAUUUUGAACCUACUCAUUAAUGUCAUUUACUUUAUAUGCAUGUGUCCAAUGAAUGCAAACCCUAAGGACAUGACUAGCUUUAUUUAUUAUUCCUUGCUCACCUGGGGUUAUGUAUUUGGGUAGACUAGGCUAUACUAGGUUUGCUUAGCUGCUCUACUCAUCUUAUACACAUGCCUAAACAAGUAUUAGUCUCUACUCAACUUGAUGCUUAAAUUGUGCUGAAUCUUUGGUCACUGCGGUGAUGGCGAUGUUGGAUGCUUAUGAGCAUCGUGAUGAUGGUGGUGACAGGGGGAGCGGGUACCGUUGGUGGUCCCGUUUGCCGGGCGUACCCGUCUCUGCUCUCCGUAAGGACUUAGUCAGGGAGCGGCCCCCUGGGACUUACAGUGCAGCUCCAAGCUAUAUGGCUCUGGCUUGACUAAUUAGCAGGACCUCCACUAGUAGGGUGUUACUUUCCGGGUAGGCGUGAGGAAGUAACUUGGGUAAUGAAUAUUAAGUUGUCGGUUGAUCGGUACGCCAUGGCUAUGGGUAUCGACUGCCGAGCGCCCCGGCAAAAACUUGCGAGUGGCAUCCUAUUAGUUGGACCCUGUGAAAGGUCUCGUAGUGAGACCCUACCUGCUCACCUUGGAAGUGUUUUGGGGAGUCGCGACCCCGGGCAAAUGGGAAUCAUGACUUGGAGUGAACGUGCACACAUCUGCAGAGUGUAAAACUGAUAUAUCAGCCGUGCUCACGGUCACGAGCGGCCCAGACCCUCACUUGAUGAGCAAAUUGGAUUCACUGGUUACUUAGACAUGGACCUUGGCGAGGUUGCUACCUUGUGAUUUUGGCGGAAUGGCUAUUCCGUGUUGGCAGGAUUGCUAUCCUGUGUUAAUAAUUGGGGUGAAUCCCUGGAUUACUAUAAUAAUUAGGAUAGUCUUCUAAAAGAUGUUAAUUACUACUUACACUAAAUAAGGGUUGGGUUUAUGCUACUCAUAAUUAGUAAUAGGUUGUUCUAAUAAUAGUCAUAACUAAAAGUGUUCAACUAAAAUGCUACCGCAGUCAAACCAAGUCAGCUUUACCUUGUUUUAAGCCUUGCAUGUCAUUACUUUCCGUCUGUGCUUGCUGAGUUCGACAUGAGCUCACCCUUGCUAUAAUCAUUAAAGGUUGCUCGGACGAUCAGGAGUACAAUUGUGAUUUCCCUGAGGACUACCCUGAGUCUCCCGGUUGUUAGGCUCGUGUGGUUCUACCGUCGACCUUCCUGUGGCAAGGUGGUCCUGCUACGUCGGCGUUUAGUUUUCCCUUUAUUUAUGGAACAGUUUAGUUUAUGUUUCCCCUCCGCACUUUGAUAAACAUUUGGCUUGUAAUAAUGGUACUUUUACUCUCAUUUAUGUAAUUCGUUUGAACACUGUGUUUUGUACCAUUGAUGAUGUCGGUCCAUGUGUGUGAAUUUGAGAUCCUGGCGCACAUGUGAUUUGACACCCGAAUGCUCUCUUACAUCCGGGUGUGACAGAAGUGGUACCAAAGCCGUGUUGACCGUAGGAUCACGUAGCCUAGUUAGAAACAGCCGUUUAGAUUGUCCCUUUUGGGUGGAAUACACCAUUGGAUCUAUUAACUACCUUACUAACCUGUCUCAUUAGACUUUAUCUAUUGGCCUUAUCUACUUACUUUUACUAACAGCUAGGUUUAUUCACUUACUUCCUGCAUUUAUUACCUUGUUAUCAUUUAUUGCUUUCUAUUUCUCAUAUUGCAUUUAUAUUCUUGUUUCAACUUUUACUACUUGUUAUUUGAACCUUUCUUUUCUACCUUGUCAUUUAUUAUCAUUCUACUCAUAUUACCUUCUUGUUCCUUGUUUUUCAUUUAUUACUUGAGUUAUGUUUUAUUUCUGUCUUGACAAUAAAUUUCAUUACCUUGUUUUCACUUUAUACCUUCAUUACUUGCUUUUAUAUCUUACCAUAAAUACCAACAAAGUUCAUAUUGUCCAUCCAUUGUAUAAUCUUGGUUCAUCUUCAUUACACAUACACUUUUACCUUCAUUUAUGUUAUUCAUUUACCUAUCAUUGUCAUGAUCUAUUAACCGUUUCCUGCAUGUCUAUGAUCUUAUGCAUAAGUAGAUGACUCGCCACCUGACCUGCCGCAAGAGCGUUAUUCGUUUCCGCCCCGUUCAAGCUGUGGAGUUCUCGUUGACUGGUCGCGUGGAUAACAUCGUGUUCCAGCCUAACCAGCAUCUUGAUGACGGUGCUAACCUCCAAGACGCGGAACCCUAUGAAGGACAGCAACCACCUCAAGCUCUGGUGGUGCAUGGAAGGGCGCCUUGCUGGGCACCUGGAGGAGAUGAUCCCUUCGGUGAUGAUGACAUGGAUGAUGAUGAUGAGGAUGAUGAUGAUGAGGAUGCACCUGGAGGACCCGGAGGACCCGGUGGACCUGGAGGACCUGGAGGUCAAGAUGGACUUUUUGCUGCUGAUGAUGGGUGGAUUGUGACAGUCUGCACCAGGGAUGGUGGAGAGUGUUUCUUCCACAGCGAGCUGAAGCGUCUCCUUGACCAGCAGCUGGGACAUGGCAUGUUCUCAGUGGAGUACCGCAGUGAGCACUGGAGUCACCCAGACUACCCGGCGUACUGGAAGGUCUGGGCACACGUCGGCAGGCCUAACCCGACGUUGAGGGCACUGAGGAUCAUGUCCAUACAUGAGGCUGUGGCUGAGAGGUCUACCCAGAUGGCGGGCAUUAAUGAUGCUGCUCGCCAGGCUUUCUACGCAUACCGUGAUCACUUCUUCGAGGAGAUCAGCCAGGAUGAGCGUCGCUACUACCCUCGCCGUCGCCGUGGAGAGUUGGCGAUGACUAUUGCUUCCACCACUGAUGAGCAAGACCCCCGCGUGCACAGGACUGUCAAGCUGGUGGCGGUCACUAACACCGAGCUCAACAGUUCACUAGUGGAGAUGAAGCAAGUCAGGAAGGAGCUGGACGACGCCAGGAAGAGGAUAGCGCAGCUGGAGGCUCAGAUCACUGGAGUGCCACCGCCGUCACCUAAGUGGCCUGCUUUCUCUCCGCCUUGUGAAGAUCCAGCCUAUGGAGAUGCCAGCGCUCGUACUACUAUAGAAUAGGAGCUAUUCCCAGUUUAGUAAUAAAUAGUGCCACGCUUAGAACGUUAGCACGAUCUUAGUUAUGUGAGUCUAUUGCUUAGUGGUUUGCUUAGUGUGCUUUGCUUGGUCUGUGUGAGAACUUGAUUUAUUAUUGUGUUAAUGGUGUGAUUUGGUUCUUUGUAAUGAGUGCGAUGAGUUGUGGGUUAUGUCCACAACGCAUCAAGAACAAGAUUAAGUAUUAAGUUUAUUUGAGAUAGUUAGUUUGGGUUAUCAUCGGUCUCCUUUAUUUGUGCUUUAUCAUAUUUCAUAAUCGCUUUAUCUUAUCAGUCUUACUUUAUCAUGAUCAGUUCAGUAUCUAUAUAUUACAUCUGUUGUGAGUACUGUGUUUAUCAACUGAGAAAGGAAAGUGAAUAUCAGCUGGUUCAUACUGUGAGGAAAGAUUUUCACAUUGCAGUUUACAUUACAGCUCAGGUUUACACAUAUGAACUACAUCUGAUUUUAUUAUAUUAUUUCUAUACAUCAGAUGCCUGUCCACACCAGGAGCAACACCAAUGGUGGAAACAACGGGCAGUCCAACAACAACAACAAUGAUCACAGCGGGACUAAUGCCAACCCUCCUCCUCCUGGGAAUCAGCCCAUGACCAUAGAGCAGUUGAUGACUAUGCAGACUCAACUGAUGCAAGGGAUGGCUCAUAUUAUGAACCACAUGCAGCAGAACCAAAACCAGAAUCAGAACCAACAUCAAGGAGGUAACAACGCGUUUGCCCCACCUAGGGACAAGCGUGGAGAGUUCAUGAAGGGACGUCCACCGUUCUUCUCUCACUCAGCUGAUCCUAUGCAAGCUGAGGAUUGGCUUAAAGCUGUGGAGAAGCAGCUGGUUAUUGCUCAGUGCAAUGACAGGGAGAAGGUUCUGUAUGGCUCUGGGCAGCUUCAGGGAGCCGCACAGGACUGGUGGGAUUCAUAUUGCUUUGCACAUCAGGACCCGGAUACUAUCACUUGGGAUGAGUUCAAGGUCGCCUUCAAGACUCAUCAUGUGCCUGCUGGAUUGGUGAAGUUGAAGAAGAAGGAGUUUCUGUCUCUGAAGCAGGGCUCCAUGACAGUUUGUGAGUACCGUGACAAGUUCACUCAGUUGUCGCGGUAUUGCCCCAAUGAAGUGGAGAAUGAUGAAGACAAGCAAGAUCACUUUCUGGAAGGUUUGAAUGAUGGUCUGUCCUACAUGAUGUCGAAUGUCAAGUACGCCAGUUUUCAGGAGAUGGUGGACAGGGCAUUGGUGCUUGAGAGCAAGCGCCGUAAGAUGGAGGACAAGAAGAGGAAGUAUAACUCCUCUCAGCAGCAGGCUGGUGCCAGUCGUCCCCGCUACAACAACCAGCAGGGCCCUCAGUCUCGCCCCGCAUAUCAGUCUGGUAACCAAGGACAGCAACAGAAUGUCAGGUACAGCAACCAGAGUCAGCAGACGAGCCAGCGCUACAACAACAACCAAGUGCAGCGCCCCGCUAGUCAGGCGCCUCGCCAGAAUGCCCCAGCACCAUCAGGCUCUCGCCAGAACUCCAACACUGUCCCAAUGAAGCCCAAUGUCAACCCCGCCCCCACUAGAAAUACCUGCUUCAAGUGUGGUCAGCCUGGACACUACGCGAAUGCUUGCCCCCAGAGGCAGAAGAAUAACAACAACAAUGGAAGGGUGAAUCAUGUGAAGCUGGAAACUGCUGAGGAGGCUCCAGAUGUGGUAGUUGGUAUGUUUCUUGUCAACUCUUGCCCAACUACUGUUUUGUUUGAUACUGGAGCAUCACAUACUUUUAUAAGUGCACAAUUUGUUGAGAAACAUAGUAUAGCCACCUGUACCAUGCAAAACACCAUGCUAGUUAAAUCACCUGGGGGAAAGAUGCAUACUAAUACUUUGUGUCUGGGAAUGAGCAUUAAAAUAAGGGGGGUAGAUUUUCCUGUCAAUCCCAUUGUGUUGGGUUCAGAAGGUUUAGAUAUGAUAUUGGGAAUGAGAUGGUUGUCCAAGUUUAAGGGUACUAUUCAGUGUGCUGAGAAGACAGUGGCUCUAACAGCACCUAGUGGGAACAGAAUUGAGGUCAGAGUUUCUAUGUCACCUAGCAGUGAAGGAACAGUUUACCAUGUGAGCAGUGGGUCAGUAGAAGACAUUCGAGUUGUGAAAGAGUUCCCUGAUGUGUUCCCAGAGGAUUUGCCAGGUAUGCCACCUGAACGUGAGAUUGAAUUUGUUAUUGAUUUAUUACCUGGUACUGCACCCAUAUCUAAGAGACCUUAUAGAAUGGCUGUUAAUGAGUUAGAAGAACUUAAGAAACAACUAAGGGAGUUACAGUCUAAGGGGUAUAUCCGUCCUAGUUCCUCACCUUGGGGAGCUCCAGUUAUCUUUGUAGAGAAGAAGGAUGGGACACAGAGGAUGUGUGUAGACUAUAGAUCUUUGAAUGAGGUCACAAUUAAGAAUAAAUACCCGUUGCCUAGAAUAGAGGACCUAUUUGACCAGUUGAAAGGAGCUUGUGUGUUUUCCAAGAUAGAUCUGAGGUCAGGAUAUCACCAGUUGAGGAUUAAACCCAGUGAUAUUCCAAAGACUGCUUUCACCACCAGAUAUGGACUUUAUGAAUAUACAGUUAUGUCUUUUGGAUUGACUAAUGCCCCAGCUUACUUUAUGUAUCUGAUGAAUAAAGUUUUUAUGGAGUAUUUGGAUAAGUUUGUGGUAGUCUUUAUUGAUGAUAUCUUGAUCUACUCCAAGAAUGAGGAAGAACAUGAGGAACACCUAAGACUUGUGUUGCAGAAAUUGAGGGAACAUCAGCUCUAUGCCAAGUUGAGUAAAUGUGACUUCUGGUUGAAGGAAGUGUCUUUUCUUGGUCAUGUCAUUUCAAAUGGUGGAGUUGCUGUUAGUCCGAAGAAUGUGGCAGAUGUUCUUAAGUGGAGUCCACCUCAGACUGUUGGGGAGAUCAGAAGUUUUCUUGGAAUGGCCGGUUACUAUCGGAGAUUCAUUGAGGGAUUUUCCAGUAUUGCCAAGCCCAUGACUGCUUUGUUAGAGAAGGGUAAGCCAUUCAAGUGGAAUGAACAGUGUCAGGCUGGUUUUGAGGAAUUGAAGAAGAGGUUGACUACUGCACCAAUUUUGACUUUGCCAGAUGUGACUAAAAGCUUUUCUAUCUAUUGUGAUGCUUCCAAGCAAGGUUUGGGAUGUGUACUGAUGCAAGAGGGAAAGGUGAUUGCCUAUGCAUCUAGACAGUUGAAGAAACACGAGGUGAAUUAUCCAACUCAUGAUCUUGAGUUAGCAGCUGUGGUCCAUUCACUGAAGAUCUGGAGACACUAUAUUCUGGGUCAUAAGUGUGAUAUCUACACGGAUCACAAGAGUCUGAAAUACAUCUUCACUCAGAAUGACUUAAACUUGAGACAGAGAAGAUGGUUAGAGUUGAUCAAGGACUAUGAACUGGAGAUUCAUUACCACCCUGGCAAAGCUAAUGUAGUUGCUGACGCUCUGAGUAGAAAGAGUCAAGUGAAUAUGAUGGAAGCCACGGAGUUACCGAUGGAACUACUGGCAGAAUUUGAGUAUCUCAAUUUGGGGUUUGUUGCUAAUACCCAAGGUACUUCCAUGGACAUAGAACCAACUCUUGAGCAAGAGAUCAGAAAAGGUCAGAAAGAGGAUGAAGAGAUCAAAAAGAUACUUAAGCUGAUAGAGGAAGGUAGAGCACCUGGAUUCAAAGUUGAUCAAGAAGGGAUUGUUUGGCACAAGGACCGAUUGUGUGUCCCUAAUAUUCAGAGUAUUAAGGAUGUGAUACUGAAGGAGUGCCAUGAAUCUGCUUACUCUAUUCAUCCAGGAGGUACUAAGAUGUAUCAGGACUUGAAGCAAAACUAUUGGUGGCCUGGUAUGAAGAAAGAUAUUGGUGAAUAUGUGGCAUUGUGUGACACCUGUCAGAGAGUGAAAGCGGAACAUCAGAGGCCAGCAGGGUUGUUGCAACUGUUGAAGAUACCUGAGUGGGAGUGGGAUGAGAUCAGCAUGGACUUCAUAGUGGGAUUGCCGAAAACUCAACGAGGUUAUGACUCAAUAUGGGUUGUAGUAGAUCGAUUGACCAAGGUAGCUCAUUUCAUACCGGUCAGAACUAACUACCGUGGAGAUCAGUUAGCAGAAAAGUAUAUGGAACGGAUUGUGUGUCUGCAUGGAGUUCCUAAGAGGAUUGUGUCUGAUAGAGGUACACAGUUUACAUCAAAGUUUUGGGAGAAGCUACAUGAUGCUUUGGGAACCGAGCUCAGAUUCAGUACUGUUUAUCACCCUCAGUCCGAUGGUCAGACAGAGAGAGUCAACCAGAUAGUAGAGGAUAUGCUCAGGUCUUGUGCUUUACAGUAUGGGGAUAGUUGGGAUGCUAGUUUGCCCUACGCUGAGUUCUCCUAUAACAACAGUUAUCAGACUAGUCUUAAGAUGACUCCUUUUGAAGCCUUGUAUGGAAGGAAGUGUAGGACUCCAUUGUUCUGGAACCAGACUGGUGAAAGGCAAGUGUUCGGCCCUGAUUCAUUGAGAAUAGCCGAAGAAAGGGUUCAGUUCAUCCGACAGACUCUGAAGGCAGCUCAGUCUAGACAGAAGAGUUAUGCUGAUGUGAGACGAAGGGAACUUGUAUUUCAGGCAGGUGAUUAUGUAUACCUGAAAGUGUCUCCGAUGAGGGGUCUAAAGAGGUUCAAUGUCAAGGGAAAGCUAGCUCCAAGAUAUGUUGGUCCUUUCAAGAUCUUGGAAAGAAAAGGAGAAGUGGCUUAUGAGCUUGAAUUGCCUGCCAGCUUAUCCAAUGUGCACAAUGUCUUCCAUGUCUCCCAAUUCAAGAAAUGUUUGAGAGUGCCUAAGGAACAGUUGCCACUAGAGGAACUGGAUCUACAGGAGGAUCUAACUUAUGAAGAGAGCCCUAUCAAAGUCCUGGACACAGCAGAGAGAAUUACCAGGAGUAAAACUAACAGGAUGUGUAAAGUACAAUGGAAACACCAUUCCGAGGAAGAAGCAACCUGGGAAAGAGAAGAUGAUCUAAUAUCCAAAUACCCUCAGUUAUUCCUGGUUCAUCCUAAUCUCGGGGACGAGAUUCUUUUAAGGGGGGUAGGUUUAUAACACUCCAAAUUUUUGAAUUUCAAAUUUAGUUUAAAUUUGAUUUAAUUUUGGCUCAAUUUGAAUUUUUGGGAAAUAUUAAAUAAUUUACAAAAUUAAUUAAAAUAAAAUAUAAGGUAGAAACGUGUUUGAUUUUUUUUGCAUUCAUGCUGCUGCAUAAUUUUGCUUGAUUUUAUUUAUUUUUGCUGAUGCUUGUUUUGUUUUGUUUUGGAGCAAGAAAAUUUUAAAAGAAAAAAAAAGAAAAAUGGGCAGCGCCUCCCCCCCUUCUCCCAGCAGCGGCCCAGCCGCACAGCCCGCGGCGCCCCCUGCCCCUGCCCCCGCCUGGGCCGACUAUCGGCCCAGCACCCCGCGCCCCUGCGCGCCCAAGUGGGCCGCGGCCCAGCCGCACGGCAGCAGCGCCCCUGCCCCUGCUCUCUCUGCCACCCGCUGACUGGUGGGCCCCGCAGGUGGGACCCACCUGUCAUCACCCACCUCCGGCCGAGACGGACUCGGGGCGCAACCACCGCCCCGGUUUCCGCGCUUGGCGCCUCUAUCCGAACCGUGCGCGCCUCCCAAUGAUCACCGCCGCCUAUUUAAGUGCCCCCGCGUCCGCGUUCGCGACCCCCUAGAACCCUAGCCGCCUCAAAACACGUCGCAAAGCCCCUGCUCGAGCUCGAUCUCGCCGGACUCGCGCCGCUGCCGUCGUGCUUCCCAUCGCCGUCGUCUUUUCGCCAAGGUGAGGACCGCCGCGAGUGCGCAAGGUCGCGACGAGCUCGAAGACGCCCUCGGCACGCCCCCUCUCCCUCCCGUGCACGCGCCCUCGCUCACCUGAAUUAGCCGCCGCCGCCGCAUAGCGCCGCCGCGUGGCCCGUGCACUCCGGCCAUGCCCAGCCGCCGCCGUCGCGCGCAGCCCGCCCACGCGCUCCGCGUGCUUCCCCGCGCCGCGUAUCGCCGCCCCGUCGAGCUCCCCGGCCGCGGCCAUGGCGCGCCGCCGCGGCCCAGCCCCGCCUGCUCGCCUCGCCAAGGGCGCGGUCCACCGUGGACCGCGACCCCAGCGCCCGCACGGCCGGUCCACUGGACCGGGUCCACGCCGCCCCCGCACCUCACCCGGUCCACCAUGGACCGGUGGACCGCCCCCCCUCCUCCCGGUCCACAGCGCCGCCAUGGACCGGGCCAUUCACGCGCUGCCACGUGGCCAGGCCGGCCACGGUCCCCGCGAGCCCCUGCGUUUUUGCAAAAACCCCCCCGGCUUUCCUUAAAAUCAACCCGCACUCCACCCAGUUAUAGAUUUAUUUAAAUUGAGCCCCUGGUUUUUGCAGUAUAGCCCCCAUAGCCGUUGGUUUUUAUAUAUUUAAUCCAAAAUGAGUUUUAAUUCAGUUUUAAUUAGUUUUAAUUACGAAAAAUAGUUCAGUAUAUCUGCAGAAAUGCCAUUCAACUUGUUUUAGCCAUAACUUUUGCAUCGUAACUCCGAUUUAGGUGAUUCUGGUCGCUAUGGUUUCGUUUCAUCGAGUAGAAUACAGUAGUGCAGUUGCUUUAUGCUUUCGCAUGCUUUGGUGUACUGUUUCUGAUUAAGUUUGUUUGCUUGCAUGUGUUGUUCCUAUGAUUGAUGAUUGUCGCGUUUAGCCAACGAGACGUUCGUGAAGGAAGAGGUACAGGAUCCCGCUGAGUUCGAGCAACCCGACUUCGAUCAAGGCAAGUGCAGACACCGUUUGAUCAUUUUGAACCUACUCAUUAAUGUCAUUUACUUUAUAUGCAUGUGUCCAAUGAAUGCAAACCCUAAGGACAUGACUAGCUUUAUUUAUUAUUCCUUGCUCACCUGGGGUUAUGUAUUUGGGUAGACUAGGCUAUACUAGGUUUGCUUAGCUGCUCUACUCAUCUUAUACACAUGCCUAAACAAGUAUUAGUCUCUACUCAACUUGAUGCUUAAAUUGUGCUGAAUCUUUGGUCACUGCGGUGAUGGCGAUGUUGGAUGCUUAUGAGCAUCGUGAUGAUGGUGGUGACAGGGGGAGCGGGUACCGUUGGUGGUCCGGUUUGCCGGGCGUACCCGUCUCUGCUCUCCGUAAGGACUUAGUCAGGGAGCGGCCCCCUGGGACUUACAGUGCAGCUCCAAGCUAUAUGGCUCUGGCUUGACUAAUUAGCAGGACCUCCACUAGUAGGGUGUUACUUUCCGGGUAGGCGUGAGGAAGUAACUUGGGUAAUGAAUAUUAAGUUGUCGGUUGAUCGGUACGCCAUGGCUAUGGGUAUCGACUGCCGAGCGCCCCGGCAAAAACUUGCGAGUGGCAUCCUAUUAGUUGGACCCUGUGAAAGGUCUCGUAGUGAGACCCUGCCUGCUCACCUUGGAAGUGUUUUGGGGAGUCGCGACCCCGGGCAAAUAGGAAUCACGACUUGGAGUGAACGUGCACACCUCUGCAGAGUGUAAAACUGAUAUAUCAGCCGUGCUCACGGUCACGAGCGGCCCAGACCCUCACUUGAUGAGCAAAUUGGAUUCACUAGUUACUUGGACAUGGACCUUGGCGAGGUUGCUACCUCGUGAUUUUGGCGGAAUGGCUAUUCCGUGUUGGCAGGAUUGCUAUCCUGUGUUAAUAAUUGGGGUGAAUCCCUGGAUUACUAUAAUAAUUAGGAUAGUCUUCUAAAAGAUGUUAAUUACUACUUACACUAAAUAAGGGUUGGGUUUAUGCUACUCAUAAUUAGUAAUAGGUUGUUCUAAUAAUAGUCAUAACUAAAAGUGUUCAACUAAAAUGCUACCGCAGUCAAACCAAGUCAGCUUUACCUUGUUUUAAGCCUUGCAUGUCAUUACUUUCCGUCUGUGCUUGCUGAGUUCGACAUGAGCUCACCCUUGCUAUAAUCAUUAAAGGUUGCUCGGACGAUCAGGAGUACAAUUGUGAUUUCCCUGAGGACUACCCUGAGUCUCCCGGUUGUUAGGCUCGUGUGGUUCUACCGUCGACCUUCCUGUGGCAAGGUGGUCCUGCUACGUCGGCGUUUAGUUUUCCCUUUAUUUAUGGAACAGUUUAGUUUAUGUUUCCCCUCCGCACUUUGAUAAACAUUUGGCUUGUAAUAAUGGUACUUUUACUCUCAUUUAUGUAAUUCGUUUGAACACUGUGUUUUGUACCAUUGAUGAUGUCGGUCCAUGUGUGUGAAUUUGAGAUCCUGGCGCACAUGUGAUUUGACACCCGAAUGCUCUCUUACAUCCGGGUGUGACAGAUUUCUUAGGUAGUGAGGUUCUCCUAAUGGAAGAAGUUUUGUGCAAGGCAACGUGCUUUUCUAAUCUUACUUCAGGCACCGGAGCGUACCUGGUCUGCCAGGUAAUACCGGCGUGUAGCUCUACGCCGUAUCCGGACAUGGGGGAAACUAAGGACAAACAGGGCUGUCACCACCUGCUGCCGACCCCUCAACCGUGGGAUACGAGGCAAACGAGGGUAACCUCUAACCUAGACACCACGUCUACGUUAUUAGCUACUACUCUAGCGUUGCACAGGUCCUCCCGCCAGCCAGCAAGAGUCCCUCUACUAGAGUAUCUACCGAGAGAUAGACAAUGAACCCGCAAGAUUAUAAGAACACGAUAACGAUUACUCAAUAACUUCUUAGAACAAAAGAAGAAAACAACCUUUUCUUAGCCCAAUAUGGUAUUCCAGGUUGUAGAGAUACAGCUCAGGAAGCGGGCAGCACUUCGGCCCUUCCGCCAGUGCAACUAGGGGAACGGACCGGGUGCUUGCUACUUCUCUUACUCUACACUCUAACUCACUCUCCUAUUCUAUUCCUAACUAGAGGCUAAGGAUAUGAGUGGAAGCUCCGCCUCUCUAUUACUACUCUUGUAUCUCUCUUUAUUCUUGUGGACUUGAAGCUUGAAUGGAUUGAAUGAUGAUGAAUGAGAGGCCCUCUCCCCCUCCUUAUAUAGGUGUGGAAGGUCGGUUUGGGAGGGGGUAAACUGCAAAAUGCAGUCGGGAACCGCGCUAGGGCUUCGCAAGCACCGCCUCUGCAAAAGGCGGUGGGGAGCUGGUGAAAGUUCCUUGUUUGGUUUUGGUAAUUGAGUGACAACUUAGGUGGACUAAUAGUGUUUAUGUGAGAUACACAGGAGAUUAGUCCACAGGUGAUGAUGUGAUUGCACAUGAGACAUGACAUGGAGUCAUGUGACCAAGGUGGAGAAGAUCAAGAUGAGGCUUGGCUUGAUGGACCGGUCGCAAGAGUGAAGGGCAAGUCGGAGGCUUUGAAGCGAGGGACCGCGUGUGACGGUGAAGCUUGAGCAAGACUUGGCGCCGAUGGAACGAGGCAACGGUGAAGAGCAAGUGAGGUCAAGAUCGAUGAACCAAUACGGUCACGUGAUGAUAUGAAGUGGAUCAUAUCAUUUGGUGAUUGGUUGGUGCAUGUGUUGCAUCAACAUUGGAGGAGAUGGAAUGGAAAGCGCAAGGCAAAGGUACAACCUAGGGAUUUUCCAUUUCACCGGUCAUAGGUGUGUAGAGAAGUUUAUGACCGGAUUUAGGAUAGAUGGCCGUACUAUCAAGAGGGGCAAACUUGUUUGCAUAUCGGUCAUCUAGUGCCACUUGAGCGAUCUAACUUUGCAUACGUGUUAGGAUCGAGUGGCGUGGCAUGUUGAGAGGCUAACCUCUUUGGGAAAAUGUUUGUGAAAAUGCUAACACACUUGCACAUGGUGGUGUACACUUGGUGGUGUUCGGCGCUUUUGAGAAAAUUAAGUGUAUAUUUUCUAUUGCACCGGUGGGAAAUUUUGGAGAAGUCACGGGAGUGUUUUUCACUGAGAAACACUCACCGGACGCUCUGCGCGGAGGCACCGGACGCUGGCCUUUAGCGUCCGAUGUGCUGUCGGGUGUAGCAAAGUGCACCGGACGCGCCGGAGAGAGUCCGGUGCUCAGCGUCCGGUGUGCGGGCUGUUUGGCGACCCUCUCUACGCAUGAGUCCGGUGAGCACCGGACGCUCAGGGUGCGUCCGAUGGCUUGCGUCCGGUGACCGUGCGACUUUGCGGAGCUCUCUGCGCAUGCGUCCGGUGUGCACCGGACGCGUCCGGUGUGACGCAGUAGAGCGUCCGGUGGUGCUGUGCAGGCACGCGUGCGCAGUAGCCGUUGGCGACAAUGGUCGUUUUCAAACGGCUAGUGACACGUGGCUGACGCCUGAGCACCGGACGCUAGGUGUUGAGCGUCCGAUGGCUCCCUGUGAUCGUCCGGUGCCCACGUGUUUUGCCCAGUGAAGGGGUAACGGCUAGUUUAGCCCUUGGGGCUAUAAAUAGAAGUUGUGGCCAGCCUUGGCUGGUGCUGAGCACCCUUGGGACUUAGUGUCCAUGCUUGGGGAGUGCUAGGAAAGCCUCUAACUCACUUGUGCUUGCAAGAGUGCGAAUCAAUAGCGAGUGAGUGAUUCUAGUGUGUUGCAUUGAGAGAUUGCAUCGAGUGGCACUAGGUGUUCGUAUUGCAAGCCGGUGGUGCUUGUUACUCUUGGAGGUUGCCACCUCCUAGACGGCUUGGUGGCUUGUGACUCCGUCGAAGCACGCAAGGAGAUUGUGCGGUGCUCCGAAGAAGACAUUGUGAGGGGUAUGGUGCUCACCCCGCAGGGAUCGCGAAGAGCAACUCUAGUUGAGCGAGAUGUGAAUAGCAACAAGUGGUCCGGCCAGGUCAAGUGCUAGAGCUUGUGGUAAGCACUCCACGUGGGAGAGUGUGACUUGCGGGUCACCACUAGCAAGAGGACCGGCGGCAACCUUGGAGCUCGUCUCAACGGGGACGUAGCUUGGUGGCAACCAAGUGAACCUCGGGAGAAAAUCAUCGUGUCAACAUUGUUCUUCCCGUUGGUUUGCAAGUCCCUAACACAAGCUUGUUCUUACGUUCAUAUACUUGUGCUUGUGUAGUUGCUCUUGUAAUUAGUUAGCUUGUGUAGCUUGCUAGUUACCUUCUUGCUUGUGUAGCUAGAACUAGUUCCCUUGCGUGACUAAUUUGGUUUGUGUAACCUUGUUAGUCACAUUGCUUAGUUUGUGUAGCUAAGUAAGUUGCGCUCUCUAAUUUGGCAUUAGUUGCCUUGUUAUUGAGCUUGCUAGUGAGCUUAGGCUUUGUGCGCUUUGCCUCACUAGUUUGAGUAGGAGCUCCCCCGGUUUGCAAAGUACUAGUUGCAUAGGUUUGUGUGAUCUUGCUCCUAGAAUUGGUUAGGUGAGCUCUUGCUAAGGUAGCACCUUGGUUGCUUGUUUAGGAUCUUUUCAAGGUGCUAGAGAACUUAGAUAGAGGGGUGUAGUCUUGGCUAGACCGAUAGUUUUAAUUCCGCAUUUGUUUUCGGUUAGCCGGCGUAAUAACUUUUAGAAAGGACUAUUCACCCCCCUCUAGUCCGCCAUCUCGACCCUUCAGCUGGGCCAGGCCGGGGUCGGUCGACCCUAGGGGGCGGCCGCCCCCUGGCUGGCUCCUUUGGCCCAGGCCCAAAGCCCAGACGAUGCUCCUCAGCCUUCUGAGUUUGAAUCCAAUAGCAUUUCGAUGCACUUCUGUAUUUGAAUUAAAUGUGCCUUCAAUUCUUUGAAUUUGGCAGCUCAAACCCUAGUGUCCUGUAUACACAUGUGUUCACAAAAACUGUGGCAUUUGGUUAGCAUAAAAAGCCCUAUUUCUAAUGUUUGGUGAUAUUUUAUAGAGUUUGUAUGCAUGUUGGCGGUAUGAAAAGUGUAUUUUAAGAAACGCCAACAUACCCCUAAUUCUAUUGUCGUACACUUGUCCAUUUUUACCUCUCGUCUCACUUUUUCUUUUCUUCAAGGUUCCGGGCACUUGCCCCUUUUUAUUUCCUCGUAUCCUCUUCAUUUUUUAGAGCACUCAUCUCCUUAAAUAAUAUAGCAAGUGGUAGUAACCAAGAUAACUCGAGCAUUUAUUUCACAUGGGAAAACAGGGAUAGGAAAAAGUUUUUUGGCUAUUCUCUCCUUGAUAGGAGUAGAAUAAUUUUGGGUGAAUCUGGAGAUGGAAAUGAGUGGAUGUUUGUGGAUGCGUACUUUCAGAGUAGAAGUAGCAUGUAUGAGUGAACGUGCAAGUGAAUCUUGAUUUUGACCACAUGACAAGCUCCUAAGGGUCUACACAGCUUGACCACACUCAAUGCUCAUAAGCAGUAAAAAGUAAAUGUAUGGUUUAUAGUCUAGCAAGCAUGUAUAUAUGGCUGUGGUAGGAAUUUAAACUUUCAUCAUACAGGAACUCAUCAUGUGUUAUUUGAAAGAUUUUCAAAGAUAAAAUUCUCCAGAAUUCUAGCAUCUCAAGGAACAGAUAAACAGCAGCUCAACCUGCCCAUAUCAUAACCGUUAAGGACUUAGACUUCAGAUCAAGUACUCUUCCCACAAGUUUAGGUUUAGAGUAGGUUUAAAUAUAACAGUUAUGCCUAAACUUAAGAGAGAGCUCAAACUUGAAAACUAGGUACAUGGCAGAGCAACUAUUUAUCAUAUCCAUGUAAGAGUUUAUCAUGAGGGUUCAUAGCAAACUUUAUUUAUUUAUUUAGCAAACUAAGCAAAGAUAUAAGCACAAAAUUUUUAUUUGGGUUUCUAUGAUUAUGCAUCUCUUUUUUUAUUAUUUGAGUAAAGCAUAAACACGAGUAGAAACACUUAGCUAGAUAAAAGGGGGUGCUCUCCCCCAAGCUGGAUUUUGACGUAACUUCUUCUGAUGUAGCUAGCAGGUGGCAGAGGUGUAUUUGAAUGUCAGCAGCACCCUGACAGCGAUUAGGAUGUCCUCCGUCUGCUAGUCUUCUUUGAUCCUUGAAUUCUAUGGAGCUCAAAUAGACAACAAAGCUUUGUGGAACUGGUUAAGUGUUAGCAUAAAUAUCUAGCCUUUAUCAUGUUGAGCCUCCUCAAUAAAUGUUACUCUCUUUAGUAGGAUCAUAAAUUUAUUUUUAUAUUUUUAUUUUUCUUUUCAAGAUUGUAUGAACCUGAUUAACUAAGCAAACUAUUUUAAAUAGUUGAAAGGAAAAAGGAUAAAUACCAAGUUUACCUCUUGGCAAGGCAUUCGGUGUUUUUAAGUCCUCCGAACGGGACUCUCUAUUUUCUCAGUCGUCCUGGGAUUCGCUGGAUGGCGUAGUCGGUGGUUUCGGCGGCGCCUCUUCUUCGUGUAUAACUAUCUUCUCUCUCCACACCUGACUUGGUGCUACUAUCUCCUCAGGACAGUUCUGUUCAAGCUGUAUGUCUUCAGACCUUACCACUUCUCCUUCGUAGUCUGCCCAACCAUCCUUGAUGAUUUGCCUCCUCUGGUUGCGGUUGCGUUGUCUUCUUCUUGUCCUGACCUGCUUAGAGUCUUCAACUAUAUAGUUAGGGUCAGUAAAAUAGCGGCGUACCUUCUCAGAGGGGAAGUGCAUGUGGACUUCUUCAGUUCCAAUGUAGAUGAUUGCUUUAACAGUGCUGAGGAACGAUCUCUCAAGGAUGAUGGGUGGGUCAUACUCGUCUUCUCCCAUGUCAAUAACCUUCAACCUUUCGGAAUGUCUGAUCUGCCAUGUGGAGCUAGGUCAUCCUUUUUGGUCAGAAACUGUGACUUAAGUCGAUGAUCUUGACCUCCUUGAACUGCAGUGACCAUCUUAGCUGACUCGGUCCACAUUUGCUUGUUCCUGUUCCUCCUGUUGGUCCUCUUCCUUGGUUCAUGUCGGGAUUUCUCUGAGAUUUGUGUAGUCUUAUUCUUGAAGGAAAACGUCUUUCCUCCCCUUGAUGUAGAGACUAAUCUUGGCAGCACUGGGGCAUACAAGGUGCCAACUCGGACGCAGAGGUUCUUCAAUAUUUCCUUUGGGAAACUUUAGUGUCUGAUCGACAACCGUGGGCAUAAUGUUGACGCUGUAGCCAAAGUCGUAGAGUUCUUCAGGGAAGUCCACCAUGUUGAUGGAGAUCGGUAUGACGGAGUGUCCUGGAUCACCUCUCUGAGUAGUUAGACCUCUAUUGAUUCCAACCUUGAUUUUGUUGAGGACGGUUGUAGUAGUAGUUGUUGUUGUUGUAGUUGACGAUGUAGUUUACAUCCUUGAGCAUCUCAGGGCAGUGAUUGCCUAAGUAUCUAGUGUCUCCAGUGUGUUUGUGCUCGUAGAUCCAAGCCCUUCACUUGGUGGAGUCUGGGAGUUGUAAAACUCCUUCAGGUUUUGCUCGAAGUGUACCUGCUUAUAGAGGCAAGGCAGAGAUCAAGUGCAUGGGCCCUGUUGGUGAAAAACACCAACAGAACCAAAAGUGUAUUGGUUCUUCUCUAACCUUAAACAUAGUGAGCAAGACAAAGUUGAUGGAUAAUAAGAUCAUGAGUGUAGCGUUUAAAACAUUUGUCAGAUCAGAUCGCUCGACCUAAUGGAAAGAUAAUCUAUCUAUAUUUAUGUUUUGUUUAUAUCUUCCAAAGAUUGAAUGUGCAAUGUUUUAGCUUACUAGGAACAAAGAUUAAAGGACUAAACAUGUUGAAUUAAUUGGGUUGGUUAAUUUGGAGUUACAAAUCAUACAUGUUUGUCUCUUUAUUUUAUGUGAACGCCAGAACCAAGGAGAAGCUUAUAAAAGCGAUAGUCAAGUACCUUAAGAUGUUACCUUACUUGAAGAGUGAUGGUACAGUAUCACCAUGUGGAAGCUUUCCUUUCUUAGCGGUUGUGCAUCGUGUUUGUGGCACCCUCCAUGGAUCAUCUCUUGUGUGCUAUGCCUUCCUUGUGUAAAUUGUUAACCUUCAUGUGUCUCUCUAUUUGUCUCCCAUGUGAGUUUAUCUCAGGACUUCGCAGGUCGAUAUUGAAAGUUUUCCUCCAGGGGUUAGUCCGACAAAAUAUACCAAUGUCUACUGAAGCAGUUUUUAGUUCAGUAACCAAACUAGACUCCAUGUCUAAUCAUAUUAAGGAAGGCUAUUUAAUGUAAGCACCACGCUUAAUUUAAAUGCCAAUGGAAGUAUGUCGAGUACUUGCAAACCAACACUUGCUUGUGAAUAGACAAAGGUAGCAUGACAGCGUUUAUAGAGAUCUACUCAGGUGGAGAUGAAAAAUAAGUUUAGUGUUUAGAAAAAUUGAGCAUGCCUUAAAAGUAGGGACAACCAACAUAGCAACAUGGCAAAGGAUGUUCUUAUGUAAGGUAUUUCUCCCAAGCUUGAAUUUUGCAAAAUUCAAGAUUGGAUGAAUUUAAUUCAAUGUUGCAUGAUGAUUGGUUGGGCAUACCUUGCGCUUGUCAUUCCUCGGAUCUUCUUGCUCCAAUCCUAGAAAGGUUAGUGACACGAAUACCCGAAGGAAUAUUUCUACAAUUAUCUUUAUAUGCUCAAUACAAAAGGCAAUGUUGCAAAUAAUUAAAAGCUCAUGUUACGAUCUGAUAAGUGCUUGUGUUAGGACACUAAGCUCGUCCUUGGGAAACCAUCAAAUUAUGUUGGUAAAGUGGUUUCCCCUCCAACACCAACCUAAGUGUGCCUAUAUCAAGAUCGACUCAACAAUAUCUGCAAUAUUUAUUGUAGACACAUGCAUCGACAACCACCCUUUUAAAGUUUUUAUAAAUAGAAAGGAAGAGGGGAAUGGAGAUGUCAAAUGUGGUAAGGUUGGAGAGACCAAUUGAUUUUGGAGAUGUUUUAUAUGAGCAAGGACUUGGUGAGGUAUUUAUCAAAAAUAACUUCCAUGCUCACUGUUGUUUCUCUCAUUCUCAAACUCCAAGGAUGAUUCUUCAUGAAUGCUUAAAAUUCCUCUAGGAUUGUCUCUCAAGUUUGUUUUAUCCAUCCAUUCAAUGGUGAUAGCACAUGGAUUUUUAAAGCCCUCUAGCCAUUGAUGUUGCUCUUCUCAAUCCUCCUUGUGGUCUUGGUGACUCUUAUGCAUGGGAUGUCUAGAGAGAUUCAUAGGAUCAUCGGGAGGUUCAAGAGAAAGAGCAUAGUAGAAAUUAUUAGGCUCAAGGAUGGGUUUAAAGAUAGGUUCGUAUGAGUCAUCAAAAGUGGGCGUAGAAGGGGAGAAGAUGAGAUUGUCUUCUAAACGGCUUUGCUCUCCUUCUAUUGCAUCACUUAAGAUACCAUCCUUGAGUCUUUCUAGAUGUCCAUCAAAGGGAUUGGAUUUGAGAUGCUUUCUAAGAGAUCUCUUCUUAGGAAGGUUCAGACUAUAUGUUCUCAAAGGUCUCUUAUGAAGCAGUAAGUUUAAGCUCAUCCCAAAAUGAAUUUCCAAAGGUAGAAUUUCUUCUUCUCUUAGAUUAUUUUGGAGCACUACAAGUUUGGGUUGGAUAGCCGAAUCAUGGGAUUGAAAUGUUUGGAAAUCGGCUAUUGAAACUUCCUUUCCUCGUUUGGGAGAUGAUUCCUUCUCUAUCUCUAUGAUUUUUUUAUGAAGACUAGUGCAAGAAGGAUGUCCACAGAUGAAGACAUACCUUGCUUUACUAACAGAUAAAGAAAGAAAAACUCUACCAAAGGUUAUAUGAUUAAGACCAAUGUGAAAAUAUCGAGGAAAACAUGGUCUUGUAGGGCUAGGUUUAAACCAGAAUUUAUAGAAAGAUUAAAAGAUUCCCUAGGUGUAGCUAAAAGUUCAUUAUCUUCUUGAUUAAAAGAUAGGACCUCGGCUAUAGAAAAGGGUUGGUUUUGACCUAUUGCAAUCAACUCCGGACAUAGAUCAUAAUUAGGGGCAAAGAAAGGACUUGUUGACUCUCAUGGUCUAUGGCUAGUCUCCGAAGGUACAAAAAAUUCAAUAAUAGGUGUGGAAUUUGAGUUAUCCAUAAAGAUGGAAAAAUAAAAAGAUAAAAGAAUAAAAGUAUAAAAGUAUAAUACAAGAUAAUAGCAAUACUAAAAGUUAUCUCAGCAAACCGUCUUUCUCCCCGGCAACGAUGCCAAAAAUGCUUGUUGAUAUUUGGUAACGCCAUUAGGAAAUGAUCCGCAAGCGCACGGAUAUCGGUGAGCACUUCACCCGGGAGGUUAUCGAGAGUAUCGUAUUUAUAUUUUUACCACUGGGAGAAAGCGUGCAUCUGACUAACCAAAUUUAUUGCUACUACCAUUUAGGCUACAAAAAAUGUGAUUCAAUGUGAGCGAUGUAUAGAGAAGACUACAACCGUAGUCUCGUUCUAACCUUGGUAAGGAUGAUCUACUGUUCUAUUGGGGAGGCUGACGGAAUCUAGACACCAUAGAGGAUAUUCGACCCGCACCUAUAAACCCUACCCAUCCUGCUAACGAGAUGUGGGCUGCAAAGGUAACUCGGAAAUUUCAUGUUGCUCGCUACUACCACGGUCCAGCUAGUCAGGGGAUAUCUAUGAGUACCCUAGCCCAAACACCACGUUUACGCUAGCAAUGAUUACUCUAAACUCAACCGGAAGAGAUUAAAGUAAACUCGUAAACCAAAGAAUAAUAAAACAAGAACUUACUUGAAUUUAGAAGUCGAAUUACUGAAGAAUCCUAGGAGCAAGCCUCGGGUUAGGAGAACUUGAUCCCGCAGGUAUAACCUCGGAGUAGACACCGACAAGCCGGGCUUCCUUCGAUUUACACCUCCACUCUAUCUCUCUCAAUCUAGUAGAUCUAGUCUACUCUCACAUUGGAUGCUAAGCCCUAAGUCUAUUUAGAGGAGAGGUUAUCCUUCGAGGGCACCUCUCAACUCGAUGAUGAACUUGUUCUCCUCCAGGGGCCAGGGGGUCUGCUUAUAUAGUCCCCUCAAGUGAAUCUGGGCCGUCGGAUCAAACCGACAUUGAUUGAACGGUUAUCCUUGAUCCUUUAGGUCGGUGGAGCGUAAUCCGUGAGACGGGUCCUGAUUAGACUCUGCACCAGGGCGGACGCCCUAGGGGGGAGGGCGAGCGCCCUGCCCACGGGCCCGAUCACCUUCCUAUUCGUUCCCGUGGCUUCUGGAGUCUUCUAGAUGAUAGAAAAUUGUAUGACACGUUAAUAUCUCUAUGUAAACCCGACAUGUGGGCCUUUCUUCCAUAUUUCCUGAUAACUGCAGAAAUAGACAAACACCAAAACUCGUGGAAUUCUGUCAGAUAAAACCCUAAGUCUGGGUGUUAGUUGCAUUUGGAUCUUUUUCUUUAUUUAUUUGAUGAUUAUAUUUGGUACUUAAGGACCGUCAACAGUCACCUUUUCAUCAUUCAAUGAAACUAUAGAAAAUUACAUGCUCUUCACUCAUCAACCUUUUCCAGACUUCUUUGAUUAAUUUGCGGUUGAUGAGCUGGGGUCUAUUUGAGAUGCAAUAAUGUUCACUUAAAAACUUCUUCUCCAAUAGAUUAAGGUUGUUCUUUCCUGCAAAACAUUAAUGGACACAUACCCGAGGGAAUAGCAAGAUUAAAAUACGAGUUUUGUUGUCCAUAUAUUUUUUUUAUUUUCUUCUAUGCUAAUCAAGAUGAUAUAUGGUUUAAGAUUAUUUAGCAUAAAUUGUGUCUUUUGUGUUUUAUGUUGUUGUUGCAAUCUAUCAUGGUUCAAGGAAAAGAUAACUUGUAACAAAAGAUAAAUGGAUAAAUAUUACUACUCACAAGUUGAACUUUUUGUGCAAAGUUAUCAUCUGCCUUAAUUCAUCUCCGGUGUGAACUUAUCACUUGACUUUCCCAGAUUAAUCUAAAUUUUUCUUGUAGGGGUUAGUCUAGCAAAAUAUUCAAAUAUCUACUACAGCAUACUAGCGGCUCAAAAAUCAACUUAGACACCACGUCUAAUUUGAUUAAAGAUGACAUUUUAACCACGUCUAAUUAAAAGCCUUUCAGAGCAAGAUCAUCACUACUAAACUAGGCACCAUACUUUAUUUAAGAGAUAAAUGAAACUACUCCAAACCUAAACAUAUACUAUAGCAAACAAAGGUGACAUGAAAGCAUUAUAGAGAUUUAUUCAGAUAGAGAUAAAAGAGCAUGAUCAUGGUGAGUUUUUUUAUAAUGCUUGUGAGAUGAAUAUAUGAAAUGGAACAAGUUAUGGCUGAGGAAUUUUAAAGUAAAUAGUGUGAAUAUAUGGAUUAAUGUAAACAUGCAAUGGAAUGUAAAAGAUAACUACUCAUAAUUGUUCAAGUCCAUAAGCAAGACUUUCUCACCUUUAUUUGAUCAUACUUACCAUGACUCACAUUUUGAAAUUUGUGAGUGAUGCAACAUCUUUUUUCACAUCACUUGAGAUAUGAAUUGAAAUCCUAUGACGUCGACCUCUUUCUCCAACAUUGGAUUUGUUAUGUUUCUUCUUAUUUUGUCGGGGCAUGCCGGAAGGUCAUAAACCGGUCAUUUAUUACCCUCCAUAAGAUAUAAAAGUAGACAAACAACGGUAAUCCUUCUUGAGCAGGGGUUAAUGGUUAUCUCCAUCACAUAAUUGAGUAUAAGUCUAUCAAUGUUCCAUAAUUGCCUAGCUACCUUCUGCGGCAACAGCACCAAAAAUGCUUGUUGGUAUAAAUUAACUGUACUCCUUUUAAAUAAUAUUUAAGUAAGAUUAUCCGCAAGCGCACAGAUAUCGUAGCAAUGCUACAUUUUACCCGAGGGGUUUUAAAUAUCGUAUCCACAGGGAAGGUCUAUAUGUAGGACUUAUAACUAUAAUUUAUACAAUUGAUUUGAAUGAUAGACCAUAACUAGAUUCCUACUCAUAAUAGGGAUAUGUCACUUGAUAAAAGAUAUAAGAUAAAUAAUGAUCAGUCAUCAUAAAUAGAUAAAUAUCAGAGCUCUUCUAGUCAUAGUAAUAGCUAGCCAUAGGAUAAACUUAGGAAGAAAUAUUAAGGUAAUUCUAUAACUACAUCAAUGAAUAACUCUAAUUAGUGCAAUUACAUCUGGAAAUCAUUGUUAAGUCAGCCCUAUAUCAUAAUCACAUGCAAAGAGGCAUCAACUAAUGAGGGUUUUAAGAUGCAACCGUCACCUCCUUCACGACCGCGCCCAAGCUAGUCCUAUGUACGGGGGGUAGACUACAGAGGAACCAACGCAGCUGUCACCUAUGCGGACUACCACACGACCCGGCACGUCAGGGUGCCCUCGCAAAUAAACAAGAUAUCUAGACACCACGUCUACAUAUUGUCUACCAUCCACCAAUUGAUUGGGUAAACGCUAUACGAGCAAUUACAUGAAUUCAAUAAGAUCAAACCAACUAUCCUAUACAUAUAAUCAAAGUAGACAAUGACUAUGGCAAUUAAGAAUAUAAGAGAAUAAGAACGAUAUUGCCUGAAUUAUAAUAAUGAAUACAAUAAGAGAAAGGUACUAGAGCUAUACCGAACUCCACGCUCCAGACAGGCGCCAGGGGCUUUGGAUCCCGCUGAAGAACUAGAACUCUUCUACUUCUAACCUAACUAGGCUAAAACUAUGAACUAGAGAGGAUCUGAUGAACUAGAGAAGGCUCUUGAUGAAUGGAUCUAUAAAUGACUUGGUGCCUUCACGGAGGGUGGUCUGCCCCUUUAUUUAUAGCCCAGUGGGAUCGACGUGCGCUGCAGGAUCAAACUGACUUAACCAAGGGCCAAGAUGACUCCUUAGGGGGGCCGAAACCCUAACAGGGGGUGCCGGCCGGCGCCAUGGUGGGGAUUGCCGUCCCCACCUAGCGGCCUCUGGCCCUCAGUUUCUUUUGGUGUCUUCUUGAUCCUUCCCACGUCUUGUUUGUGAUAUUGCUAUGGCGGAUAAGUUUCGUGUUUAUUUUGCACUUGAAUCCCUCUUUUUAGCUUUUCUAGAAUUCACUCUGGAAAAUACAGAAUAUGCAAAACUUGUGGAAAUUGUCAGAUAAAACCCUAGACUAGUGUGUUUUCAUGUUUUCCUCCAGAUCUAAAGUUAUAAUAAAAAUUGAUGUUAUCGAUCAUCAACAACGUACAAGGAUCCUCUAAGUCCUAGCACUAGACUGUCACUCUCUGUUGGGCGUCAAGUUGUGCGGCAAGAAGUUAGCAAAGGUAAGAGCUAGUUUAGACACCACGUCUAUGCUAUUCUAACUACUCGGACAUUUAGCUAAAGAACCGAGCACUUCAACAAAGUAAAGCAAUGCACCAGACAAGGAGAGUAAUAAACUUAAAUUACUAAGCCGGAAUAUAAAUACUAGAAAGACUCGGAUGAGAACUUACAAGAAGAGUCGCUUCCGCUGAGGCGCUCCAUAGAGAAGACUCCCGACAGGCCAGGACUCCUCCUUGGAAGCUCCUCACUCCCUUCCCUCUAUUCUCACAACAAAGAUACUAAUGUACUCUUUCUUCCUAAGAUGGCACACUUUCUAAUAAAGGACUAGGGGGUAUUUAUAGGGGAGGUGGAGUAGCCCCUACUCUAGUGCCACGUCAGCGAUCCACGUGACCUCCGCCAUGCACUAUUGGAUCAAACCGACCUUGGAACCGACUUUAGAUGGAUGGUGUGGAUGAUCAUUACGUGGAUAGCAUGCUUGAGUCGAUGGGAGGCCAACCGACCUAGUGGGGCUCCACCAGGGGAUCGACCGAUCCCCCUAUGGAGGGUCGGCCCAGCUAGUGUAGGUUGGGUGGAGUCCCCACCUGUCAUAGAGUGCAGCUCCACUUCUAGUUUUUCCUUUGUCACGUUGGUUCAUUUCCGGUGGGCCCAUUGAUCCAUGUGCUUUCCAUGCUAGACUUCAGAAGGAUGGCUCCUUAGUACCUGAGGGUGGAGAAUAGCUUUAGAGGACUUCUCCUAGGUCAUUGCAAGGUGUCACACCGUGGUCCCACAGGGGAGGGCUCAGCCGAUCCCCCCUGUGUGGGUCUAGGGUGUCAGCCCUUGCUUGUCCUCUUUAGCUUGCUCUGAUGUUGAUGCUCUUGAACUUGUGUUUCUCUGUCAUCUUCAUUCUUUCUCAUUCAUGCUCAUAGAUAUUGGCAAUUUCAUGUUAAAUACCUGCAACCAAAUAAUGUCAUGUACAUGUGGAACCAAGUUAAUUUGCACCUAUGUCACUACUUGUUUGGAUGACAUUUCCCUCAAUUUGGGAAAAAAUGUUGACGGUUCUGCUAGGUAAAAACAUGUCAUAGUUACCGUAAACAACUAGCAGCUUGUGGUUUUCUUCCCGCGUGACGUCGGUGCACGCCGAUGGUGGUGACUGCAGUAAGGGAAGCCAGCAAUGUUCACUUUCCUUGCCACCGUCCUUUCUUUCUGUGUUGCUUUUUCCCUUCUAGGAUUAUGGUUUGGAUCCUUCCAGAUAGGGUCCCUCCAUACUCUGUUGUUUAGGGUUAGGAUUUUUUUAUUCCAACUCAAAGUUCGUUCACACUUUUUUUUCAUGUUCUUUCGAGUUUAAUCCAAAAACAAAAUCAGAUAAACUGCCUUUACUUUUCCCUGUUAGGGUUUGAUGGAUCCGCAUUGGUAGAACUUACAGGACUUCUAGCGGUAGAUUGGCAUCGGGUUGAACUCCUCGGCGUCGCGGACGUUGAGGAUGAAAUGACGACGAGUCGAUGCGGAGGCUGUGACAAAAUCUAGUGGCACUUCCCGUCACUCUGCCCUUGAAAACGGAUUAGGGUUUGGAGAGUAGGGCGUGGUGGCUACCGUCACUACUACAGAACAGGCCUUUGGUCAGUUGAACAAAAUGAACAAUAAUCUCGGCCCAAUCAGCGUCCAGGACAAAAACAUCUCUACACCCGGUUGGUGAGAACAACCGGGACUUAAAGUCCCCUGCCCAACGGCUAUGGUGUCAGAGAUCAGCAGAAGGGACCUUUAGUCUCGGUUGGUAUCCCCAACCGGGAUUAAAGCCUAGCCUUUAGUCCCGGUUGGUAUCCCCAACCGAGAGUAAAGCCCAGCCUUUAGUCCCGGUUGGUAACACCAACCGGGAUUAAAAGUUGUUGUCUUGGUCCGUCUCACCGGCCAGGACUAAUGUUGGACUUUAGUCCCGGUUGUUAAAUGGAACCGGGACAAAAUGUCCUACCCCAUAUUUGAACUCUUCUUCUUCCCCUGGCCGAGCCCAUCGAUCUUCACUCUUUUGUUGUGCACUUCAUUUGCAGUUGCUUGUUCUUGCUCUUAUCUCCAGCUAUUGAUUCAUUUCAUCAUUUCUACGCCGUCAUCGACUUGUUAAGAGGUCACUAGCUUCAUCUUCUCAACAUUUAGCAGCAGCAUAUGUCAUUUCCUAGUGCUAUGUUUGUUGUUUUUUAUUUUAUGGUUUUUUAAGAGGUCAUUAGCUUCAUCGUCUUCUCAACAUCGACGUGUUUUUUUAGAGUAAUAGUGAUACUAUGUUUUUUAUUUUAAUUAGUUUAGAAAAAAUUAAAAACAUAUAAUACUUUAAUUUGCAAUAUUUGACUGAGUUAAUUAGUUAAUUAUAACUAGUAUGCAUAUCACAUUUCAUGAUUAUUUAGAAAAAUAAAGAAUUUUUGUGCUUUUUUAAUUUUGCUUGUUUAGAGAAAUUAGAAAUAGAGAUUUUUAGGUUUUUUGUUACUUUAAUUUCUCUAUUAAAAAUUAGAAACUUAUAUUUCUUUAAAUUUGCAAUUUAUGACAUGGUUAAUUAGUUAAUUAUAACUAGUAUGCAUGUCGCAUUUCAUGAUUAGUUAGAAAAAUAGAGAACUUUUAUGUCUUUUUAAUUUUGCUGGUUUAGAAAAAUUAGAAAUAGAGAAUUUUAGGUUAUUUGUUACUUUAAUUUCUCUAUAAAAAAUUAGAAACUUAUAAUACUUUAUGUUGUAAUGCAGACAAUGACAGGUCAUUGGAUGUACAAUGCCGAUCGCCGCUCCAAAGAAUUCAUUGAUGGUGUGCAUUAUUUCUUAAGAGUGGCCGAGGAAAACAAGCGGGAUGGAUUCAUAUGUUGCCCAUGUGCCUUGUGUUAGAAUUUGAAGAAAUAUUCUAGUUCUAGAAAUAUUCACUCACAUUUGUUGAAGUCGGGUUUUAUGCCAAACUAUAUUUGUUGGACCAAGCAUGGAGAAAACGGGAUAAUGAUGGAAGAAGGUGAAGGAGAACAGUUGGAGCCUGACGACAUUAUUGCUCAAUAUGGUGACUUCGGUGAUACAUUAAUGGGAGAAGCUGAAGAUAAGGCAGGUGCAGAAGGCACACCUGUUGAAGAUGAUGCUCUUGGUGAUGUCAUUCGUGAUGCAUAGAAAGAUUGCGAAAGUGAAAAAGAGAAUACAAAGUUUGACCACAUGUUAGAAGAUCACAAGAAAUUACUAUACCCAUCUGCCCAGGAUGGGCAAAAAAAAUUGGGUACUACACUGGAGUUGUUAAAAUGGAAGGCACAGAAUGGUGUAUCUGAUAAGGCAUUUGGCCAAUUACUGAAGAUCCAAAAAAAGAUGCUGCCGAAGCCUAAUGAACUGCCCACUACUACAUACGAAGCAAAACAGAUCGUCUGUCUUUUGGGAUUAGAAAUCAAGAAGAUACAUGCAUGUCCUAACGACUGCAUCCUAUACUGUGGCAAGGACUACGAGAAUUUAGAUGAAUGCCCCAUAUGUAAAGCAUCACGGUAUAAAAUCAUGCGAGAUGACCCUAGCGAUGUUGAGGGGGAAGAACGUCCCAGAAAAAAAUCCCUGCAAAGGUUAUGUGGUAUGCUCCAAUAAUACCACAUCUGAAACAUCUUUUUAGAAAUAAGGACCAUGCAAAAUUGUUGCGGUGGCACAAAGAAGACCGUAAAGUAGACAACAUGUUGAGACACCCUGCUGAUGGGUCCCUGUGCAGAGCAAUAGACAGGGAAUUUCCAGAGUUUGCAAAAGACGCAAGAAACUUAAGGUUCACUUUAGGUACAGACGAUAUGAAUCCUUUUGGUGAGCAGAGCAGUAGUCAUAGCACUUGGCCUGUUACACUAUGUAUCUACAACCUUCCUCCAUGGUUAUGCAUGAAGCAAAAGUUCAUUAUGAUGUCGGUGCUCAUCCAAAGCCCGAAGCAACCAGGUAAUGACAUUUAUGUCUAUCUAAGACCAUUAAUUGAAGAACUCAUUCUUUUAUGGAGUGAAACAGGUGUUCGUGUGUGGGAUGAGUACAAACAGGAACACUUCGACCUGCGAGCAUUGCUGUUUGUGACAAUCAAUGAUUGGCCUGCUCUAAGUAAUCUUUCAAGGUAGACAAACAAGGGAUAUAAUGCAUGCACACACUGUUUUGAUGACCUUGAUAGUAUAUAUUUGAAAAAAUGCAGAAAGGUCGUGUACCUUGGGUAUCGUCGAUUUCUUUCUAUGAAUCACCCAGUUAGAAAGAAAGGAAAGCAUUUUAAAGGUAAGGCAGACCACCGAUGCAAGCCUCGCAACAGAACUGGAGAAGAUGUAUUUGAGAUGGUUAAGGAUGUGAAAGUAGUUUUUGGUAAGGGAUAAGGCAGCCAACCAGUUCCAAAAGAUGUAGCGGGUCAUGCACCCAUGUGGAAGAAGAAGUCAAUAUUUUUGGAGCUACCCUAUUGGCAAGUCCUAGAGGUCUAGAAUGCGAUCGACUUCAUGCACCUAACAAAGAAUCUUUGUGUGAACCUUCUAGGAUUCAUGGGUGUGUAUGGUAAGCCUAAGGAUUUACUUGAAGCACGAGAAGACUUGCAACGCAUGGAAGAACGAGACAACCUGCAUCCAGAGAAGACAGAUGAUAGGAACCAAUAUUUAAGACCUGCUAGCUACACUCUUAGCAAUGAAGAGAAAGAAAUCAUGUUUGAAUGCUUAAGCAGCAUCAAGGUCCCAUAUGGAUCCUCCUCUAAUAUAAAAGGUAUAAUUAAUGUGCCCGAGAAGAAAUUUCUAAACUUAAAGUUGCAUGACUGCCAUGUGCUUAUGACGCAAUUGCUUCCAGUUACAUUAAGAGGAAUUCUACCUCCACAUGUACGUCUGGCCACCGUAAAGCUAUGUGCAUUCCUCAAUGCAAUUUCUGAGAAGGCAAUCAAUCCACUAGAACUAGCGGCUCUACAGAAUGAUGUGGUUCAAUGUCUUGUCAGGUUUGAGUUAGUGUUCCCUCCAUCCUUCUUUGAUAUCAUGACACACCUCCUAGUUCAUCUCGUCAAGGAGAUCAAAAUUCUUGGUCCUAUGUUCCUACAUAACAUGUUUCCCUUUGAGAGGUUUAUGGGAGUUCUGAAGAAAUAUGUUCACCAAUGUGCUCGGUGAAAGCCCUAGUUUGGUUUUGGAUAAUUGAUGAAACCCUAGUACUAACCUCUAUACUAUGUGUGUGUAGACUUAAUGAGGUUGGUACAUGCCAAGUGAUGGAGCAAGUGAUGAUCAUGAUGAUGAUGGUGAUGACCACAAGAUGAUCAAGUGCUCAACUUGGAAAAGAAGAAACAGAAAUCAAAACCCUGUGGAGAUCAAGGCAAAGGUAUUGCUUAGGGUUUUGGUUUUGGUGAUCAAGACACCAUAGAGGGUGUGAUCACAUUUAGGAUAGAUAGCCAUACUAUAAAGAGGGGAAUUCUUUGGCUAAGUGGUUAUCAAGUGCCACUAGGUGUCAUUGUUCAUGUGCAUGCAUUUAGAAUCUAGAGAGCUAACUUAACUCCUUCAAAGAAAAUGAUUGUGAAAAUGCUAACACACAUGCACACUUGUUGGUAAACACUUUGUGGUGUUGGCACACUUUGAGAAGGAUGUGGAGUUUGAAGGGUAGAGAGAGGAUGGGUUCCUCUCUCCCUCCCGCCAAGCAUAUCUUCUAUUGCACUUUUCGACAGAGGUGGGAUUUGGCGCUUUUCGAGAAAAUUAAGUGCAUAUCUUCUAUUGCGCCAGCGGGAAAAUUUGUAGAAGUCAUGGGAGUGUUUGGCCACUGAGGCGCCGGACGCUGAGUCUGUGCGUCCGGUGUAGUCAGUGCCUGGCCCACCUAGGGUAAGGCACUGGACGUAGACUUGUGCGUUCGGUGCUAUGUGUCCAGUGUGAGGUCCGUUUGCAGACCUCCCUGCGUUUUAGUCUGGUGAGCACCGGACGGUCCGGUGCUCAGCGUCCUGUGCCCUGCGUGUUUGCAGUCCUCCCUGAGUUUAGGACCGAUGCCAACUUAGGAGUGUCUGGUGCUUUGCAGGUUACCGUUAGACUCUAACACGAGAGUUUCAAAAGGCGUUGAGCGUCCGGUGCCCCCUGAAGAGCGUCCGGUGACCCCGUAUUUCGUCCAGUGAAAGAGCCUACGGCUCUAUUUGUUUGAGGGGCUUAUAAAUACUUGUUGGCCGGCUUAGGACACAUACUCUUGGCAUUCUAACAUACUUGACAUCCUUGUGGGCCUAAGCAAACAUCUCCCACUCAUCUCCUUCAUAGAUUAUUCAUCUUUGUGAGAUUGGGAGUGAUUCCAAGUGCAUUUGCUUGAGUGAUUGCAUCUAGUGGCACUUGGGGAUCGAUUUGGCUGCGGUUUUCUUGUUACUCUUGGUGGUUGCUGUUGACGGUCCUUAAGUACCAAAUAUAAUCAUCAAAUAAAUAAAGGAAAGGAUCCAAAUGCAACCAACACCUAGACUUAGGGUUUUAUUUGACAGAAUUCCAUGAGUUUUGGUGUUUGUCUAUUUCUGCAGGGGGUUAUAUGGAAAUAUUGAGGAAAGGCCCACACGUCGGGUUUACAUAGAGAUAUUAAUGUGCCGCGCAAUUUUCUAUCAUCUAGAAGACUCCAGAAGCCACGGGAACGAACGGGAGGCCGAGCGGGCCCGGGGGCAGGGCGCCCGCCCUCCCCCCUUGGGCGCCCACCUUGCUAGGGAGACCAAUCAGGUCCCGUCUCGCGGAUUAUGCUCCAUCGACCUAAAGGAUCAAGCAGAACCAUUCAAUCAAUGUCGGUUUGAUCCGACAGCCCAGAUUCACUUGAGGGGACUAUAUAAGCAGACCCCCUGGCCCCUGGAGGAGGAAAACCCUCAUUAUUCAUUAGCAUAUUUUCUAGAGAGGAUUCAGAGAGAGAGGUUCCUUAGGGUUCCACCUCAUAGGGCUUAGCAUCCAAUGUGAGAGUAGAACUAGUUCUACUAGAUUGAUAGAGAUAGAGUGCAGGUGUAGAUCGGAGGAAGCCCGGCCUGUCAGUGUGUACUCCGAGGUUGUACCUGCAGGAUCAAGUCUCCUAACCCGAGGCUUGCUCCUUGUUGACGGUCCUUAAUACACACAUUCAACCGUCAAUUAAUCAUGGAAAAGGAUCCAAAUGCAACCAACACCCAGACCUAGGGUUUUAUCUGACAAAAUUCCACGAGUUUUGGUGUUUGUCUAUUUCUACAGGGGGUUAUCAGGAAAUAUGGAGAAAAGGCCCACAUGUUGGGUUUACAUAGAGAUAUUAACGUACCGUGCAAUUUUCUAUCAUCUAGAAGACUGCAGAAGCCACAGAAACGAAGCGGAGGCAGAACGGGGCCUGGCCCAGGGCGCCCGCCCUAGAGUUCUGCCCAAUCACGUCCAAACUCGCGGAUCGUGCUCCACCGACCUAAAGGAUCAAGGAUAACCGUUCAAUCAAUGUCGGUUUGAUCCGACGGCCCAAAUUCAUCUGAAAAGACUAUAUAAGAAAGGCCCCCUGGCCCCUGGAGAUCAUACCUCUUCUACAGAAUCAAAGUUAGGGUUUCAAUUCUUCAUCCAAGUAGAGAGGAUCCCUCUAGUUCAUCUAGUUCUACCUCUAGUUCAUCUAGUUCUAGUUCUAGUUCUAGUUCUAGUUCCUCUAGUUCUAGUUCUAGUUAGUUCUAGUUGUAAUCUAGAAAAUAGGGAGAGAGAAGAGGAGAGCGAAGCAGGAGGAGCUGGAUCUGUCGGAUCUUCCUCAACAUUGUACUUUUGCAGCAACUGGUUCAUUCUUUAUCGUUCUCCAGGUUCUUCAAUUCAUAAUCCUGAGUUCUUUAAUUACUUUUAUUUACAUUCAAGUUAUUUAUUGGAUUCCCGCUUGCAUCUAGUGCUCUAAUCUUUGCAACAUUAGAGUAGUAAUUAAUAGAUUAGACGUGGUGUUUAGUCUUGCAAUUACCUAGAAUUGCACCCAAUCGUGCGGAUUGUUGUUGUAGCCUUUGGGUAGUGACAGCCCUAACGGUCGACGUAUUCCACCUCGUUCGGAUCGGUGUUUGUAGGACCGUAGUCAGACUUUCCUAGCCCCCUUCUCAUCUCUUUCUGUGGUUAGUGCUCUGAUGUCUCGAAAUAAAUAAUCUUUGAAGUAAUUCUUGAUUCUUGGAUCAACUAGAGAACUCUCAGGAAACUUCCUCUCUUCCCACCAAAAAUAAUUAUAUAGUUAUCCUUGGGCGAUCUUGAAUCUUAAUUAGUACACUCACAUUCCCUGUGGAAAUCGAUACUCUGGAAUACUCCCGGGUGAAAGCUACAUCGGUUUCCGUGCGCUUGCGGAUUUUCUGUUUGCGUUUAAAAUACCCAACAAGCUUUCUGGCGCCGUUGCCGGGGAACGGUAACUGUGCUAGUUUCGAACCAAGUCGUCCGUGUAUCCUUUCCAUUCUUUACCACACUCACAUUACCAUCUUCACCACACCACAUGGAUUUCAUUCCUAUCUAUAAAUUCUUUGCUCCAAAGGGCGAGUUAUUAGAGCCACCACCAUCAUCACAUCCAAUUCUUACGGAUGGCUACGACCUCGGCCCUGAUCUAAUAGCCAUGAUUCAAGAGCAACCCUUCUUUGGGCAAGUAGAUGAAGAUCCAUACACCCACCUUAGAGAAUUUGAGCAGUUGUGCUCUUGCCGAUCUAUUUUCGGCAUGACACAAAAAACCCUUAAAUGGAAAUUAUUUCCGUUCUCCCUUUUGGGAAGACCAAAAAAGUGGUAUGCUCAUUCUGUAGGAGGCAUUAAUGGAAAUUGGGAUGAACUUCGGGACAACUUUUGUCUCGCUUUCUUCCCACUUUUUCGAAUCGCUGACCUUAGAAUCGAAAUUCUUACAUUCAAACAAAGAGAGAAGGAAACUUUAGGAGCAGCUUGGGCUAGGUUCACAAGCCAUACCAAUUCCGGUCCAAACCUUUUAUCGUGGUCUAAUCAAGGAAGCUGCUGUUCACCUCAACAUUGCUUCAGGAGGCUCAUUCACACACAAACUUACAGAUGAGGGGAGAGCUAUCCUAGAGAGAAUCCUUGAGAAUACCCCUUACACAGGCAUUUAUGAUGAGUUUCCUGAAGAAGAAGAAGAAGUCGAGCCUGAUCCUAAACCAAAAGAUGAGCAACUUGCAACCGAGUUAGAAAUUCCACCUGACCCACCUAUUAAUUUGGUUGUAGAGAAACCUCCUGAUAAGGGAAUGCAAAACAACUAAGAGAUGAUGAACCACCACCUUUAGAGCAUCCCUUUGAAUUCGAGGAAGAUCUUUUUGAAGAUUAUGGAAACACCUCGAAUUUUCCUAUCCAAACACGACCUCUAGCAGGGACCACUCAAUCCAUUCUAAGAGUAGAAUCUGUUGACAUAGAACACAUCAAAAGCCUAUCGGCUAUUCUGAGUUAUGAAUGGCUAACUGAAGCAGAGCUGUCUCUUGAGGUAGCUUGGAUCAUCACUCCUUCAACCAUUCUUCUAUGCCAAAUUAGAAGGUCCGCUAGGAAGGUCCACUACAAUCCAUAUGUUGGGAUAAAUGUUAUUUCCAAGGAGUUAGCUGACACUCUUUAUCCCAACGAGUCCAUAACCCUAUCUCAAAAACUUUUACAAAGUCCAUCUGGAUUAAUUCUAGAAAGCCAUGGGGUAUUAAGGGCAGUUCCUGUUAGAAUCAAGGACUCUGGAAUAUGUCUAGAUUUUCACAUUUUUGACAUACCGGAGAUUCCUCUCUUGAUUGGCAGACCAAUCAUGAAACUUCUACAGGAACAACCACAACGAGGUCAUUUAGACUUCAAGGUUGGGAAUUCCACUAUUGUUGUUCCUCUUGCUAGAUCAAUUAACACGAUAGUGGAACCCAAACUUGAACCAGAUCCUAUUGAGGAGAUCUUAAUGCUUACUCAAGAGGAGAUGGCCCAACCAUUCUUUAAUCAUGAACACUUUGUUCAAGAAGAAGAAGAGUUGGUAGAACCCGUUGAGCUAGACAAAAAUGAACAACCUUCACCUCCUUUGAUAGAAUUAAAACCUCUUCCUUCUGGCCUUAGAUAUGUCUUCUUGCACAAUAACUCAAAAACUCCAGUAAUUAUCAGUGACAAGCUUUCCGAUUAUGAAACACAACAACUUGUCACUAUUCUUGAAAGGCAUAGAUCAGCAUUUGGCUACUCUCUCAAAGAUCUCACGGGCAUUAGUCCCAUUCUCUAUACUCAUCGUAUCCUUAUUGAUCCCAAUUCUACACCUUCAAGGGAACCACAACGGAGACUUAACAAUGCUAUGCGAGAGGUUGUUAAGAAAGAGGUCCUCAAACUCUAUCGUGCUGGGAUUAUUUAUCCUGUGCCACGGGUUAGCCCUGUCCAAGUAGUGCCAAAGAAAGGAGGAAUGACGGUUGUUAGGAAUGAGAAAAAUGAACUCAUCCCUCAACGAAUUGUCAUUGGGUGGCGUAUGUGUAUUGACUAUCGAAAACUCAACAAGGCUACAAAGAAAGAUCACUUUCCGUUACCCUUCAUUGAUGAAAUGUUGGAACGGCUUGCAAACCACUCUUUCUUUUGUUUCCUUGAUGGUUAUUCUGGAUAUCACCAAAUCCCAAUCCACCCAGAUGACCAAGAAAAGACUACCUUUACAUGCCCGUAUGGAACUUAUGCAUACUGACGAAUGUCGUUCGGAUUGUGCAAUGCUCUAGCUUCUUUCCAACGGUGCAUGAUGUCUAUUUUCUCGAACAUGAUUGAGAAGAUCAUGGAGGUUUUCAUGGAUGAUUUUACCGUCUAUGGCAAAACCUUCGAUCAUUGUUUGGAGAAUUUAGAUAGAGUCUUGCAGCGAUGUGAAGAAAAGCACUUAAUCCUGAACUGGGAGAAAUGCCAUUUUAUGGUCGAGGAAGGAAUAAUGCUAGGACAUAAAGUGUCCGAACGUGGUAUAGAGGUGGACAAAGCAAAGAUUGAAGUUAUUGAAAAACUUCCACCUCCCACGAAUGUGAAAGGAAUCCGUAGCUUUUUGGGACAUGCAGGGUUCUAUAGACGCUUUAUCAAGAAUUUCUCUCAAAUUUCUAGACCCCUAACUAAUCUCCUAGCUAAGGACGCACCUUUCAUCUUUAGUGAUGAGUGUCAUGAAUCUUUUCAAACUCUUAAGAAAGCACUCAUCUCAGCCCCAAUUAUCCAACCACCUGAUUGGAAUCUUCCUUUUGAGAUCAUGUGUGAUGCUAGCGAUUUUGCGGUUGGUGCCGUUUUAGGACAAACCAAGGAUAAAAAGCUUUAUGCCAUAUCCUACGCUAGCAAAACCUUGUCUGGACCACAACUCAAUUACACUACAACUGAAAAAGAGCUUUUGGCUGUUGUCUUUGCUAUAGACAAUUUUAGAUCUUACUUAGUGGGAGCAAAGAUAAUCAUCUAUUCAGACCAUGCUACUCUCAAGUACCUCCUCAAUAAGAAAGAUGCUAAGCCUCGUCUAAUUCGAUGGAUUCUUCUACUCCAAGACUUUGACAUAGAAAUCCGAGAUAGGAAGGGAGUUGAGAAUUCCGUAGCCGACCACUUGUCUAGGCUUCAAUAUAAGGAAACACAUGAUGAGCUUCCCAUAAAUGACUACCUGAGGGAUGACACCCUGCUUAAGGUAACACAUGCAGAUCCAUGGUACGCAGACAUCGUAAACUUUAUAGUAAAAGGCUAUGUCCCACCUGGUACAAACAAAAGGAAGUUGCUUCACGAUAGUCGUGUCCACCUUUGAGAUAAGCCAUAUCUUUUUCGAGUCUGCGCUGAUGGACUCCUGAGAAGGUGUGUUCCUAUGGCUAAGGCUACUCAAAUUAUGGAAAGAUGCCAUGCCUUGCCAUAUGGAGGACACUAUGGAGCAUUCCGGACACAUGCUAAAAUUUGGAAAGUGGCUUUUUCUGGCCAACGAUGUAUGAAGAUACAAAGGACUUUGUCAGGAGAUGCCACCGAUGUCAAAAACAUGGGAAUAUCAACUCACGAAAUGAAAUGCCUCUCACAAAUAAUCUUCAAGUAGAACUUUUCGAUGUAUGGGGCAUUGAUUUCAUGGGGCCAUUCCCUAUUUCCGGGAAUUGCGAGUAUAUCUUAGUAGCUAUGGACUAGUGUCCAAAUGGGUAGAUGCCCUACCUUGUCGAUCAGCUGAUUCAAAACAUGCCAAGAGAAUGUUCCAUGAAGUAAUCUUUCCUCGCUUCGGUAUACCCCGGAUAGUUAUAAGAGAUGGAGGUUCCCACUUCAACGACAAAAUCUUCCGGAAGUACCUAGCCAAUCAUGGAGUUCGACACAACAUCGCAACACCAUACCAUCCUCAAACUAGCGGUCAAGCCAAAACAUCUAAUAAACAAAUCAAAAAUAUUUUACAAAAGACCGUAAAUGAGAUGGGUAAGGGGUGGAAGGACAAACUUCCUAAUGCACUUUGGGCAUAUAGAACUGCAUUCAAAACACCCAUAGGCAUGUCACCUUAUCAACUUGUAUAUGGAAAAACUUGUCAUUUGCCUGUGGAAGUAGAGUUUAAGGCUCAUUGGGCACUCAAGAAAUGGAACAUGGAUCUCCACCUCGCUAGCGAGAAUCGUCUGAUGGAAUUAUCUGAGCUAGAAGAAUGGAGAGAGAAAGCCUACCACAAUUCAAGGAUCUAUAAAGAGAGAACAAAACGAUGGCAUGAUAAGAGAAUCAAGCACAAGGAGUUUAAGCCUAGAGAUAAGGUUCUAUUAUUCAAUUCAAGAGUUAAGCUCUUUGGGCAUGGUAAGCUACGAAGUAAGUGGGAUGGACCAUACAAGGUUAUUGACACUUCAACUCAUGGAGCCAUUACCAUCCAAGAUGACAUAGGUAACACUUUUAAGGUAAAUGGUCAACGCUUGAAAACCUAUCUCGAGCCACAAAACAACCUGGUAGAGGAACUUGAUGUGAUUGAGUUCAUAGAAUUCUCAUAUUAAGCUCUCAUAAGCUCUAGACAAUUACCUAACCCUUAACAUGCUCCACGAGUUUUGUUGUCUAUUUGGGUUGUGCAGGAUUUUGAGGCUUAAGAAGAGUGAGACCGAACAUGCAGGCCACAAGAGUGAACGACUAUGUCAACAUCAAACUUGGGGGAGGCAUCCCCACGUGUAUCUAGAUAAGUAUUACUUUUCUUUCUUGGUUUUAUUUACUAGUAUUCGGAAAUAAAUAAAAAAAUGGUAUAAUCAUGAAACCACAUAAAGUUUUUCUUUUGAGUAAUAUACAAUAGUUUUGUGUAAUCCUAAGUUUUAAAUAAAAUAAAAAGAAAGUUUGAUCCAAGUCUAGGUAAUUGACAAACAUGAUAUGAGAAGGUCUGAGCUACUAUUUAACUUGUUCCAAGUUUUGCUAGAGUUCUGGAGAUUUUAUCUUUUGAAAAUCUAAAAAAAAUUGAGAUCCUGUUUCACAUAAUACCUAGAGUCUUAUAAGAUAUAAAUAUUAAAACUGUGGGCACUUGCUUUGUUCAAGCCAUUGUUAAUUCUUGUAGUUUUGGUUGAGAGAAUUAUCAUGCUCCAAAGAUCAAGAUAUUUUUGUUUUAAAAUAUAAAAGAUUCACUCUUCCGAAGUAUUAUUGCGUUAGAGGCAUGGGACUAUGCAAAAAUUUGAUUCGAAAAAAAAGAAGUGAGACGAGAGGUAAAAAUGGACAAGUGUCCGAAGUAGAAUUAGGGGUACAAAGAUACCCACCUGAGUGGAAUAAAUGGACACGUGUCCGAUAGUAGAAUUAGGGGUACUUGGUGCCCACUUGAAAAAAAAAGAGAAAGAAAAAAAUGAUAGCCCAUGGUCCAUCUAAUAAGCAAUAUGCCAGUAAGAGAUGACAAACUUUUCAAAAAGGUCAAAGGUCUUGAUCUAGGAGUAUGACAUCCCUCUCCCUUGCUCCGAGCAUUCACAUAGCAAAAUGCAAAGUAAGUAUGCUAAAACUUUUAAAGCUCUACUUAUAUAUCUUUCGAGAAGAAGGCAAAUUCCUCAGUUUUAUUUUACAGACUUAUGAAAAACUCGAGAACAAAGGUAAGACAGAAGAACUUGAGACAUAGUGCUUGACCUGAUCGUUCUGUUUUUCAAUCACUUAAGACCUUAGUGAUAACAUAAAAACCCUGUAAUAAGAGGCAUAAAAGUAACCCCUGUUUUCUUGCUGAUUUUAGCUUUGCUCAGGGACAAGCAAAGGUUAAGUUUGUGGGAGCUUGUUGACGGUCCUUAAUGCUCACAUUUAAUCGUCAACUAAUCAUGGAAAAGGAUCCAAAUGCAACUAACACCUAGACUUAGGGUUUUAUCUGACAGAAUUCCAUGAGUUUUUGUGUUUGUCUAUUUCUGUAGGGGGUUAUCAGGAAAUACAAAAGAAAGACCCACACGUCGGGUUUACAUAGAGAUAUUAACGUACUGCGCAAUUUUCUACCAUCUAGAAGACUCCAGAAACCACGGGAACGAACGGGAAGCCGAGAGGGCUCAGGGACAGGGCGCCCACCCAAGUCCUGAGGGCGCCCGCCCUGGAGUUCUGCCCAAUCAUGUCCAAACUCGCGGAUCAUGCUCAACCGACCUAAACGAUUAAUGAUAACCGUUCAAUCAAUGUCGGUUUGACUCGACGGCCUAGAUUCAUCUGAAAAGACUAUAUAAGCAAGGCCCCCUGGCCCCUGGAGAUCAUACCUCUUCUACAGAAUCAAAGUUAGGGUUUCAAUUCUUCAUCCAAGUAGAGAGGAUCCCUCUAGUUCAUCUAGUUCUACCUCUAGUUCAUCUAGUUCUAGUUCUAGUUCUAGUUCAUCUAGUUCUAUUUCUAGUUCCUCUAGUUCUAUUUCUAGUUAGUUCUAGUUGUAAUCUAGAAAAUAGGGAGACAGAAGAGGAGAGUGGAGGAGGAGGAGCUGGAUCUGUCGGAUCUUCCUCAACAUUGUACUUUUGUAGCAACUAGUUCGUUCUUCAUCGUUCUCCACGUUCUUCAAUUCAUAAUCCUGAGUUCUUUAAUUACUUUUAUUUACAUUCAAGUUAUUUAUUGGAUUCCCGCUUGCUUCAAGUGCUCUAAGCUUUGCAACAUUAGAGUAGUAAUUAAUAGAUUAGACGUGGUGUUUAGUCUUGCAAUUACCUGGAAUUGCACCCAAUCCUGCGAAUUGUGGUGGUAGCCUUAGGGUAGUGAUAGCCCUAAUGGUCGACGUAUUCCACCUCGUUCGGAUCGGUGUUUGUAUGACCGUAGUCAGACCUUCCUAGCCCCCUUCUCAUCUCUUUAUGUGGCUAGUGCUCUGAUGUCCCGAAAUAAAUAAUCUUUGAAGUAAUUCUUGAUUCUUAGAUCAACUAGAGAACUCUCAGGAAACUUCCUCUCUUCCCACCAAAAAUAAUUAUAUAGUUAUCUUUGGGCGAUCUUGAAUCUUAAUUAGUACACUCACGUUCCCUGUGGAAAAUUGAUACUCUAGAAUACUCCUGGGUGAAAGCUACAUCGGUAUCCGUGCGCUUGCGGAUUUUUCUGUUUGCGUUUAAAAUACCCAACAGUAAUCUAGAAAAUAGGGAGAGAGAAGAGGAGAGCAAAGGAGGAGCCGGAUCUGUUGGAUCUUCCUCAACAUCGUACUUUUGCAGCAACUGGUUCGUUCUUCAUUGUUCUCUAGGUUCUUCAAUUCAUAAUUCUUGAGUUCUUUAAUUACUUUUAUUUACAUUCAAGUUAUUUAUUGGAUUCCCGCUUGCAUCAAGUGCUCUAGUCUUUAUAACGCUAGAGUAGUAAUUAAUAGUGGUGUUUAGUCUUGCAAUUACCUGGAAUUGCACCCAAUCUUGCGGAUUGUUGUGGUAGCCAUAGGGUAGUGACAGCCCUAACGGUCGACGUAUUCCACCUCGUUCGGAUCGGUGUUUGUAGGACCGUAGUCAGAGCUUCCUAGCCCCCUUCUCAUCUCUUUCUGUGGUUAGUGUUCUGAUGUCCCAAAAUAAAUAAUCUUUGAAGUAAUUCUUGAUUCUUAGAUCAACUAGAUAACUCUGAGGAAACUUCCUCUAUUCCCAUCAAAAAUAAUUAUAUAGUUAUCCUUAGGCGGUCUUGAAUCUUAAUUAGUACACUCACAUUCUCUGUGGAAAAUGGAUACUCUCGAAUACUCCCGGGUGAAUGCUACAUUGGUAUCCAUGCGCUUGCGUAUUUUUCUAUUUCGUUUAAAAUACCCAACAGUAAUCUAGAAAAUAGGGAUAGAGAAGAGGAGAGCAUCGGAGGAGCCGGAUCUGUUGGAUCUUCCUCAACAUCGUACUUUUGCAGCAACUGGUUCGUUCUUCAUCGUUCUCCUAGUUCUUCAAUUCAUAAUUUCUGAGUUCUUUAAUUACUUUAAUUUACAUUCAAGUUAUUUAUUGGAUUCCUGCUUGCAUCAAGUGCUCUAGUCUUUAUAACGCUAGAGUAGUAAUUAGUAGUGGUGUUUAGUCUUGCAAUUACCUGGAAUUGCACCCAAUCCUGCGGAUUGUUGUGGUAGCCAUAGGGUAGUGAUAGCCCUAACGGUCGACGUAUUCCACAUCGUUCGGAUCGGUGUUUGUAGGACCAUAGUCAGAGCUUCCUAGCGCCUGUCUCAUCUCUUUCUGUGGUUAGUGUUCUGAUGUCCCAAAAUAAAUAAUCUUUGAAGUAAUUCUUGAUUCUUAGAUCAACUAGAGAACUCUCUGGAAACUUUGCCUAUUCCCAUCAAAAAUAAUUAUAUAGUUAUCCUUAGGCGGUCUUGAAUCUUAAUUAGUACACUCACAUUCCCUGUGGAAAAUGGAUACUCUGGAAUACUCCCGGGUGAAAGCUACAUCGGUAUCCGUGCACUUGCGUAUUUUUCUGUUUGCGAUUAAAAUACCCAAAAAGCUUUCUGGCGCCAUUGCCGGGAAAUGGUAGCUGUGCUAGUUUCGAACCAAGUCGUUCGUGUAUCCUUUUUCUUUUCCUUUUUUACCACACUCACCUUACCAUUUUCACCACACCACAUGGAUUUCACUCUAAGCAUUAAUGAGCAUGGAAUUUAUUUCAUAGCCACUUCAUUUACUCCAUGCUCAUAUGCAACAUUGUAACAUCCCUGAUGUUACGGUUACUAAAAAUGGAUCAUGUCAUCAUGAGCAUUGCAAAUCAUAUUGGUUAAAGCACAUUAGUAUGCAUCAACUUAAAAUAAGUUUAUUUUGAAUGCUUGAGCUUAGGGAAGUAGAGUGUGCUUCUGUGAUGUGUUGUUGCUUGUGUGAUUGCUAAAACCCUAGGGUGGAAGUUUUCCGAUAGGCUAAGGGGGGAAAACCCUGAUUUUGAACCCUAGAACUGCCCCCUUUUGUGCAAUUCAAAAACUAAGCAAAAUUUGAGGUUGAGUUCAAAAGCAAAGUUGUAGAUCUUGGCAAGAUGUACAACUUUGGUGUUUUGAGUUUUUGAAGUUUCAAUACAAAAUUCAAAGUAAUUUUGAAAAUGCAGAUUUCCAGAAAGUGUCCCCUUUUCCAACUUAAACCCCCAAUUCAAAAUCCAUUUGGAAUUUUGAAAAGUGGUCAACAUGAAAGUUGUAGAGCACAAAAAGUUGAACAACUUUCAUGUUGGGAGUUUUUCAAGUUGUUAUACAAAAUCAAAAGUAAUUUUGGAAUCUCUGAUUUAUCCCUAAUUCAAAAAUUUGAAUUUCAGCAAUUUGAGUUUGAUUUUCAAACUGUCUGGCCAAAUUGACCUCUUCCCACUUAGAAUCAGCUUGGGUCACCUAAAUAAGUUUUGUAGCUUAUAAAAUUUGGAACAACUUUUGUUUUGACACAAAUUUGGUCUCAGUUCAAAUUUCGGCUGAAUUUUGCAAAAGACAGAGGAGAGGGGAUAGAGGUCGCUACAGUGAUCCGAUAUGGAUCACCGGCGCCCUGUCCAGCGCACCCGCCGUGCGAGCAGCGCCGCGCGCAUGCGUGCGUGCACGCAGCUGCUUGCUGUCAGGGUCGCCAGGCGACGUGGAUGCCGCGGGCUCGCCUUCCUCUCCACUUGCGCACCGACGUGGACGACACCGUGCAUCCCCUCCGUCCUGAGCCAAGGAAACCGACGACCUCUCUCUUCCAAAUUCGUCACAACCACUCCUUCCCGAGCCAAAUUGAGCCACCCAGUGUCUUCGUCACCUUCCUGCGAAUCCAGUGCGCCCCCAAGCUCCCUCUCUAACUCCCUCAAACGCCAACGCUUCUUCUUCUUCCCUGAGUCCGGCCGGCAUCGCCGCCGUGGAACCCUUCGCGUGGGUACAUUGCUCCACUCGGUACCACGCCUUACCAGUGAUCGUUUCGCACUCCUCUUGUUUCCCUGAUGCUCAUGCGCUCACUUUUUCUCACGGGACACGAACAGGAUUGCCGGAACAGCCUUGCCGGAGCCGGAGCACCCGCCCGAUUCCUCGGCCAACGACGCCAGCGCUUCCUACUGCUUCUCCCGCCGUGGUGACGUGAGCACCGUACUCCCUAACCCUCCCUGAAGCUCCCGGUUCCGUCCUUUUGCACUCUACCGGUCUCUAGCGGCCGGCCGAGGGUCGGCCAUGGCGGCCGCCCGCCUCUUGCGUGACCAAGGGGGUAGCGGGAGAGUAGAGCGUGUUCAGAGGGUGUCCGUGGGAUCGCGAAGUUGACGCGGUGCCGGUGCGCACGCGCGCGGGGGCCGGGGAACUCCAUAACAGUCGCCGGAGCGGCGGCAGCGCCGCCGUGAGUGAGCAAGGCGGAGCUGACAAGCGGGUCCCGCCUGUCAGCGUCUCGCAGCGCGUGAAGAGGGGGCGGCGCGCGCGGUCCGCGCGGGAGGACACCGCAGGCCAACUUGGGCCGGAUCCGAGCGGGCCGCCGGUAGCACAGUGCCUUUUUCCUUUUUCCCUUUUGUUUAAACAUGCUGAAAGUUUGAAUUUGUGUAAAAAUUUGUGUGUUGAUCCAAAAAUCAGGGCAAAUUUUGGGUAGACUCCCUGAAAUACUUAGAAACUAGGAAAAAUAUUAGGCUCUAGUUUCUGAUACUUUGUAAGAAUAUAAAAAUUGGCUCCUUUAAUUACUAAAUGAAACUUGUAUGAUUUUUAAUAACUUAAUAGUAUGUCCAAAAAUCACCAAAAUUGGUGGAGAGCCUCUGAAUAUUAUUCCCUGGCCCCCCACAAAUUUUGAUGAUAUUUGGAUGAUGUUUGAUUAAAAUAUUAAUAAACCCCUAAUUAGCACUUAAAUAAUAAUUCCAAAAUAAUUAGGAGGUGAUUAGUUAAAUCAUCAUACUUUGGAUUGAGUGAUUUUGGAAUUUAGUGAUGACCUGAGGUCAUUAACCCUAAUGACCCCUGGCACUUAAUUAUUGUCUGAUUUUAAUACUUAAUUAAUGUCAUUAGUAAUUAAUUAAGAAUUAAUUAAGAUAAAUAGAGUUAAUAAUUAAUUAAUUUAAGAUAAUUGAGAAGUAAGUAAAGUCUUAGUUUACUGUUGUAACCUCUUGAAUAAAGAUGCUAAGGUGUUAAACAACUUUAUUUAUAAUUUAUUCUGUAUUGCACCGAGAAGGCAAACUGUGCUCGAUCUAGUCCUUCUUGCAUAUGUGUCAUACGCAUAUCAUGAGCAUUCAUCAUUUUGCGUAUAGUGUCCGUGACCGAAGGAGCGCCCGUUGAACCAAACCCCGAGGUCGGUGCUCCAUUCGAGGAAGUCGGAUCCGAGACUUGGGAAGUCUCCGAGGGUCCCUCUCUGCCCUGCAACCAAGGCAAGCCCCGGAUGCAUUAACCCCUCCUUGGAUGUUUUAAAUCUUUUAUCACUUAUGAAUUGAAAAUGCUGCAUUAAGUAGUUGAGAAUUGGGUUAACCUACUUGCUGCAUUUACUACCUUGAUAUCUGUUAUCCUGUCCUUGACACCUGUUUUAUUUUAAAAUUGCGUAGCGAUGCUUAGCCCUGCUACUAGAUAGGUUUUCAAACAAGAAAGUUUGAAGGGUUGUUGUGGGAUACACUUAUGAUCAAUGAUGUUUCAACUUGAGACCGGUCGGUGGACUUGCUUUAAGAAUGGAGUCUUAAAGUAGUGUCUCCAACUGUGUCGGUUAAGGACCGGUCCGUUGAUGGCCUGCUGGGUUGAGAAUUUAUAGUACUAGCCACUUGCCACGGGUAAGCCCGGUCUUGUGAUCCCUCGACGCGAACAGCUACUCGCGCACUGGGAGUGGAAAGAUGGCGAGAGUAGUGUGUACCCACCUUACGGAUCUGAGAUGACCGGGAAACGUCUAGAUCGGCUGUAGGAUGGUGGAGUACUGUGCUCUCGGGUGCCGCGAACCUGGUCAAAUUUGGGGAGAGCUUGAUUUGGGUUGAUAUAUGCAAGAUUUGGUUCUACAUAUGUCGGGUGGUUAGGAACUCCAGCUGGAUUGCUAAGCGAUUCGAAUCGUCGUUGCUCCCCGAUUGGGAGACUCAAUUCCUUCGACCCUCAUCGUAGUUAAAUAUGCAACUAAGUGAUAAAAUGAGAAAGGGGAAAAUGUCUCAUGAGGUUCGGAUCCCAAUUCCCGGACUCAUAGCGACAUGAAGCUAUGACCAUCGAUAAAUAAUACUUAAUGAUAGGAUUAGGAACUCACGGAUUCAUCUGUGGGAAACAACUAGUUAGACUAUCCUCGAAUUCGUCUGCCUCUGCGAGGGAGGAAUUCAGGGUAAAACUUGAAAAUAAGGAUGCACUACUAGUAAGCUUUUCCGCAAAACACUUGGCUCCUUGCUCAGCCACCCCUUGUCUACCCUAAACCUGCACCCCUAAAUUCUCCUCUUUUCCCGUCGGAUAAGUCUUGUUGAGUACUCCCGUACUCAGGGUUUCAAUACCCCUGUUGCAGGUGAAGCUCAGGAGCCGACUUGUUUCGGACCCUGUUGUGUGACCGUCGUCGAGGUUGACGACGAAGAAGAGUGAGCGUGACCCAUGGGCAGGGUCUGUAAAUUUGUUUUGUCUGUACUAAAGUUUAAGUUGCUCCGUUGGACCAGGGUUGUAAUAACACUCUGCUAUUUGGAAGAACUCCUUUUGUAAAUUAUGUUUUGUAAUACUUCCGCUGUUUCACUCUGAAAUACUAUUUUGGUCUUGUGUCGAUGAGUUACUGCUUUAUCUUCGCAACGAAUGAUCCUGGAGUUAAGGUGGCCACUUGCUAUCCUGUAAGGGCGAGAAGAAACAGUUCUCGUUGUUUGACCAUUGUGAGUGGUCAGGACGAGUCAGAUUGAUACGCCACAGGUAGCAGUGGAAUGAGCACACAGUAAGGCUCAUCGGACUUCUAAAGUGGGAGGACUCCCGGCAUCACCGUCAGAGGUCCUUAGGACAAUGGCAGGUGCCGGUGGGCCCAAACACUUAGGGGGUUCUGCCACAAACAUCUUCCCAAUCUUUUUUGGUCUCUCCAACAUCACCACAUUCGAGAUCUCCAACCCCAUCAUCCUUUCUAUUUAUAAAAACUUUAAAAGGGCGGUUGUCGAUACAUAUGUCUAUAAUAAAUAUUGCAGAUCUCGUUGAGUUGAUCUUGAUAUAGGUCAGCGUUGGAGGGGAAACCACUUCGUUGACAUAAAUUGAUGGUUUCCCAAGGACAAGCUUAGUGUCCUAAAAUAAGCACUGAUCAGAUCAUAACAUGAGCUUUGAAUUAUUUGCAUCAUUACCUUGUGUUUUGAGCAUAUAAGGAUAGUUGUAAAAAAAAUUCCUUCGGGUAUUCUUGUCGCUAACAUUUCCAGGAUUGGAGCAAGAAGAUCGGAUGAAUGACAAGCACAAGGUAUGUCCAACCAAUCAUCAUACAACAUUGAAUUAAAUUCAUCCAAACUUGAAUUUUGCAAAAUUCAAACUUGGGGGAGUACUUUACAUAAAAACAUUAAUUGCCAUGUUGCUAUGUUGGUUGUCCCUACCUUUGAGACAUGCUCAAUUUGUUAAAUACUAAUCACACUACUUCAUCUCCACUUGAAUAGAUCUCUAUAAAUGCUCUCAUGCUACCUUUAUUUGCUUUAGUAUAUGUCUAGGUUUAGAGUAGUUUCAUUUAUCUCUUAAUUAAGCAUGGUGCUUAGUUUAGGAAUGAUGAUCUUACUUCCAAGGGAUUUUAAAUUAAGCAUGGUGCUUAGGUUAAAAUGCCCUCCUAAAUUGAAUUAGACAUGGUGCCUAGGUUGAUUUUUGAGCCGAGAGUAUGCUAUAGUAGAUAUUGGAUAUUUUGUUGGACUAACCGCUGUAGGAAAACGUUCAAUAUCGACCUGAGAAGUCCUGAGAUAUACUCACAUUGGAGACAAAGAGAGAGACGCAUGAAGGUUAACAAUUUACACAAGGAAGGCAUAGCUCACAAGAGACGAUCCAUGGAGGGUGCCACAAACACGAUGCACGACCGCUAAGAAAGGAAAGCUUCCAUAAGGUGAUUCUGUACCAUCACUCUUCAAGUAAGGUAACAUCUUAAGGUACUUGACUAUCACUUCUAUAAGCUUCUCCUUGGUUCUGGUGUUCACAUGAAUAAAAGAGACAAACAUGUAUGAUUUACAACUCUAGAUUAACCAACCCAAUCGAUUCAACAUGUUUAGUCCUUCCACCUUUGUGAUCCCACACUCCUAAUCUUAUGAGCUAAAAUGUUGCACACUCAAUCUUUGGAAGAUAUAUAUAAAAAAACAUAAGUAUAGAUAGAUUAUCUUUCCAUUAGGUUGAGUGAUCUGAUCUGACAAAUGUUUUAAAUGCUACACUCAUGAUCUUAUUAUCUAUCAACUUUGUCUUGCUCACUAUGCUUGAGGUUAGAGAAGAACAAAUACACUUUUCGUUCUGUUGGUGUUUUCCACCAACAGGGCCCAUGCACUUGAUCUCUGCCUUGUCUCUAUGAGCAGGUACACUUUGAGCAAAAUAUGAAGGACUUUUACAACUCCCAGACUCCACCAAAUGAAGAACCUAGAUCUACGAGCACAAACACACUGGAGAUACUGGACACUCAGGCAAUCACUGCCCUGAGAUGCUUGAGGACAUAACUACUAGAGUAACCCCGUUGUGGAAGUAAUUACUGACCUUCUGCCGGUCAAGAGAGACAAUCCAGGACGCCCCAUCAUCCCGAUCUCCAUCGGCAUGGUGGACUUCCUAGAAGCACUUUGCGACUUUGGCUCCAGCGUCAACAUUAUGCCCAGGGUACUCUAUGAAAAAUUCUUUACACAUCCUUUACUAGAAACAACCAUGUGUUUGUAGCCCGCAGAUCGGACACUAAGUUCCCCAAAGAGAAUAUUGAAGAACCUCUGCGUCCGAGUUGGUACAUUGUACGCCCCAGCAGACUUCGUGGUGAUAGAGACUGGUACUAAUGAGAGGGCACCCAUCAUUCUAGGGAGGCCAUUCCUGAACACCUCGGGAGCUGUCAUCUACGCUAGUGCUGCCAAGAUCAGUUUCUACAUUAAGGGGAGGAAGGAGACAUUUUCCUUCAAGAACAAGACUACACAAAUCUCAGAGCAAUCCCGACUUGAACCAAGGAAGAGGACCAACAGGAGGGACAGGAACAAGCAAAUGUGGACCAAGUCAGCUAAGAUGGUCACUGUAGUUCAAGGAGGUCAAGAUCAUUGAUUUAAGUCACCGUUCCUGACCAAAAAGGACGACCCAGCUCUAGAUGGUAGAUCAGACAUUCCGAAAGGUUAUUGUCAUAGGAGAAGACGAGUACGAUCCACCCAUCAUCCUUGGGAGACCGUUCCUCAGCACCGUUAAAGCAAUCAUCUACAUUAGAACCAGAGAAGUCCACAUGCACUUCCCCUCUGACAAGGUACGCCGCUAUUUUACUGACCCUAACUAUAUAGUUGAAGACUCUAAGCAGGUCAGGACAAGAAGAAGAAGACGCAACCGCAUUCAGAGGAGGCGAAUCAUCAAGGACGGAUGGGUAGACUAUGAAGGAGAAGUUGUAAGGUCUGAAGACAAACAACUUGAAUAGAACUAUCCUGAGGAGACCGUAGCGCCGAGUCAGGUGUGGAGAGAGAAGAUAGUUAUACAUGAAGACCAGGCGCCGCCGGAACCACCGACUACGCCAUCCAGCGAAUCCCAGGACGACUGAGAAAACGGAGAGUCCCGUUCGGAGGACUUAAAAACACCGAACGCCUUGCCAAGACGUAAACUUCGUAGUUAUCUUUUUCCUUUCAACUAUUUAAAAUAGUUUGCUUAGUUAAUCAGGUUCAUAUCAUCAUGAAAAGAAAAUAAAAAUGUUAAAAAUAGUAAGCCCCAUGUGAGUAUACUCAUGGCAUAAAACCCAUAAGUACAUUCAUUGUGGUGGCAUAAAAAUAAAAUAAAUAUAUAUUCCUGUCCUAUAAAAAUGAAAAUAUAAAAAUAAAUUUAUGAUCCUACCAAUGAGGGUAAUAUUUAUUAGAGGAGGCUCAACAUGAUAAAGGCUAGAUAUUUAUGCUAACAUUUAACUAGUUCCACAAAGCUUUGUUGUCUAUUUGAGCUCCGCAGAAUUCAAGGAUCAAAGAAGACUAGCAGACGGAGGACAUCCUAAUCGCUGUCAGGGUGCUGCCGACGUUCAAAUACACCUCCGCCACCUGCUAGUUACAUCAGAAGAAAUUACGUCAAAAUCCAGCUUGGGGGAGAGCACCCCCAUUUAUCCAGCUAAGUGUUCUACUCAUGUUUAUACUUUACUCAAAUAAUAAAAAGAUACAUAAUCAUAAAAACCCAAAUAAAGAUUUUGUACUUAUAUAUCUUUGCUUAGUUUGCUAAAUAAAUAAAUAAAUAAAUAAAUAAAGUUUGCUAUCAACCCUCAUGAUAAGCUCUCACAUGGAAAUGAUGAAUAGUUGCUCUACCAUGACUAGUUCUCAAAAUUGAAAUAUCUCUCAAGUUUAGGCAUGACUGUUAUUAAUUAAGAAUUGCUCUAAAUCUGAACUUGUGGGAAGAGUACUUGAUCUAAAGUCUAAGUUGUUAACGGAUAUGAUAUGGGAAGGUUGAGCUGCUGUUUAUCUAGUCCUAGAGAUGCUAGAAUUUUGGAGAAUUUUAUCUUUGAAAAUCUUUAAAAUAUCACAUGAUGAGUUCUUGUACGAUGAGAGUUUAAAAUCCUACCAUGGCCAUAUAUACAUGCUUAAUAGACUAUGAACCAUACAUUUACUUUACUGCUUAUGAGCAUUGAGUAUGGUCAAGUUGUGUAGACCCUUAGGAGCUUGUCAUGCGGUUAAAAUCAAGAUUCACUUGCACAUUCACUCACACAUGCUGCUUCUACUCCGGAAGUACGCAUCCACAUAUAUCCACCCAUUUCCAUCUCCAGAACCACCCAAAAAUAUUCUACUCCAAAUUCGGGAGAGAAUAGCCAAAAACAUUCUCCUAUUUCUGUUUUCCCCUGUGAAAUAAAUGCUCAAGUUAUUUCAAUUACUACCACUUGCUACAUUAUUUAAAGAGGUGAGUGCUCUAAAAAAAAGAAGAUACGAGGAAAUAAAACGGGGCAAGUCCCCGGAACCUCGAAAGAAAAAAAAAGUGAGACGAGAGGUAAAAAUGGACAAGUGUCCGACAGUAGAAUUAGGGGUACAAGAUACCCACCUGAGAGACAAUGAAAAUAAAAUAUAGAGCAUCUCAUUCUCCUCAAAAAGUUUCAAAAGAGCAAGAAAGGUAUGUAUCCCAUCAAAAGAGCACAAGUAGAAUUAGACUUUCACCAUUAUUAUCACCAUCAUCACCAUACACCAUUCAUUCGCCACACAUGCACAUCUUGAUUUGACUUAUUGACUUGUUCUUCUAGAUCCAUGGUUUGACUAUGCAAUAAAUGUCUUGUAAGUAUGUAUUAGCUGUCUCCCACCUAUGAGCUCCAGAUAUCAAAACCUUAUUAGAGUAGGGUGAGAGAGAAGGCAAUGCCACUAUGCCUCAUACCAAAAAUACCACAUACUUUGAGAGAAGGCAUACACUAUUACUGCCUUGGUAAGGAUCCAGAAAUACCACAAAAGAGAGACUAGAGAGAGUAAUACAAGGAAUCUCUGAGUUUUAUUUGAAAAUUUGCAAAAACUCCAGAACUAUAGUUAAUCGAAGAACAAGAGACAUGGCGCUUGACUAGACCGUUCUAUCUUUUAACUACUCAAGACACAAGUGACGGUUGCAAGCCCCAUGGUGGAAGGUAAAAUGAGUAAGUUUAAAUCUUAACAGUUUACCCUAACCCAGAGAUGAGAUCUUGUUUGAACGCAUGUGUACCUUUAAGGCAUGAAACCACUACAGAAACUCUUGAGUUCAUCUUUGCUCAGGGACGAGCAAAGGUUAAGCUUAGGGGAGCUUGUUGACGGUUCUUAAUGCUCACAUUUAACCAUCAAUUAAUCAUGGAAAAGGAUCCAAAUGCAACCAACACCUAGACUUAGGGUUUUAUCUGACAGAAUUCCACAAGUUUUUGUGUUUGUCUAUUUCUGCAGGGGGUUAUCAGGAAAUAUGGAGAAAAGGCCCACACAUCGGGUUUACAUAGAGAUAUUAACGUACCACGCAAUUUUCUAUCAUCUAGAAGACUCCAGAAGCCACGGAAAUGAAGCGGAGGCAGAACGGGGCCUAGCCCAGGGCGCCCGCCCUAGAGACCAGGGCGCCCGCCCACCUUCUGUGCCCAAUCAGAGUCCUUUUCGGGGAUCAUGCUCCACCGACCUUAAGAUCAAGGAUAGCAAUUCAAUCAAUGUCGGUUUGAUCUGACGGCCCAGAUUCAUCUGAAAAGACUAUAUAAGAAAGGCCCCGUGGCCCCUGGAGAGCAUACCUCUUCUACAAAAUCAAAGAUAGGGUUUCAAUUAUUCAUCCAAGCAGAGAGGAUCCCUCUAGUUCAUCUAGUUCUAAUUCUAGUUCCUCUAGUUCUAGUUCUAGUUAGUUUUAGUUGUAAUCUAGAAAAUAGGGAGAGAGAAGAGGAGAGCGGAGGAGGAGCCGGAUUUGUUGGAUCUUCCUCAACAUCGUACUUUUGCAGCAACUAGUUCGUUCUUCAUCGUUCUCCAGCUUCUUCAAUUCAUAAUUCUUGAGUUCUUUAAUUACUUUUAUUUACAUUCAAGUUAUUUAUUGGAUUCCCGCUUGCAUCAAGUGCUCUAGUCUUUAUAACGCUAGAGUAGUAAUUAAUAGAUUAGACGUGGUGUUUAGUCUUGCAAUUACUUGGAAUUGCACCCAAUCCUACGGAUUGUUGUGGUAGCCCUAGGGUAGUGACAGCCCUAACGGUUGACGUAUUCCACCUUGUUCGGAUCGGUGUUUGUAGGACCGUAGUCAGAGCUUCCUAGCCCCCUUCUCAUCUCUUUCUGUGGUUAGUGUUCUCAUGUUGCUAAAUAAAUAAUCUUUGAAGUAAUUCUUGAUUCUUAGAUCAACUAGAGAACUCUCAGGAAACUUCCUCUCUUCCCAUCAAAAUAAUUAUACAGUUAUCCUUGGGCUGUCUUGAAUCUUAAUUAGUACACUCACGUUCCAUGUGGAAAAUCGAUACUCUAGAAUACUCCCGGGUGAAAGCUACAUCGGUAUCCGUGCGCUUGCGGAUUUUUCUAUUUGCAUUUAAAACACCCAACACUCCUAGGAUUCUUCAGUAUUUCGACUCCUAAAUUCUAGUAAGUUCUUUAUUCUUAUUGUUCUUUGGUUUAUGAGUUUACUUUAAUCUCUUUCGGUAGAGUUUAGAGUAAUCAUUGCUAGCAUAAACGUGGUGUUUGGGCUAGGGUACUCAUAGAUAUCCCCUGUCUAGUCGGACAGUGGUAGUAGUGAGGAACGUGACAUUUCUAAGUUACCUUUGUAGCCCACAUCCCGUUAGCAGGAUCGAUAGGGUUUACAGGUGCGGGUCGAACAUCCUCUGUGGUGUCUAAAUUCCAUAAGCCUCUCCAAUAGAACAGUAGAUCAUCCAUACCAAGGUUAGAACGAGAGUGCGGUUGUAGUCUUCUCUAUACAUCGCUCACAUCGAAUCACAUUGUUUUUAGCCUAAAGGGUAGUAGCAAUAGACCGGGUUAGUCAGAUGCACGCUUUCUCCUAGUGGUAAAAAUAUAAAUACGAUACUCUAGAUAACCUCCUGGGUGAAGUGCUCACCGAUAUUCGUGCGCUUGCGGAUCAUUUCCUGAUGGCGUUAACAAAUAUCAACAGUUGCCGCCACCUAGACGACUUGGAGCAGCGGUGGAGCUUUGGCACAAGUUGGUGAUUGUUCGUGGCCAUCUCUAUUGACGGUCCUUAAUUACUAAAUUUAACCAUCAACUAAACUUAGAAAAGGAUCAAUAUGCACCAAACAUCUAGAAUUUGGGUUUUAUCUGACAGAAUUCCACGAGCUUUGGUGUUUGUCUAUUUCUGGAGGGGGUUAUCAGGAAAUAUGGAGAGAAGGCCCACAUGUCAGGUUUACAAUGAGAUAAUUACGUGCCGCGCAAUUUUCCUUAAUCUAGAAGAGUCUAGAAGCCACGGGAACGAACAGGAGGCUGAACGGGUUCAGGGCAGGUCGCCCGCCCACCUACAGCAGCCAAUCAGGCUUCGUCUCCUGGAUCGUGCUCCACUGCCUUUAAUCUUCAAGAAUAACCAUGUGAUUAAUGUCGGUUUGAUCCGAUGGCCCAAAUUCAUCUGAGGGGGCUAUAUAAGCAAUGCCUCUCCACCCAGGGGAGGAGGAGAAAUCAUUAUCAGAGCAAGUCAUCAAAGUUAGGGUUUUAGAACUUCUCUCCCAUAGAGAAUUAGAACUAGCUACUCCCAAUUCAUUCAAGUUUUAUAGGAUUGAUUAGAUAGAAUUAGAGAAGUAGAGCCUAGCGCUCUAGAUUUCGGAUCUUCAACAAUAAAGAUUGGUAUUAUUUCAUAUCUUUCUCUACUACUUUGUUCUAAUUGCAUUAUGUCUCUAUUUAUUAUGUUCUUAGUUUGCACUAGUUCUAUAUUUGAUAUAGUUAUGAUUGAUAAUGAGUUUAUGUAUAAGUUUGCAAAGCGCUUAGCUCUUAACUCGAGGGAGUUAAGUGGUAGAUCAUAUGUGGGCGUGGUGCUUAGAUAUUAUUUACCUGCAACUGUAUCAUAUUGGCUGGGUCAUGUGGUAGUUCGCGAUGGUGACAGUUUCAUUGAUUCUUAUAUAGUCCACCCUCCGUUGAUAGGACAGGCAGAAUUUGUAUUGCGGAGUAAGUCUUGCUAUGUUCUAAUUUACUUUAGCAAUGUUCCUUAUAUAUGAAUAAAGAGUCUUUUAUGCUAUAUAUGAUCUUGUAGAUAACUAGAGUAGAUUGUGACUUAGUAGAUAGUAGAUACUCAGAAUCCAUUUUCUAGCUAAUCUGACGUCACCUUACAUAUAUGACGAGUAGUAUAUUUCUAAUCGCUGUGUUAUUUACCCAUGAGCUUAUAUUUCAUUAUCUUUAUUAAUAUGGCUUACCCCCUACCAAAGCAAGUGACUGUGUGAUGAGUUCCUCAUUAGUAAUCAUGUUAUUGCAAGUUUAUCUCUAGUCUAUGCCUUGAUAGAUUUUACCCCUGUUUUCACUUUUGCCGUUCUCUUAAGCAAAAUAUAAAUAACGAUACCCAGAAUACUUUUCCUGGUGAAAUGCUACAAUGAGGUAUUUUAUCUGUGCGCUUGUGGAUAGAAUAGAUUAUUUUCUAGAGAGCCUUCAUAUUCAUAAAUACCUUUGUACACUCUGGCACCAUGCUGGGGAUGACAACCUAGUAUUUAAGUGGUGUUAGUAAGUGUCAACAAUCAUUUCUGGCGCCGUUGCCGGGGAACGGUAAGGAAAGUCAGGAAGUCAGUCAAGGUUAUUCACGUGAAAUAUUAGACUAGACUAUGGAGAAAUAAUUGCAUGAACAACUACUAAAUGAGAAAUAAUAACAAGGCACCUCUGCUUUGGCAGGUUCACCCUGUUGUUUUUCUAUGUUUAUAUUUUUUAUACAGGGUAUAUCAGGAUUGACUUUGAUACAUUCAACUCUUCAUCAUCAGAACCAAAGUGAUCAAGAAAGAAAGAAGAAGCUAGCUACCAAUUGCUGAAGCUAUGGCACAAAAGACCUUGCAAGAAUUCUCUCCUCCAAGUCUUGAGAACAUUCCAACUGGUCCAAGAUUUGAAGUAGAACAAGGAGCACCCGAGUUCGAGCUCAAGUCAAGACUCAUCAAUUUGGUGCAAGCAACACAAUUCAGUGGAAAGGCACAUGAAGAUGCUAGUGCACACUAGAAGAAUUUCUUAGAGAUUGGAAGCACAAUCCGCAUCAAUAGAAUCGACAAAAACAUCAUUUUGCUUUGCCUUUUUCCAUUAUCACUAGAAGGGAAGGAAAGGAAGUGGUUCUACACCCAUCAAGAUAACAUCAACUACUGGACAGACUUGUCAGAUGCCUUUCUAUCAAAGUUUUUCCCCAUAGGAAAAACAACUGCCUUAAGAGGAAAUAUUGUCAGUUUCCAACAGCAGAAGACAAAAAGCAUUCUAGAAGCAUGGGAGCGGUUUCAAGGAUACAAAUCAGAUUAUCCUCAUCAUGGAAUGGCCAGAUGGUUACUUAUGCAGACCAACUACCAUGGAUUAACUCAAAAGUCUCAUCAGUGCUUAGAUGUAUCUGCUAAAGGAUCAUUCUUGGAGCUUACAAUUGAAAAAGUAGAGAUACUUUUGGAUAAGAUAUUAGAAAAUCAAAGCUGUUUCCAAGAUAAAGCUCAGCAUUGUCAUCAAACUAAAGAGAUACCAGAAGAAGUAAAUGCACUAUCAUUACCAAGAUGGAAAAUUUGCUCCAUUGGACUGACCAGAGGGCCAAGUUCAAAGAAGAUCAAAGGGCUAUUGAGACAGUAUACAAAUAUCAUCCCACUUCGAGUCAACCCAAUAGCAAAGGUAUGAAUUUAGGUAACACUUUCAAGCAUCUUUCAUUAAAUGAGAUAAUUGCUCAACAAACCAAAACUAAUGAUGAAGUUAAACAAAGGCUAGAUACAAAUGAAUCAUCUCUAAAAGAUAUACACAAUAAAAUGGAUUUUCUAUUAACUACCUUUGAUGAGCAAAACACUCUUAAUAAAAGGGUAGAGCUUAAAUUAAUAAAGCUAGCUGCUGCAUUGCCUGUUGCCACUAACAUCGAGCACGUAAAGAACAUAACUACUAGAGGAGGCAAAGCCACCAGGGAUCCCCCAUACCCAAAAGAAAAACAGAGAACAUCAGCACCAGUGCAACCAGUAGUGAUAGAGGAAGAAAGCCCAGUUGAAGUAGAAGAUCUGCUACAACCACCAAGAGCUAGAGAGAUGAGGAAAGAUUUUUACGACACCAAUUGUUUGCCAUAUCCCAAAAGAAACAGAAGACUGCAGUCGGAUGAGCAGUUUGGUACCCACAUAUGCAAAGUAUAUCAGAGAUAUUCUUAACAAGAAGAGACCACUGCCCACCACUGAGGUUAUCAAGCUGACAGAAGAAUGCAGUGUGGCUAUCCUCAACAAACCACCAAGGAAGAAGAAGGAUCUAGGAUGUCCCACCAUUGAUUGCUCGAUCGGAAACCAACACUUCAACAAUGCACUUUGUGAUCUCGGAGCAAGUGUCAGUGUGAUGCCAGCAUCAGUCUACACGAAGCUUGAGCAUAUGACCCUAGAACCAACAUCAAUGUGCCUGCAACUAGCAGAUCAAUCAAUUCGACACCCGAUGGGCAUCACUGUAAACAUCCUAGUCAAGAUCAGAGAUUUCCUUGUGCCAGUAGACUUCAUGGUACUAGACAUGAGUCCCGACUCAAAAGUGUCCAUCAUCCUUGGAAGGCUAUUUCUGAGCGCUGCCAGUACCCACAUUGAUGUCGGGAAGGGAGAAAUCAAAUUCAACAUAAACGGACAAGAAGAACACUUCACAUUCAAGCCCAGACCAGAGAGAGACUCUAUAGUGAAGGAAGUUCAUGAAGAAGAACCACUAGAAACACCAUCUCUGGAGGAAGGUAAUUCAGAAGAUUGAAAGAUUUGGAGGUCCAGCUUGGGGGACCUAAAAAUCCCAAACCCUCGCCGGGAGGUAAAUCUGUAUUUAUCCACAUCGUUUAAAUUCUUGCAUAAUUAAUUCAUGCAUUAUCCAUAUUUAUUCGUAGCAUUAUCAUAAUAAUGAAAAGCCCCAUAUAAAUAAUAUUUAUGGUGUGUGAACAACCAACACUUAUUAAUUAUUGUGGAGGCACAAAAAUAUUUUUCCAUGAUCAGUUUCAAAUAAGUUUCAAAUUUUCAUAGUUUUUUCUGCAUUAUAUUAUAGCAACCUUCUAGAAGCAUGACCCACACUCCUUGUGUCCCACAUGUCAUACACCACACCUCACACACAUCCCAUCACAUUAUUUGAUCCACCAACAUAUCUCCACUCACCAGACAACUUCCACCGUCCAACCACCACCCAUGGGUCAUCUUUUGGCGUAAAGACUAAGCAAAGGAGGGAGUAGAGAAAGGGCAGCCAUGAUAGCCACCAGAAGUGGGCACCCGCCCACCUGCAGAGGGCACCCGCCCUGUCCCCACUUCCUCCUAUAAAUUGCCACCUCCUGCCUCCAUCUCCAUCACACAAGCAUUCCAGAAAACCCACGCACACUUCAGUUCUCGGUUUCUAGAGGAGGAGCUCUAGAAGUGAAGUGAGAAUGAGAGUAUAGGGGAAGAGUAGAGUGGAAGAGAGGUUGGUAGUUUUUGAGUAAAAGAGCAAGGUUCAUUAUUAAGUAGAGACCCUGCUGUCCAAAGCAAAAUUAAAAAGUUGUUUACGGGGAAGUACCACCAAAAUUAUAACUUGUUUCGGAUGACUAACCCCUAAACGACUGAUAUUUCAAACAGUUGGCUUUAACAAUCUCCACUAGUUCUGUUUGUGUCAACUUUUGUCUACAAGAUGUUCAAGAAGGUAAAGAACGCGGGCAAGACCCGCCAGAGUAUAGGUACAAUGAGUUCAUCCCGAUACUCCUCACACCAGUCAGAGACAAGCGUCGACACGACGCCUCCGCAAGCUCCGUCAUCAUCGACAGGUACACGAGUCAAGGUCCUCCUCAAGACAGGAGAUCUUGGACUAGAGACCCACAGGGAGAAGGAAGUUUUCCAGCAGCUGAAGAACAAGGAUUUCAUUCACACCCCCACUCUUGACCCUAUCCUGCUACAAGAAACAGGUAUGGAUACUGAAUUUGACUUAAUUUUCCAGAUGGUGGGAUGGACAAACUUUUGGGACAUAACUGAGCUAGGUGUUUUCUUGGAGAGAAUUGAGCGACCAUCUCAGUUUCUCUCCAAGAUGCAUCCUGGACAUUAACUCCGAUUUGCCAAAUUUUGAAAGGCACCAGUUCUGGAGAGAGAUAUCCAGAGAUGAUUUUUAUAGUCAAGCCCGAACCAGCGACAUGGAACACCCCACUCUUAGGAUGUUCCACAAAUGGCUCGGGUACAAUCUUUUCCAUCGUGAUGAUAUUAGAAAAGUAAGAGUAGGAGACUUACAACUUCUUUAUGCUACUAUAAAUAAGAUACCCAGUUCACCUGUUACUCUUUUGGUUUUUCAUUGGCUUAGUAUACCUAGUCUUCAGGGACCUAUCGGUUUUACUUCACUCAUCACUUGUCUAGCCUCUAGUCUUAAUUUGCUACAAAACUCGUCAUUGAAAUUCAUUGACGAGUUACGAAUUUAUCGUGGCUAUGACACAUUUAGGCAAGCUCGGAUGCUGAAAAAAGAGGGGAACGUAAUGUAUGUGUUAUACAAUAAUAAAGGAAAGAUUCGGUUAUCUAACCCAAACCUUGGCCUCUAUGUCGUUCAAAAUUAUUUGAUUGAGAUUGCAGUGACACCGGUAAACCACAGAGCUCCACAGCGAGUGGCAUCCGAAAGGAUGACCACCCAUCAAGAACGCACCUGGUAUGGAGCUGAUCCCGGACCAAAAUAAGCAGCGCACCUGCAUUACCACGACUACAAUCCCCGAGUCCUUCGGGACCCAUGGGUUCAACAUGCUCAGCCACAGGAGCCGACACAGGAGACAUGGCCGGAGGGCCAAGAUCACCAGUGGACAAACCCGCCUUUUAGUACGGGCAGAAUACGCAAGUGCAACAUGGACGACUCCGGGAACAGCAACAAAAGUGGAACCAUGACCACACCGCUGCAGUACAAGGACUGAGACAAGACACUACUUCAAUGAGCAACAACAUCACCACCAUGAUGCGAUUCUGGAACAUUGGGUAAGACCGACAACCACAUCCAGCUUGGGGGAGUUCCUCCCCGUUUUAUAAAGUAAGUUUUUAUUUGCUCCUCUUAUUUAUUCUUUUUUUUCUUAGUGUUUCAUUAGUUCUCUACUAAAAAAGCCCAAUAAAUAUUUUCUUGCUUGAAUUUAAUGCAUUCUAUAAACAUGAAAAAAAUAAAAAGAGUAUGUAGAUAAGUGUGCUUUGUUUAUCUGCCAAGUGUUAAUCUCUAGGAAAAUAAAAAAGAUUAAAAAAGGUGCAUGAUGGAAAUGAUGAACAGUUGCUCUGUUUGCUUACUUUCAAGUACCUAGCUUUUAUAUUAAAGUUCUUCCACGAAUUACUAAAACUAAAAUUUACUAUCUAUGGGAAGCAUGAACCUAAAACCAAAGUCUAGGUAAGUGAAGGACAUGAUAUAAAGUUUGAGCUACUGUUUAUCUUGUUCCUACUACACUAAGUUCUGGAGAUUUAUUUUGAAAACUUGCAAAUCACAUGAUGAGUUCCUAGCAUGACAAAAUUCCUACCACAACCAUACUUGCUAUAAUUUCUACAUCUUUUGCUACUUAUAUUCAUAUUGACUUUGAUCGAGCUAUGUAGACCCUUAGGAGCUUCUUCAUGUGGUUAAAUUAAGAUAUUCACUUGCACACAUCUACUACACCAUCCACCACCAUUCAUUAAAAUUGCUAAAAAUAUUAUCACUCACAAUCCCAAGUGUUGUUAUUCUCUCUCUCUGAAAAGAUUCGAUGCAGAAGAGGCAUGGGUUAUGCAAAAAUAUGCGAGGAAAUAAAAAGGGGCAAGUGCCCGGAACCUCGAAAAAGAAAGAAAAAGAGUGAGACGAGAGGUAAAAAUGGACAAGUGUCCGGAGUAGAAUUAGGGGUACAAAGAUGCCCAUCUGAGCGGGAAAAAAUGGACAAGUGUCCGACAGUAGAAUUAGGGGUAUUCGUUACCCACCUGAAAAAAAAGAGAGAGAAAAGAAGGAAAAGAUAGCCCAUGUUCUCCCAAAGCAAAGAUCAAAGAGGAGGAGAGAUAGCAAUAUGAGGAGCAAUGAGAAGUAAGUUUUAUCAUUACUUAUAUUUUCACCAUUACUAUCAUUUACUCCACCACACAUGCACAUCUUGAUUUAAUUACAUGUUGAGUUCCUUCGGAUCCAUGGCUCGAUUAGACAACGUAUGUAUGAGCUAUUUUUCACACCUAUGAGCUCCAUAUAAAUAUACCCUUAGUUAUAGGUAAGUGACAUUUUUGGUAAGGAUCCACAAAUACCAUAUAUAGAGAGAUUUGAGAGUAUCAUAGCUGGGAACUCUGAGUUUUAUUUUUGAAAACUUAUGCAAAACUCUAGAACAAAUGUGAAGUAUAAACAGGAGGAAUAGUGCUUGACUUAAUUAUUUUGUCUUUCGAUUACUUAAGACUUAAGUGCAGAUACUAAGCUCCAUGACACUUCACUCUAAUGUGAGAGAAUUUUUAUGUAAAAGCAUGUGUGCCUGUCAGGAAAGAAAAAAUUGAAGCAACUCCUGAUCCAUCUGAGUUUAGCUGUUUGCUCAGGGACGAGCAAAGGCUAAGCUUGGGGGAGUUUGUUGACGGUCCUUAAGUACUAAAUUUAACCAUCAACUAAACUUGGAAAAGGAUCAAUAUGCACCAAACAUCUAGAAUUAGGGUUUUAUCUGAUAGAAUUCCACGAGCUUUGGUGUUUGUCUAUUUUUUAGGGGGUUAUCAGGAAAUAUGGAGAGAAGGCCCACAUGACAGGUUUACAACAAGAUAAUUACGUGCCGUGCAAUUUUCCUUAAUCUAGAAGAGUCCAGAAGCCACGGGAAUGAACGGGAGGUCGAACGGGUCCGGGGGCAGGGCGCCCGCCCACCUGCAGCAGCCAAUUAGGCUCCGUCUCCUGGAUCAUGCACCACCGCCUUUAAUCUUCAAGAAUAACCGUGCGAUUAAUCUCGGUUUGAUCUGACGGCCCAAAAUCAUCUGAGGGGGCUAUAUAAGCAAGGCCUCUCCACCCCAGGUGAGGAGGAGAAAUCAUUAUCAGAGGAAGCCAUCAAAGUUUGGGUUUUAGAACUUCUCUCCCGCAGAGAAUUAGAACUAGCUACUCCCAAUUCCUUCAAGUUUUAUAGGAUUGAUUAGAUAGAAUUAGAGAAGUGGAGCCUAGCGCUCUAGAAUUAGAGACAUGAUGUUGAUCCCCACAACAGGAUUAUAAAGAGCAUUAAAUCGAUCAGAAUUAUAAGCACAGCGUAUAGUUAUAGAGGGUGUGUCCAAACGGAUCACAUUAGAGGAAAGCUCUGAUUCCUCCAACCAUUCGCUACUCAUUACUGAGAUAAGCUCUCUCAAUUGAUAUUCACUUGGCAAAUAAAUGCUAAACUGGCUGUUUUGGGGUUUGUCAAUAGAAUGGUAGUUUGAAAUAUUUCCAAAAUCAGCAAAAAGAUCAGAUUCUAUAUCCAGCAUGAAGUCCGGUGGUGGAAUUUCUUCCUCUUGUGGCUCAGAACUUGGGAUAGCUAAAGUAGAUGAAGAAUUUGGCAGAGUGUCUACUUCGGCUUCGUAGGUUUCAUCAUGAAGGGUAUUAUCCAUCUCAGCUUUUAGGAUUCUAUCUAGGAUCACUCUAGCUUCAUCAGUAGGGAUUCGAAAGAAAGAACCUCUAGACAUUGUGUGUAGCAUUUGUUUGUGAUUUUUCUGAAGACCUCGAAAAAAGUGGGUUAAAAGAACAGGGUCUUGAAGAUUAAGGUUUGGACCAGAUUCUAAAAGAUCAGAAAAACGUUUCUAGGAUUUUCCCAAAGUUUCAUUAUCUUUUUGUUUAAAAGAUAGGACUUUGAGUCUAAGGUCGGCUAUACAGUCAAGGGAAUAGAAAUCUAGACAAAAGUUGGCUCGUAAAACUCCUCAUUCACCUUGUUGUUGACUUACCUUCUGACUGUACCAUUGUCUAGCUUCUCCCCUUAAAGAAAAAGGAAAAAGCUUCCAACGUAAAGUUUUAUCAGAAAUGCCUUCAAUGCGAAGACAAUCACAUGUUUGCUCAAAAUCUCUAAUAUGAAGGUAAGGGUUUUCGUCUUCCCUUCUCGAAAAAGAUAGGUUUUGAAUCAUGGCAAUCAACCUAGAACUUAACUUAUACUGGGAUGUGUGGAUUGGCUGUGAUGAUUCCCAUGGUAAAAGGUCAGUUACUGAAGGGAUUGCAAAUUCAUGGAUCGAUUUAGAAUUUUGGUUUUCCAUAAGGUAAGAGUAAAGAAAAUAAAUAAAGAAUAUAAAAGAUAACAAAAGAUAAAAGUAUAGAUACAAGCUAGUAGUAAGACUCAAGGUUAUCUCAGCAACCGUCUUUGUCCCCGGCAACGGCGCCAGAAAUGCUAGUUGAUAUUUGGGAACGCAAUAAGGAAUUGAUCCGCAAGCGCACGGAUAUCGGUGAGCACUUCACCCGGGAAAUUAUCCAGAGUAUCGUAUUUAUUUUUUUACCACUAGGAGAAAGAGUGCAUCUGACUAACCGGUCUAUUACUACUAACCCUUUAGGCACAAAGAAUGUCUUUCGAUGUGAGUGAUAAAUAGAGAAGACUGCAACCGUAGUCUCCUUCUAACCUUGGUAAGGAUGAUCUACUGUUCUAUUGGGGAGGCUAACAUAAUCUAGACACCACAAAGGAUGUUCAACCCGCACAUAUAAACCCUAUCCUUCCUGCUAACGAGAUAUGGUCUGCAAUGGUAACUCGGAAUUGUCACGUUCCUCACUACUACCACGGUCCAGCUAGUCAGGGAAUAUCUAUGAGUACCCCAGCCUAAACAUCACAUUUAUGCUAGCAAUGAUUACUCUAAACUCUACGCGAAGAGAUUAAAGUAAACUCAUAAACCAGAAGAACAAUAAAACAAGAACUUACUAGAAUUUAGAAGUCGAAAUACUGAAGAAUCCUAGGAGCAAGCUUCGGGUUAGGAGAACUUGAUCCCGCAGGUACAAGCAUGGAGUAGACACCGACAGGCCGGGCUUCCUCCAAUCUACACCUCCACUCUAUCUCUCUCAAUCUAGUAGAAACUAGAAGAUCUAUUUCUACUUUACAUUGGUUGCUAAGCCUAAAAAGAAAUAUUAAUUAGAGAAGAGGUUUUCCUUUGAGGGCACCCCUCAAUCUCUAUGAUAAUUUCUUCAUGUCUUCUCCAGGGGCUAGGGGGGUCUCCUUAUAUAGUCCUCCUCCUCUAUGCGUUUUUGGGUUGGUAGGCGAGGUGGUACUAUGUUUUCCUUGAUCCAAUAGGUCGGUGGAAUAUCCCGUGCGAAGAGAGUCCUGAAUGCAAUCCAGCAGGGGGCGGGCGCCCUGGGCCUGGCCCCUUUCGGCCUCUGUUUUCUUCCCGUGGCUUCUAGAGUCUUCUAGAUGGUAGAAAAUCGUGUGGUGCGUUGAUAUCUCUAUGUAAUCCCGACAUGUGGGCCUUUCUUCCUUAUUUCCUGAUAACCCCCUGCAGAAACAGAUAAACAACAAAAGUCGUAGAAUUCUGUCACAUCAAACCCUAAUUCUAGGUGUUGGUUGCAUAUUGGUCCUUUCUCUUGUUUAUUUGAUAAUUAAAAUUGAUACUUAAGAACCAUCAACAAAGUGUGGACAAGAUUAGAAGAAACAUAUGAGGGCACUACAACAGUAAAAAGUGCCAAGUUGUACAUGCUCAAGGACAAGCUAUCCAACUUGAAGAUGAAGGAUCAUGAGUCAAUCCCGGAGAUGUUCUAUAGGCUCCAAGUCAUCAUCAAUAAUCCCAAGGGCCUUGGUGAAAAAGUAAAGGAUGAGUACUUCAUUCAUAAGUUCUUGAUGUGCUUGCCCAAGAGGUUAAAGACAUUGAGAACCAUCAUAUUUAGAGGAGGAUUGAUGGGUGUAUCUCCCAAUGAGGUACUUGGAGAUGUCAUGACCGAAGACCAAUACAAUGAUAAUGAUGAUGAUGAGGUCAUGAAGAAAGAUGAUGAUGAUAAGAAGAAGAAUAGCAUAGCAUUCAAAGCUAGCUCUUCAUCCAAGAGCAAGAACAAGGGCAAGGCCAAGAAGGAAGAAUCAAGUGAUGAGGAGUGCUCCAAUGAUGAUAGUGAUGAUGAAGCACUAGCACUCUUUGUCCGUAAGUUUGGCAAGAUGAUGAAGAAGAAGGGCUACCAUACAAGAAAUAGAAGGGACAACUCCAAGAACAAAGAGUAUGUGAGGCUAUGCUACAAGUGCGAGAGCCCCGAUCAUAUUGUGGCGGAUUGUCCAUACAAUAGUGAUCAUGAUGAGCAUGACAAGAAGAACAAGAAGGAGAAGAAAGAAAAGAAGGACAAAAAAAUGAUCUUCAAGAAGAAGAAGAAGAAGAAGGGUGGAUCCUAUGUUGUUGUUGGGCAUUCUUAACGUCACUACCAAAAGUAGACUUAGUUUUCUAAUUCUGAUAACGGCGCCAAAAAUGCCAAACCUAUUCCUCAUGCACUUAAGCCAAGUUGUCAUCCCCAGCAUGAUAUGAGAGACGCAGUAUUGAAAUAUGCAAUUGCUCUUCUAAAUAAAUAAUAAAUGUGAUCUGCAAGCGCACAGAUUAAUACCGAUGUAGCAUUUUAACCGAGAAGUAUUCCAGGUAUCGUUAUUUAUAUUUUUACCACUGGGAAGGGAUUUCUAGUCAUCAAUGUUGAUUAUGGAAUAGAAUAUAGAAUUGAGUAUCUAUCAUUGCAUGUAUAAUUGAGAGCAUUUAUCUAUCUCUUUCAUACAGGGAUAAGUGUCACAAUAAAGAUAGAUAAAGUAUGAAUGGUGACAAAGAUAAUUAAUCUGAUCAGCAUAAUUUAGCCACAUAUAAAUAUGAUAAGCACCUCAAUAGAUAUUCUAGCAAGUCAUUAGCAUGGAAUUAGGAUGAACUACAAGAAUAUUUCCUAAGUUAUUCUUAACUAUAAAGUCUAGCAUAUCAUAGUUAGUGCAAUUAUACUUGGCAAUCAUUGCGAGACACGACUACACCCAUGCAUAGUGAUAUUAUCAAGGAAGAUGAGAAACAUAGCAAUCACUCCCCUGUAAUAAUGUUGCUCUCCCAGCCCUAUACACGAGAGGGGGGCUAUAUAAGAAUCAGUGGAGCUGUCACUACUGUUCACUGUCCUUAAGUAUCAAAUAUAAUCAGCAAAUAAACAAAGAAAAGGAUCCAAAUGCAACCGACAUCCAGACUUAGGGUUUUAUGUGACAGAAUUCCAUGAGUUUUGGUGUUUGUCUAUUUCUGUAGGGGGUUAUCAGGAAUUAUGGAAGAAAGGCCCACACAUCAUGUUUACAUAGAGAUAUUAACGUGCCGCGUAAUUUUCUAACAUCUAGAAGAGUCCAGAAGCCACGAGAACGAACGGGAGGUUUGGCAUUUUUGCCAAGUCUACUUUUGGUAGUGACAUUAAGAAUGCCCAACAAGCAUUUUUGGCGCCGUUGCCGGGGAAGGUUGAUUACUAAUCAGGAAUGAAUAUGGAAUUUUGAGUCAUCAUUCGCAUCACUAAUAUGAUUGAGAUUCUCAAUUCUGUCAUUGCAGUUUUACCCCGGUAUUUUUCUAUUUUACAUUAUACAGGGUAAUGUAUGAAUAGAAGACAUCUUCCAAGAAAUUUUGUUGACAAUCCCGAAGCACUAUUUAGAAAAACAAGAGCCAAGCUCAAGAAGAGAUCAUUUUCUUUGUUUACCCAUAGGGAGGAGUGGUAUCUUCUAGACUCUCGUUCGUUCAAAAAUGCCAAACCUCCCGUUCGUUCCCGUAGCUUCAGGACUCUUCUAGAUAUUAGAUAAUUGCGUGGCACAUUAAUAUCUCUAUGUAAACCCGACGUGUGGGCCUUUCUUCCAUAAUUCCUGAUAACCCCCUGCAAAAAUAGACAAACACCAAAACUCGUAGAAUUCUGUCAGAUAAAACCCUAAGUCUGGAUGUCGGUUGCAUUUGGAUACUUUUCUUUGUUUAUUUGCUGAUUAUAUUUGAUACUUAAGGACCGUCAACAGUAGUGACAGCUCCAUUGAUUCUUAUAUAGUCCCCCUCUCGUGUAUAGGGCUGGUAGAGCAACAUUAUUACAGGGGAGCGAUUGCUAUGUUUCUCAUCUUCCUUGAUAAUAUCACUAUGCAUGGGCGUAGUCCUGUCUCGCAAUGAUUGCCAGGUAUAAUUGCACUAACUAUAAUAUCCUAGACUUUAUAGUUAAGAAUAAUUUAGGAAAUAUUCUUGUAGUUCGUCCUAAUUCCAUGCUAAUGACUUGCUAGAAUAUCUAUUGAGGUGCUUAUCAUAUUUAUAUGUGGCUAAGUUAUUCUAAUCAGAUUAAUUAUCUUUGUGACGAUUCAUACUUUAUCUAUCUUUUAUGUGACAUUUAUCCCUAUAUGAAAGAGAUAGAUAAAUGCUCUCAAUUAUACUUGCAAUGAUAUAAACUCAAUUCUAUAUUCCAUUCCAUAAUCAACAUUGAUGUUUAGCAAUCCCUUCCUAGUGGUAAAAAUAUAAAUAAUGAUACCUGGAAUACUUCCUGGUUAAAAUGCUACAUUGGUAUUAAUCUAUGCGCUUGCAGAUCUCAUUUAUUAUUUAUUUAGAAGAGCAAUUGCAUAUUUCAAUACCGCGUCUCUCAUGUCAUGCUGGGGAUGACAACUUGGCUUAAGUGGCAUGAGGGAUAGGUUUGGCUUUUUUGGCGCCGUUAUCAAAAUUAGAAAACUAAGUCUACUUUUGGUAGUGACGUUAAGAAUGCCCAACAACUACCACGAACUACCCCACAAUCCGGCAUAUAGGGUACAAUCGCAGAUAAAUAAGGUAUAGGCACCACGCCUACACAACACUUACCAUUUACCCACUAUACAAAUGGAUAAAUGCUAUACGAUCCUAAACAUGUAUAUAAUUCCAAUCUAACUAAGCCAAGAAUAUAACUAUGAUAAACUAAGAACAAUAUAAUUGCAAAUAUAAACAAGUAGAGCAAAGUCAUAAUCAAUAUAUUGAAGUAGAACAAAGUCAUAUUCAUAAUAUUGAAGAACAAAGAUGAACAAUUGAAGAACAAUAGAGGAAUUACCAAGAAUCCUCUUGACAGAUCUGGAAACCAAUCGAAGAUUGCCUUGUAGUUCUAAUCCUAUGUAGCUAUGCUAAACUAGAGAUCUGUUGAUGUGGUGGCUAUAGGGCUUGAUCAGAGGCUUCUUCUCCUAAGAUGGAUAAUGAAUUAGGGUUUCAGAGAGAUAGAGGUCCUCUCCUCCAAGGGCCAGGGGGUCUGCUUAUAUAGUCAUUCCAAAUGAAUAUGGGCCGUCGGAUCUAACCGACAUUAAUCGCACGGCUUUCCUUGAUCCCUUAGGUUGGUGGAGCAUGAUCCGCGAAGUUGAACGUGAUUGGCCCUCAGGCCAGGGCGGGCGCCCAAGGGGGGAGGGCGGGCGCCCUGCCCCCGGGCCCGAUCGGACUCCCGUUCGUUCCUGUGGCUUCUGGACUCUUCUAGAUGUUGGAUAAUUGCACGGUACGUUAAUAUCUCUAUGUAAACCCGACAUGAGGGCCUUUCUUCCAUAAUUCCUGAUAACCCCCUACAGAAAUAGACAAACACCAAAACUCAUGGAAUUCUGUCAGAUAAAACCCUAAGUCUGGGUGUCGGUUGCAUUUGGAUCCUUUUCUUUGUUUAUUUGCUGAUUAUAUUUGAUACUUAAGGACCGUCAACAGUUGUGACAUGGGAUAGUGAUGCUUCUUCGGAUGAUGAUUCUAUUGAUGAUGACAAGUCAUCCAAGAAGAAGGCGCUUGCAAGUAUUGCUAUCAACAAACCAUCACACUUCGACACUCCUUCAUGCUUCAUGGCCAAGGGCCACAAGGUACAAUAUGAUGAGAGUGAAAGUGAAAAUGAAGAUGAACAUGAUAGUGAUAGUGAUGAUGAAAAUGAAUUCACUAAUGAACAACUCGUGGACAUGCUAGAACAAGCCGAUUCACUUAUUCAAUCUAAAAACAAGAAGUGCAAAGAAUUGGCCAAGAAGUUAAAAGCUCUUGAGCAAUCCUUUGAUGAGGUCAAUGCUAAUCAUGAGAGGCUAGUGGAAGCCCAUGAGAAGCUUGGCAAGGCUCACACCAAGCUUGAGAAAGCUCACUCCUUGUUGUUAUAAGAGAACAAAGAAAAGGUUGUUGUAUCAUGUGAUGUGGGCACAACAUGUGACUUAAUUAACGAAUCCCCCAACCCACCUAUUGUUGUUGCCACUAACUCUUCUUGUAGGUCUUCAUCCACCACCACUAACUCUACCUCUACUUCUAGUGUUGGUGUCACUUGUGAUGCUUCACUAAAGGUUGAGAAUGAGACUCUCAAGAGAGAGGUGGAUGAGCUCACUCAUGCCCUAGGCAAGGCCUAUGUGGUGAGGCCCGCUUGCUAAAGUGCUUGGGUAGCCAAAGGUUUUCUCUCAACAGAGAGGGGUUAGUCUAUACCCCCAAGAACGGCAAGAAAGCCUUUGCAACUCACAAGCCUAGCUUUGUGAAGAGCAAUGGUCGGUAUUGCAACAAAUGCAAGCAAGUUGGGCACCUAGAGCUUAAUUGCAAUAAAAUGAACAAGAACAAGAAAAAUGCUAAUGUACCUUACAAUCCAUUUGAUUCUUGUUAUGUGCUUACCAAGAGUGAGAAGGGUGUGCAUGCUAAGUUUGUUGGUACACCAAUUAUGGGUCCAAAGAAGAAGGCCAUUUGGGUACUAAAAAGCUUAGUCACUAACCUCCAAGGACCCAAACAAGUAUGGGUACCUAAGAAACAUUGAUUUGUAUUGUAGGUAAACUAUAAAGCUGGAGGAAGGCAUUAGGUGCUUGAUAGUGGGUGCACACAACACAUGACCGGUGAUUCAAGACUGUUCAAUUCAAUCAAUCCAAAUGAUGACAAUGGUGUUGAUAGUAUCACAUUUGGUGACAAUGGCAAAGGCAAGGUCAAAGGGCUUGGUAAAAUUGCUAUAUCCAAUGACUUGAGCAUUUCCAAUGUGCUACUAGUAGAGAGCUUGAACUUUAACUUGCUAUCCGUAGCUCAACUUUGUGAUCUUGGCUUCAAAUGCAUAUUUGGAGUUGAUGAUGUAGAGAUCAUAAGUGUAGAUGGCUCUAACUUGAUAUUCAAAGGCUUUAGAUAUGAGAAUCUAUACUUGGUUGAUUUCAAUGCUAGUGAAGCUGAAUUAUCAACAUGCUUGCUCACUAAAUCUAGCAUGGGUUGGUUAUGGCAUAGAAGGCUUGGUCAUGUUGGAAUGAAACAAUUAAACAAGUUAGUCAAGCAUGAUCUUGUUAGAGGCUUGAAAGAUGUCACAUUUGAGAAAGACAAGCUUUGUAGUGCAUGUCAAGCCGGAAAGCAAGUUGGCAACACUCAUCCAAAGAAAAGCAUCAUGAGUACAUGCAAGGCAUUUGAGUUGUUGCACAUGGAUCUAUUUGGACCAACCACAUACACAAGCAUUGGUGGAAAUAAAUAUGGAUUUGUGAUAGUGGAUGAUUUCACAAGAUAUACAUGGGUAUUCUUUCUUAGUGACAAGAGCGAUGCUUUUGCAACCUUCAAAUCAUUUGUCAAGAGAAUACACAAUGAGUUUGAAGCAACCAUCAAGAAAGUGAGAAGUGACAAUGGAAGUGAAUUCAAGAAUACAAGAGUUGAUGAGCUUUGUGAUGAAUUUGGCAUUAGGCGUCAAUUCUCGGCCAAGUACACUCCACAAUCAAAUGGUCUUGUAGAGAGGAAGAAUAGAACCUUGAUUGACAUGGCAAGAUCAAUGUUGAGUGAGUACAAUGUGAGUCACUCUUUUUGGGCCGAAACAAUCAACACGGCUUGCUACUAUAGCAACCGACUCUAUUGUCACCUAAUGAUGGAAAAGACACCAUAUGAACUCUUGAGUGGAAGAAAGCCCAACAUUGCAUAUUUUUGGGUUUUUGGUUGCAAAUGCUACAUAUUGAAGAAAGGCACUAGAUUGAGUAAAUUUGAAAAGAAAUGUGAUGAAGGAUUCUUGUUUGGUUACUCCACUACUAGCGAAGCUUAUAGUGUUUGGAAUUUGGCUAGUGGUACUCUUGAAGAGGUGCAUGAUGUUGAAUUUGAUGAAACCAAUGGCUCUCAAGAGGAAGAUGAGAAUCUAGAUGAUGUGAGAGGCACUCAAUUGGCCGAUGCAAUGAAGAACAUGGAUAUUGGUGAUUUAAGGCCUAGAGAGGUGAUUGAUGUUGAAGAUGACAAAGAUCAAGUGCUUCCUACCUCUAAUGUGCAAGCUAGUGGUUCUCAUGAUCAAAAUCAAGCUAGUACAAGUGGUACUCGAGUGCAAGAUCAACAAGCUAGUACAUCGUCUCAUGAUCAACCAAGUGCAAACAAUCAAGUGCAAAUACUCCAACCAACAAAUAUUGGAAGAGAUCAUCCAUUGGAUCAUAUCAUAGGUGACAUUCAAAGAGGAGUGCAAACUAGAUCAAGAUUAGCAUCAUUUUGUGAGCAUUUCUCCUUUGUGUCUCAUAUUGAGCCAAAGAAGAUUGAUGAAACAUUGAGAGAUGUUGAUUGGGUUAAUGCUAUGCAUGAAGAGCUCAACAAUUUCAAGAGAAAUCAAGUAUUGGAAUUAGUUGAGAGGCCUAGUGAUCACAAUGUCAUAGGUACUAGAUGGGUCUUUCGCAACAAGCAAGAUCAAGAUGGGAUAGUUGUAAGGAACCAAGCAAGAUUGGUAGCACAAUGCUAUACUCAAGUUGAAGGUCUUGACUUUGGUGAAACAUAUGCCCUGGUUGCAAGAUUGGAAGCAAUUAGGAUCUUGUUAGCCUAUGCUUGUGCUCAUAACAUCAAGUUAUACCAAAUGGAUGUCAAAAGUGCAUUUCUAAAUGACUAUAUCAAUGGAGAAGUUUAUGUUGAGCAACCACUCGGUUUUGAAGAUGACAAGAAACCCAACCAUGUUUACAAGCUAAGAAAGGCAUUGUAUGGUUUGAAGCAACCACCUAGAGCAUGGUAUGAGAAAUUGAGAGAUUUCUUACUCUCUAAAGGAUUCAAGAUGGGCAAGGUUGACACCUCUCUCUUCACCAAGAAGAUUGCCAAGGACUUCUUUGUGUUGCAAAUCUAUGUUGAUGAUACAUAUUUGGAUCAACCAAUCAAAAAUUUUGCGAGGAGUUUCGAAACAUGAUGGCUAAUGAGUUUAAGAUGUCAAUGAUUGGAGAGCUUAGUUACUUCCUUGGUCUUCAAAUCAAGCAAUUGAAGAAUGGCACAUUUGUGAGUCAAGGCAAGUACAUAAAAUACAUGCUCAAGAAGUAUGGUAUGGAUGAUGCAAAAUCAAUUAGCACACCAAUGGGAACAAAUGGAAGCCUAGAUAGUGAUACAAGUGGAAAUAUGGUGGGUCAAAAGUUGUAUCGGUCUAUGAUUGGAAGCUUACUCUAUGUGACCGCAUCAAGACCGGAUGUCAUGUUUAGUGUAUGCAUGUGUGCAAGAUUCCAAGCCCCACCAAGAGAAAGUCAUUUGAAAGCAACGACGAGAAUAUUGAGGUACUUGAAGCAUACACAAAAUGUUGGUUUGUGGUAUCCCAAAGGUGCAAAGUUUGAACUUGUUGGAUAUUCCGACUCGGACUCACUUGUCUCAUGGUCAUCUAAGAAGCAAAAUAGUGUUGCACUAUCAACCGCCGAAGCGGAGUACAUUGCGGGCGGUAGUUGUUGUGCACAAAUCCUAUGGAUGAAGGCAACUUUGAAAGAUUUUGGAAUGAACAUCAAGCAAGUGCCAUUGCUAUGUGACAAUGAAAGUGCCGUGAAGCUAACCAACAAUCCGGUUCAACACUCAAGAACAAAGCACAUAGAUGUCCGCCAUCACUUCGUAAGAGAUCACCAACAAAAAGGGGACAUUUGCAUUGAGAGUAUGGGCACCGAUGAUCGACUUGCCGAAAAGAGUUUUUGCAAGCUAAGGAAUGAAUUGAACAUACUUGACUUCUCAAAUAUGUGUUGAUGCACCCCCACUAUAUGACAUGCCUCUCCCUCGAGCAAAGCAAGGUGAAAUUGUUUGACAUGUCAUCCAUCUUUGCUAAGGACUUGUUUAGUGCAUCUAGUCAUUCCUAACAUGUCUUAUGAUCAUUCAUGAAAAUCAAAUGAAUUUGAUGCUUGUAUGGUACCACUAUUGCUUUUAUGCUUGAUUUGAUCUAGUGGUAGCAUAUGACAUGUUUGUGGGCUUGCAAUCCUAGUGUUUAAUCUAGAAUAUGAGCUAUAAGUGUUUAACUCAACAUGGUACAAGAUAACCCUUAUUUGGAGGUGUGAAGAAGCUUGUCCUUGGAUCAAACCGAGUUAAAUAUCUUAGGCAAGUAAUCUAGAUUGGACCAAUUUGGGAAAAUGAUCUCACUUCACAUGGUUUCACACUAAGCUAUCUAAAAUUUGAGCUCACCUUUUGUGGUCUUUGAUGACAAAGGGGGAGAAAAUUUCCUAAAGAUUUAAGAUAGGGGAGUAACAUAAUAAAAGAAGGGGAUUAAUCAAAAUUUUGAGGCACACAAGUAGGGAGAGCAAGCUCAUAAACUUGUAUAUUGCAUUUGAAUGUGCAUCACAUAUGUUUGCUUGCAUUAGCAUUAGCUUUAGAAGCUUUCUCUCCGAUACCUUGCUUGUGUGGUGUAUGCUAGUUAUAGGUUUGAUUGAUGAAAUGAAGAACUAGCAUGCAUAGGUAGUAUAACUAGAAUUUUAGUUAUUUCACAAGUAGUACUAGAACCUUGUUUAUAAUGUUGAUCUCACGGGGUGUUCUAGUUUUGUGAAAGUCUAGUUACUAAUGGUGCUAAGGAUGGUGUAUAUUGGCAACUCCGAUUGGUAUCACGCUUCAAAGGUCCAUUCUUUACACCUUAGCAUCAUUUGGAAGAAAUUGACUCCUAUAUUUCCUAUUCAAGCAUAUGUGCAAAGCUUUCAAAUCCAAACUCUUAGCACAUAUGUAGGGGGAGCAAUUGCUACCAAUUUGGGUUUAUGAAACUUAUCCAUAAUAUUUGCACAUGGUAAAAUGCUUGGGCAAGCAACAUGAAUCCAAGAAAAUUUUAUUGAAAAUGUUUGUAAAAAGGGUUGUCAUUAAUUACCAAAAAGGGGGAGAUUGAAAGCCCUAGUUUGGUUUUGGAUAAUUGAUGAAACCCUAGUACUAACCUCUAUACUAAGUGUGUGUAUACUUAAUGAGGUUGGUACAUGCCAAGUGAUGGAGCAAGUGAUGAUCAUGGUGAUGAUGGCGAUGACCACAAGAUGAUGAAGUGCUCAACUUGGAAAAGAAGAAAGAGAAAAACAAAACCCUAUGGAGAUCAAGGCAAAGGUAUUGCUUAGGGUUUUGGUUUUGGUGAUCAAGACACCAUAGAGGGUGUGAUCGCAUUUAGGAUAGAUAGCCGUACUAUAAAGAGGGGAAUUCUUUGGCUAAGUGGUUAUCAAGUGCCACUAGGUGCCAUUGUUCAUGUGCAUGCAUUAAAACCUAGUGAGCUAACUUAACUCCUUCAAAGAAAAUGAUUGUGAAAAUGCUAACACACGUGCACACUUGUUGGUACACACUUUGUGGUGUUGGCACACUUUGAGAAGGAGGUGGAGUUUGAAGGGUAGAGAGAGGAUGGGUUCUCAGUGAGAAAAUGAAGUCACGGGAGAAAAUGAAGUGCAUAUCUUCUAUUGCGCCGGUGGGAAAAUUUGGAGAAGUCACAGGAGUGUUUCUCGCUGAGAAACACUCACCGGACGCUAGCCACUGAGGCACCGGACGCUGAGUGUGUGCGUCCGGUGUAGUCAGUGCCUGGCCCAGCUAGGGUAAGGCACCAGACGACAGGCACCGACAUAGGCUUGAGUGUCCGGUGGUACGUGUCCGUUUUGAGGUCCAUUUGUAGACCUCCCUAGAUUUUAGUCUGGUGAGCACCAGACGGUCCGGUGCUCAGCGUCUGAUGCCCUGCGUGUUUGCAGUCCUCCCUGAGUUUAGGACCGGUGUGCACCGGACGCGUCCGGUGCCAACUUAGGAGCGUCUGGUGCUCUGCAGGUUACCAUUAGACUCUGACACGAGAGUUUCAAAAGGUGACACGUGGCUGACAUUGGAGCACCGGACGCAUGUGUUGAGCAUCUGGUGCCCCUGAAGAGCGUCUGGUGACCCCGUAUUUCGCCCAGUGAAAGAGCCGACGACUCUAUUUGUUUGAGGGGCUUAUAAUUACUUAUUGGCCGGCUUAGGACACAUACUCUUGGCAUUCUAACAUACUUGACAUCCUUGUGAGCCUAAGCAAACACCUCCCACUCAUCUCCUUCAUAUGUUAUUCAUCUUUGUGAGAUUGGGAGUGAUUCCAAGUGUAUUUGCUUGAGUGAUUGCAUCUAGUGGCACUUGGGGAUUGACUUGGCUGCGGUUUUCUUGUUACUCUUGGUGGUUGCCACCACCUAGACGGCUUGGAGCAGUAGAGGAGCUUUGGCACGAGUUGGUGAUUGUUCGUGGCCAUCUCCCGGUGGUUGUGAGGGGCCUUGUACCUUCCCCGGCGGAGAGCCAAAAGGUAACUCUAGUGGAUUGCUCAUGUCAUUGAGUUACCUCACUUGUGGGUUAGUUCUUGCAGUGUCCUAGUGCGGACGAAGUUCGUGCUACACCUCUUAGCCGCCGAACCACCAAGUGUUGGUCGACACAACGGGGAUGUAGCGUGCCGGCAAGCACGUGAACCUCGGAGAAAAUUGUGUAUCUCCAUUGUGAUUGUUCAUUGGAUUUCUCUCGGUGUUUGGACUCAUAUUAUUGAUUGGUUCAUCCCCUCUAUGCGGCGGUAUAAAGAUCAAACCAUCUCUUUUACAUUCCUGCAAACUAGAGUAGCUUACUUGUAUAGAAACUUUAGGUAGCUUUCUAGUGUAAGUAGUGACAUAGCUCUUGUGUGCCUAGUGAUUAUAUCAACUAGAAUUGUGGGAUAGGUGGCUUGCAAACACCCCUUUAGAGCUAGAGCAAAAAGCUUCACUUUGUUAUUUACUAACCUCAUGCUCUAGUGAGUUUGUAGAAUUUUUAAAUAGACUAUUCACCCCCCUCUAGCCAUAUUAGGACCUUCCACUCAGCCAAAAGGAAGUAUCGUAGAGGGCUAUGGGAUAGAGGAGGUCAUUGAGUUCUGUGUUGAAUUCAUUCCUGAACUUGACCCAAUUGGUGUUCCUAAAUCGCGACACGAGGGGAGACUGAGUGGAAAGGGAACACUAGGAAAGAAAACAAACAUCGGUAUGGGGGACGAUUCUUUCAAUAAUGCACACUACACAGUUCUUCAAAACUCAUCCGUGGUGGAGCCGUAUGUCACGAAACACAAGGACUUCCUACGAUCCCAAUUCCCAGAGAAUAAUGAAGCUUGGUUUAUGCGUCAGCACAUGGACACUUUCAGUGAUUGGUUACCAAAAGAAUGUGUGGGUAAUGACCAGAUUGAUGAGCAACUGUAUUUGUUGGCUAGGCAACCAUCAUGGCACAUCCUCAUGUACAAAGGGUACGAGAUAAAUGGAAAUACAUUUUACACCCUAGGCCAAGAUACAAGAAGCACGAACCAAAAUAGUGGGGUUCGCGUAUAUGCCAUAGACCCGAAUGGAAAUAGACAAACAUAUUAUGGCCGUAUAGAGGAGAUUUGGAAACUAGACUACGCACCUAAUUUUAAAGUCCCUUUGUUCCGGUGCCAAUGGGUGAAGGUUACCGGAGGCGGGGUGACAGUUGACAAAGACUAUGGAAUGACAACACUGGACCUCAACAAUGUUGGUUACAAAGAUGAACCAUUCAUCCUUGCUACUGAUGUGAAUCAGGUGUUCUAUGUGAAAGACAUGUCUACAAAACAGAAGAAAGGGAAAAAUGACAACAAAUCAACAAAUGAGCCAAAACGCCAUAUAGUUCUCUCAAGGAAAAGAAAUAUUGUGGGAAUUAAGGACAAGUCAGAUAUUUCAGAAGAUUAUGAAACAGAUGACCAAAUCACGCCUUUCAAUGUGACCAAAGAUCCGAGCAUACUGAUAAAUGCUGAGGACACUCCAUGGUUACGUCAAGAUCAUGACCAAGGAACAUGCGUCAAAAAGAAGAUCACUAUUGUGCUCGCCUAAUAAAUAGAUUGCAUUAGAGUAUGUGUAUGUGACAAUUGUAACUUAAGAUGUUUAUAUUACUUUUUCUUAUUUUAUAUCAUUUCAAAUAAUGAAAUGACUUGUGGGAAAUGACAUUUAAGUUUGCUAUUAUAAGAGAUGUGUCAAUUGUGGAUUUUCAACUACACCUUCCCAACACUUUGUCAAAUGCAAAAUUAGUCAAACUUGGUCAAAUGACAAACUAAAUUACUUAAAAUGAAAAAAAUUUGAAUACCAAGUUGUUAGAUAUCAUGAAGAUCUAAAAUUUUUAUACAGACAAUUUUUCCAUUUGAGAAAGUUUAAGUUCACAAUAGCCACCAAAUCUUGAAUCUCACACAAACUAUAUGAAACUAUAUGUGUCAAUUGUGCAUUUUCAACUACACCUUCCCAACACUUUGUCAAAUGCAAACAUGGUCUAUAUAUUAAAUGUAGAUUUUGAUGAGUGGAACAAUAUUGGUAUUCAUGACUUUUCCAUUCGAGACCAUCUAGUGUUCUGAAAACCGAUGCGUGGCUAUGAAUUCUUUCAAAAUUCAAAAUUGAUUGGUUCAAACUUUUCCAAAAGAAAAGUUGACCAUUAGGCCAAAUGUAGAACAUGAUGAGUGUAACAAACUUUGUAUUCAUUACUUUUCCAUUUGGGACCAUAUAGGGUUCGGUCAAAGUGUGUGUUUCUAAAAACCAAUGCUUUGACUUUGGUCAAACUUGGUCAAAUGACCCAUUUGAUGUCUUGAAAUGAAAAAAAUUUGAAUACAAAGUUGGUAGAGAUCACAAAGAUCUACAUUUGAUGUAUUGUCUACUUUUCCAUUUGGAUAAAUUUAAGCCAAUCCUAAGCACAUUUGUUCAAAAUCCAAUAUGGGUUUUGGUCAAACUUGGUCAAAUGACAAACUAAAUUACUUAAAAUGAAAAAAUUUUGAAUACCAAGUUGUUAGAUAUCGUGAAGAUCUAAACUUUUUAUAUAGACAAUUUUUCCAUUUGAGAAAGUUUAAGUUCACAAUACCCACCAAAUUUUGAAUCUCACACAAACUAUAUGAAACUAUAUGUGGAAAUUGUGGAUUUUCAACUACACCUUCCCAACACUUUGUCAAAUGCUAACAUGGUCUAUAUAUUAAAUGUAGAUUUUGAUGAGUGGAACAAUAUUAGUAUUCAUGACUUUUUCAUCCGAGACCAUCUAGGGUUUUGAAAACCAAUGCGUGGCUAUGAAUUCUUUCAUAAUUCAAAAUUGAGUGGUUCAAACUUUUCCAAAAGAAAAGUUGACCAUUAGACCAAAUAUAGAACUUGAUGAGUGUAACAAACUUUGUAUUCAUUACUUUUCUAUUUGGGACCAUCUAGGGUUCGGUCAAAGUGUGUGUUUCUAAAAACGAAUGCUUUGACUUUGGUCAAACUUGGUCAAAUGACCCAUUUGAUGACUUGAAAUGGAAAAAAAAUUGAAUACAAAGUUGGUAGAGAUCAUCAAGAUGUAAUGGUGAAUAUUGUUGUAAGUAUAAAUAAAUAAGAAAUAGAGAAGAAAUCUUUAAAAAAUAAUCCGAUAUAAUGGUGAAUAUCACGUAUAUCACGAUUUUGGAGAUAAAUGAUGAUAAAUGAAUAAAAUUUACGUUUAAAUAAUGCACAAACAAAUUUUCUAUCAAAAACACCUACUUUAAGAUAUUGAAAUUAAAUAAUACUUUUUUGCAUUAACAAAAUACGAAUUAUUUUUCAUAUUUAAGUUUGCUAAUCUAAGAGAUUGAAAGAUUUUAUGUUUCCAAAUUAUUAUGUAAGCAAUUAGACAAAAAAAUGGAACUAUUAUUUUUUAACAAAUUAAUACCUAUUAUUCUAUUUACUAUGCAAUUAAGAAAAUUAAUCUAAUUAAUGUAAGCAUAAAUAAAUAAGAAACGUUAAAAAUACUUUUAAGCCCGGUUCCUGGAUGGAACCGGGACUAAAGGUUGCCUUUAGUCCCGGUUCCAGACUGGAACCGGGAUUAAAUGUUGCACCUUUAGUCCCGGUGCGUAUCACCAACCGGGACUAAAGACCUUUUAGUCCCGGUUGGUGAUACACACCGGGACUAAAGGUCCCCGCGUAUAUUUAAGCGCACAGUCAUGUUCCUCCUCGAUCUUCCCAGCCGUCGUUGCCCUAAUUUCCUCCGCCGCGAGCCGCUCCUCCCGGCCGUCGCCUCGCGCCCUCGUCCCCGAACAGCACCUCUGACAGCUCGUCCCCGAGAGCGCCGCGAGCCCAGGGAGCGAUGCCGCCACCGCCGCCGCCAACCAUCGUUCUCGGCACCGUCUUCUUCUCCAGCACCGUACGGGGCGCCGCGUUCUCCUUCUCCGGCAGCGACGAAAGCUCGUCCCCCGCCACUCGUCCCCGACCCUCGUCCCCGGCCGCCGAGCACCGUACGGAGCCAGGCCUAAAUAUUUUCUAAUUUAGAUUAAACCUAAUAUAUUUGUUGUUUUAAAUUAUCUAAUACUUCAAUUUAUCUACUUAUUUAUGUAUGAUUUUAUUAUUAUUUAUAGUUUCAUUAUAGAUAUUAUUGAUUAAUAGAUACUAUUUAUAGUUUCAUUAUUUAUAGUUUCAUUAUAGAUAUUAUUCAAUUUAUCUUGGAGCUUCUUGAAAGAGCAUCUAGGCCCCUAAUGGAUUUCGGUGAUUAAUGACAAUGUUGAUUGCUGUGACUAACAUGUGUUUUGCAUAGGCAAAGUCAUUAGUAUUAGGUCAUGGUAACUGGUACUCGAUGAACAUGGACAUAUAUGCCUACUUAAUAGUGGAAAUCGUUUCGGUUUUCAAAGGAUGGAUGGACAUCGUCAAGACUAGACUAGGUCUAAGUGCCAUAUGGUGAAGAAGGGCACUUAGAGUAGUUUAGGACUUUGUUUUCCUUUGACCGUACUAUUAAGUGGGGCUUUGAUCUAGUAGCUUGACUUAGGUAAGGCUUUAGGUUUAGGUGUGGUGCACACUUGGUAAACCUAGCACUAGGCAGCUCAGAGAUAGUCCUUAGAUCGAGAGGUACAAACUUUGUUUUGGAACGGUCGCGUUUCGACAAAGUUUGGGUGUCUAAGUUGGCACCGGACGCACAGUGAGUGCGUCCGGUGAGGUCAUUUGCAGUCAGAGUGACUGAGUGCCUAGGGUUAGGCACUGGACGCUAGCACCAGACGCGCCGGGUAGUGUCCGGUCCUAAACCCAGGGAGGUCCAAAACGUGACCUAUGUCACCGGACGCUAGCACCGGACUCACCGGGUAGUGUUCGGUCCUAAACUCGGGGAGGAUGUAAAGUUCAUGCUCGCACCGGAUGGUGUCACCGAACGCUGAGAAGUAGAGUCCGGUGCUCUGUCAAACAGAGUAUAGUUAGCCGUUAUGAGGUCACCGGACGCUCGGUGUAGACCGUCCGGUGUAACAUAACCAGCGUCCAGGGACCCUGUUUUCAGUGUAAAAUGGUUGGCUGACCCUUGGACUUCGUGGGGUGUAUUUAUACUCCUCCACCUAGUCCAUGGGAGCUCUCUUGCCCAUUUGAACAGUUGAGAGACACUUUGUGGAGCAAGAGAGAAGCAAGAGCCUAGAGAGGAUUGAGAUUUGUGAGAUUUCUUGUGAGAAUCCUUCUCUAGUGAAAUUCCAAGAGUCAAGUGUGCAUCCACCACUCUCUAGAGCCUUGAUUGGGUCAAGUGAGAGUUCUUUGCUUGUUACUCUUGGUGAUCGCCAUCACCUAGACGGUUCGGUGGUGAUUGGAGGCGCGAAGACCGCCCGAAGUUCUUAUGGGUGGCUCGUGUCAAGCUUGUGAGCGGUUUUGGGCGAUUCACCACGACGGAGUGUCAAAGAAUCAGCCCGUAGAUAGCACUUGGUCCUUGCACGGACCAAGGGGAGCAAAACCCUUGCACGGGUGCUCCAACGAGGACUAGUGGAGAGUGGCGACUCUCCGAUACCUCGGCAAAACAUUGCCGAGAACUUUAUUCCACUACUCCUUUACUUUCUAGCAUUUACUUUGUGCAAUUACUUUGAGUUUUUACAUUCCUAGAAUUGUCAUGCUAGAAUAGGAUUGGAACUAGGUUGCAAAACCUUUAUCCGGUAGCUCUCUAGUCACACUAGGCACAAGGGGUUGAAUUGGAGCUUAUAGGUUGCUUAAAUUUUUAGAGAAGCUCAAUUCACCCCCUCUUGGGCAUCUUGAUCCUUUCAAUUGGUAUCAGAGCCUAGUGCUCAUUAUUUAGGCUUCACCGCCUAGAGAAAGAUGUCUAACGUGGAUGGACCGCCACCUAUGUUCAAUGGGGAUGACUUCCUGUAUUGGAAAAUACGGAUGGAGUCAUACCUUGAGGCAUGCGACACUAAGUGCCUAAAAGCCGCGACUGAAGGGUUUACCCCUGCGGCAAAAGACGCCAUUCUUACUCCACAAGAGCAAUUAAACGAGAAGUGGAAUGCAAAGGCCAAAAACCACAUCUUUAGAGGUCUUUGCAAAGAGGUGUUCAACCGCGUUCGGAACCGCAAAACCGCCCAUGCUCUAUGGAAGGAACUUUGUGCGCUCCAUGAGGGAUCCAAGAGUGAGCGUGAGGAACGCUUUCAUCGUGUGAUGAACAAGCUUAAUACAAUUGAAAUGCUUCCAAAAGAAAAUGCCAAUGAAAUGUAUUCUCGCUUGAAUGUCAUUGUAGAGGAGCUAAAUGGACUUGGGCUCAAUCAAAUGAGUGCGGCGGAUGUGGCAAGAAAGAUACUAUGUGUUCUCCCCAUUGAGAAAUAUGGGCACAUAGUAACCGUGCUUCAUCAAGGUGAUCUCUCCACCGCUACACCAACGUCCAUAUUGGGUAAGAUCAAUGCUCAUGAGAUGUACAUGCACAUGAACCCCCAAGAUGGCUCCUCAUUGGCCGAGAAGGAAAAGAAGGACUUGGCCCUCAAAGCUUCUCACAAGAGCAAAGCCAAGAAGAUUGAAGUUGAGUCAUCAACUUCAAGUGAUGAUGAUGCAUGUUGACGGUCCUUAAGUACUAAAAUUAAUAAUCAAAUAAACAUGGAAAAGGAUCAAUAUGCACCAAACAUCUAGAAUUAGGGUUUUAUCUGACAGAAUUCCACGAGCUUUGGUGUUUAUCCAUUUCUGCAGGGGGUUAUCAGAGAAUACGGAGAGAAGGCCCACAUGUCAUGUUUACAACGAGAUAAUUACAUGCCGUGCAAUUUUUCUCAAUCUAGAAGUGUCUAGAAGCCACGGGAACGAAUGAGAAGAGGAUCGGGCUCGGGGGCAGGGCGCCCGCCCACCCCCCUUGGGCGCCUGCCCUGGCCAGGAGUUGGAUCAGGACUCUGUUUCGGGACUAAACUCCACCGACCUAAAGGAUGAAUCUAAACCAUAUGUCGGUUUGAUCCAACGGCCCAAAUUCACUUGAAAGGACUAUAUAACCAAGGCCUCUCCACCCCUGGAGGAGAGAGGAGAAGAGAAGAAAUCAUUAUUCAGAGGUAGCCAUCAAAGUUAGGGUUUAGAGCUUCUCUCCCAUAGAGAAUUAGAAUUAGCUACUCCCUAAUCCUUCAAGUUUAGAGGUUUGAUUAGAUAGCAAUUAGAGAAGUAGAGCACUACGCUCUGGAUUCGGAUCUUCGGUAAUAAAGAUUGGUAUUAUUCAUAUCUUUCUCUAAUUCUUUGUUCUAAUUGCAUUAUGUCUCUAAUUAUUAUGUUCUUAGUUUGCUCUAGUUCUAUAUUUGAUAUAGUUAUGAUUGAUAAUGAGUUUAUGUAUAAGUUUGCAAAGCGCUUAGCUUUUGACGCGAGGGAGUUAAGUGAUAGAUCACAUGUGAGCGUGGUGCUUAGAUGUUAUUUAUCUGCAAAUGUAUCCUAUUGGCUGGGUCGUGUGGUAGUUCGCGAUAGUGACGCUUCGUUGAUUCUUAUAUAGUCCACCCUCCGUUGAUAGGACAGGCAGAACUGGUAUUGUGGAGUAAGUCUUGCGAUGCUCUGAUUUACUUUAGCAAUGUUCCUUAUACAUGAAUGAAGAGUCUUUUAUGCUAUAUAUGAUCUUGUAGAUAACUAGAGUAGAUCAUGACUUAGUAGAUAGUAGAUAACUUAGAAUCCAUUCUCUAGCUAAUCCGACAUCACCUACAUAUAUGAGCAGUAGUCUAUUUUCUAAUCGAUGUGUUAUUUAUCCCUUGAACUUAUAAUUCAUUAUCAUUAUCUUUAUGGUUUACCCCCUGCUAAAGUAAGUGACUGUGUGACGUGUUUCUCAUUAGUAAUCAUGUUCUUGCAAGUUCAUCUCUAGUCUAUGCCUUGAUAGAUUUUGUCCUUAAUUCAAUUUCAUCCCUUUUGUUCUCUUAAGCAAAAUUAUAAAUAACGAUACCUGGAAUACUUAUCCUGGUGAAAUGCUACAAUGAGGUGUUUUAUCUGUGCACUUGCGGAUAGAAUAGAUUAUUUUCUAGAGAGCCUUUACAUUUAUAAAUACCUUUGUACACUCUGGCACUAUGCUGGGGAUGACAACCUAGUAUCUAAGUGGUGUUAGCUAGUGUCAACAAGAAUUUCUGGCGCCAUUGCCGGGGAACAAAAGGGUAACACAUAGGAACGGUAAGGAAAGUUAGGAAAUCAGUCAAGGUUAUUCAUAUAAAAUAUUAGACUAGACUAUAGAGAAAUAAUUACAUAAAACAGCUACUAAGUGAGAAAUCAUAACAAGGCACCUCUGCUUUGGCAUGUUCACCCUGUUGUUUUUCUAUGUUUAUAUUUUUGUACAGGGUAUAUCAGGAUUGACUUUGGGUACAUUCAACUCUUCAUCAUCAGAACCAAAGCAAUCAAGAGAAGAAGAAGCUUGCUACCAAUUGCUGAAGCAAUGGCACAGAAGACCCUACAAGAAUUCUCUGCUCCAAGCCUUGAGAACAUUCCAACUGGUCCAAGAUUUGCAGUAGAAGAAGGAAUAUCCGAGUUUGAGCUCAAGUCAAGCCUCAUCAAUUUGGUGCAAACUACACAAUUCAGUGGAAAGGCACAUGAAGAUGCUAGUGCGCACUUGCAGAAUUUCUUAGAGAUUGGAAGCACAAUCCACAUCAACGGAGUUGACAAAGAUGCCAUACUGCUUCGCCUUUUUCCAUUCUCACUAGAAGGGAAAGCGAGGAAGUGGUUCUACACUCAUCAAGAUAACAUCAACAACUGGAUGAACUUGUCAGAUGCCUUUCUAUCAAAGUUUUUCCCUAUAGGCAAAACAACUGCCUUAAGAGGAAAUAUUGUCAGUUUCCAACAGUAGAAGACAGAAGCCAUUUCAGAAGCAUGGGAGUGUUUUCAAGGAUACAUAUCAGAUUGUCCUCACCAUGGAAUGGCCACAUGGUUACUUAUGCAGACCUUCUACCAUGGAUUAACCCAGAAGGCUCGUGAGUGCCUAGAUGCAUCUGCUAAAGGAUCAUUCUUGGAGCUUACAACUGGAAAAGCAAAGAUACUUUUGGAUAAGAUAGCAGAAAACCAAAGCUGGUUCCAAGAUAAAGCUCAACAAUGUCAUCAAACUGAAGAAAUACUAGAAGAAGUAAAUGCAUUAUCAACUAAGAUGGAAAAUUUGCUCCAUUGGAUUGACCAGAGGGCCAAGUUCAAAGAAGACCAAAGGGGCAUUGAGACAACAUAUCAACCAACUUGGAGUCAACCCAAUAGCAAAGGUAUGAAUUCAGGUAAUACUUUCAAGCAAGUUUCAUUAAAAGAGAUAAUUGCUCAACAAACCAAAAUUAAUAAUGAAGUUAAACAAAGGCUAGAUACAAAUGAAUCAUCUCUAAAAGAUAUACACAAUAAAAUGGAUUUUCUACUAACUGCCUUUGAUGAGCAAAACACUCUUAAUAAAAGGGUAGAGCUUAAAUUAAUAAAGCUAGCUGCUGCACUGCCUGUUCUACUAACAUUGAGCAGGUAAAGAAUAUAACUACUAGAGGGGGCAAAGCCACCAGAGAUCCCCCAUACCCAAAAGAGAAACAAAGAACAUCAGCACCAGUGGAACCAGCAGUGAUAGAAGAAGAAAGCCCAGUUGAAGCAGAAGAUCUGCUGCAACCACCAAGAACCGGAGAAAUGAAGAAAGAUUUUUACGACACCAACUAUUUUCCAUUUCCCAGAAGAAACAGAGGACUGCAGUCGGAUGAGCAGUUUGGUAAGUUUGUAGAGAUCAUUCAGAAAUUAUAUGUCAACAUACCUCUGCUGGAUGCCAUAUAGGUACCUACAUAUGCAAAGUACAUCAGAGAUAUUCUUAACAAGAAGAGACCACUGCCCACCACUGAGGUUAUCCGCUGACAGAAGAAUGUAGUGCGGCCAUCCUCAAUAAACCACCAAAGAAGAAGAAAGAUCCAGGAUGCCCCACUAUUGACUGCUCAAUCGGAAACCAACACUUCAAUAAUGCACUUUGUGAUCUCGGAGCAAGUGUCAGUGUGAUGCCAGCAUUAGUCUACAAAAAGCUUGAGCAUGCGACCCUAGAACAAACAUCAAUGUGCCUGCAACUAGCGGAUCAAUCAGUUCGACACCUGUUGGGUAUCGCCGAGAACAUUCCAGUCAAGAUCAGAGAUUUCCUGGUGCCAGUAGACUUCGUGGUACUGGACAUGAGUCCUGACUCAAAAGUAUCCAUCAUCCUUGGAAGGCCAUUUCUGAGCACUGCCAAUGCCCACAUUGAUGUCGGGAAAGGAGAAAUCCAGUUCAACAUAAAUGGAAAGGAAGAACACUUCACAUUCAAACCCAGACCAGAGAGAAACCCUACAGUGAAGGAAGUUCAUGAAGAACCACUGGAGACACCAUCUCCGGAGGAAGAUAAUUCAGAAGAUUAAAAGAUUUGGAGGUCCAGAUUGGGGGACCUAAAAAUCCCAAACCCUCACCGAGAGGUAAAUCGGUAUUUAUCCGCAUUAUUAAUUUUCUCAUAUUUAAAUUCUUGCAUAAUUAAUUCUUGCAUUAGUCAUAGCAUCAUUAUUAUAAUAAUAAAAAGCCCCAUAUAAAUAAUAUUUGUGGUGUGUGACAACCCAUAUUUAUUAAUUAUUGUGGAGGCACAAAAAUAUUUUCCAUAACUAUUUUAAUUAAGUUUCAAUUCCCAUAGAUUUUCCUACAUUAUAUUUAAUUAUAUUAAUCUUCUAGAAGCAUGACCCACACUCCUUGGGUCCCACAUGUCAUACACCACACCUCACAUACAUCCCAUCACAUUAUUUCAUCCACCAACAUAUCUCCACUAACAACACUUUUCCACCGGCCAACCACCACCCAUGAUACAUUUUCUUGCGUGAGAAUUAAGCAGAGAAGGGAGUGGAGAAAGGGCAGCCAGGAUGGGCACCACAAGUGGGCGCCCGCCCACCUACCAAGGGCGCCCGCCCUGCCCCCUCUUCCUCCUAUAAAUGGCCACCUUCUAUCUCCAUCUUCUUCACACAAACACUCCAGAAAACCGCACAAGUUUCAGUUCCAGAAGGAGCUCUUGUAGUGAAGUAAAGAGAGAGUAGAGAGGAAGAGAAGAGUGGGAAAGAAGUUGGUAGUUUUUGUGAGAGAGUGAGUAUCACCUAGUAAGUAGUGAUCCCGCUGUCUAAGCGGAAGUAAAAGUUGUUUAGGGGAGGUUCUGCCAAAAUAGAAACUUGAACGACUAACCCUUGGACUACUGACAUUCCGGACAACUGACCACUAACAUUUUCUCUCACAUUUUCCACUAGUUGUGUUUUUGCCAACUUUUGUUUACAGGAUGUUUAAGAAGGUGAAGAACGCAGGAAAGGCUCUCAAGAACAUUGGUACAAGGAGUUCAUCCCGACACUCCUCACACCCAUCAGAGAUGAGCGUCGACCCAACACAUACACAAGCUCUGUCAUCUUCCUCUAAUCAGCAAGUCAAGGUCCUUCUCAAGAUAGGAGACCUAGGACUGAAGACCCGAAGGGAGAAGGAAGUAUAUCAGCAAUUGAAGAACAAAGAUUUCAUUCACACCCCUACUCUUGAUCCAAUCUUACUACAAGAAACAGGUAUGGACACUGAAUUUGACUUAAUUUUCCAGAUGAUAGGUUGGACAAAUUUUUGGAAUAUAACUGAGCUGGGUUCUCGUCUUCUCACCCUCGAAUUUUUGUGCACUUUACAAUAUUAUGAGGGGGGAGUUGUUUUUCGGAUGUUCAAACAGGAGAUUAUGUUGUCUUGGAGAGAACUAAGCGACCAUCUUGGUUUCUCUUCAAGAUGCAUCCUGAACAUUGACUCCGACCUACCUAACUUUGAGAGACACCAGUUUUGGAGAGAAAUAUCUAGAGAUAAUUUUUAUAGUCAAGCCCGAACCAGUGACAUGGAACACCCCACUCUUAGGAUGUUCCACAAAUGGCUUGGGUACAAUCUUUUCUAUCGUGAUGAUAUUAGGAAAGUAAGAGUAGGAGAUUUACAACUUUUAUAUGCUACUAUUACUAAAGUACCCACUUCACCUAUUACACUUUUAGUUUCUCAUUGGCAUAGCGUACCUAGUCUUCAGGGACCAGUAGGAUGUACUUCACUUAUCACUCGUCUAGCCUCUAAUCUUCAUUUACUCAAAAACUCGUCAUUGGACUUCAUAGAUGAGUUAAGAAUUUAUCAUGGCUAUGACACAUUUAGACAAGCUUGGAUGUUAAAGAAAGAGGGGAAUAUAAUGUAUAUGCUAUAUGAUGACAAAGGCAAGAUUUGGUUACCUAACUCGAACCUUGGCCUCUACGUUGUUCAAAAUUUUUUGAUUGAGAUUGCAGCAACACCGGUGAAUCAGAGAGCUCCACAGCGAGUUGCAUCUGAAAGGAUGACCACCCAUCGAGAACGCACCUGGUAUGGAGUUGAUCCGGGACCAGAAGAAGCAGCGCACCUGCAUUAUUGCGACUACAACCCCCGAGUCCUUCGAGACCAGUGGGUUCGACAUGCGCAACCACAAGAGCCAACAAAGGAGACAUGGCCGGAGAGCCAAGAUCACCAGUGGACAAACCCGCCUUUUCAUACGGGCAGGUACUCCACUGAUCCAUAUGGAGAUUCAGGAUCCAGACCUCCACCCUAAUUUGAUGCAGGACGAUACUCCGACGCCUCCUACGCUUUCACGAAUGACUACUACCAAGAGGCCGGUGCUUUCUUCACCCGUACCGACAACACCCUCCUCGACAUCCAGAACACGCAAGGAGAACAUGGACGACUCCUGGAAGAGCAACAAAAAUGGAACUAGGACCACGCCACUGCAGUACAAGAGCUGAGACAAGAUACAACAACAAUGAACGACAACAUCACAACCAUGAUGUUGUUCUGGAAUAUCGGGUAAGACCGACAGCAACAUCCAGCUUGGGGGAGUUCCUCCCCAAUUUAUCAAGUAAGUUUUUAUUUGCUCUUCUUAUUUAUUCUUUUCUAUUUUAGUAUUUUAUCUUAAGAGAAAAACUUAGAAAACCCAAUAAAUAUUUUCUUGCUUUAAUUCUAUAAACAUGAAAACAAAAUAAAAAGAGUGUGUAGAUAAGUGUGCUUUAUUUUCCUGCUAAGUUUAAUCUCUAGAAAAACAAAAGACCAAAAAGAUGCAUGAUGGAAAUGAUGAACAGUUGCUCUGUUUGCUUACUUUCAAAUACCUAGCUUUUAUAUUAGAGUUCUUCCAGGAAUUACUAAAACUGAAAUUAUUAUUUAUGGGAAGCAUAAAACUAAAGUCUAGGUAGGAUAAAAACAUAAUAUAAAGUUUGAGCUGCUGUUUAUCUUGUUCCUACUACACUAAGUUCUGGAGAUUUAUUUUGAAAACUUACAAAUCACAUGAUGAGUUCCUAGCAUAACAAACUACCUACCACAGCCAUACUUGCUAUAAUAUCUUUUACUUAUAUUCACAUUGAGUUUGAUCGAGCUAUGUAGACCCUUAGGAGCUUUUCAUGUGGAUAAAUUAAGAUAUUCACUUGCACACAUCUACUACACCAUCCACCACCAUUCAUUAAAAUUGCUAAAAAUAUUAUCACUCACUGUCCCAAGUGUUGUUAUUCUCUUUCUCUAAAAAAAAAUUUCAAUGCAGAAGAGGCAUGGGUUAUGCAAAAAUAUGCGAGGAAAUAAAAAGGGGUAAGUGCCCGGAACCACGGAAAAAAGAAAAAGAGUGAGACGAGAGGUAAAAAUAGACAAGUGUCCGGAGUAGAAUUAGGGGUACAAAGAUGGCCACUUGAGCGGAAAAAAAUGGACAAGUGUCCGAUAGUAGAAUUAGGGGUAUCUACUACCCACCUGAAAAAAAGAGAAAAGAAAGAGAUAGCCCAUGUUCUCUCAAAGCAAAGAUUAAAGAAGAGUUGAGGUAGCAAUAUGAGGAGCAAUGAGAAGUAAGUUUUAUCAUUACUUAUAUUUUCACCAUCACUAUCAUUUACUCCACCACACAUGCACAUCUUGAUUUAAUUAUAUGCCGAGUUCCUUUGGAUCCAUGGCUCAAUUAGACAACAUAUGUAUGAGUUGUUUUUCACUCCUAUGAGCUCCACUUAAAUAUUCCAGUAGCUAUAGGUAAGUGACAUUUUGGUAAGGAUCCACAAAUACCACAUAUAGAGAGACUUGAGAGAUCAUUGCUGGGAACUCUGAGUUUUAUUUUGAAAACUUAUGAAAAACUCUAGAACAAAGGUGAAGUAUACACAGGAGGAAUAGUGCUCAACUUAAUUAUUUUGUCUUUUGAUUACUUAAGACUCCAGUGCAGGCACUAAGCUCCAUAACACUUCACUCUAAUCUAGAAGAAUUUUUUUUAUGUAAAAGCAUGUGUGCCUGUCAGGAAAGAAAACAUCGAAGCAAUUCCUAAUCGGUUUGAGUUUAGCUGUUUGCUCAGGGACGAGCAAAGGGUAAGCUUGGGGGAGUUUGUUGACGGUCCUUAAGUACUAAAAUUAAUAAUCAAAUAAACAUGGAAAAGGAUCAAUAUGCACCAAACAUCUAGAAUUAGGGUUUUAUCUGACAGAAUUCCACGAGCUUUGGUGUUUAUCUAUUUCUGCAGGGGGUUAUUAGAGAAUAUGGAGAGAAGGCCCACAUGUCAUGUUUACAACGAGAUAAUUACGUGCCGCACAAUUUUUCCCAAUCUAGAAGAGUCUAGAAGCCACGGGAACGAACAAGAAUUGGAUCGGGCUCGGGGGCAGGGCGCCCGCCCACCCCCCUUGGGCGCCCGCCCUGGCCAGGAGUUGGAUCAGGACUCUGUUUCGGGACUAAACUCCACCGACCUAAAGGAUGAAUCUAAACCAUACAAUCAAUAUCGGUUUGAUCCAACGGCCCAAAUUCACUUGAAAGGACUAUAUAACCAAGGCCUCUCCACCCCUGGAGGAGAGAGGAGAAGAGAAGAAAUCAUUAUUCAGAGGUAGCCAUCAAAUAGAGCUUCUCUCCACAGAGAAUUAGAAUUAGCUACUCCCUAAUCCUUCAAGUUUAGAGGUUUGAUUAGAUAGCAAUUAGAGAAGUAGAGCACUACGCUCUAGAUUUGGAUCUUCGGUAAUAAGGAUUGGUAUUAUUCAUAUCUUUCUCUAAUUCUUUGUUCUAAUUGCAUUAUGUCUCUAAUUAUUAUGUUCUUAGUUUGCUCUAGUUCUAUAUUUGAUAUAGUUAUGAUUGAUAAUGAGUUUAUGUAUAAGUUUGCAAAGCGCUUAGCUUUUGACGCGAGGGAGUUAAGUGAUAGAUCACAUGUGAGCGUGGUGCUUAGAUGUUAUUUAUCUGCAAAUGUAUCCUAUUGGCUGGGUCGUGUGGUAGUUCGUGAUAGUGACACCUUUGUUGAUUCUUAUAUAGUCCACCCUCCGUUGAUAGGACGGGCAGAACUGGUAUUGUGGAAUAAGUCUUGCGAUGCUCUGAUUUACUUUAGCAAUGUUCCUUAUACAUGAAUGAAGAGUCAUUUAUGCUAUAUAUGAUCUUGUAGAUAACUAGAGUAGAUUAUGACUUAGUAGAUAGUAGAUAACUUAGAAUCCAUUCUCUAGCUAAUCCGACAUCACCUACAUAUAUGAGGAGUAGUCUAUUUUCUAAUCGCUGUGUUAUUUAUCCCUUGAACUUAUAAUUCAUUAUCAUUAUCUUUAUGGUUUACCCCUACUAAAGUAAGUGACUGUGUGACGAGUUUCUCAUUAGUAAUCAUGUUCUUGCAAGUUUAUCUCUAGUCUAUGCCUUGAUAGAUUUUGUCCUUAAUUUAAUUUCAUCCCUUUUGUUCUCUUAAGCAAAAUUACAAAUAAGGAUACCUGGAAUACUUAUCCUGGUGAAAUGCUACAAUGAGGUGUUUUAUCUGUGCGCUUGCGGAUAGAAUAGAUUAUUUUCUAGAGAGCCUUUACAUUUACAAAUACUUUUUACACUCUGGCACCAUGAUGGGGAUGACAACCUAGUAUCUAAGUGGUGUUAGCUAGUGUCAACAAUGCAUCCAUUGCCCUCUUGGUGAGAAGAACCACCAAGAUGUUGAAGAAGCUCAACAAGAAUGGAGUCAACUUUGACUCCAAGAAGAAGAUGUUCUUCACAAGUAGCAAGAGAAAUCCCAUCUCUGAGGUGGAUUGCUACAAUUGUGGUGAUCUUGGUCAUCUUGUUCACCAAUGUCCAAAGCCCAAGAAGGACAAAUACAAGAAGAUGAACAAAGAGCAUGAUGACUCAAGUGAUGAAGAGAAGAAUGACAAGAAGCAAUAUAAGAAGAAAGGUGGCAAGAAGAAGGAGUACCACAAGAAGAAGAAUGGCAAGGCUUACAUUGUUGGUGAUUGGCUCACCAACAUUGAAAGCAAAAGUGGUGACUCCUCUAACAAUGAAAGUGAUGAUGAAAAGGUUGCCGCCAUUGCCAUUGAUGCUUCAUCACCAUCAUCUUCACCACCAUCUACAUCCUCUACACACCUAUGCCUCAUGGCCAAGGGUGACCGGAAGAUACAAAGUGAGGAUGAGAGUAGUGAGAGUGAUAGUGAAUAUGAAUCACCAUCUUAUGACGAACUUGUAAAAUUGCUAAACAAAUACACUAAGGUCAUAAGAAAAACUAGAAGUGAAAAUGAGAAACUUGAACUUGAAAAUGAAUCACUUCUAGCAAAGCUUAAAUCUAUUGAUGAGCUUAGAGAUCAAAAUGAGAUCAUGACCACUAAGCUCAAGGAGCUCAAACUCUCAUUAAAAGAGCUCAAAGAAAAACAUGAUAAACUUGAGAGUGUGCAUGAUGAGCUUAUCACUAGACAUAGAGGUUUCAAGGAAGAGCUAACAACUCUAAAAGCAAACUAUGACAACCUUGAGAUAGCUUAUGAUCUUACAAUCAAUGAAACACAUGUUGCUAAGCUUGAUGUAGCCACAUCUUGUGAUGACUUACUUGUGGAGAGCACAAGCAAAUGUGUUGGUUGCAAGGGCAAGAAAGUGGUAGUAGCCGAGAGCUAUGAGGACACUAUCAAACUCAAGGAAGAAAAUGUCAUGCUCAAGAAAGAGUUGCAAGAGCGAGCCAAGCACAACACAAUAGUGAUUGAGUCACUUGAUCAAGAUAAGAAGCUUGCAUAUGAGAACAAGUUGCUCAAAGAAGAGAAUCAAUAUCUCAAGCUUGGUUAGAUGUAUGACAAGCAAGAAGAAGAUGAGUCAUUCAUCUUAGAAGAGUUGGCAAGCAACAAUGACCCAAUCAUCAAGAAGCUAACUCAAGAGAAUAGCAGGCUCAGGAAAGAGAAGGAACACCUAACCAAGGCGUUAGCAAAGUUCACAAAAGGAAAGGACCUUCAAAGUGAGCUAUUCAUGAACACCGUCAUGAAAAUGGACAAGAGUGGGAUUGGCUACAAGGCUCAUCAAACAAAGCUCAUGAAAUCACUAGGCACUCAUGAACAUUCAAGCAAGCCAAAGCCAAAGAGGUGCUUUGAGUGUGGACAAGAAGGACACUUUGCUCAUGAGUGUGAGGCACCACUACCACCACCCUUGCCCAAGCAUGCUAGACCAUUUGCCUUCAAUGCUCACUACAUUGUAAGGAAAGACAAGAGUGGCAAGGUCAAGGUUAGCUUCAUGGGGCCGCCCAACAAGCAAAGACUAAAGAAGAUUUGGGUGCCAAAGCAACUAGUAGAGAAGGUCAAGGGCCCUAAGCAAAUGUGGGUCCCUAAAUCUCAAGCUUGAUCUCUUGUGUGUAGGUGAACUACAAGACCGAUGGAUCACAUUGGGUAAUUGAUAGUUGUUGCACUCAACAUAUGAUCGGAGAUCCCCGGAUGUUCACCUCACUUGGUGAAGAUGUUGACAACCAAGAGAAGAUCACAUUUGGUGACAAUUCAAAAGGCAAGGUCAAGGGUCUAGGAAAGGUUGCUAUAUCAAAUGACAACUCCAUCACCAACGUGCUCUAUGUGCAAUCACUAAGUUUCAACUUGCUCUCGGUUGGACAACUUUGUGAUCUUGGUUUUGAAUGCUUAUUCAAGAAGAAGGAAGUAAUAGUGACCAAGGAGGAUGACAAUGAAAUGGUAUUCAAAGGCUUCCGACACAACUACUUGUAUGUAGUUGAUUUCUCAUCCGAUGAAGUUGAUGUCAAGACUUGCUUAUCCACCAAGACCUCACUUGGGUGGUUGUGGCAUAGAAGGUUAGCACAUGUUGGAAUGGCACACUCAAGAAGUUGAUGAAGAAAGAAUUGAUUAGAGGCUUGAAGGAUGUGACCUUUGAAAAGGAUAAGCUUUGUAGUGCAUGUCAAGCCGACAAGCAAGUUGCAAACACCCAUCCAACCAAGGCCUAUCUCUCUAAUUCAAGAGUGCUUGAGCUACUCCACAUGGAUUUAUUUGGACCAACCACAUAUGCUAGUAUUGGAGGCAACAAAUAUUGCUUGGUCAUAGUUGAUGAUUACUCCCGGUACACUUGGACAUUAUUCUUGCAAGACAAGGCUGAAGUUGCAUCGAUAUUCUAGAAGUUUGCAAAGAAUGCCCAAAAUCAAUUUGAUGUAAAGAUCAAGAAGAUUAGAAGUGAUAAUGGCAAAGAGUUUGACAACACCAACAUUGAAGAGUAUUGUGAUGAAGUGUGAAUCAAACAUGAGUUCUCCUCAACAUACACAUCACAACAAAAUGGGGUUGUAGAAAGAAAGAACAAGACAUUGAUAACCUUGGGAAGAACAAUGCUUGAUGAGUACAACACUUCGGAGAAGAUGUGGGCCAAGGCAAUCAACACCGCAUGCUAUGCAUCAAACCGGCUCUUUCCUCACAAGUUCCUAGAGAAGACUCCAUAUGAGUUGCUCAAUGGGAAGAAGCCCGAUGUCUCAUUCUUUAGAGUGUUUUGGUGCAAAUGCUAUAUCUACAAGAAGCACCAACACUUGGGCAAGUUCCAAAGGAGAUGUGACAUUGGCUACUUGGUUGGCUAUUCAUCAAAGUCUAAGGCAUACAGAGUCUUUAACCAUGCCACAAACAUGGUUGGAAAAACAUUUGAUGUUGAAUUUGAUGAAACUAAUGCCUCCCAAGGAGCAAGUGAUAAUCUUGAUGAUGUAGGUGGUGAACCAUUGAGGGAUGCCAUGAAGAACAUGCCGGUGGGGGACAUCAAGCCAAAAGAAGAUGAUGAUGUGCAAAUCAUUGAGCCACCAUCCACCUCACAUGUACCACAAGAUGAAGAUAAGGAUGUGAGAGAUGCCCAUGAAGAUACUCAAGUCACUCAUGAGCAAGCGGUGGCACAAGCACAAGAUGUUGAUGCUCCCCAAGCAACCCCUCAAGUGGCACCAAUAAGAUCAUCACACCUUCUUCAAGAUCACUCUCAAGAUCUCAUCAUCGGGAGUCCAUCACAUGGUGUAACUACACGCUCUAGACAUGCUUUAUUUAUUGAACAUCACGCUUUUGUGUCUCUUGAAGAUGAACCAAAUACUAUAGAGGAAGCUCUUCGUGAUGCGGAUUGGAUCAUUGCCAUGCAAGAGGAGAUGAACAACUUCUCUCGCAACCAAGUGUGGACACUUGAAGAGCGACCUAAAGAUGCAAGAGUGAUUGGAACAAAGUGGGUCUCCUAGAACAAGAAGGAUGAUGAAGGCAAAGUGGUGCGCAACAAGGCAAGGCUCGUGGCAAAAAGGCUUUUCACAAGUGGAAGGUCUUGACUUCGGUGAAACCUUUGCACCGGUGGCAAGACAUGAAGCAAUCCGUAUCCUACAUGCAUAUGCAUCAAGUCAUGAUAUCAAGUUGUUUCAAAUGGAUGUAAAAAGUGCUUUUUAAAAUUGUUAUAUUAAUGAGCUUGUAUAUGUUGAGCAACCCCCAGGUUUUGAAGACCCUUGGUACCCCAAGCAUGUCUACCGGUUGUCCAAGGCUCUCUAUGGUCUCAAGCAAGCUCCUAGAGCUUAGUAUGAGAGGAUUAGGGACUUCCUCAAUGAGAAGGGCUUCAAGAUUGGGAAAGUUGACACAACACUCUUCACCAAGAAGAUGAAUGGGGAAAUCUUUAUUUGCCAAGUUUAUGUUGAUGAUAUUAUUUUUGGCUCAACUAAUGAAGAUUUUUGCAAGGAAUUUGGUGAUUUGAUGUCCAAGGAGUUUGAGAUGUCCAUUAUUGGUGAGCUAUCCUACUUCCUAGGAUUUUCAAGUCAAGCAAAUGUAGGGUCUUCAUCUCUCAAGAGAAGUACACACAAGAUCUUCUCAAGAGGUUCAAGAUGAUGGAUUGCAAGAAAAUCAAGACUCCCAUGGCAUCAAAUGGGCAUCUCGACUUGGAUGAGGGAGGUAACACAAUUGACAAGACUCUCUAUCGUUCCAUGAUAGGAAGUCUACUCUACCUCACCGCAUCUAGGCCCGAUAUCAUGUUUAGUGUGUGUAUGUGUGCUAGAUAUCAAGCAAUGCCUAUGGAAUCUCACUUGAUUGCCGUCAAGAGAAUUCUUAGGUAUCUAAAAUACACACCUUGCCUAGGCUUGUGGUAUCCCAAAGGUGCAAGAUUCCAAUUCGUAGGCUAUUCCAAUUCGGAUUAUGCUGGAUGUCGCAUUGAUAGAAAAAGCACAUCUAGAGGGUGCCACUUCCUAUGUAGAUCACUUGUCUCUUGGAUGUCAAAGAAACAAAAUAGUGUUGCUUUGUCAACGGCCGAGGCGGAAUACAUUGCCGCCGGUGCUUGUUGUGCACAAAUACUUUACAUGAAACAAACUUCGCUAGACUAUGAAGUAGUACUAGACAAAGUACCUUUGUUGUGUGACAAUGAAAGUGCCGUAAAACUUGCAAACAACCCGGUUCAACACACCCGCACAAAACACAUUGACAUCCGCCAUCACUUCCUUAGGGAUCAUGUUGUUAAAGGUGAUAUAUCCCUAGAGAAUGUGGGAACGGAAAAUCAAUUCGCGGAUAUCUUCACAAAACCCCUAGAUGAAGCUAGGUUUUGUAUGUUGAGAAAUGAACUAAAUGUGCUUGAUCUCUCUAACUUCACUAAAAAAUGAAGUUGUGUGUUGAUCUUGUAAAUAGAUUUUGUUUUGCAUAUCAUGCAUACCCAAAAUAAAAAUACAAAAAGGAUUGUGAGUAGGGCUUGUCUAACAUGGUUAUGAUAACCCCCAUGUGUGUGUGAAAAAGCUUAACCUUGGAUCAAACUUGACAAGCAUUAGUUUACUUUCAAGUAUUGCAUUGCACUUCAUAUCAUAUGCAUGCUUGUUGGUUUACCGUUUCUUUUUUGUUAUGUUUUUGAGCAUCCGCUGUGUUUGUCCAUUGGUAGGGGGAGUAUUCAAAGCUCAUUAUGAUUUAAACCCCUAGCUUUAUGGCCACACGAUGCUCCUUGGUGCUUUCACUUGACUAUUUUCAUAAAAACUACUAUGCCUAAGGCUAAAUAUUUGUGAAAUUUUGAGGGUUUGAGAGAGGUCAUUCAUACCAGUUCCAAUUUGUGUUUACUUGAGUCUUCUUGAAGUUCGAACUUGGUUGGGUAAAGUCGCGUGAAGUUCCAAGUUGAAAUCAGGCCAGAGGAGCACCGGACGAUGCACCAGACGCUCCUGCAAUGUGUCCGGUGUGGUGAGUCUGCUGGACAGCACUCAUCGGAUGCUGGAACAGUGUCUCCAUAGCGUCCGAUGAGGUGCGUCCGGUGGUCUACCAGGCGUGCCCUAAGGCACCGGACGCUCCUGCAAUGUGUCCGGUGUGGUGAGUCUGCUGGACAGCACUCAUCGGACGCUGGAACAGUGUCUCCAUAGCGUCCGAUGAGGUGCGUCCGGUGGUCUACCAAGCGUGCCCUAAGGCACCGGGGUGGCCAUCGUCCGGUGGUCGGGAAAAUUACGGAGCUAUCUGUGUUUUGGUCCAGUAGUCACCGGAUGCGUCCGGUGCCCCUUUAAGGGCGUUCGGUGACCCCGUGGAAGGCGCAUUUAACCCGCACUCUAGGCUUUCGCUCAGCCAGUCUUCUUUCCCCAAACUCGACUAACCGCCGAGCCGCCCGCACCCUGUGCCCUAUCCUUCGAGUCGCCAUGACCUGUGCCGCCGCCGGUGAAGAGCUUUUCCCCGUGGAUCUUCUUCCCCACGACAGAUCUUCUCCAGGGCCUCUCCUCCAUGCCCUCCUCGCGUAGGGGCCUUCUUCUCGCGAGGUUGCUAGGGUUUGAGGUGAGAUUGAACUCCCCUACCCUCUAGAUGUUUCAUACAAUGUCUAAACGGAAUUGAAUGUUGUUUUUGACAAUAUUCUCAUUCGUCUAUCCUUCAUAGCACCUUGAGGAGUUGAUUUGCACUCUCCGGCAGAUUUCAAUCAAGAUCUUUCAUCCGGAACGCGUCUCGACAUCGGAUUGUAAGCAGUUCAUGUCAAAUCUCAUCCAAUCUUGCGUUCUAUAGGGCCUUCUUGUCUCAAGAUAAUAUGUGUGCUUAUGUAUACCCUAUCAUAUUCUAUCUCUUGCAGCACGUGGUCUCAGUUUGGCAGUGUCAGUGAACUCGGGGUCAAGCCCGUGAGUACCGAUUGAGGCCAAGUCUCUAGAGUGUCAGAUUGUCAGCUUUCGGCAGUUUUUUAGGUUCAGGUUCUUGCAAUGGCAUGUUGCAAGAACGUCAGUGGUCCCACAGCUAGCAGUGGUGGCUCUCCAGGAGGUGAUGGUGGAGGUGAUCCUCCCCGUCGCUUUUCAGCUGCAGAGAAGGGCAAAGGCAAGAAGCUGGCCACCAAUAAGAGGAAGGCCAGUGAUAGAGAGGCCGAGGUGGCUGAGGCAGUGGUAGCAGCAGCUGAGGCAACAGAGAAGGGUGGUCGCUCCGGUGCACUGAGGAUUGGAGCGGACCUCUCGACAGCUCAGAGGCAGGCAGUUCUUGAGGUUGAGGCACGACACGAGACUCCACCUAGCACCAUCAUGCUAGGGGGUCAGCGUGUCCGGAUUGAUGUGACUGAGUCCGCACAGGAGGAGCCAGAGGUAGAGGCCCAGGCAGAGGGCCCGGCAUAGGUUCAGCAAGAGGAGCAGCCGCUUCGGAGGUCGACUCGCGCAUGUACCCAGGCCGCCUCCAGGACUGGUACGCAGGGUCAGUCCACCUCGUCGGCUUGCUCCACUCCAGCACGUGGUACUCCAGCACCACGUCCAGCUCCAGCCAGAAUACAUAAGGAUUAUACCCAGGCCCCUAAUCGAGAGAUCUAGGAGUUGAGGUUUGCUCCUUUUCCCACCUGGUUUCCAGCAGCCCGGGAUUAGAGGGCUAGUGCCAGAUUCUACACAGUUGUUCAGGAGGACAUGUAUGAGACUUUUGUCCAUUCAGAGACCUAGUUCAGGGAGCAAGGGUGCUAGACCUUGAGGUGUUAGGAAAUGUGGUAGGUGCAGAUAUCAGACAGUACUUCACCUAUGUGACAAGAUUCCUAGACUUGCUCGCUCUGCUAGGUACCUAUGUUGAGGAGUGGGUAUGAGAGUUCUAUGCCUCAGUGUGGAUUGCUCUAGACUAUAUCUACAUCCACUACGCACUGGCAGGUACAGAUUAAAGGGUGACAGCUCAGAGGGCUAGAGAGGUGUUGGGGCUCACAGCGUCUGCUAACAGUAUCCAUGAGCUAUGCUAUGGGAACUUUGAGCCCCCUCGACGACCACAUAGUGGUGCUCUUCCACCGGUUGACUUUGUGGCUCCGUGUUUCCGUCCGCCUUUUGGUGAGGGGUCCAGCAGGACAGUGGGUGAUCUGACAUGCCCAGCUAGGAUCCUCGACUUCAUGAUGAGGAAGACACUUCUCCCCAAGACAGGGUACAGAGAUGGAUUCACUAGGAUUCAGCAGUGGCUCAUAGCUCACCUGAUCGCAUAGAGGCCAUUUGACUUGUGGGACUUGAUAGUGUUAGAGAUUGAGGACACCAUAGCAGAGGGCUUCAGGGGUUGCCGUCAGAUGCCUUAUGCACAUUCGAUUACCUUGCUUAUUUUCUGUGCUAGGCCUAGGGAUGAAAACGGAUCGGAUCGGUGCGGAUAAUGCCUUUUCCAUAUCCUAAUCCGCUUUUGUUUGUCAGAUUCGGUGCGGAGCGGAUAAUACACGGAUGCAAAUGUGGAUAUGUUUUUUUAUCAGUAGUCGGAAUUGGUACGGAUAUGGAGCGGAAACGGAUCGGAGACGGAUUUUAAUAGUCGAGUAACAUGUGCAUACAUAGAGAAUUAUAUGCUUGUCAAGAAUUUAUUUAGUACAGAACAAGAAUAGACAAUAGAUAAUAAUCUUGCAUUGCAUUCCAUAUUGCUGCUCUCACACUAAUAAUUAACACUUAACAUGAUAUCUUCAAUAAAAAUAAUAAGUUAUUAGCCAAUAAAUAAUAGCAUCUAGCAAAUUUCUUAAUUUAAAAAUUAGAACAUUAAACAACCACAUCAUAAAAUAAAAUUCCUUAGCUAACAAUUUUUUUAAAAUCCUAAAUUCUUUAGUAUUGGAAGAGAAACCUUCGGAUAUCCUAUUUUAAACAUUGGAUAAUCCGCAUAAAAUUUAUGGAUAAUCCAUAUCCACCGGAUUUUACCUGUUCCAUAUCCUACCCCAUAUCCGUAGACAAUCGGAUUUGGAUUAUCUGUAUCUGCACGGAUGUUAAAAGUUCUUCUCCAUAUCCUCAAAAUUCGGAUUUGAAUCGGAUCGGUUCGGAGAAUUAUCCACACCACUUUCACCCCUAGCUAGGCCAGAUCCCUUCCAGCUCACCUUCAGAUAGAGCUGUCAGAUGCAGACACAGUUUUCUCGCACUAUGACCCCCAUCAGAUGCUGAGAGUGCACCAUGACCUUAGAGCCCCACCUCCUCCUCCAGCACAACGUGGCCAGGUGCCACCACCUUCACUUAGGGCUACCCGCAGUUCAGGGGCAGUCCCAGAGACAAAGGAGGAGCAGGACAUUGCUAUUGGGGCAUUUGCAGAUGCUGAGGCCGAGGAGGAGUUUGAGUUUGCUUCAGACAGUUCAGACGAUAAUUAUCGUCUUCCUGUGCCAGAUCUUCCUCCGAGGCAGCACGACCACGAGGCAGGAGGUUCUUCUAGUGCCACAGAUCUAGCUCUGCUUGCGAUACUUCAGGGGAUGAGGGCCGAUCAACAGAGGGCAGCUGAGGAGCAAGCUAGGAGGGACAGGGACCAGGCUGCCAUCAAUGCAGCCAUGCACGCUAGGCAGGACGAGCUUCAGAGAUAUCUCUUGACCUUCUAGGAGCAGCAGCUAGCCUUCCAGGCCCAGUUGACUGCCAUGAUGGCCGCUCUUAUGGCUGCUUCAGGGAUUCAGCUACCGUAGAUCCAGCUUCCAGGCACCUCUUUAGUUAGACCUCACACUCCUGUGCCAUAGCCUAGCAGAUUUCAGAGUCAGUCUCAGCCGCCGCUUCAGCUCCCUGCUCAGAGUCAGCCAUUCUCGACUCCUCAGCACCAGGUCUCUCAGGGUGCUAUCUCUUCUGGCUUUGACCAGGUGCCCCAGUUUACUCCUUUGCGUUCUGGUUUCACUCCUCAGUCAGCUACAGCGUCAUAGCUUGUGUUGGAUUCGUCGACAGGGCAGCACAUUUCCUUUUCAUAUAGUGCUAUGACUGGUGACCCUAUGCCUUCACCUCUGUAGGCUCCUGCAGCUUUUACGCUCCUAGUCACCACUAUCAAGCGCCUGUCGUCGUUAGUGGCCUCGUCCGAGUAGCUUGCACCUUCUUCUAUAGUGCCAGAGACGUCAACUACAGCUACUGAGUCUGUGCUAGCUUCUUCAGCAGGACUUGAGCCGUCAGCGCAGCCAGUGAUAGCUACAGAGCCCACCGAGCAGACCCGACCGCUUCUCCAGCUCCAGCAGUUUCCGAGGGUCACUCUACUUCCUCCGAGUCGACGGCCGAUGGAUCAGACGAUGCAGCUCAGUUUCAGGCCGUGCCGUGGGACUCCUCUCCUCCACCUCCACCUCAUUCAUCUUAGGUUUUUGGCGCUUGAUGCCAAAGGGGGAGAGAGUUGAGAGAGUAUGAUAGUUAGGGGGUGCUAGAGCUAGUGAGGGCUUUUGAUAUUUUGUGUGCUACUUCAUGCAUCAUGUUUACCUUUAUGCAUUUGUGUGAGAUACUUUUUUAGUUGUGAGACAUGACAUCAUGCUUCGUUGUGAUAUCUCUAUGUCAUGUGUUUGGCUCAUAUUACCUUGCUUCCGCAUUUUUACUCCGAUGUACUAUGAGCCAUAUGCUAUUAUAUCCUAUUGUAUACAUCUCACAUAUUUGGAUGCAGGAUGGUAGACUUGGUUGAUAUAAGCAUGACUAAUCCCUUUGUGUUCAUAUUGUCUCAUGCUUAUAGAAACCAAGUCAUUUGAAAACCUCAUUUCCACCUCGAGGUUAUUGUCAUCAAUCACCAAAAAGGGGGAGAUUGAAAGAGCAUCUAGGCCCCUAAUGGAUUUCGGUGAUUUAUGAAAAUGUUGAUUACUGUGACUAACGUGUGUUUUGCAGAGGCAAUGUCAUUAGUGUUAGGUCAUGAUAAUAGGUACUCGAUUAACAGGGAUGUCAUGCCUACUUAAUAGUGGAAAUCAUUUCGGUUUUCAAAGGAUGGAUGGACAUCGUCUAGACUAGACUAGGUCUAAGUGCCAUAUGGUGAAGAAGGGCACCUAGAGUAGUUUAGGACUUUGUUUUCCUUUGACUGUACUAUUAAGAGGGGCUUUGAUCUAGUAGCUUGACUUAGGCAAUGCUUUAGGUUUAGGUGUGGUGCACACUUGGUAAACCUAGCACUAGGUAGCUCAGAGAUAGUCCUUAGAUCGAGAGGUACAAACUUCGUUUUGGACGGUCGCGUUUCGACGAAGUUUGGGUGUCUAAGUUGGCAUCGAACGCUGCACCGGACGCUCUAUGAGUGCGUCCGGUGAUGUCGUUUGCAGUCAGAGUGACUGAGUGCCUAGGGUUAGGCAACGGACGCUAGCACCGGACGCACCGGGUAGCGUCCGGUCCUAAACCCAAGGAGGUCCAAAACGUGAAUGAGGUCACCUGACGCUAGCACCGGACUCACCGGGUAGUGUCCGGUCCUCAACUCAGCGAGGAUGUAAGGUUCAUCCUUGCACCGGACGGUGUCACCGGACGCUGAGAAGUAGCAUCCGGUGCUCGGUCAGACACAGUAUAGUUAGCCGUUAUAAGGUCACCGGACGCUCGGUGCAGAGCGUCCGGUGACCCCAUUUUCAGUGUAAAACGGUUGGCUGACCCUUGGACUUCGUGGGGUGUAUUUAUACUCCUCCACCUCGUCCAUGGGAGCUCUCUUGCCCAUUUGAACAGUUGAGAAACACUUUGUGGAGCAAGAGAGAAGCAAGAGCCUAGAGAGGAUUGAGAUUUGAGAGAUUUCUUGUGAGAAUCCUUCUCUAGUGGAAUUCCAAGAGUCAAGUGUGCAUCCACCACUCUCUAGAGCCUUGAUUGGGUCAAGUGAGAGUUCUUUUCUUGUUACUCUUGGUGAUCGCCAUCACCUAGACGGUUCGGUGGUGAUUGGAGGCACGAAGACCGCCCGGAGUUCUUGUGGGUGGCUUGUGUCAAGCUUGUGAGCGGUUUUGGGUGAUUCGCCGCGACGGAGUGUCGUAGAGAGCACUUGGUCCUUGCGCGGACCAUGGGGGAGCAAGACCCUUGCACGGGUGCUCGAAUGAGGACUAGUGGAGAGUGGUGACUGGUGGGUAUUUUAAACGCAAAUAGAAAAAUCCGCAAGCACACGGAUACCGAUGUAGCUUUCACCCGGGAGUAUUCCAUAGUAUCAAUUUUCCACAGGGAACGUGAGUGUACUAAUUAAGAUUCAAGAUCGCCCAAGGAUAACUAUAUAAUUAUUUUUGGUGGGAAGAGAAGAAGUUUCCUCAGAGUUCUCUAGUUGAUCUAAGAAUCAAGAAUUACUUCAAAGAUUAUUUAUUUCGGGACAUCAGAACACUAACCACAGAAAGAGAUGAGAAGGGGGCUAGGAAGCUCUGACUACGGUCCUACAAACACCGAUCCAAACGAGGUGGAAUAUGUCGACCGUUAGGGCUAUCACUACCCUAAGGCUACCACAACAAUCCGUAGGAUUGGGUGCAAUUCUAGGUAAUUGCAAGACUAAACACCACGUCUAAUCUAUUAAUUACUACUCUAGCGUUUCAAAGACUAGAGCACUUGAUGCAAGUGGGAAUCCAAUAAAUAACUUGAAUGUAAAUAAAAGUAAUGAAAGAACUCAGGAAUUAUGAAUUGAAGAACUUGGAGAACGAUGAAGAACGAACCAGUUGCUGCAAAAGUACAAUGUUGAGGAAGAUCCGACAGAUCCGGCUCCUCCUCUGCUCUCCUCUUCUCUCUCCCUAUUUUCUAGAUUACAACUAGAACUAACUAGAACUAGAACUAGAACUAGAUGAACUAGAGGGAUCCUCUCUACUUGGAUGAAUAAUUGAAACCCUAGCUUUGAUUCUGUAGAAGAGAUAUAUUCUCCAGGGGCCAGGGGGCCUGCUUAUAUAGACCCUCCAAAUGAAUGUGGGCCGUUGGAUCAAACCGACCUUAAUCGCACGGUUUUCUUUGAUCCUCAAAGGUGGUGGAGCACGACCCGCGAGACCUGCCUUGAUUGGUCACCAGGGCAGGGCAGGCGUCCAAGGGGGGAGGGCGGGCGCCCUGCCCCCGGGUCCGCUCGGCCUCCCGUUCAUUCCCGUGGCUUCUGGAGCCUUCUAGAUGAUAGAAAAUUGGCGCACACGUUAAUAUCUCUAUGUAAACCCGACGUGUCGGCCUUUCCUCCAUAUUUCCUGAUAACCCCCUGUAGAAAUAGACAAACACCAAAACUCGUGGAAUUCUAUUAGAUAAAACCCUAAGUCUAGGUGUUGGUUGCAUUUGGAUCCAUUUCUAUGAUUAGUUGACGGUUAAAUGUGAGCAUUAAGGACCAUCAAUAAGCUCCCCCAAGCUUAACCUUUGCUCGUCCCUAAGCAAGGAUGGACUCAAGAGUUUCUGCAGUAGUUUCAUGCCUUAAAGGUACACAUGUGUUCAAACAAGAUCUCAUCUUUGGGUUAGGGUAAACUGUUAAGAUUUAAACUUACUCAUUUUUCCUUCCACCUUGGGGCUUGCAAACGUCACUUGUGGCUUGAGCAGUUAAAAUAUAGAACGGUCUAGUCAAGCGACAUGUCUCUUGUUCUUUGAUUAAUUAUAGCUUUGGAGAUUUUGCAUAUUUUCAAAUAAAACUCAGAGUUUCCUUGUAUGACUAUCUCUAGUCUCUCUUUUGUGGUAUUUCUGGAUCCUUAGCAAGACAGUAAUGGUGUAUGCCUUCUCUCAAAGUAUGUGGUAUUUUUGGUAUGGGGCAUAGUGACAUUGCCUUCUCUCUCACCCUACUCUAAUAAGGUUUUGAUAUCUGGAGCUCAUAGGUGGGAGACAGCUAAUACAUACGUACAAGACAUUUAUUGCAUAGUCAAACCAUGGAUCUAGAAGAACAAGUCAAUAAGUCAAAUCAACAUGUGCAUGUGUGGCGAAUGAAUGGUGAUAAUGGUGAAAAUAAUGGUGAAAGUCUAAUUCUACUUUUGCUCUUUUGAGCGGGCACAUACCUUCCUUGCACUUGAGGCUUUUGAGGGGAAUGAGAUUGUUGGGUAUUCUUAAAAUCAUUGCUAAAAGUAGACUAAGUUCUAAAUCUAGCAACGGUGCCAAAAAUGCCAAACCUAUCCCUCACACCACUUAAGCCAAGUUGUCAUCCCCAGCAUGAUAUAAGAGACGCGGUAUUGAAAUAUGCAAUUGCUCUUCUAAAUAAAUAAUGAAUUGGAUCUGCAAGCGCACAGAUUAAUACCGAUGUAGCAUUUUAACCGGGAAGUAUUCCAGGUAUCGUUAUUUAUAUUUUUACCACUGGGAAGGGAUUAGCAAUCAUCACUAAUGAUUACAGAAUAGAAUAUGAGAUUGAGUAUCUAUCAUAGCAUGUAUAAUUGAGAACAUUAUAUCUAACUCUUCAUACAGGGAUAAGUGUCACAUAAAAGAUAUAUGAAAUAAUAAUAGUGACAAGGAUAACUAAUCUAAUCUAGCCACAUAAUAAAUAUGAUAAGCACCUCAAUUAGAUACUCUAGAAAGUCAUUAGCAUGGUAUUAGAACGAACUACAAGAAUAUUCCCUAAGUUAUUCUCAACUAUAUAGUCUAGCAUAUCAUAGUUAGUGCAAGCAUACUUAGCAAUCAUUGCGAGACAAGACUACGCCCAUGCAUAGUGAUAUUAGCAAGGAAUAUGAGAAACAUAGCAAUCACUCCCCUGUAAUAAUGUUGCUCUGCCAGCCCAAUACACGAGAGGGGGACUAUAUAAGAAUCAAUGAAGCUGUCACUAUCACGAACCACCCCACGAUCUGGCAUAUUGGGUUCAAUCGCAGAUAAAUACGGUAUAAGCACCACGCCUACACAAUAUCUAUCAUUUACCCAUGGAUCCGAUGGAUAAACGCUAUACGAUCCUAAGCAUGUAUAUAGAUCCAAUCUAACUAAGCCAAGUACAUAACUAUGAUAAACUAAGAACAAUAUAAUCUUGAAUAUAAGCAAGUAGAGCAAAGUCAUAAGCAAUAUAUUGAAGUAGAACAAAGUCAUAUUCAUAAUAUUGAAGAACAAAGAUAAUUAGAAAGCAAUUAGAAGCACAAUUAGAGAAUUACCAAGAAUCCUCUUGACAGAUCCGGAAACCAAUCGAAGAUUGACUCCUUCUAGUUCUAAUCCUAUGUAGCUAUGCUAAUCUAGAUAUCUAAUUGAUGUGGUGGCUCUAAUCUUGAUCAGAGGCUUCUUCUCCCUUGAUGGAACAAUGAAUUAGGGUUGAGAGGCUCUCUCCUCCAGGGGCCAGGGGGUCUGGUUUUAUAGUCCCUUCAAGUGAAUAUGGGCCCUUGGAUCAAACCGACAUAGAUUGUAUGGUUUAGAUUCAUCCUUUAGGUCGGUGGAGAUCUCCCGCAAAGCAGAGUCCUGAUUGGACUCAGGAGGUGGGCGGGCGCCCUGACCAACUGGGCGGCUGCCCAGGGUUUGGCCCCGUUUCGCCUCCGCUUCGGUCUCGUGGCUUCUGGAGUCUUCUAGAUGUAAGAUAAUUGCGCAGCACGUUAAUAUCUUUACGUAAUCCUGACAUGUGGGCCUUUCUUCCAUAUUUCCUGAUAACCCCCUGUAGAAAUAGACAAACACCAAAACUCGUGGAAUUCUGUCAGAUAAAACCCUAAGUCUAGAUCUUGAAUUCAUUUGGAUCCUUUUCUUUAUUUAUUUGAUAAUUAAAAUUGAUACUUAAGGACCGUCAACAAACUCCCCCAAGCUUACCUCUUGCUCAUCCCUGAGCAAGGAUAGACUUAGCUAUGGAUCAUAAGUUGUUGCUAUAUUUUAAAAAUUUGACGGUACACAUGCUUUUAAAUAAGAUCUCAUCUCUGAGUUAGAGUAAACUGUCAAGACUUAAAACUUACUUACUUUACCUAUACCAUGGGACUUGUAACCGUCACUUCUGUCUUGAGUGGUUAAAAGAUAGAACAGUCUAGCCAAGUGCCAUGUCUCUUAUUCUUGAUCAGCUAUAACUCUGGGGUUUUUGCAGAUUUUCAAAUAAAACUCAGAGAUUCCUUGUAUGAUUCUCUCAGAUCUCUCUUUUGUGGUAUUUUUGGAUCCUUACCAAGGCAUUGAUGGUAUAUGCCUUCUCUCAAGAUAUGUAGUAUUUGUGGUAUAAGGCAUAGUGACAUUGCCUUCUCUCUCACCCUACUCUAAUAAGGCUUUAAUAUCUGGAGCUCAUAGGUGGGAGAUAAAGUAUACAUACUUACAAGACAUUUAUUGCAUAGUCAAACCAUGGAUCCAAAGUAACAAGUCAAUAAGCCAAAUUAAGAUGUGCAUGUGUGGCGAAUGAAUGUUGUAUGGUGAUGAUGGUGAUAACAAUGGUGAAAACAAUGGUGGUGGAAGUCUAAUUCUACUUUGCUCUUUUGAGGGGAUACAUACCUUCCUUGCUUUUGAAACUUUAUGAGGAGAAUGAGAUGCUCUUCUUUUUCUUUUCUCUCAGGUGGGUAUCCUGUACCCCUAAUUCUACUGUCGGACACUUGUCCAUUUUUACCUCUCGUCUCACUCUUUCUUUUCUUUCGAGGUUCCGAGCACUUGCUCCUUUUUAUUUCCUCGUAUAUUUUUUUAGAGCACUCAUCUCUUGAGAUAAUAUAGCAAGUGGUAGUAACAAGAUAACUUGAGCAUUUAUUUCACAAGGGGAAACAGAAAUAUUUUUGGUUAUUCUCUCCCGGAUUAGGAGCAGAAUAUUUUUGGGUGAUUCUGGAGAUGGAAAUGGUUGGAUAUAUGUGGAUGGUACUUCCGGAGUAGAAGUAGCAUAUAUGAGUGAACGUGCAAGUGAAAUCUUGAUUUAACCACAUGACAAGCUCCUAAGGGUCUACACAGCUUGACCACACUCAAUGCUCAUAAGCAGUAAAUAAUAAAUGUGUGGCUCAAAGUCUAGCAAGCAUGUAUAUAUGGCUGUGGUAGGAAUUUAAGCUCUCAUCAUACAGGAACUCAUCAUGCAACAUUUUAAAGAUUUUCAAAGAUAAAAUUCUCCAGAAUUCUAGCAUCUCUAGGAACAGAUAAACAGCAGCUCAACCUUCCCAUAUCGUAUCCGUUAACAACUUAGACUUCAGAUCAAGUUUUCAUCCCACAAGUUUAGGUCUAGGGCAAGCUUUAAAUUAUAACAGUUAUAUCUAAACUUGAGAGAGAACUUAGAAUGUGCAAAUUAGGCAGAGCAACUAUUCAUCAUAUCCAUGCUUAAGUUUUUGUUUAGAUACAGGUUAGCAUAGCCACUUUAUUUAUUUAUUAAACACACUAAGCAAAAGACAUAUAUAAGCAUAAAAUCUUUAUUUGGUUUUCCCAUAGUUUAUGUGUAUUUUAAUAUUCUAAAAUAAUAUAAGUAUAAAAAUAGAUAGAAAUACUUAUUGAGGUAAAUGGGGGUGCUCUCCCCCAAGCUGAAUUUUGACGUAAUUUCUCUUGAUGUAGCUAGCAGGUGGCAGAGGUGUAUUUGAAAGUCAGCAGCAUUCUGACAGCGAUUAGAAUGUCCUCUGUCUGCGAGUCUUCUUGAUUCUUAAAUUCUGUGGAGCUCAAAUAGACAACAUAGCUUGUGGAACUGAUUAAGUGUUAGCAUAAAUAUCUAGCCUUUAUUAUCUUGAGACUCCUCAAUAAAUAUUACUCCCUGUUUUUAUAUUUUUUUAUUUUAUAAAGCAGAAAUGAAAUAUUUAUUUUAUUUUUAUGCCACCACAGUGAAUGUAUUUAUGGGUUUUAUGCCACUCGUCUACUCAUAUGGGGCUUACUGUUUUUUACUUUUUUAUUUUCUUUUUAGGAUAGCACGAACAUAAUUAACUAAACUAUUUGAAAUAAUUGAAAUAAUUGAAAGGGAAAGGGUAACUACCAAGAUUACCUCUUGGCAAGGCGUUCGGUGUUUUUAAGUCCUCCGAACAGGACUAUCCAUUUUCUUAAUCGUCCUGAGGUUCGUUGGGUGGCGUCGUCGGUACUUCCGGUAGUGCCUCCUUUUCUUGUAUAGUUAUCUUCAUUUUCCAUACCUGACUCAGUGCUUCAAUCUCCUCUGGAUAAUUCUGUUUAAACUCCACGUCUUCUGACCUUACAACUUCUCCUUCAUAGUCUGCCCAUCCGUCCUUGAUGAUCUUCCUCCUCUGGUUGCGGUUGCGUCUCUUUCUGACCUGCUUAGAUUCUUCAAUGAUAUAGUUAGGGUCAGUAAAAUAACGGCGUACCUUCUCUGAGGGGAAGUGCAUAUGGACUUCUCUGGUUCCAAUGUAGAUAAUUGCUUUAACGGUGCUGAGGAACGGUCUUCCAAGGAUGAUGGGUGGAUCAUACUCGUCUUCUCCCAUGUCAACAACUUGAAAGUCUGUGUAGACAAGGUGAUCGUCUAUUUUGACUGGGACAUCAGAUACUAUUCCUUGAACUUCUCGAAAUGUCUGAUCUGCCAUCUGGAGCUGAAUGUAUGUUGGUCUUAGUGGCAUGGUCCCGAACAAGAGCCGAUAAGUGACUGCAGCCAUUAUGUUGACGCCCGAUCCGGUGUCGCAAAUCGUCUUGUAGAAGUUAUAUCCAUUUAUGGAGCAGUAGAUGCUUGACAUUCCUAGGUCGUCCUUCUUGGUCAAAAAUGGUGACUUAAGUUGGUGAUCUUGGCCUCCAUGGACUACAGUGACCAUCUUAGUUGACUCGGUCCACACUUGCUUGUUCCUGUUUCUCCUGUUGGUCCUCUUCCUUGAUUCACGUCUGGAUUGAUCUGGAAUUUGUGUAGUCUUGUUCUUGAAGAAAAAUGUCUCCUUCUUCCCUUUGACGUAGAAACUGAUCUUGGCAGCACUGGCGUAGAUGAUAGCUCCCGUGGUGUUCAAAAAUGGCCUUCCUAGGAUGAUAGGUGCUCUCUCAUCAUUUCCGGUCUCUACCACUACGAAGUCUGCUGGGGCAUACAAGGUACCAACUCGGACACAAAGGUUCCUCACUAUUCCUUUUGGAAAAGUUAUCGUCUGAUCUGCAAACUGCAAACACAUGGUUGUUUCUAAUAAAGGAUAUGUAAAGAAUUUCUCAUAGAGUACCCUGGGUAUAAUGUUGACGCUAGAGCCAAAGUCACAGAGUGCUUCUGGAACGUCCACCAUGCCGAUGGAGAUAGGGAUGACGGGGCGUCCUGGAUCGCCUCUCUUGACCGGCAGACGGUCAGUAGAAAAUUCAGUGACGGGGUUACUCCAAUUACCUGCAUCAAACAUGUCUACAAGAUUUGCAGAUUCUAAUCCUUCCGGUUGUGAUGGUAUACCGGGGUUAGUAGUAGGAACAGCAGCAGCUAUUUGAUUUAACUGGGAUUCAAUCAUUUUAUUAAAGCUAAUUUGAUUCUUGAUGGCAGUAGAGAAAUUAUCCAUUCUAUUAUUUAUAUUUUCUAGCAUUUUAUCAUUAGACGCCAAUUUCUUAGAUAGAUUAUCCAUUAGCUUUCCUUGAUUAGACACUAACUCUCUCAAAGGUGGAAAAUUAUUAUUAUUGUUGUAAGAAUUGUUACCUUGAUAAUUACAUGAGUAGUUAGGCCUCUGUUGAUUCCAACCUUGAUUUUGUUGAGGACGGUUGUAGUAGUAGUUGUUGUUGUUGUUGAUGUAGUUCACAUCCUCAAGCAUCUCAGGGCAGUGGUGGCCUGAGUGUCCAGUGUCUCCACACUCCUCACAAGUCAUGUGAGAGUCGUAGAUGUGCAUAACUUCUUUCUUGUCUCCAGCUCUAUCGUCGAGCUUCUUCAUGAGCAGGUCUAGCUUUGCAGACAGCAUGUCUACCUCCUUCAGCUGAUGCAUACCUCCACCUCUCUUGCGUGUCUGGGUCCUCUCUUCAUUCCAGCUUUGGUUGGACGCCAUCUUCUCCACAAGAGCUGUGGCUUGUGGUAUAGUAAGUGAUAAGAAUGCUCCUCCAGCUGUAGCAUCCAUGGUCUCUCGGGCACUGUUGCUGAGCCCAUGAUAGAAUGUCUGCAUCAGUAGCCAACUCUCCAUUCCAUGAUGGGGACAUUCUAGGAUGUAGUCUUGAAAGCGCUCCCAUGCUUCUGGAACAGAUUCAUCAUUUUGUUGCUGAAAACUUGUAAUCUUCCCACGGAGAGCAUUGGUCUUGCCCAUGGGAAAGAACUUAGCCAGGAAGUUUGUUGAGCAGAGUGCCCACGUAGUAUUCUUCUCCUUUGUAGCGUAGAACCACUGCUUCGCUCUUCCUAACAGUGAGAAUGGGAAGAGGCGAAGUAGUAUAGCGUCUUUGGAAACUCCUGCUAUGGUGAAUGUGUUGCAAAUCUCCAGGAAGUGUUGUAAAUGAGCACUAGCGUCUUCGUGUGCCUUCCCACAGAACUGGUUGGAUUGCACCAUGUUGAUAAGUCCAGGCUUGAGCUCAAAGUUGCCAUCGAUCUCUGCAGCAGGUCCAGUGCGGAUGUUGUCCGUAGUGGGAGCUGAGAACUCGCGGAUUGAUUUGUUCGCCAUGGCCUCGAACUCUGAAGACAAGUUCCGGUGAUCUUCUUGAUUGGAUGAAGCUUCUUGCUGAAGUGUUGAUGAUUUCUUUGGCUUGGCUCUCGUCUUCUUGAAUAAUGCUUCGGGAUUGUCAACAAAAUUUCCUGGAAGAUGUCUUCUAUUCAUACAUUCCCCUACAUAAGAUAAAAUAGAAAAAUAUCAGGGUAAAACUGUAUGAGAGAAUAGAUAAGCUCAAUCAUAUUAGUGAUGCGAAUGAUAACUCAAAAUCUUUUUAUUCCAUUCCUGAUUAGUAAUCAACCUUCCCCGACAACGGCGCCAAAAAUGCUUGAUGGGUAUUCUUAACAUCAUUGCUAAAAGUAGACUAAGUUCUAAAUCUAGCAACGGUGCCAAAAAUGCCAAACCUAUCCCUCACACCACUUAAGCCAAGUUGUCAUCCCCAGCAUGAUAUAAGAGACGCGGUAUUGAAAUAUGCAAUUGCUCUUCUAAAUAAAUAAUGAAUUGGAUCUGCAAGCGCACAGAUUAAUACCGAUGUAGCAUUUUAACCGGGAAGUAUUCCAGGUAUCGUUAUUUAUAUUUUUACCACUGGGAAGGGAUUAGCAAUCAUCACUAAUGAUUACAGAAUAGAAUAUGAGAUUGAGUAUCUGUUGAUGCAAAACUGAUCUGCAAACACAAAGGGCUAAUACCCGAUUCAAACGUUAAGGCGUGCCAGCCGAUUUGACCUUGCUAUCGGCAAAGGUGAUAACUCGAAUACUUUAGUCCUGACAACAGCGAUGCGCCCGGAUGUCACGGCUAAGAGGUACUCACGCGGAACUUGAGAACACGCCGAGCUUAAGUAGAUGAAUUCCUAAGAACUCGUAACAAAAGGAAAAAGUAUGACGAAGUCGUCGAAAAGUAAAUGCUGGAAUAUGAGUAAAAACGUGUGUUUGAUUCAUUGAUUGAUUUUUUAUUACAAGGCCCUAGGGUCUAUAUUUAUACCCUGCUCAAAGAGCUACAACCAGACACGAUUAGAAUUCGAAUUCCAAAUUACACUGAAUCCGUAUACAAAACGAUGCAAAUAAUUAAGGAAAUAACAAAACUAUCCCUCGUGACAAACCGAAACUCCUCCACAUAACGACCGGCAGCUUCCGGACUCCCUCUUUGCAUCAUCGGCAGACCCUUUGCCAUAGUCAUCGGCAGACUUUCUUAUCUAGCCAUCGGCACCAUAUUACUGCCUGUGGACUUAGUCACGUUCAACUUCUCCCUCAUCGGCAACCAUCCUCAUCGGCAACCCACUUUGUAAACAUCGUACUGCCACCUUAUCCUGCCAUCCUAGACACGUGCCCAAAAACGGUGUCAACACAUGCCCCCCAGUUUCGGAGUAUAAAACUAUUAAUGCUCCGAAACUCUCUGCAGUAAUGAUGCCUUUUCCCGCAAUUAAUGCUCCUAAUCUGGUAACCGACAACCUCAACCUGAACAACUCUAAUCCUAUUCCUCCGCAGAUUUCUCGAAAUCCCCAACUUCCUAAACGGGCAUUUUUCUCAAUAUUACCUCCAUCGGCAGCUUACCCUUGUAUUUUUUUUGCAGGUUGACAAUUUUCCUCCAUUGGUUAGCAGGAGUGGCAGGCCGAUCGACUUGUUUCCAUCAGGCCCGAUUUCCUCAAUCGGCCACAAUGCUCCCACUCUAGCUUCCAUCGUGCAUCGGGGUGUACGCCUCAGGAAAGUCACCACCAGAAGAACCCAGACAUCACCAACGGUAGCUGCUCCCACUCUUGCGUGGGCUUUUAAGGCAAUUUGUCAAAUCUUUUCCUUUAUGCUGACUACCUUUAUAUCGGCUAUAUUUAUGCUUAUAAACUCUUGUUCAUUAUUGCAGCAAACCGGCGCAUCGGCGAAAGCCAGGUGUGAGAGUACCGAUGCCCCCCAGUCUAGCCAACCCAAGAGAAAGGGCACCACGGGUGCUAAGACUGGAACAAAGCGCCAGAAGGUAGCAACUCCCCCUCCUCCUCUGGUAUCUCCAAUUCCGGUGGAGUCUUCUCCUUCUUCUCCAGAAGCCCAGCCACAGCAAGCACCAUCUCCCCCACCUAUGCAGGAAGCACCACAAAUAGAAGAACCCCAACAGGAAGGAUCUCAAACAGAAGAUACAUCAGCUGACAUGGGUGAACAAACAACUGGCCCGGUGGGUCCAGUUAUACCAUCGGCAGUUCUCCCGGUUCAGACAACCGUUGUCCCUCCUCCAGGUAACAUACUUUAACAAUAUCGCUACCGAUGAACUUAUUCUUAUUUAGUCUCAUAACUCCUUUUGUCUUCUUUCAGUUGAUAUCGUUCCAUCGGCAAUCUCAGCCGAUCAACCUGUAGCUCCAUCGACAUCUUUGGCCGAUCAGCCUGCAGCUCCGUCAGCACUUCUCAGUCAAAGACAAGAGAUCGCUUUGAAGCAAGUAAGUCACCGUUUACCGUUAGCACUAUUUGCCAAUUCCCUGAGUAUGAGCUAAUUUUGCUUUCCCUCCCAGGGACAAGAUUCUCCCGAUAGCCUGUUCUCCUUCGCCAUCGAUCUCUCUGAAGAAGAAGGUGAAGAAGCAAGCUCUUCUCAGACGGUCGGCAUCACAUCGGCAGAGAUCAGGGUCAGGCUGGAAGAAUUGUCAGCUCUCCUUCACCAGGUCACAGCGCAAUUGGUUGAUGAUUCUGACCCUACCAAGACCCUGUUCAGAACUCUCAGAGGCCAAAUCCCAGCCGAUGUUGAAGAAAUCCUGUUCCAAGCCGCUCAUCUGGAGAGUCGCCAGCUGCAGUACCAGAGAGCUUCUCGGCGUCUUGCCGAUAGAGCCGCUCCGACUCAACUCUCCGAUGAAAUGAGGAAAGAGAAGCUUUUGACCGAUGAGAAGCACAAGAACAUCGGUAUCCUGAGAUCUUCUGGAGACGCGCUGAAGCAGAAGAUAUCCGAUCUAUCGGCAAGAAAAGAAUCCCUGUUGGCGGAGCUCAAGGAAGUAGAGAACGCUCUGUCCCAAGCCCAACAGGAAAAGAGCCAAUUGCCAGAGACCAUCAGGCUUCUUGAGCACGAGCGAAAUGCUCAUGGUCGCAAGGCACUUCAACUGAAGAAGAAGCUGAAGCCGAUAGAAGGUUCUGCCGAUGAUGACAUCAAGGAGAUAGAAGCAGCCAACCAAAUUCGGCUACGCGCUAUAUCGGCAUUCCAGACGCUGCUUAACACAUAGAGUUUCCAUCGGCAUUAUAUCUGCGCUUUCCUGCUUCCUCAGCUUUUAGUCUAGCCGAUAGGACUGUUAUCGGCACCUAAACUUUUGAAACACCAAGUCUUGUCCCCAAGCAUUUGGAUCCAGCCGAUAGGAGUGUUAUCGGCACCUAAACUUCUAUGCAUCGACCCAUAUACUGGGGUAGUACUUCUUUAAAUAUUUGCCGUUUAAUGCUCUAGGAAAUUCAAUUCCUUCGAGGGUUUCUAGAAUGUAGGCAUUACCAGGAGCCGAUCGACUUAUCCGAUAAGGACCCUCCCAAUUAGGAGACCACUUUCCAAACUUCGAACUUUUGGUCCCAAUUGGUAAAAUUAAUUUCCAUACCAAAUCCCCAUCGGCAAACUCUUUAGCCUUCACUUUCUUAUCAUACCAUCUAGCAACUCUCUUCUUAUUUUCUUCUAUACUCAUUAAAGCUUUUAACCGAUGCCCUGCUAGAUCGUCCAAUUCAUCGGUCAUCAAAGUGGCAUAACCAUCGGAAGUUAAUUGAUCUUGAAAAGAUAAUCGCCUAGAUCCAGCCUUAAUUUCCCAAGGCAACACUGCAUCAUGUCCAUACACCAAUUGAUAGGGUGAUACUUUGGUCGAUCCAUGACAAGCCAUCCGAUAAGACCACAAUGCUUCAUUUAAUAAUGUAUGCCACCGCUUAGGAUUUUCUUCAAUCUUUCGUUUAAUAAGCUUGAUAAUUCCUUUGUUAGACACUUCGGCCUGCCCAUUGGCUUGAGCAUAAUAAGGAGAAGAAUUCAACACUUUAAUUCCCAUACCGAUUGCGAAUUCAUCGAACUCCCCCGAUGUGAACAUGGUGCCCUGAUCGGUAGUAAUCGUUUGGGGAAUCCCAAAUCGGUAAAUAAUAUGCUCCUUCACAAAAUCAAUCAUAUUGGUCGAUGUGACUUUCUUCAAAGGAAUAGCUUCAACCCACUUAGUGAAAUAGUCAGUGGCAACUAGAAUGAACUUAUGCCCUUUGCUAGAUGGUGGAUAAAUCUGGCCGAUCAGAUCGAUGGCGCAUCCCCGGAAUGGCCAAGGCUUUAUUAUAGGAUUCAUAGCCGAUGCGGGUGCUCUCUGGAUAUUACCAAACUUUUGACAACCUUGACAUCCCUUGAAAUAUUUAAAACAAUCUUCAAGUAUGGUUGGCCAAAAAUAUCCAUUCCUUCGAAUCAUCCACUUCAUCUUAAAAGCUGACUGAUGCGCUCCACACACUCCUUCAUGGAUUUCCCCCAUCAAACUUCUAGCUUCAUCAUCACCCAAGCAUCGGAGAAGAAUUCCGUCGAUAGUUCGAUAAUACAAUUCAUUUUCAUGGAGCACAUACUUGGUUGCUUGAAAUCGAACCCGUCUUUCAACUUUUUUGGAUGGAUCUUUUAGAUAAUCAAUAAUUUCUUUCCUCCAAUCACCGGCACCGACUGCCGAUGUCGCAUUAAUCAUUGGCUGAUAUCCUGAGGCAUGCUGAGCUAACCGAUUAGCGUCUUCAUUAUGCAAUUGGGGAACAUGCUCCAAUCGGAAAUCCUUGAAUUCCUUUAACAGUUGCAUACUUCUCUCGAAAUAAGUUAUGAGAACUUCACUUCGGCAUUCAUAGCUUUCGGCCAAUUGAUUUAUAACCAACAUAGAAUCCCCGAAUAUUUCAACAGCAUCAGCACGAACUUCUCUUAACAACUCCAAUCCCUUGAUCAGAGCCUGAUAUUCAGCCUGAUUAUUUGUUGAUCUGGCAACAAUCGGCAAGGAAAACUCAUACUUCCUCCCCUUAGGGGAAACUAAUACAAUGCCGAUUCCUGCCCCCCGGUCACAGGUAGAUCCAUCAAAGAAGAGCGUCUAGGGUACAAUUUCCAAGGUUUCCACUAGACCGCAAUGCUGAGUCACAAAAUCGGCCAUAAUCUGCCCUUUGACUGCCUUAGCCGAUUCGUAACGCAAAUCGAACUCCGACAGCGCUAAAAUCCAUUUACCGAUCCUACCACUCAUAAUCGGCAUAGAUAGCAUGUAUCGGACCACGUCAUCUUUGCAAACAACAGUGCAUUCGGCCGAUAACAGGUAAUGUCUCAGCUUGAUACAUGAAAAAUAUAAACAUAAGCAUAGUUUCUCAAUGGCUGAAUACCUGGUUUCAGCAUCAAUCAACCUCCUACUCAAAUAAUAAAUUACCCUUUCUUUCCCUUCAAAUUCUUGAACUAAAGCUGAACCGAUAACCGAUCCAUCGGUAGAUAAAUACAAUCUGAAGGGCUUCCCUUGUUGAGGUGGAACUAGAACUGGAGGAUUUACUAGAUACUUCUUGAUUUCAUCCAGAGCCAACUGCUGUUCUUCUCCCCAAAUAAACUCUUGAUCGGCUUUCAAUUUAAGAAGGGGACUGAAAGCACGAAUCCUACCAGACAAAUUCGAUAUAAAUCUCCUGAUAAAAUUUACCUUGCCGAUCAAGGAUUGGAGCUCGGUUUUGUUGGUAGGGGCCACUAUUUUAUUGAUGGCAUCAAUAGAUCUUCGACUAAUUUCAAUACCCCUCUGAUGUACCAUGAAACCAAGAAACUGCCCUGCCGAUACACCAAAUGCACACUUGUUGGGAUUCAUCUUCAAUCCAUGCUUCCUUGUGCACUCUAACACUUUUUGUAAAUCGGCAAGAUGCUUUGAGAAAUCUCCAGACUUAACCACCACAUCAUCAAUAUAAAUCUCCACGAGCUUGCCGAUGAACUCAUGAAAUAUAAAAUUCAUAGCCCUUUGAUAAGUAGCACCAGCAUUCUUCAACUCAAAAGUCAUGACUAUCCAUUCAAAUAGCCCAACAUGACCAGGACACCUGAAUGCGGUUUUUGGAAUAUCCUCCUCCGCCAUGAAUAUUUGAUUGUAACCUGCAUUACCAUCCAUGAAGCUGAUGACCUGAUGACCAGCCGCAGCAUCAACCAGUAGAUCGGCGAUAGGCAUUGGGUAUCCAUCCAUCGGCGUAGCUUUAUUGAGAUUCCUGAAAUCAAUGCACACCCGAAGCUUCCCGUUCUUCUUGUAAACCGGAACAACAUUGGAAAUCCACUCGGCAUACCGACACUGCCGAAUAAACUUAGCUUCAAUAAGUUUGGUGAUUUCGGCCUUAAUAUCAGGUAGAAUGUUAGGAUUACAUCGGCGGGCUGGUUACUGAUGUGGCCGAAACCCAGACUUGAUGGGUAACCGAUGUUCAACAAUUGAUCGGUCUAAACUAGACAUCUCGGUAAAAUCCCAAGCAAAGCAAUCUUUAUAUUCCUUUAACAAACUAGUCAAUUGUUGCUUACUCUCAGGAUCUAAUUUAGCACUAAUAAAAGUAGGCCUAGGCUUAUCACCACUACCUAUAUCUACUUCUACCAAAUCAUCGGCCGAUGUGAAUCCCUGGCCUAACUUUCCAUCAUCGGCGAAUCUAUCCAUUAAAAACCGUCGUCAGAACCGACUGUUUGGAUCGGUGGAAUCUCAUAAUCGGCAACUUUGAGAAAAUCUUUCUCCCAAACUUCUCCUGAAAUGCACCUGGUCCUUUCGUAAGUAUCCGCUUCUGCCGAUGCGAUAACAUAAGAAGAAUCUCCUGGGACAAUCUCAAUCUUGUCACCUACCCACUGAACCAAGCAUUGAUGCAUUGUAGAUGGGAUAGAACAAUUGGCAUGAAUCCAAUCUCUUCCCAAUAAUAAGUUGUAAGCACCUUUUCCGCUGAUCACGAAAAAAGUUGUCGGCAAGGUUUUGCUGCCGAUGGUCAACUCUGCACAUAUCGCCCCCUUGACUGGAGACACGUUUCCUUCAAAGUCUUUGAGCAUCAUAUCGGUCUUGGUCAAAUCUUGAUCCCCUUUCCCAAGCUUCCGAUAUACUGCAUACGGCAUAAUAUUAAUAGCAGCUCCACCAUCAACUAGGAUCUUGGUCAUUGGCUGCCCAUCAACCCUUCCUUUGAGGAACAGAGCUUUAAGAUGCUACCUCUCGUCAUCGGCAGGUUUCUCAAAGAUAGCCGUCAUCGGAUCCAGAGCCAACUGAGCUAUCUGAUCAGAAAAUUCCAACUCAUCAUCACUGGCUGGUGCAAGAAACUCCAUCGGCAACAUGAAGACCAUGUUGACGCCUGCCGAUGGACCUUCCCUCUUAGUGUCUGACGGCUGCCGACUUCCAGAGUUCUCUCCCUUGUUUAGCUCUUCUUGCCUUUCAUGUUGCAAUCUCCUUUUCUGUGUCUUGGUUAAUCCUCCAGGGCACCAUGGAGGAAGUGGCCUUUGCCUUGCCGUCGGGCGUCGGUUCUCCCUUGACUCCAUACGAUGCGUGUUAGCAUCCCUGCAAAAUAUGAAUUCAUCGGGAACCCGCGCAUCAGCCAUUUCCUCGAGCUCUUCUUGGUUCCUGGGAAAAUACUGGACACGGUCACUAAGUCUGUCGUGCCCACUAAAUCUGCCCCCCAGCCGGUCAUGAACUGACACCCUUCCUCUGAUCGGCCCAUUAAAUCGCCGUUCAUCAUCAUGAUAAUGCCGAUCGAUCCUAUCGUACCGAUCAUAACCGUUGCACUCAGGGCAGUCUCUGACAGUAGGAAGCUUGAUAUUUUCCUCCCAACAAUGGAUGAAGAAUGGACAAUUCCAAUGAUCCCUGUGCCGAUUCCACUCCUGUCGGCGUCUUUCUUCUUCCCGUCGAUAAUCUUCCUCCUGGCGCCGAUACCGAUCUUCCCGUUGUUGCCAAUUUUCUCGAGGCCUUCUAUGAGUUAUGACGAUACCAGAUCGAGGAGGCCUUCCUGAGCUAGUUCCUUCCUGGACCAAGCCCUUACUUCUUGCAUCGGCAGUAGUAACUUGAUGCUGAGGAUCUACCGAUGCACUCUUCUCAGCUGUCUCCGAUGUUAAGACCUUAGCCUUCUCCUUAGCAUCCAACAUGUUUGUCGGGAAAGGAUGUUGGUCUAUCUUCAUCGGCUUCUGGGCUUUGGAACUGUCAAACUUGAUUCUCCCUGACUCUAUAGCCGAUUGCAGCUGCUGUCUGAAUACUUUGCACUCGUUGGUGUCAUGGGAAGUUGCAUUAUGCCACUUGCAAUAUCUCAUCCUCUUCAACUCUUCUGCCGAUGGGAUCACAUGGUUAGGUGACAGUUUGAUCUGACCUUCCUGAAGUAGAAAGUCAAAUAUCCUAUCAGCCUUAGCGGUGUCAAAAGCAAACUUCUCUGGUUCCUUCUGCCCAAAAGGACAAGACAUCGGCUUCUUGUUUUUUACCCACUCUGCCAAGCCGAUUACUGGUUCUUCAUCAGAAUCUGAGCUUGUUGCUUCAUCGACAAAUGACACUUUCCUAUUCCAUGCUCUUUUAGGCUCGAAAGGCUUGAUGUCUUGAUCAGAAAUCCUCUGCACCAAAUGACUUAAACUUUCGAACUCCUGAGAGGCAUACUUAUCCCUGAUAUGUGGCAACAAACCCUGGAAAGCCAAAUCGGCUAGCUGCCGAUCAUCCAGAACCAAGCUAUAGCAUUUAUUCUUGACCUCUCGUAUCCUCUGCACAAAACCCUCAACCGACUCAUCAUUACGUUGCCUCAACUUGACCAAGUCGGUGAUCUUCUUCUCAUGAACCCCCGAGAAGAAGUAUUUGUGGAAUUGCUUCUCUAGAUCGGCCCAAGUAAUUACUGAGUUGGGAGGUAAUGAUAUGAACCAAGUAAAGGCCGAUCCAGACAAUGAUGAUGAAAAUAGACGAACCCUCAAUUCGUCCCUGUUACCAGCCUCUCCACAUUGAAUGAUGAACCUGUUGACAUGCUCCAUGGUUGACGUGUCGUCCUGCCUGGAAAACUUUGUAAAAUCCGGUACCUUGUACCGAUGUGGAAGCGGGAUCAAAUCAUACGCGGGAGGAUACGGUGUCCGAUAAGAGUAAGUGUUGACUUUGGGUUUUAUCCCAAAUUGUUCCCUCAUUACUUCAGCAAUCUUAUCGGCCCAAUAUGCAUCUGCAUCUUGCCAGUGAGGCGGCUGCGGAUCUGGCACUUGGUGGCGAACCUCCACGUGUCUGUUUGGGACGUGAUCUGCACGGAACAUUGUAUUGAUCACCUGUCCUCCAAUCUGCGGACCACCAAACUGCUGUCCACCGAUUGGCUGUCCUCCGAGUUGCUGUCCAAAAUUCAUUGGCUGGUUGGGAAUCCCCUGACCUUGGAACCCGGGAUAGACCUGCCCUUGCUGGAACCCUGUAGUCUGGUAACUCUGCUGGGGUGAUUGUGGAAAGGCUUGCUGUCCAAGCCAUCCAUUAUUAGUGUUCAUUGGCAUAGGUGCUGCCGAUGAUUGGUAAUUGGGUACCGUCGUUGAAUUGACAUACCCCGACUGGGCCAUAGACCUCUGUUGCAUCAGCAUUGACUCUGCCGAUGCGUUGGGCAUCUGGAACAUUGAAUCUUGAGGAUUUCCAGUGUGAGGCCUUGCAGUAGUAGUUGUGGUAUACCGAGGACUCUGGUUCACCGGCGCAUUGGGAGGUGCCGAUGUCAUAGGAGUUUUGCCCCUCAUGUCAGUUAUUUGUGAUGUUCCCGGUGUCAACUCUGGCGGCAUACCGUAACCCCACCAGUUGGGAGGAAGAGUCAACCCUGACAUUGCCGAUGCCAACAUAUCUGUUGUCAGUUUAUGCUGCCCAACUGAAAUUUGUGGGUUGGUUGUCAUCGGCAUAGAUAGUGCACCAGUAGUCCCCGAUGUACUUGGAGGGACGGCAGAUUGUGCACUUGCAGUCGUCAAGGCAGCCGAUGGAGCCGUGACCUCUGGUGCCGUUGGCUGAUGAUGGGAGGGGCCCACAUAAUCUGGUGGGAUUUGUCCUUCCUUGAAAGUUCUUGCCACGGCAUUGAAAACCGUAUUAGACAGUACACCAGCUUGGUUAAUCAACGCUCGAUUGAUGGCAUUGUCAACCAUAUCUUGAAGCUUGCCAGGAUUGGCGUCAAAGGUAACCUGCCGUGGUGCCGGCAGUGCAUCUUUCUGGACCACUUCGCCGCUCCUGUUUAUGCUGAAAGACCUCAGGCAUUGCUGCUUGAACUCCUCCAUGGCUUGGGCAAUAGCUUGCUUCUGCUCAUCCUUGAGGUUGGCCUCCGUCACGGGGAUGACGUUCUCUUGAUCGAGGUCAGAGAUCGACAUGUUGAUCUUGAUCUUGAAUCCUGUCCCACCGGGCGUGCCAAAAGAUGUGUUGAUGCAAAACUGAUCUGCAAACACAAAGGGCUAAUACCCGAUUCAAACGUUAAGGCGUGCCAGCCGAUUUGACCUUGCUAUCGGCAAAGGUGAUAACACGAAUACUUUAGUCCUGACAACAGCGAUGCGCCCGGAUGUCACGGCUAAGAGGUACUCACGCGGAACUUGAGAACACGCCGAGCUUAAGUCGACGAAUUCCAAAGAACUCAUAACAAAAGGAAAAAGUAUGACGAAGUCGUCGAAAAGUAAAUGCUGGAAUAUGAGUAAAAACGUGUAUUUGAUUCAUUGAUUGAUUUUUUAUUACAAGGCCCUAGGGUCUAUAUUUAUACCCUGCUCAAAGAGCUACAACCAGACACGAUUAGAAUUCGAAUUCCAAAUUACACGGAAUCCGUAUACAAAACGAUGCAAAUAAUUAAGGAAAUAACAAAACUAUCCCUCGUGACAAACCGAAACUCCUCCACAUAACGACCGGCACCUUCCGGACUCCCUCUUUGCAUCAUCGGCAGACCCUUUGCCAUAGUCAUCGGCAGACUUUCUUAUCUAGCCAUCGGCAGCAUAUUACUGCCUGUGGACUUAGUCACGUUCAACUUCUCCCUCAUCGGCAACCAUCCUCAUCGGCAACCCACUUUGUAAACAUCGUACUGCCACCUUAUCCUGCCAUCCUAGACACGUGCCCAAAAACGGUGUCAACAGUAUCUAUCAUAGCAUGUAUAAUUGAGAACAUUAUAUCUAACUCUUCAUACAGGGAUAAGUGUCACAUAAAAGAUAUAUGAAAUAAUAAUAGUGACAAGAAUAACUAAUCUGAUCUAGCCACAUAAUAAAUAUGAUAAGCACCUCAAUUAGAUACUCUAGAAAGUCAUUAGCAUGGUAUUAGAACGAACUACAAGAAUAUUCCCUAAGUUAUUCUCAACUAUAUAGUCUAGCAUAUCAUAGUUAGUGCAAGCAUACUUAGCAAUCAUUGUGAGACAAGACUACGCCCAUGCAUAGUGAUAUUAGCAAGGUAAAUAAGAAACAUAGCAAUCACUCCCCUAUAAUAAUGUACUCUGCCAGCCCAAUACACGAGAGGGGGACUAUAUAAGAAUCAAUAAAGUUGUCACUAUCACGAACUACCCCACGAUCUGGCAUAUUGGGUACAAUCGCAGAUAAAUACGGUAUAAGCACCACGCCUACACAAUAUCUAUCAUUUACCCAUGGAUCCGAUGGAUAAACGCUAUACGAUCCUAAGCAUGUAUAUAGAUCCAAUCUAACUAAGCCAAGUACAUAACUAUGAUAAACUAAGAACAAUAUAAUCUUGAAUAUAAAUAAGUAGAGCAAAGUCAUAAGCAAUAUAUUGAAGUAGAACAAAGUCAUAUUCAUAAUAUUGAAGAACAAAGAUGAACAAUUAGAAGAACAAUUAGAGAAUUACCAAGAAUCCUCUUGACAGAUCCAGAAACCAAUCGAAGAUUGACACCUUCUAGUUCUAAUCCUAUGUAGCUAUGCUAAUCUAGAUGUCUAAUUGAUGUGGUGGCUCUAGGCUUGAUCAGAGGCUUCUUCUCCCUUGAAGAAUAAUGAAUUAGGGUUGAGAGGCUCUCUCCUCCAGGGGCCAUGGGGUCUGGUUUUAUAGUCCCUCCAAGUGAAUAUGGGCCGUUGGAUCAAACCGACAUUGAUUGAACGGUUAUCCUUGAUCCUUUAAGUCGGUGGAGCUUAAUCCCAAAAGAGAGUCCUGAUUGAACUCUGUAGGGGGGCGGGCGCCCUGGUCUCCUGGGCGGGCGCCCAGGGCCAGGCCCCGUUCGGCCUCUGCUUCGUUCUCCACUAGUACACAUAACCACUAUACAGGCGGUUCCCAACCCCUUUUCACAGGCGGAUUGGAGAACCGCCUGCGCUGGGUGCCUGUGGAAAUCAAGAGUUUUCACAGGCGGGUAACUCAGAACCGUCUGUAGAAAUAGAUUUCUACAGGCGGUUCAGUUAUGCCACCCGCCUGUAGAAAUGAACUUUCUACAGGCGGUUCAUCUAUGCAACCCUCCUGUAGAAAUGAACUUUCUACAGGCGGUUCUCAUUAUUUAACCGCUUGUGUUAAAAAUUUUAAAUCUCCCGCCCAAUUCCAAAUUUUCCCACCAGACCCUUUUUUUCAUUUUAUAUUUUAAUAUGUACAUACAACAUACAUAUAUAUAUAUACACGUAAUAUUCAAACUGCUGAAGCCUAGAGAUCAUGUCAGACAUUGCAACAUGCAAUUCAUUUAUAUAUAUACAGUUACUUUAUACAUAAGGUUACAUUAAUAACAAACAUGAUCACACAUCAAGUUUUUUUUGUUACAUGCAUUAGAGGUUUCACCUCUGAAACCUCUGCUCUAAUAACUGGAUCGAGUUAGCUUUAGCCUACUAAUCUCCCUUAGCGCUCCGUAUUCAGGCUUUGCUAGGGCGCUGGUCCGAUCGUGAUAUUUCCCUUCGCUGGGAAUGACUUCUCGCAACAUGAAUUUGCAGAGGUCCUCAACUAUGUUGUAUAAAGUGGCUUCACUCAUGCUCUUCGCCUCUUCAAAGUCUUUUUGCUGCAUAGGAAGUUAGAAAACAUCAUAUAUUUAAUGUUCAUAAUACAUAAUUAACAACCUUAAUUACUUAGAGCAUUAAUUACCUUAUAAGGGUUAGUCAUAUAUCUUCUGCCCUCUCUCAUGAACUCACAUACGUAGAAUCCACAGUGGACCGAUCCUAGUGGUUGCUUGUGACACUAUAUAAAGAAAAAGAGCAUAUUUGUGAGUUGCAACAUGAUACAUAUUCUAUGUAUAUAGCUAGCGAGAAUAACUUGGUAAACUUCCAUACGUACCGGCCACUUAUGAAAGAACCUCAAAGGCUGCCCCUGUAUUCCUGACUCGCACUUUCCCCUUUAAUCUUAUAAUACCUAUAGGCCCUAUGAUAUCAAAAACAUUUUGCAAGUUAUUGUCAAACUCUUAUAAAAAUUUGUAUGCAUAUUUUACUUAGCUUACCGUUCUAAGAGAGAAAUGAAUGGUGCAUAAGUUGUUGGUUCAUAGUCUGCGGAGUCUAGGACAUGCACACGUCCAUGCUUGGGAUUAAUCAUUAAGCAGAUCCAGUGGUCCCUGAGAGAAUGAACUUUGUGAUCAAAGUGCGCAUUUUAACUAUUAAUACGAUCCAUGCAAACUGACACUUACCUAAAGUGAUAUGGUGCGAAUAUUAAUUCCUUGUCUUGAAACUCUAGCAUUGUCAUGGCUAGGUAGAGGCCGUAACUAGCUAUUUGUUUCUUUUCUCUUUUCUUUAUUUCGUCCUCCUACUCUUUUGGAUCCAAAACUUUUAAGUAGUCAUGAUCUUUUCUGAUCCUGAAAGUGUGCUCGUCCUCACAUAUCCUCAUUGGGCUCAUAUAUGUGACCCUUUUAUUCACAUUAGUGCUUGGAUUCGGACCGUACCGCAUCUGUUGCUGUUCAUAUUGCAUUCUGCAACGUGCACUUGUAUGUUAGUAUUAAAAUUUAAUGUAACUCACAAAUAAUAACUCACAAAUUUAAAGCAUUGUAUGAGUGACACUUACAAUGUAAACACAGUUAUGAGCUGCACGUCGAGUCUUUGUAGGUUCAUCAUUAACCACAUGUCCUAGAAGGUCACAAUUGCUCUUGUAUGAUCACUAUUAAAUGCCUCUGCUGGUAUAUCUACACUGAUCGUGUCAAUGCCAACAGAAGAUGCUCUCAUAUACCAGUCUUGGAACCUUUUUACACCAGCUAGGACCUUUUUAAGUUUAUCCCAAGUGAGUAGAGGCCCACCCAACUCAUAUUUCUUAGAGACAUAUUUAUAAUCAUCUUUAGUGGGUGCCCUAAUAUUUACAAAAGCUCGUUCAGACUUCUUCGCUGCCUUCUCGUGCUCAGCCAAGUCAACUAAUUUUGUCGUGCGGCUCAUUGCAAUUCCUGACAAAAAUAGUGCAGUACCAGCAGACUUCCUCUUCUUUGGCUCGAACGGAGAAAUCAAUUUGGGCACCGAAAAUUUUAACUUUUUUGGUGGCGGUGGUGUCGUCUCGUCAUCUUUGGUUGGUUGUGGUGGUGUCUCGGCAUUUUUGGGUGGUGGUGGUGUGGAAGAUUCUGGUGGUGCUGGUGAAGGUUGUGGUUUAGGUGAUGGUGGUGGGGAUGGUGGGUGAAGCAUUAUAGGUGAGGAUGGUGGAGCGAAGAUCGGAGAGGGUGGUGGACUCGGAAGAGAUAUGUUACCACCGACAUCUGGAAGGGACGACUCCUGAGUUAGUGGUAAUUCUUGGGAUGAAGGUUGUGGUAGCUCAGACAACAGAACGUCUCGUCGAGGCCGAAGAAUGAAAUUCUUGAUAGCUUGUCCCAGCUUCUCAAUACCCUCAGGACCAGGAAUGUCUAGCAUGUCAUCCUCAUAUCCUUGGACAACUGUCAGCACUUCCACCCUACAGUAGUCCUCUGGAAUUUCGCUACCAUGAAACUAGCACCCCGGGAUUGCAAGUCUUGUGGCUACUUCCCUUGUACGAUUAUUGUUAAGACCGUACCUUAUGACUAGGGAGCAACGAACAGGACUUUCAAUCUCAUCAACUGGAUAGCGGUCCUUGUUUCCAGUAGACGCGACACUACUUGGGACAACUGGAGCCUGUUGUGAUGUUGUCGGGGCGACCACUAGUUGCAUCUGGCGAGGGUGACCACUUAAUUGGUUAGACAUUGCAGACGCCAGUCGCUGCAUCAACUCAAGAGGAGGAUCGGAGAGCAUUUUAUUCAUCACCUGUUCGACUUGUUUAUUAGCCUCCUCCUUAAAAAAAUUAGACAAUUAUUCCUUGUAGCGAUCGCGUUUUCUAUACAUUCCUUCCCACUCUGGUCCGAAUCCUUCUUUCCAUCCUUCCUUGGAUGAGAUACCUCGUACACGACCAUGAUGCUCUGGGUUACCCAGAGCAAUAGUAAGAACAUCCUUCUCUCUUUGUGGCUUAAAUUCGCCUGCUUUCUGCUUAGCUUCCACCUUGAAAAUAUUCUUCGCAGCCUCUUCGAACAUUGGGUCAGGAAAUGACAAGCCAGAAUUGGCUUUCUUUGUCGGUACCCGAGCACGAACCCACCACGCGCCCCUGCGACCAAGUUGGUUAGGGAGCGCCGGCAAACCCUGAGAGCUCUGCGCUUCAUCCUCUUGCUCCCAUUGGGCAAGCUUGCGCUGGUAACCACCUGUGCCUAGGUGGUGGUGGUACUUGUUGAUAUUUGGGAACGCAAUAAGGAAUUGAUCCGCAAGCGCACGGAUAUCAGUGAGCACUUCACCCGAGAAAUUAUCCAGAGUAUCGUAUUUAUUUUUUUACCACUAGGAGAACGAGUGCAUCUGACUAACCGGUCUAUUACUACUAACCUUUAGGCACAAAGAAUGUCUUUCGAUGUGAGUAAUAAAUAGAGAAGACUGCAACCGUAGUCUCCUUCUAACCUUGGUAAGGAUGAUCUACUGUUCUAAUGGGGAGGCUAACGGAAUCUAGACACCACAGAGGAUGUUCAACCCACACCUAUAAACCCUAUCCUUCCUGCUAACAAGAUGUGAUCUACAAAGGUAGCUCGGAAUUGUCACGUUCCUCACUACUACCACGGUCCAGCUAGUCAGGGAAUAUCUAUGAGUACCCCAGCCUAAACACCACGUUUACGCCAGCAAUGAUUACUCUAAACUCUACGCGAAGAGAUUAAAGUAAACUCAUAAACCAUAAGAACAAUAAAACAAUAACUUACUAGAAUUUAGAAGUCGAAAUACUGAAGAAUCCUAGGAGCAAGCUUCGGAUUAGGAGAACUUGAUCCCGCAGGUACAAGCUUGGAGUAGACACCGACAGGCCGGGCUUCCUCCACUCUAUCUCUCUCAAUCUAGUAGAAACUAGAAGAUCUAUUUCUACCUUACAUUGGUUGCUAAGCCUAAAAAGAAAUAUUAAUUAGAGAAGAGGUUUUCCUUCGAGGGCACCCCUCAGUCUCUAUGAUAAUUUCUUCAUGUCUUCUCCAGGGGCCAGGGGGCCUUGCUUAUAUAGUCCUCCCCUUCUAUGCGUUUUUGGGUCGAUAGGCGAGGUGGUACUAUGUUUUUCUUGAUCCAAUAGGUCGGUGGAAUAUCCCGAGCGAAAGAGUCCUGAUUUGGCUCCAGCAGGGGGGCGGGCGCCCAGGCUUCCAAGGCGGGCGCCCUGGGCCUGGCCCAGUUUUGCCUCCGCUUCGGUCUCGUGGCUUCUGGAGUCUUCUAAAUGAAGUAAAAUUGCACGGUGCGUUGAUAUCUCUAUGUAAUCCCGACAUGUGGGCCUUUCUUCCUUAUUUCCUGAUAACCCCCUGCAGAAAUAGAUAAACAACAAAACUCGUGGAAUUCUGUCAGAUCAAACCCUAAUUUUAGGUGAUGGUUGCAUAUUGGUCCAUUCUCUUGUUUAUUUGAUAAUUAAAAUUCAUACUUAAGAACCGUCAACAAAUACCCCCAUACUUAGGCUUUUACUCGUCCUCGAGAAAAGGAUGGUUAAGAACAAUAUCUGGGGUAAACAUUUUAAAGCAUUCUCUUUAUAUAAUUGCAGGGUGUUAAAAUUCCACUGUGUACCAUAGUCAGGGAAGUUUAUGAUUAAGAGUAAAGAUCCUUUCUUCUCGAUCCUGUCACUUGGAGUUUUUGUAUAUUUUUGAAAGAAACUUAGCAUACCUUUUGAUCCUCAUAGGUUCUCUCAGAUCACUCAUUAUCUUUUAUAUAUCUCACUGAGGCUGUUUUAUUUUGCAAAAAUUCUCAAGCAUACUUACUUUGCAUUUAUUGCCUGAUCAAAACGGGAUCCGAGGAGGGGAAUGUCAUACUCUUAGAUCAAAGACUUUGAAAAUUAAAAACUUUGUCAACUCUUGCUGGCAUAUUGCUUAUUAGAGGGACCAUGGGCUAUCAUUUUUUUAAGUGGAUACGGAGGUACCCCUAAUUCUACUGCCGGACACUUGUCUAUUUUUUUCUGCGAGGUUGUCGAGCACUUGCUCCUUUUUAUUUCCUCGAAAUAUUUUUAUUUUUGCAUAGCCCAUGCCUCUAAUGCAAUAAUACUUCGGAAGAGUGAAUCUUACUGAAAUUUGAUCUUGGGAGCAUGAUAAAUCUCUCAACAAGGGUCUAACUCAUUUUGAACAAACUCAAUACAGAGUAGAUAGCUUUUAUAAUCAUAAUUAAUAUUUUUAGUACAAAAGACUGAUAACAAACUGAUAGCAAACUAAUAAUAAUAGCAAACUUAAACCGAAUUUAAAGAUAGAUGACUAAGAUGCAUUGCCUCAAGGUCUAAUCUAGAUAACUUAGCGGCGCUCUAAUUCCUUGAUCUUCUUGUUGGCACUGGCAAGAUCCUGCCUAAGGCCUAGUAUAAUGGUGUUGUGGUUAGAGAGCUGCCUAGUGAGGGAAUUAAUUGAGGACUGGAGGUCUAUGAUAAUUUUAUCUAGCCUGCGAACUUCCUCAUCAAUAUCCAUUAUAGCCUUGCGACGCUUGGGAUGUGUCUCAAAAGCAUUGAGAGAAUGCUUCGGGGCUGCCUUUGGAGGGAUGAAACGGACUUUGGCUGCUCUAAUCCCUUCAAAGUAAGGCCUUUCCUCCUCUGAAGUGUAGCGUACGCUGCUGAUCUCGCCGCUUCGGUUGGUCUUGACUCCAACGACCCUCUCAUUGGGUCUAGGUGGAAGGAUCCUUGUGCCGAUUGGCACCUUGAUAGUGGUCUUCGUCUUCGAUGAUGGUCCUUUGAGGAGUAGGGGUUGUGGUGGUGCGGUGAGAACUGGUUGAGCAUGGUAAGAUUGGGCGGAGCUGCGUUGGCGUAAUGGCAUGGCUUCUAGCUGACGCUCUGUUUUGGCCGGGACGAGAGCACGGGCAUCGGGGUCUUCCACUGGCUCCAUGUUGAGGUUGAAGGGGACGACUUCCCAAUCGUCGUGGUACUUGUCGGCCAUUGGAGUAGCAAGGAACUAAUAAAAUUUUAAUUGAAGUAGAGCUAAUUAAGCUCUAAUUAAAGGAGAGCUAAUCAAGCUCUAGUUGAAGGAGAGAAAGCUUGGUGGCUUGGUGUUUGAAAACUGAGGUGAGGGGUCUGUUUAUAUAGGGGUUAAAAGGAUGCCUCUAUGGGUUGUUCGGGUUGCUCCCGUCGAUGUGCGUGCGAAACUUUCCAUCCGAGGGAUUAUUCGGAUCACCCUAUGUGCAUUUUCCAUAACAGAGAAAGUCGGGACCGAGGGGGAACAGGGGCUGGGCGCCCGCCCACUUGACCUGGGCGCCCACCCUCUCUGUGGCUCCUCUGUGGGCCCACUUCUCCGAGCGCGUUUCUAGAUGCGAAAUUAUUUAGAAAAAUAUAUAUAUAACCCAAAACCAUCAGACCAAAAGUGUCGGGCUCUAAUUCUCCAUGGGAAGGUAAAAAUGGACUACGUCUAUUUCUUCAAAUUCCUCAUUGGGCUCUAAAAAUAAUUUAAGAUGUUGACCAUUUACCUUGAAUAACGUACCUUCGCUGUUUUGAAGUGUGAUAGCUCCGUGGGAUGAUGAAUUGAUUACCUUGAAUGGUCCUUCCCAUUUGCUCCGGGGUUUUCCAUGCCCGAAAAGCUUCACCCUAGAAUUAAAAAGUAAUACCUUAUCUCCGGGUGUGAACUCCUUCUUCUUGAUUCUCUUGUCAUGCCACCUCUUUGACUCUUUCUUUGUAGAUCUUUGAAUUGUGAUAUGCCUUCUCUCGCCAUUCUUCCAAUUCUGAUAAUUGCAUUCUUCUAUAAUCUCCAGCAACAUCUAGGUCCAUAUUCCAUCUCUUUAUGGCCCAGUGUGCUUUGAAUUCUAGUUCAACAGGUAGAUGGCAAGUCUUCCCGUACACCAAUUGGUAUGGAGACAUUCCAAUUGGGGUCUUGUAUGCUGUCCGGUAUGCCCAGAGUGCAUCGGGUAACUUGUCUUUCCACGCCGUUCCCAUUUCAUUUACUGUCUUCUGAAGAAUAUUCUUGAUUUGUUUGUUGGAAGUCUCUGCUUGGCCACUUGUCUGAGGAUGAUAAGGGGUAGCGACGUUGUGACGGAUUCAUUGUCUUGAUAGAUAUUGCUUGAAGCGUUUGUCGAUGAAGUGUGCUCCUCCAUCACUUAUCACUACUCUGGGGACUCCAAAUCUUGGAAAUAUAAUUUCUUCAAACAUCCUCUUUGAACUGACGUUCUCGGCAUGCUUGCAAGGUAAUGCUUCUACCCACUUGGAGACAUAGUCAACCGCCACCAAGGUGUACUAACACUUCUUUGAUGGAGGAAAUGGACCCAUGUAGUCUAUUCCCCAGACAUCAAAGAGCUCAAUCUGAAGGUUGUUGGUGAGUGGCAUUGCAUCCCUUGUAUUUAUGUUUCCGUGCCUUUGACAUGGCCCACAUCUUCUGAUAUAUUGCUUCGUGUCUUCAUACAUUGUAGGCCAAUAGAAUCCACACUGCCAGAUCUUUGAAUGUGUACGGAAUGCUCCAUAGUGACCUCCAUAUGGUGAUGAAUGACAUCUGUCGAUGAUCUUCCAUCCUUCCUCAGUGGUCACACAUCUCCUGAGUAAGCCAUCAGAGCAUACUCGGAAGAGGUAUGGCUCGUCCCAUAUAUGUGAACCACUUUCUUGAAUAAGCUUCUUCAUGUUUGCUCCUGGUGGUACAUACCCUGAAACCAUAAAAUUAACAAUAUCUGCAUACCAGGGGUCAGACCUGUUAAUCCCGUAGAGCAUGUCGUCCCGGAGUGAAUCAUUGAUGGGGGUUUCCUGUGGACUCUUAAAAUACAUUCUAGACAAGUGAUCAGCAACAGAAUUUUCUACUCCUUUUUUAUCUUUUAUUUCUAAGUCAAAUUCUUGGAGUAAUAAAAUCCAUCUAAUCAGGCGAGGUUUAGCAUCUUUUUUAGUGAGCAAAUAUUUUAAUGCAGCAUGAUCAGUGUAAACAAUUAUUUUAGCUCCAACUAAAUAACAUCUAAAUUUAUCAAUGGCAAAGACAACAGCCAGGAGCUCUUUUUCAGUGGUUGCAUAGUUAAGUUGAGCUCCUGUCAAAGUUUUACUGGCAUAAGCAAUUGCAUGAUGCUUCUUAUCUUUAGUUUGUCCCAAUACUGCCCCCACAGCAUAAUCACUAGCAUCACACAUAAUUUCAAAAGGUAACGACCAAUCAGGGGGUUGAAUGAUUGGUGCAGAGAGGAGUGCUUUCUUUAAUAAAUUGAAAGAUGUUAGACAUGCAUCAUCAAAUUCGAAAGGAGCAUCCUUGGCUAGCAAAAGAGUAAGUGGUCUAGCAAUAAAUGAAAAAUCUUUUAUGAAUCUACGAUAAAAACCAGCAUGGCCAAGAAAGCUUCGAAUUCCUUUUAUAUUCACAGGUGGAGGUAGUUGUUCAAUUACUUCAAUUUUAGCUUUGUCUUCCUCAAUCCCCCUUUCAGACACUAAGUGUCCUAGCACUAUUCCUUCCCUAACCAUAAAAUGACAUUUUUCCCAAUUAAGGAUUAAGUGCUUUUCUUCACAUCUUUGCAAAACCUUGUCUAAGUUUUCAAGACAACUAUCAAAGGUUUUUCCAUAAACAGAGAAAUCAUCCAUGAAAACUUCCAUAAUCUCUUCAAUCAUAUCAGAAAAUAUAGACAUCAUGCAUCUUUGAAAAGAAGCCGGUGCAUUACAUAACCCAAAAGACAUUCUACGGUAAGCAUAAGUUCCAUAAGGGCAUGUAAAAGUGGUUUUGCUUUGAUCAUUAGGAUGGAUCGGGAUUUGAUGAUACCCUGAAUAUCCAUCUAAGAAACAGAAGAAUGAAUGAUUUGCUAACCGCUCUAGCAUCUCAUCUAUAAAAGGUAAAGGAAAGUGAUCUUUUCUCGUGGCUUUGUUUAGUUUUCUAUAGUCUAUGCACAUCCGCCAUCCUGUGACGGUGCGUUGCGGAAUUAGCUCGUUCUUUUCAUUCAUAAUAACUGUCAUGCCUCCCUUUUUGGGCACAACUUGGACUGGGCUCACCCACUCACUGUGCGGCACAGGAUAUAUAAUCCCUGCAUGCAGCAACUUUAUAACUUCCUUUUUAACUACCUCUCUCAUAGUGUUGUUAAGUCUACGUUGGGGUUCUCGAGAGGGUGUAACAGAAGGAUCUGUUGGAAUACGAUGGGUACAAAUCAUAGGACUGAUUCCUGUAAGAUCUUGAAGUGAGUAGCCGAAUACUGAGUGAUGUUUCUCAAGAAUGGUCAUUAAUCGCAGAGUUUGAUCCUGAGUGAGUUUAUCGCUAAUGAUCACAGGGAACUCUGGAUUAUUGUUUAGGAAAGCAUAGGUAAGACCGGGUGGUAAAGUUUUAAGUUCUAUGGGGGGUCUAGGUGUUUCUGCAAACUCGUCUAAGGGUUCAUGCUCAGAAGGUUCGUCUUCUUCUUCUGUGAAGAAAGGAGUUUCGUCUUCUAAGUCUGAUUCAUCUAAAAGCUCUAGAGAUGCAGCCUUUACUUCCUCCAUAGGAUCAGGCAAAAGAUAUGACUCGGCCUUAUUAUUUAAGGAGUGUGAAAUUAUCAUUGGGAAUUGAAAAGUUUUUCCAAAAGAAAUGUGUAGCUUUCCAGUAUGACCUUCAUAAAGGAGUCUUCUAAAAGGUUGUCCUAUUAACAGGUCGAAGUCCCAUGUAUCAAAGAUAUAGAAGUUCAAAUGAACCAUGGAGCCUUCUACCGUAAGAGGUAGGACAUUAAUAAUUCCAAGACUGGGGAUUAAUCGUCCCGAAGAUUCCUUUAUGAUCUUUGUUGUGGGGGUUAAGACAAGAUUUUUAAAUAGUUUAAGUGCAAAAGAUUCAGACAUGAUGUCGAUCCCCACAACAGGAUUAUAAAGAGCAUUAAAUCGAUCAGAAUUAUAAGCACAACGUAUAGUUAUACAGGGUGUGUCCAAACGGAUCACAUCAGAGGAAAGCUCUGAUUCCUCCAACCAUUCGCUACUCAUUACUGAGAUAAGCUCUCUCAAUUGAUAUUCACUUGGUAAAUAAAUGCUAAACUGGCCGUUUUGGGGUUUGUCAAUAGAAUGGUAGUUUGAAAUAUUUCCAAAAUCAGCAAAAAGAUCGGAUUCUAUAUCCAGCAUGAAGUCCGGUAGUGGAAUUUCUUCCUCUUGUGGCUCAAAACUUGGGAUAGCUAAAGUAGAUGAAGAAUUUGGCAGAGUGUCUACUUCGGCUUCGUAGGUUUCAUCAUGAAGGGUAUUAUCCAUCUCAGCUUCUAGGAUUCUAUCUAGGAUCACUCUAGCUUCAUCAGCAGGGAUGCGAAAGAAAGAACCUCUAGACAUUGUGUGUAGCAUUUGUUUGUGAUUUUUAUGAAGACCUCGAAAAUAGUGAAAUAAAAGAACAGGGUCUUCAAGAUUAAGGUUUGGACCAGAUUCUAAAAGAUCAGAAAAACGUUUCCAGGAUUUUCCCAAAGUUUCAUUAUCUUUUUGUUUAAAAGAUAGGACUUCGAGUCUAAGGUCGGCUAUACGGUCAAGGGAAUAGAAAUCUAGACAAAAGUUGGCUCGUAAAACUCCCCAUUCACCUUGUUGUUGACUUACCUUCUGACUGUACCAUUGUCUAGCUUCUCCCCUUAAGGAAAAAGGAAAAAGCUUCCAACGUAAAGUCUUAUCAGAAAUGCCUUGAAUGCGAAGACAAUCACAUGUUUGCUCAAAAUCUCUAAUAUGAAGGUAAGGGUUUUCGUCGUCCUUUCCCGAAAAAGAUAGGUUUUGAAUCAUGGCAAUCAACCUAGAACUUAACUUAUACUGGGAUGUUUGGAUAGGCUGUGAUGAUUCCCAUGGUAAAAGGUCAGUUGCUAAAGGGAUUGCAGACUCAUGGAUCGAUUUAGAAUUUUGGUUUUCCAUAGGGUAAGAGUAAAGAAAAUAAAUAAAGGAUAUAAAAGAUAAGAAAAGAUAAAAGUAUAGACACAAGCUAAUAGCAAGACACAGGUUAUCUCAGCAACCGUCUUUCUCCCCGGCAACGGCGCCAGAAAUGCUUGUUGAUAUUUGGGAACGCAAUAAGGAAUUGAUCCGCAAGCGCACGGAUAUCGGUGAGCACUUCACCCAGGAAAUUAUCCAGAGUAUCGUAUUUAUUUUUUUACCACUAGGAGAAAGAGUGCAUCUGACUAACCGGUCUAUUACUACUAACCUUUAGGCACAAAGAAUGUCUUUCGAUGUGAGUGAUAAAUAGAGAAGACUGCAACCAUAGUCUCCUUCUAACCAUGGUAAGGAUGAUCUACUGUUCUAAUGGGGAGGCUAACGGAAUCUAGACACCACAGAGGAUGUUCAACCCGCACCUAUAAACCCUAUCCUUCCUGCUAACGAGAUGUGAUCUACAAAGGUAGCUCGGAAUUGUCACGUUCCUCACUACUACCACGGUCCAGCUAGUCAGGGAAUAUCUAUGAGUAGCCCAGCCUAAACACCACGUUUACGCCAGCAAUGAUUACUCUAAACUCUACGCGAAGAGAUUAAAGUAAACUCAUAAACCAUAAGAACAAUAAAACAAGAACUUACUAGAAUUUAGAAGUCGAAAUACUGAAGAAUCCUAGGAGCAAGCUUCGGGUUAGGAGAACUUGAUCCUGCAGGUACAAGCUUGGAGUAGACACCGACAGGCCGGGCUUCCUCCACUCUAUCUCUCUCAAUCUAGUAGAAACUAGAAGAUCUAUUUCUACCUUACAUUGGUUGCUAAGCCUAAAAAGAAAUAUUAAUUAGAGAAGAGGUUUUCCUUCGAGGGCACCCCUCAGUCUCUAUGAUAAUUUCUUCAUGUCUUCUCCAGGGGCCAGGGGGCCUUGCUUAUAUAGUCCUCCCCUUCUAUGCGUUUUUGGGUCGAUAGGCGAGGUGGUACUAUGUUUUUCUUGAUCCAAUAGGUCGGUGGAAUAUCCCGAGCGAAAGAGUCCUGAUUUGGCUCCAGCAGGGGGGCGGGCGCCCAGGUUUCCAGGGCGGGCGCCCUGGGCCUGGCCCCGUUUUGCCUCCGCUUCGGUCUCGUGGCUUCUGGAGUCUUCUAGAUGAAGUAAAAUUGCGCGGUGCGUUGAUAUCUCUAUGUAAUCCCGACAUGUGGGCCUUUCUUCCUUAUUUCCUGAUAACCCCCUGCAGAAAUAGAUAAACAACAAAACUCGUGGAAUUCUGUCAGAUCAAACCCUAAUUCUAGGUGAUGGUUGCAUAUUGGUCCAUUCUCUUGUUUAUUUGAUAAUUAAAAUUGAUACUUAAGAACCGUCAACAGUACUUGUUCCUUUUUGCGAGUUCAGAUUUGGAUUCGCUCAAAGCUUUGAAGUCAUCAAAACUCCUCUGCUCUAGAAACACUGCCCACUGACCAGCCGUGAUUUUAUACCUCUUUGCGGGGUCCAACCCUUUCUUUGCCCACUUUGAAUUCAACUCAGCCUUGUAAUUCCUAAACAUAAUCGCCCAUUGCUUCAAUGUGUGCUGUUUUACGAGGUGUUCUGAACCCUGAGGUAAAACAAACCUCGUAAGCAGCCUGUUCCACAUUCUUGUGAUCUCAUUUUUGUCCACAUUUUCCCACUCCCUGACUGUGACGUCAAGAUAGUCCCUAACUAAGAAACCGAGUGUGUUACGCCACUUAGGUAAGGUCUCCUCUAGAGCUAAGGGCUGUCCUGUCGCACUGACUUCUGUAACUCUAUAGGUUACUUUGGGAACUGAUUCAAUCCUCUUUCGCCUCGUUUCCUUUUGUUCCCGGUCUCAGUGGUCGUCUCCGUCGUCUCCUCAGGUGCACUUUCAUGUGCAACUUCUUCUUGGGAUAGGAUUUCCUCCAUUUUUUUCAAUUGAGAUAGCACCUCCUAUUCAUAUAAAGACAUGUAUUAUUCUUCACAUAUACCGAGGCGCAUAAAAGUAUAGAAACAUAUAAUUAUGAAUGAGUAAUUCACCUCUUCUAUCUCUGGGUUGUAAUCGGGGUCACGUGCGUACUCACGACGGGCGUUCCUCUCUAUGCGAGGAUCAGGAAUGUCGCUUACCGAGGUCUCGUAUGAAGGAGUUGACUCACGUGACCCUUCUGCCUGCUCCGUGUUGUGGGACCCUUGUUCCUUCUUUGCGUGCUCGAGCCUUUUUUCUUGCUCCGUGCGGUUGGACCCUUUUUCUUGCACGGUGGGGCUAGACCCUGGUGCCUUCUCGGUGCAGUCUGACCCUUUUUCUUGCACCGUGGGGCCGGACCCUGGUGCUUGCUCCAUAGGGCCGGACCCUUGUGCCUGCUCCGUGUUUUCACUUAGAGAAGUCGUCAUUGCAAGAUUCUAAAGCAUAUAUGUUAUCAGAAAUAUUUAUUAAAAGUCUAAGUGCUAAACCCUAAAUGACAUCAUGUAUAUACAUAGACAUAAAACUUAGCCAACUUUACCGCAAGAUAGAUUAGUAAGUUGAAUUAAAGAGCAUAUACCAAACGUGCACAAUAAAUUCUACAAAAAUUACAGUAGCUUCUACAUACUAUCCAUAGUCUACUGCAGAAAUUUCAUUGCAUUUGAAUAAACAUAGCAAUCUCUAUGAAAAAGAGAAAUUAACAUUGCAAUUAAUCAUGUGAGAGCAAGAUAAAUGCACAAAUCAUAUUUUCUUCAUAUACAUGACCAUAUUAUAUAUAAAACUGAUACAACAAUAUCAUAGAAUUGUACUAGAACAAUAGUUUCCAUUUUUACAUUUUUAUUUAUAAUUAUAAACCAUUUAUCAAGCCCUAUGCAAGUUAAAUCCAUAACUCAUUUAUACUGCAACCAAACAUUUUGCAAAUUUUACCAUACAACAAACAUCACAUGAGUAGUAGGCCACAGAUAUUUCACUUCAUUUGGAGCUCUAUAGCAGAAGAUAUGAAAAAGACAUACUCAACUAACAUUAAAAACCUAGCUGUAUAAAUCUAUUUUUACAGCUAAAACUUUAAAUUAAAACAUGGAAUACUAUACAUCCACUGCAUAGAGAAUUUCAUAAGGUUUCCAAAAAGUCUAUAUUUACCAUUUUACGAUUUUUUUAUAAAUUACUAUGCAUUUUCAAAGUUUCUGCAAAACAAUUACAAACAGAUCCAACCGGCACUAUUCAUAUGAGUCUAAUAUAGUGCAGAAAACCCCUUCCCUUCUGUCGAAUUUGAAGGCAAGGUCCUUGGUCGCGAUUUUCAGCAACGAGCUCGCUGGAUUUUGCCGUUUUCGGCCAGGGAGACCUCGCCGCAGUAGGGGAAAGUUGCGGGGAGGCUCCAGGGAGUCUACGCGCACAUGCUGGUGGUCGCGGAUGGCCGGGACACGAGCCAUGGCACCCUGGCCACGCUAGCAGGCGGCGGCGGCGGGUGUUUCCAGCCUAUGACGAUGCAAGGGGCCGGAAAAGGGACGCAUCGAGGGCAGCACGACGAGAGAAAGAUGAUGGAGGAGCGGGGAGGGAGGGAGAAGGGGAGGUGGUGGGUGGCCGGCGGCAACAGCGGGGAGGCCGUGGCAGGCGGCCGGCGACGCUCCGUUUCACACAGCACGAGGAGAAGAGAGGGGGUGGGCAUACCUGGUGGGCUCAGGGUCGAGCGUGGAGGUAGAACGACGGCGGAGACCGGUGGCGGAGCAGCGGUGUGACCGGCGGCGGCGGUGGCGGAAAAUCGCGGCAGCCUCCUAGCGUGAGUUUGAACGAGAUGGCGCCUUCGGACUUAGAAAUUUUCGGAGGGUUUGGCGUGCAAUAUAUAUGGGCGCUAUUUCUACAGGCGGUUGGCAUUGAGAACCGCCUGUAGAAAUGAUUUCUACAGCGGUUCUCAAUACCAACCGCCUGUAGAAAUCCUUUUGUACAGGCGGGUGGCAUUGACCACCGCCUGUAGAAAUGCUUUUCUACAGGCGGUGGUCAAUGUCACCCUCCUGUACAAAAUAAUUUCUGUUAUAUUCUUUUUUAUUUUUAGUGUUAUAUAUUAUUUGUAUAUUAUAUUGUUUCUACAUUAUUUGUAACAUAAUGUAAAAUAAUUUGUAUAUUAUAUUGUUUAUACAUUAUUUUUAAUGUAAAAUAUAUUUGUAUCAUAUAUUUAAUGUAUAUUAUAAUAUGAUUAUAUUGUUUCUAUAUUAUUUGUAACAUAAUUUUUCUAUAUUCUUUAUUUGUAAAAUAAUUAUGUUGUUUAUAUAUAUUAUUUAUGUAUUGAUAUUAUAAUAUGAUUAUAUUGUUUCUAAAUUUCUUUUUUAAUUUUAGUGUUAUAUAUUGUUUGUAUAUUGAUAUUAUAAUAUGAUUAUAUUGUUUCUAAAUUUCUUUUUAAUUUUUAGUGUUAUAUAUUAUUUGUAACAUAAUGUAAAACAAUUUGUAUAUUAUAUUGUUUCUACAUUAUUUUUAAUGUAAAAUAUAUUUGUAUCAUAUAUUUAAUGUAUAUUAUAAUAUGAUUAUAUUGUUUCUAUAUUAUUUGUAACAUAAUUUUUCUAUAUUCUUUAUUUGUAAAAUAAUUAUAUUGUUUAUAUAUAUUAUUUAUGUAUUGAUAUUAUAAUAUGAUUAUAUUGUUUCUAAAUUUCUUUUUUAAUUUUAGUGUUAUAUAUUGUUUCUAUAUUGAUAUUAUAAUAUGAUUAUAUUGUUUCUAAAUUUCUUUUUAAUUUUUAGUGUUAUAUAUUAUUUGUAACAUAAUGUAAAAUAAUUUGUAUAUUAUAUUGUUUCUACAUUAUUUUUAAUGUAAAAUAUAUUUGUAUCAUAUAUUUAAUGUAUAUUAUAAUAUGAUUAUAUUGUUUCUACAUUAUUUGUAACAUAAUUUUUCUAUAUUUGUAACAUUAUUUGACAAAGCGUUACGAAAGUGUAGUUCUAAAUCGAAAGGUCUCACAUAUAGUUUCAUAAAUUUGAGUGAGAUUACAUGAUGACUAGAGUUUACAUGAUGAAUGACAAAUACAAUCUAGGCAGUUACUAUUCUUCCUUGUCCAUCAGCGCGUACCCAAGGCAAAGAACUUUGUGAGAUGCUUCGCUCAACAUUUCUUAUCUUAGCAGGAUAGUCAUCCACAAAGAGGGACAUGUCGCUGAACUGGUUAAAAUCCUCCAGAUCCGCUACACCAUCAACUCCUAUUGCUUGUUGCUUUCCUAGAAAAACUACAUGCUUCAGCUUGGAUCUGUUCAGCAUAGAACACCUGUGCAGCACGGUUACCAAGGAUCCACGGGUCAUCUUUGUAUCCCACUUUACUUAGAUGAAGAACUCUGACCCCACGGGUCAUCUUUGUAUCCCACUUUACUUAGAUGAAGGACUCUGACCCCAUAAUUAUCCACUGUGACAUGUUUAUCUUCUACCCAUUGACAUCGAAACACGGGGAUCUGAAAUGUACCAUAGUCUAGGUCCCAUAUGUCCUCGAUGAAGCCAAAGUAUGUAAUAAUAUCACCAGUUUCGUCGUCUAUGGCCUCGCAUCGAACACCACUAUUUUGUGUCAUGCUCUUUUUAUCCUUGGAUUUGGUAUGAAAUGUGAGUCCACUUAUGUCAUAGGUUUGCCAUGUUGUCACUUGGCGUGAUGGUCCAGAUGCCAAAGCCUUGAUGGUUUGUUCCUCAAUUGUUUCCCCAGAUGGAAUAUCCUGCUCCCUUAGCCAUGUGUACAAUUGUUUCUUGUGUUCCUUCAUUAUCCAAUCAUUCGUUUGCCCAGGAUUAUGUUCACGAAGCUCAUUCAAGUAUUGACCGAGCAAACGCUCCAUUAUCGUGAGCUGAUGUAAGAUGCUGUGAUGUGCCUCAAGGAUUGUAUUGUAAUCUGGCGGGAUGAAUGAUUUCCGUCCAAUCCUCCCACUUCCAUGCAGCCUACCCUCAUGCCUUGAUGGAGGCAAACCUAUUACGACCUGGUCUUUUAGGACACUAUUGCAGAAUGGUCCUCCGGACUCAAUUGCCUCUUCAGUACAGUACCCCUCUAUCAUGGAUGCCUCAGGACGAGCACGAGUUGAUACAUAGCCAUUUAGUAUUGCCAUAAAACGCUCGUACGUUCGCAUUUCAUGCAGGUACAUGGGACCCAAUGCUUGUAUUUGAGGAACCAAGUGCACCACAAGGUGCACCAUGAUAUCAAAGAAUGAUGGGGGAAAACACAUCUCAAACUGUGACACUGUCUCCACUGCGAAUUCCUAAAGGGAUUCUAACUCAUCACGGUCAAUUACCUUUUGUGUGACCUUAUUCAAAAAAUAGCACAAUCGUGUGACUGCCAUCUUCAAGAACACUGGAUUUAUAGCCCUUGUUGCAAUAGGGAGGAAAGUAGUCAGCAUUACAUGACAAUCAUGUGAGUUGUAGUUGGUGAGUGUAAGGUCUUUCAUUGACACAAUACUUCGUAUACUAGAGCAGAAUCCAGAGGGGACUUUCAAAUUCUUCAACCACUCACACAUCACAAGUUUCUCAUCUAUGCUGAGGUUGUAGCUUGCUGCUGGGAGAUGGUACUUUCCAUUUUCUUGAAGAACAGGAUGAAGCUCUUUUUUUAUACCUAACUGUACCAUGUCGAAGCGUGAAUUGAGUCCUUCCUUUGUCUUCGUCUUGAUAUCUAGCAAUGUGCCAAUUAGGCUUUCGAACACGUUCUUCUGGACAUGCAUACCAUCGAUCGCGUGUCGUAUGUCCAAUUCUUUCCAGUAUGGCAAAUACUCGAAGAAAAUGGACUUCUUCUUGAAUGUUGCCCCUGGAGUUGGUUUGACAUCCUUUCUUGGUUUUCCAUCCUUUGUCUUCUUUCCGAACACAAAGUUGAUGUUGCUCACUAUUUUGAAAACUCUCUGGCCUUUGCUAUUACCUGAUGGUGCAUCUGAGUUCCUUUCAUCAUUAUUGUCGAAGUACUUAUCCAUCUUUUUUAGGUGGUACUUGUGCCCUUUUGAUAAGAAGCGUCUAUGCCUCAUGUACACUAUUUUCUUAGUUGCAUUAAGGGACACAUAAUGGGUUCCAUCUAUGCACACCACACAACCAACCUUUCCCUUGAAUUGCCCUGACAAUGUGAAGAGAGCAGGGUAAUCAUUGAUCGUAACAAAAAUAAUUGCUCUUAGUGUGAAUGAAUCUUUGUGAUACUCGUCCAUCAUUUCAACACCUUGUAUCCAUAACAUUUUCAUCUCCUCCAUUAAGGGCUCCAAGAAAACAUCCAUGUCAACUCCAGGUUGGACUGGUCCAGAGAUAAGUAUGGUUAGCAAAAGGUAUUUUCGCUUCUGCAUCAACCAUGGAGGAAGGUUGUAGAUGGUGAGAAUCACCGACCAUGUGCUGUGCUUGCUGAUCCUCUCAGCAAAUGGAUUCAUUCCGUCGGUACUCAGUGCAAACCUAACAUUUCUUGGUUCGCUGGCAAAGUCUUGAUGGUUCUCAUUAAAAUCUUGCCACUGCUUUCCAUCGGCUGGAUGGUGAAGCUUGCCAUCAUUUUUGUGCUCAUCCGAAGCAUGCCAACACAUAAGUUUUGCAUCGUCAGGGUUAGCAAACAAACUCCUCAGUCGAUCUACCACUGGAAGGUACCACAUCACUAAAGCAGGAAUCUUUUUUCUGCGCAUAAUAAUCAACCUCUUCUUUAUCUUUGCUGGUGGGUUUUGAACUCUGCUGGGUCUUCUUUUUGGUCUUCUUUCGCUUCUUCCCUGCUUUACACAUGGAGGCAGCACAAUCCUCAUGUCGAUAGUCUUUAUUUGUCGUAUACCGACUUGCACCACACUUUGGACACUUAUCCAAGUCCUUGUAUUCAUCAACGCAAUAUAGGAUACAAUGAUUCCUGCAUGCAUGGAUCUUCUCGACACCCAUAGUGAGCGGACUGAUAAGCUUCUUUGCAUGGUACGUGUUAGCAGGCAAUUUGUUCUCUUGGGAAGCAUGUCUCCGAUAAUACUUAAGAACGUAUCGAAUCCAACAUCAGACAGACAGUACCUGGCUUUUGCCAUCAGUAGUUUUAGCACAGAUCUCAGCGUCGUGAACUCUUUGGUACAACCCUUGGACUCAUCAUACAGAGGCUCUUCAGCCGCCUUCUUCAAGGCCUCCAUCCCUUUCAUUAAUAACAUUGAUGGUUCAGUAUGACGAUGCAACAUUGCCUCUAAGAAUUCAAAAUCUUCCGCGGCUGUAUCAUUUGGUAAGACAUGAGUUCUGUCAUCAGCAUUUCUCCCAGCAAAACCACCAGCAGUAACAUUUGGCACAACAUGUUCACUUUGGUGUGUGUCGUGCAAAAACUGAAAUCCUUCAUCAGGCAUGCCUAGACCGUCGACGUCAAUAUUCGCAGGGUCCCCAAUUGUAUAAGGUGCCGAGCUACCCUCUCCAUGCUUUGUCCAAAUCAAGUAAUCCUUCAUAAAUCCUCGGCAUACCAGAUGAGAAAUGAUUGCUUCAGUAUCUUCAUAAAUAUUAAUAUUUCUGCAGUCAAUGUAUGGACAAUAUAUGUGCUUCGUCUUUGUUCUCAAAGCAUGGUUCUUAGCAGCAUCAACAAACCUAUGGACCUCAAGUAUGUAUGAUGGAUCUAGUCUUGAUAAGUUAUACAUCCAGAAGGACCGCUCCAUCAUGAGCUGUGCAAAAAUUAGUAAAUUAAUUGAUCUCAAUGCAAAACAAGUAGUUAACAACUAAAUCAAAUUGACAAAACCCUAAGUAAUAAUAAAAAAACUAACAACUAAAUCAAAUUGACAAGGUAGAAAAACACCAUUGAUGGAAUCAACUAAACAUAUACCUUGAUUCACUAUAAUAAAUUUGAUAAGGAAACAUGGAAAUGGUCAGAGGAGAGGCAUCAUCUUAAGCAACCUCAUACAUGAAAAAUACAUAUUGCAUAAUGAAAUCAAAUUUACAUAAAAAUGAACAUCCUAAACAAUAGAAAACUUAUCUUUCUCUUUCUUCCCAAGCAUGGAAACACCAUUCAUGGAAAGCACUACAUAUAUAUUUCUUGGAUUCACUAAUUAGAGAAGAAAACAUAGAAAAAAAGAGAGGAGAGACUUCAUCUAACCAUCUUAAGCAACCUCAUUUGAGCAAAUAUAGUCCAUACCUAGCUAUUCUACUCUCUCUCUCAUGGUGAAACCCUAGAUCCAAAAAGAAGCUCUAAUUGAGCAAGAGGGCACAAAAAGAGCCUUUAGAGGCAUCAACUAACCUUUCUUAGCCACCUCCUUCCAAGAAAUGAAGAUCAAAACCUCCCCCCUUGUAUUUUGGAAAAACUGGACCUCCAAGAUGUGCUCCAAUGGAAUGUGGCUACUACCUACAGUUCUGCCCGAGGAGGAAGAAGGGGUUCUGGGGUAUUUAUAAAAAGAAUACCACAGGCAGUUUGCUUAGGAAACUGCCUGUGUAAAUCCUUUAACACAGGCGGUUCACAUAAGAAAACUGCUUGUGUUAAUGCUCCAUUUACACAGGCGGUUUCCUUAUGUGAACCGCUUGUGCAAAUCCAUUAACACAGGCGGUGCACAUAAAGAAACCGCCUGUGUAAAUAGAGCAUUAACACAGGCGGUUUUCUUAUAUGAACCGCCUGUAAAGACCUGUUUACACAGGCGGUUUUUAAAUCUUGCCGUACAAAUUUACACCACAGGCGUGUUACAACUAUAACCGCCUGUGAAAAUUUUUUGCCCCCGCCAGCUUAGAGCAUCUGUGUACUAGUGCUCGUGGCUUUUGGAGUCUUCUAGAUGUAAGAUAAUUGCACGGCACGUUGAUAUCUCUAUGUAAUCCCGACGUGUGGGCCUUUCUUCCGUAUUUCCUGUUAACCCCCUGCAGAAAUAGACAAACACCAAAACUCGUGGAAUUCUAUAAGAUAAAACCCUAAGUCUAGAUGUUGAUUUCAUUUGGAUCCUUUUUCUUUGUUUAUUUGAUAAUUAAAUUUGAUACUUAAGGACCGUGAACACAUGUAUGAGUGAACGUGCAAGUGAAUCUUGAUUUUAACCGCAUGACAAGCUCCUAAGGGUUCUACACAGCUUGACCAUACUCAAUGCUCAUAAGCAGUAAAAAGUAAAUGUAUGGUUCAUAGUCUAAUAAGCCUGUAUAUAUGGCUGUGGUAGGAUUUUAAACUCUCAUCAUACAGGAACUCAUCAUGCAACAUUUUAAAGAUUUUCAAAGAUAAAAUUCUCUAGAAUUCUAGCAUCUCUAGGAACAGAUAAACAGCAGCUCAACCUUCCCAUAUUGUAUCCGUUAGCGACUUAGACUUUAGAUCAAGUACUCUUCCCACAAGUUUAGGUUUAGAGCAAAUCUUAAUUAAUAACAGUCAUGCCUAAACUUGAGAGAUAUUUCAAUUUUAAGAACUAGUCAUGGAGGAGCAACUAUUCAUCAUUUCCAUGUGAGAGCUUAUCAUGAGGGUUCAUAGCAAACUUUAUUUAUUUAUUUAUUUAUUUAGCAAACUAAGCAAAGAUAUAUAUAUGAGCACAAAAUCUUUAUUUGGGUUUUUAUGAUUAUGCAUCAUUUUAUUAUUUGAGUAAAGCAUAAACUUGAGUAGAACACUUAGCUUGAUAAUUGGGGUGCUCUCCUCCAAGCUGGAUUUUGACAUAAUUUUUUUCUGAUGUAGCUAGCAGGUGGCGGAGGUGUAUUUGAAUGUCGGCAGCACCCUGACAGCGAUUAGGAUGUCCUCCGUCUGCUUAGUCUUCUUUGAUCGUUGAAUUCUGUGGAGCUCAAAUAGACAACAAAGCUUUGUGGAACUAGUUAAGUGUUAGCAUAAAUAUCUAGCCUUAUCAUGUUGAGCUCCUCAAUAAAUGUUACUCUCUUUAGUAGAUCAUAAUCUUAUUUUUAUAUUUUCAUUUUUAUAGGACAGAAAUAUAUUUAUUUUAUUUUUACGCCACCACAGUGAAUGUACUUAUGGGUUUUAUGCCAUGAGCAUACUCACAUGGGGCUUACUAUUUUUAACAUUUUCAUUUUCUUUUCAAGAUAGCAUGAUUAACUAACAAGCCAUUUAAUGAAAGUAAAUAAUUUAAGAGAAAAGGAAAUGCUGAAAGGAUAAAUAUGGAUAACUACCGAGUUUACCUUUCGGCGAGGGUUCAAUGUUUUAAGUCUUCUCACCGUGUUCAUUCUUUAGGUGCGUCACUUGAUUCAGGUGUGGACCUUGACGUCUGCACCUCUUGAUACGGUGUCACCCAUGUUCUUCCUUUGCCCAACAGUUCGAAGUGUGGCGUUGGCAACAUCCUGGUGGAGUCUGGGAGUUGUAAAACUCCUCCAUAUUUUGCUCGAAGUGUACCUAGUCAUAGAGACAAGGCAGAGACCAAGUGCAUGGGCCCUGUUGGUGGAAAACACCAACAAAACCAAAAGUGUAUUUGUUCUUCUCCAACCUUGAGCAUAGUGAGCAAGACAAAGUUGAUGGAUAAUAAGAUCAUGAGUGUAGCAUUUAAAACAUUUGUCACAUCAGAUCGCUCAACCUGAUGGAAAGAUAAUCUAUCUAUACUUAUGUUUUUUUAUAUCGUCCAAAGAUUGCGUGUGCAACAUUUUAGCUCAUAUGAUUAGGAGUGUGGGAUCAUGGAAGGACUAAACAUAUUGAAUCGAUUGGGUUGGUUAAUCUAGAGUUGUAAAUCAUAUAUGUUUGUCUCUUUUAUUCAUGUGAACGCCAGAACUAAGGAGAAGCUUAUAAAAGUGAUAGUCAAGUACCUUAAUAUGUUACCUUACUUGAAGAGUGAUGGUACAGAAUCACCUUGUGGAAGCUUUCCUUUCUUAGCGAUUGUGCAUCGUGUUUGUGACACCCUCCAUGCAUCAUCUCUUGUGAGCUAUGCCUUCCUUGUGUAAAUUGUUAACCUUCAUGUGUCUCUCUCUUUGUCUCCAAUGUGAGUUUAUCUCAGGACUUCCCAGGUCGAUAUUGAAAGUUUUCCUACAGGGGUUAGUCCAACAAAAUAUCCCAUAUCUACUAUAGCAUACUAUUAGCUCAAAAAUCAACCUAGACACCAUGUCUAAUUUGAUAUAGGAGAGCAUUUUAACCUAAGCACCAUGCUUAAUUUAAAAUCCCUUGGAAGUAAGAUCAUCAUUCCUAAACUAAGCACCAUGCUUAAUUAAGAGAUAAAUGAAACUACUCCAAACCUAAACAUAUACUAAAGCAAAUAGAGGUAGCAUGAGAGCAUUUAUAGAGAUCUACUCAAAUGGAGAUGAAGUAGUGUGAUUAGUAUUUAACAAAUUGAGCAUGUCUAAAAGGUAGGGACAACCAACAUAGCAACAUGGCAAAGGAUGUUUUUAUGUAAAGUACUCCCCCAAGCUUGAAUUUUGCAAAAUUCAAGUUUGGAUGAAUUUAAUUCAAUGUUGUAUGAUGAUUCGUUGGACAUACCUUGUGCUUGUCAUUCAUCCGAUCUGCUUGCUCCAAGCCUAGAAAGGUUAGUGAUAAGAAUACCCGAAGGAAUUUUUUUACAAUUAUCCCUAUAUGCUCAAAACACAAGGUAAUGUUGCAAAUAAUUAAAAGCUCAUGUUACGAUCUGAUCAGUGCUUAUUUUAGGACACUAAGCUUGUCCUUAGGAAACCAUCAAUUUAUGUUGGUGAAGUGGUUUCCCCUCCAACGCUAACCUAUAUCAACUCAACAAGAUUUGCAAAAUUUAUUAUAGACAUAUGCAUCGACAACCGCGCUUUUAAAGUUUUUAUAAAUAGAAAGGAAGAGGGGUUGGAGAUCUCGAAUGUGGUGAUGUUGGAGAGACCACUAGAUUGGGAAGAUGUUGCAUAUGAGCAUAGAGUAAACAAAGUGUCUAUGAAAUAAAUUCCAUUCUCAUUAAUGUUUGGAGUGAAAUCCAUGUGGUAAAAAAGAAAAUAAAAAGGAUACACGGAUGACUUGGUUCGAAACUAGCACAGCUACCGUUCCCCGGCAACGGUGCCAGAAAGCUUGUUGGGUAUUUUAAAUGCAAACAGAAAAAUCCACAAGUGCACGGAUACCGAUGUAGCUUUCACCCAGGAGUAUUCCAGAGUAUCGAUUUUCCACAGGGAACGUGAGUGUACUAAUUAAGAUUCAAGAUCGCCUAAGGAUAACUAUAUAAUUAUUUUUGGUGGGAAGAGAGAAAGUUUCUUGAGAGUUCUCUAGUUGAUCUAAGAAUCAAGAAUUACUUCAAAAAUUAUUUAUUUUGGGACAUCAGAACGCUAACCACAGAAAGAGAUGAGAAGGGGGCUAGGAAGCUCUGACUACGGUCCUACAAACACCGAUGCAAACGGGGUGGAAUACGUCGACCGUUAGGGCUGUCACUACCCUAGGGCUACCACAACAAUCCGCAGGAUUGGGUGCAAUUCCAGGUAAUUGUAAGACUAAACACCGCGUCUAAUCUAUUAAUUACUACUCUAGCGUUUCAAAGACUAGAGCACUUGAUGCAAGCAGGAAUCCAAUAAAUAACUUGAAUGUAAAUAAAAGUAAUUAAAGAACUCAGGAAUUAUGAAUUGAAGAACUUGGAGAACGAUGAAGAACGAACCAGUUGCUGCAAAAGUACAAUGUUGAGGAAGAUCCGACAGAUCCGGCUCCUCCUCCGCUCUCCUCUUCUCUCUCCCUAUUUUCUAGAUUACAACUAGAACUAACUAGAACUAGAACUAGAUAAACUAGAACUAGAUGAACUAGAAGAACAAGCACAAGGUAUGUCCAACCAAUCAUCAUACAACAUUGUAUUAAAUUCAUCCAAACUUGAAUUUUGCAAAAUUCAAGCUUGGGGGAGUACUUUACAUAAAAACAUCCUUUGCCAUGUUGCUAUAUUGGUUGUCCCUACCUUUGAGACAUGCUCAAUUUGUUAAAUACUAAUCACACUACUUCAUCUCCACUUGACAGAUCUCUAUAAAUGCUCUCAUGGUACCUUUAUUUGCUUUAGUAUAUGUCUAGGUUGGAGUAGUUUCAUUUAUCUCUUAAUUAAGCAUGGUGCUUAGUUUAGGAAUGAUGAUCUUACUUCCAAAGGAUUUUAAAUUAAGCAUGAUGCUUAGGUUAAAAUUCUCUCCAAAAUCAAAUUAGACAUGGUGUCUAGGUUGAUCUUUGAGCCGAUAGUAUGCUAUAGUAGAUAUUGGAUAUUUUGUUGGACUAACCCCUGCAGGAAAACUUUCAAUAUCGACCUGGGAAGUCCUGAGAUAAACUCACAUUGGAGACAAAGAGAGAGACACAUGAAGUUUAACAAUUUACACAAGGAAGACAUAGCUCACAAGAGAUGAUACAUGGAGGGUGCCACAAACACGAUGCACAACCGCUAAGAAAGGAAAGCUUCCACAAGGUGAUACUGUACCAUCACUCUUCAAGUAAGGUAACAUCUUAAGGUACUUGACUAACAAUUUUAUAAGCUUCUCCUUGGUUUUGGCGUUCACAUAAAUAAAAGAGACAAACAUGUAUGAUUUACUACUCUAGAUUAACCAACCCAAUCGAUUCAAUAUGUUUAGUCCUUCCACCUUUGUGAUCCCACACUCCUAAUCAUAUGAACUAAAAUGUUGCACAUUCAAUCUUUGGAAGAUAUAUAAACAUAAGUAUAGAUAAAUUAUCUUUCCAUUAGGUUGAGCGAUCUGAUGUGACAAAUGUUUUAAAUGCUACACUCAUGAUCUUAUUAUCCAUCAACUUUGUCUUGCUCACUAUGCUUAAGGUCAGAGAAGAAUAAAUACACUAUUGGUUCUGUUGGUGUUUUCCACCAACAGGGCCCUUGCACUUGAUCUCUGCCUUGUCUCUAUGAGCAGGUACACUUCGAGCAAAAUAUGAAAGAGUUUUACAACUCCCAGACUCCACCAAGUGAAGAACCUAGAUCAACGAGUACACACACUAGAGAUACUGGACACUCAGGCAAUCACUGCCCUGAGAUGCUGGAGGACGUAAUUAUUGGAGUAACCCCGUUGUGGAAGUUACUACUGACCUUCUGCCAGUCAAGAGAAGCGAUCCAAGACGCCCUAUCAUCCCGAUCUUCAUCGGCAUGGUGAACUUCCCAGAAGCACUCUGUGACUUUGGCUCCAACGUCAACAUUAUGCCCAGGCUUGCAGAUCAGACACUAAGUUUCCCAAAGGGAAUAUUGAAGAACUUCUGCGUCCAAGGAGGCCAUUCGUGAACACCUCAGGAGCUGUCAUUUACGCUAGUGCUGCCAAGAUCAGUUUCUACAUCAAGGGGAGGAAGGAGACGUUUUCCUUCAAGAACAAGACUACACAAAUCUCAGAGCAAUCCCGACAUGAACCAAGGAAGAGGACCAACAGGAGGAACAAGAACAGGCAAAUGUAGACCGAGUCAGCUAAGAUGGUUACUGCAGUUCAAGGAGGUCAAGACCGUCGACUUAAGUCACCGUUCCUGACCAAAAAGGACGACCCAGUCACCUAUCAGCUCCUAUUCGGAAUCAUGCCCUUAAAACCAACAUACAUUCAGCUCCAGAUGAUUUAAAGGUUAUUGACAUGGGAGAAGACGAACACGAUCCACCCAUCAUCCUUGGAAGACCGUUCCUCAACACUGUUAAAGCAAUCAUCUAGAUUGGAACCAGAGAAGUCCACAUGCACUUCCCCUCUAAUAAGGUACGCCGCUAUUUUACUGACCUUAAUUAUAUAGUUGAAGACUCUAAGCAGGUCAGGACAAGAAGAAGACGACGCAACCGUAACCAGAGAAGGCAAAAUCAUCAAGGACGGAUGGGUAGACUAUGAAGGAGAAGUUGUAAGGUCUGAAGACAUACAACUUGAACAGAACUGUCCUGAGGAGACCGUAGCACCGAGUCAGGUGUGGAGAGAGAAGAUAGUUAUACAUGAAGAGGAGGCGCCGCCGGAACCACCCACUACGUCAUCCAGCGAAUCCCAGGACGAAUGAGAAAACGGAGAGUCCCGUUCGGAGGACGUAAAAACACCGAACGCCUUGCCAAAAGGUAAACUUGGUAGUUAUCUUUUCCCUUUCAAUUAUUUAAAAUAGUUUGGUUAGUUAAUCAGGUUCAUAUCAUCUUGAAAAUAAAAUAAAAAUGUUAAAAAUAGUAAGCCCCAUGUGAGUAUGCUCAUGGCAUAAAACCCAUAAGUACAUUCACUGUGGUGGCAUAAAAAUAAAAUAAAUAUAUUCCUGUCCUAUAAAAAUAAAAUUAUAAAAAUAAAUUUAUGAUCCUACUAAAGAGUGUAACAUUUAUUAAGGAGGCUCAACAUGAUAAAGGCUAAAUAUUUAUGCUAACACUUAACCAGUUCCACAAAGCUUUGUUGUCUAUUUGAGCUCCACAAAAUUCAAGGAUCAAAGAAGAAUAACAGACGGAGGACAUCCUAAUCGCUGUCAGAGUGCUGCCGACAUUCAAAUACACCUCCGCCACCUGCUAGCUACAUCAGAAGAAAUUACGUCAAAAUCCAGCUUGGGGGAGAGCACUCCCAUUUAUCUAGCUAAGUAUCCUACUCACGUUUAUACUUUACUCUAAUAAUAAAAAGAUGCAUAAUCAUAUAAACCCAAAUAACGAUUUUGUGCUUACAUAUAUAUCUUUGCUUAGUUUGCUAAAUAAAUAAAUAAAUAAAUAAAGUUUGCUAUGAACCCUCAUGAUAAGCUCUCACAUGGAGCUUGUUGACGGUCCUUAAAGCUCACAUUUAACCAUCAACUAAUCAUAGAAAAGGAUCCAAUUGCAACCAACACCUAGACUUAGGGUUUUAUCUCACAGAAUUCCACGAGUUUUGGUGUUUGUCUAUUUCUGCAGGGGGUUAUCAGGAAAUAUGAAAGAAAGGCCCACACGUCGGGUUUACAUAGAGAUAUUAACGUGCCGCGCAAUUUUCUACCAUCUAGAAGACUCCAGAAGCCACGGGAACGAACGGGAGGCCGAUCGGGCCCGGGGGCAGGGCGCCCGCCCAAGUCCCUUGGGUGCCCGCCCUGCGACAGUAACCAAUCAGCUUCAACUUCGCGGAUCGUGCUCCACCGACCUAAGGGACCAAGGAAAACCGUGCGAUUAAUGUCGGUUUGAUCCGACGGCCCAGAUUCAUCUGAAAAGACUAUAUAAGCAAGGCCCCCUGGCCCCUGGAGAGCAUACCUCUUCUACAGAAUCAAAGUUAGGGUUUCAAUUCUUCAUCCAAGUAGAGAGGAUCCCUCUAGUUCUUCUAGUUCUACCUCUAGUUCAUCUAGAUCUUGUUCUAGUUCAUCUAGUUCUAGUUCUAGUUCUUCUAGUUCUAGUUCCAGUUAGUUCUAGUUGUAACCUAGAAAAUAGGGAGAGAGAAGAGGAGAGCGGAGGAGAUCCGGAUCUGUCGGAUCUUCCUCAACAUUAUACUUUUGCAGCAUCUGGUUCGUUCUUCAUCGUUCUCCAGGUUCUUCAAUUCAUAAUCCUGAGUUCUCUAAUUACUUUUAUUUACAUUCAAGUUAUUUAUUGGAUUCCCGCUUGCAUCAAGUGCUCUAGUCUUUAUAACGCUAGAGUAGUAAUUAAUAGAUUAGACGUGGUGUUUAGUCUUGCAAUUACCUGGAAUGACACCCAAUCCUGCGGAUUGUUGUGGUAGCCUUAGGGUAGUGACAGCCCUAACGGUCGCCGUAUUCCACCUCGUUCGGAUCGGUGUUUGUAGGAUCGUAGUCGGAGCUUCCUAGCCCUCUUCUCAUCUCUUUCUGUGGUUAGUGUUCUGAUGUCCCGAAAUAGAUAAUCUUGAAGUAAUUCUUGAUUCUUAGAUCAACUAGAGAACUCUCAGGAAACUUCCUCUCUUCCCACCAAAAAAAACAAUUAUAUAGUUAUCCUUGGGCGAUCUUGGAUCUUAAUUAGUACACUCACGUUCUCUGUGGAAAAUUGAUACUCUGGAUUACUCCCGGGUGAAGGCUACAUCGGUAUCCGUGCGCUUGUGGAUUUUUCUGUUUGCGUUUAAAAUACCCAACAGUGACUUAUACAUAACUUAUGGCAGUAGCUAGAGCUAAGUGUUUUCAGGCCGAUUGAGUAAUAACUAGCAAAUAUAUCCAUUCGUUACAGCCAGAGAAAAAUAAUUCUUACACACAUAAUGGACAAAGACUAUUACAGUUGAAUUUGUUGACUUUUCUAUACCUUCAUUGAACAAAAUAAAAGGCACUAUAUUUCUCAUAACACCUUAUUGGGGGUCAACUUGCCGUAAAUUACUAGAGCAUUUUCACGUGUCUAUGAGCACUCGAGCACACUAACGCAUGGUAUCAGGGCCCUACUUCUUUUCGUGACGCAUAGCAGGACAUAAGCAUACGUCCCGUAUCCUAGUCCCUUGCUACGCGGUACGUCCUAUGGGUUAAGGGAUCUACGGCCGCCUAGAGUGCAAGAAUGGUGAGUCCUGGUGUCAAAGCUCUCGAGUUUCGACUGUCAAAACCACGACGUGUAGGCUUGAGGCGCGUGACGAUGACUCCAUUUUGCUAUGUGUGAUGUCGUUUUAAGCAGACACCCAUGGCCACUCCAUGAGGCCCGCGACAUGUAGCAUGGUGAACGGGCGGUGUGACUGGCCGAACGGCUUGGCCAUGGUGGCUUAAAGCCAAUCAAACGCAUCUAACUGAUAUAUCAUAUUUCAUAGGAAUCCUAAUCUAAAUAAAAAAAGCCUCUUAAAGCCACUCAAAAGCUAUCUUUAUCUUUAUGAUAAAAAUCCCAAAAUGUGUGGAUAAAAUUUUUAAUACAUAUAAAUAUUUUGCCCUCUAUGCAGUAUAGCUAAUUUUAUCUAAUUUUUAGCUAACUAGUAAUUAGUUAUUGUAUCCAAAUAUUGUAUAAGUUUAGCCUAUCCAAAUAAUUUUGCGUUGGACAUGUUAAGUACGCGAUUUGACAAAUAACUUUUAACACUUGAUUAAAUUUGUAGAAAUGGCCAAUCCAAAUGACAACAUGGAUGAUGCAAUGAUGGACCUAAUCAACAGCGACGCCAAUCCAGAUCCCCGAGGCGAAGAUGGUGGGAGUCAGUACCUUACUGAUUAUGAAGAACUUGUGGGAGAAAAUCCUGAUGAGGUCUAUCUAUAAUCUAGUAUAUAUGUAUAUAUAUAAAAUUAAAAUAAAUGGCAUUUGUAUUAAUAUAUUUAUAAUUGUUUGUGUAGCCCUCUAAAUCAGCGACAACUUCUGAGAAGAGUAGAAAAGUGCGCGGCCCAAAGAAGUCGUUGGAGGGUCGGUAUAUUCUAUCAGAAUUCGAUGAGGGUACUGGACAAGCACUUGGGGCCAAUUCUAAAAAAUUUGUUGCACACUGUGGCUACCUUAUAAGGGACAAGCUCCCGGUCAGUGCUCACGAAUGGAGGCAAUGGAAACAUAACUCUAAUAUUAGUUUUGUCUCAGAUCGUGGCAAAGAAUUGAUUUGGCUAGAUAUCCUUCAACAUUUCACGCUCGAUACACAAGAUGAAGCUUUGAAGGAGAAGGUUAAAAUCUGGGCUAUGCAGAAGAUGGCCAAACAAUUUCAAGCUUGGAAGAAGACAUUAUACAGGACUUUUGUUGCACAUGGCCGGACACCGGAUUUCACCAACAAGGCCUACGUCAAGUUGAGGCCUUUUUGGGAUGAGUUUGUAGAGUUUAAUAACUCAGAAGAGGGUCAGGCAUGAAUGAUCAAGAAUCAUGAAAAUGCUAAACAAAAGCAAUACCACCAUCACUUGGGUCAGGUGGCUACAGGACUGCUAUUCCUAAGUGGCAAAAGCUGGAGCAGGAGAUUCUUGAGAGAGGGAUCGAACCAGAAUCACUGCUGUCGCCUGAGCGUGCCAAGUAUUGGUUCUUCAGUCACAGGGGAACCAUAGACCUAGAGACCGGAAAGGUAGUGUACGGCGAAAAGCUCUAGAGAGUAGGACAGAGAAUGGCCUAUGCUAGAUGAUUAGUUGAAAGUGGCACCUGGCAGCCAAAUAGAGAGAAGGAUGAGCUGACAUACGCCCUAGAGACUGCUGAACACAGUGGGUGAACAAGAGGCUAUGGGGAGGUAUCGUGGGUGCAUGGCUUCCCUAAAGAUAGAACAUAUUAUAGAAGCCACCAAAGAAAGAAGGAAGAGGAAGCAGAGCGGUUGCGUAGGUUGGAGGCAAUGGUGAUGGAGUCACGCGAAGCGGCUCGUGAAGCGAUAGCGUGAGAGAGAGCGCUUGAAGAGAGAAUGAACAAGGAGAUCAAAAGACAAGUGCAGAUGGCAGUAAGUUCUAUACAAAGGCAAACUGCAUCAGAGCCUGGAGUCAACAUUAGCCCCCCUGAAGGGUCGAGAUGGCGGACUAGAGGGGGGUGAAUAGUCCUUUCUAAAACUUUAACACGCUGGCUAACCGAAACAAGUGCGGAAUUAAAACUAUCAGUCUAGCCAAGACUAUACCCCUCUAUCUAAGUUCUCUAGCACCUUGAAAAGAUCCUAAACAAGCAAGCAAGGUGCUACCUUAGCAAGAGCUCACCUAACCAAAUCUAGAAGCAAGGUCACACAAACCUAUGCAACUAGUAUUUUGCAAACCGAGGGAGCUCCUACACAAACUAGUGAGGCAAAGCACACAAAGCCUAAGCUCACUAGCAAGCUCAAUAACAAGGCAACUAAUGCCAAACUAGAGAGCGCAACUUACUUAGCUACACAAACUAAGCAAUGUGACUAACAAGGUUACACAAACCAAAUUAGUCACGCAAGGGAACUACAUCUAGCUACACAAGCAAGAAGGUAACUAGCAAGCUACACAAGCUAACUAAUUACAUGAGCAACUACACAAGCACAAGUAUAUGAAUGUAAGAACAAGCUUAUGUUAGAGACUUGCAAACCAACAGGAAGAACAAUGUUGACACAAAGAUUUUCUCCCGAGAUUCACUUGGUUGCCACCAAGCUACGUCCCCGUUGAGACAAGCUCCAAGGUUGCCGCUGGUCCUCUUGCUAGUGGUGACCCGCAAGUCACACUCUCCCACAUGGAGUGCUUACCACAAGCUCUAGCACUUGAUCCGGCUGGACCACUUGUCGCUCUUCACGUCUCGCUCAACUAGAGUUGCUCUUUGCGAUCCCCACGGGGUGAGCACCGUACCCCACACAAUCUCUUCUCCGGAGCACCGCACAAUCUCCUUGCUUGCUUCGAUGGAGUCACAAGCCACCAAGCCAUCUAGGAGGUGGCAACCUCCAAGAGUAACAAGCAUCAUCGGCUUGCAACACGAACACCUAUUGCCACUCGAUGCAAUCUCUCAAUGCAACGCACUAGAAUCGCUCACUCACACAAUCGGAUGAUCACUAUCAAGCAUAUGUGAGUUAGAGGCUUUACUAGCACUCCCCAAGCAUGGACACUAAGUCCCAAGGGUGCUCAGCACUAGCCAAGUCUGUCCACCACUUCUAUUUAUAGCCCCAAGGGCUAAACUAGCCAUUGGCCCUUCACUAGGCAAAAGUCGUGAGCACCGGACUCACUGCAGGUAGCACCAGAUGCUGGAACAGUGCAUUCGGUGCUCUAGAAAUAGCCAUGUGUCACUAGCCGUUUGAACUUGACCGUUGCCGUCAACUGCUAGCACAUGCACGCGCAUCUAGAACAGUAGCACCGGACGCUCUGUUGCUUCACACCGGACACGUCUUGUGCGCACCGGACGCAUACGAAGAGAGCAACACAAACUUACAGCAGCACCGGACUCACAGCGUCCUGUGCGUGCAGUUCAACUUGUUAGGUUGCUAACUUCUAACUCCAAACUCCGAAUUUGAUGAUCUUGGACAUUUUGGAAAGCUUACUUAGAGUGCUAUCCAAUCUAUAUGAAUACUCAAUCCAAAUCAGAAUAGAUCAAUGCAGUAUUCCAAUCUAAAAGCCAUCCUAAUGUUCGGAGUACACCGAAAGACUUCUCUCUCUUCUCUAAGUUGAUCAAAAUCAACUCCAACACCUUCUCCUUUGCAAAUGUGCCAACAACACCAAGUGUACACCACCAUGUGCAAGUGUGUUAGCAUUUUUACAAACAAUUUCCCAAAGAAGUUAGCCUCUCAACUUGCCACGCCACUCGAUCCUAACACGUAUGCAAAGUUAGAUCGCUCAAGUGGCACUAGAUGACCGAUAUGCCAACAAGUUUGCCCCUCUUGAUAGUACGGCCAUCUAUCCUAAAUCCAGUCAUAAACUUCUCUACACACCUAUGACCGUUGAAAUGGAAAUGCCCUAGGUUAUACCUUUGCCUUGCGCAUUCCAUUCCAUAUCCUCCAAUUUUGAUGCAACACAUGCACCAACCAAUCACCAAAUGAUAUGAUCCACUUCAUAUCAUCACGUGACCAUAUUGGUUCAUCGAUCUUGACCUCACUUGCUCUUCACCAUUGCCUCGGUCCAUCGGCGCCAAGUCUUGCUCAAGCUUCACCAUCACAUGCGGUCCCUCGCUUCAAAGCCUCCGACUUGCCCUUCACUCUUGGAACCGGUCCAUCGAGCCAAGCCUCAUCUUGAUCUUCUCCACCUUGGUCAUAUGACUCCAUGUCAUGUCUCAUGUGCAAUGAGCUCCUACAUCAUCAUAUCGUCACCUGUGGACUAAUCUCCUGUGUAUCUCACAUAAACACUAUUAGUCCACCUAAGUUGUCACUCAAUUACCAAAACCAAAGAAGGACCUUUCAAUCUCCCCCUUUUUGGUAAUUGAUGACACCUCUACAAAGAUAUGGAAAUUAAGCUUUUUCAAGCUAGCACUUCACACAAGUGUAAAUUGCUAUCUUGAUUUGGAAUUUAUGCUACUUUUCCAACAUUUAAGCUCUAUGUCAAGAUUUGGAUAAGCACCAUAAAACCCUACUAAAUGCUAAGGUGUAUAGAAUAAACCUUUGUAGCCCGAUACCAAAUUCGAUAGCAUUUGAAGCAUUCAACUGUACACCAUCCUUAGCACCAUGUGUAGCUAGACAACAAAAACACUAGAAACCCCGUGAGAUCAACAUUAUAAGCAAGGGUCUAGUUUUUACUUGAAAAGCAUUAGUCUAGUUGCAAACCUAUGCAUGCUAGUUAUCAUAUCAUCAAUCAAGUUCUAUAACUAGCAUACAUCACACAAGCAUGAAUAUUGAAUUUAAACACUUAUGCAAUGCAAGCAAGCACAUGAAUAUGCACAUAUCAAAUGCAAACAAUCAAUGUUCAUGAGCUUGCUCCCCCUACUUGUGUGCUUCUCUUUUGUCCAAGAAUUUUGAUCCAUCAUCUUUUCUUUUAAUGUUGCUCCCUUAUCCAUGUCCAUCUUUGAUCUCUCCCCUUGAAAUAUAUCUUUUGUUGUCCAACUUAUCCCAUGGUCAUAUCUUUGUUCCAACUUCUCCCCCUUUGUCAUCAAUUUCCAUAAAAGGUAUGUGAUACCAAUUAAAUCAUUUCGUACCAAUUAAAAAAUGUGAAUCUCAUUGUGACAAAGGAUUGCAUUGGGAUAGAUGGUUGAGGCUUGAAUCUUGCAUUUUUUAUGGACAUUACCAUGUGUUGGAAUGACAUUACUUGAAUUGCUCUUGAGAUACCACAUAGGAUCUUUGACCUUGAUACCAUUUGGUGGGGCACUCCCCCUAUGUCAUAUCAUGUGUCAUUCACUUGUCAAUCUUGUUGGUGAGGGAACUUUCUUUGCUUGAUGAUCAUUUAAAGUUGAGGAUCACUUGUAAAACCACCUUCUUGUAUGAUAGAUACCAUGUGAUAUCAUUUGAAAUAUCUUGUCUGAUACCAUAUGGGAUUCUUCUACCAAUUAAGGUCUUCUAGUAUGGAACCACUUGUUUGCUAUCUUGAAUAUUUGCUAUCAUCAUCAUGAGUACCAAUUGUUGGAUACUAAUUGAAGAAACUUUUAAGUCUAGAUACCCACUUGCAUUGUUGUCUUGUUCUUGUACUCUAAUCACUAUGAGCUUCUAAUUUUUGACUUGAACUAAGUUGAUUUGCCUAAGCUUCCAAGUUCGGUUUGAACCAAUGAGAAGCUUUUUCACACCUCAAAUUAAGGGUUAUCUUGCCAAUGUUGUACUUGUCACUUAUUAACAAUCCAAAAUAGAUCAAGUACUUGGGUUCACUAGCUCAUGAGCAAACUCAUAUACAUACCACUAGAUCAAUUAAUGUAGCACCCGGUUUUAAAAACAAAACCUGAUACACACCAUAUGUGAGCCCAGGAUGUCAAAUCUCACAUAUAGCUACAAAUAAGGGUAAUAUCAAUAGACAAUGCUUAUAUAUAACGAACUUAGUAUAAAAGAUAUAACCUUAGAUAUCAAAUAGCGGAAAGACACUCCGUUCUUCAGGCGAAAGCUCCAAAUCCACAAGGACAACUGACUGGUUGAGCACAAGCCUAAACUCUUCUCCAAACUAGCAAUCUGGUACCCAUCCGGAAUUUUUAUCCAAAUAAAAUGUAAAGGCAAGCGUAAGUACAUCUCGUACUCAGCAAGAAUAACAUAGGGUUCAUGAGGCUUAAAGGCUAGACACUAGUUUAACUGCAUGUAGCUUUUAGUUGUCACAAUUUUAGCAUUUGAGUAGCAUCAAGUUGUCGAGUCCCAAAGCAACUCAUGAUCAAAUAAAGUGAAUAAAGAAUAUCAUAAACAACAAAUUAACAACAAUAACUUUAAUAAUUUGUCAUUAGUGAUUAUUUAUUCUGUAUUGGUCCAAGGCCGCUUGUAACCGUGAGCACGGCUGAUAUAUCAGUUUUACACUCUGCAGAAGUUGUACACUUUCAUUGUGAGUCAUGAUUUACCCUUUCGCCCGAGGUAGCUAAUCUCUUAACCCCCUUCCUAGGGAGGCCGACAGGGUUCACUAUGAAGCCUUUCAAAGGUUCGUCUAACAAGUUAGGGCCGCUUGGUUUCAUUAGUCUGUCCAUGUGAUUCACCCGCAGGUAUCCACGGUCUGCUAUUCCCCAUUUGCGCCACAAGGGUAACCACUAACAAGCUAGAAAAGGUCCUCAUACUAAGCUAAAGCCAGAGCCAUGUAGCCCUCACAGUCGUACUUUAUGUCCCACAUGGUCAUAUACAGAUAAGUCCUUAUGGAGAGAAACUAGAGCACAAUAAGAUAGCCCAAUGCUCCAGCCCUCUAUACCAAAGUUGCUAAAAAGUCAUCUUUUAAUGUCUAUUGCAUAUUCCAUUAAUCAAAUUAUAGGAUCAUGGUUUAGUGGAGCACUAGCAUAAGCUACCCAAUGCAAAACCAUAGGUGACAAGGUAUAAGAUCAAUACUAGGAAAUCCUUAGCAAGAAGACACAUGCAUAAUGAAUUGUGUGAUUAAAGAUGUUAGGAAACAAGGAUGAUCCCAUGCUAUACUUGUCUUGAAACUCAGAUCCUUCUUUUAGUUCCAAACCUUCCACAAACUACUUCUUCAUCACCACGUAAAAGCUCACCGUCUAAACUCAGUCAUCGCAUCAACAACAAUCAUCCAGAGGCAAUCAUACAAAGCAAACAAACCUAUAAUUAGAACAAUACACCAACAGUAGAAAAUAAAGAUGAAAAGUUUAUAAAAUGAAUCUACGUUGCACUACGAUCACACAGACAUAAAGAUCACGAAAAUCGGAGAUAUAACGAAAAAGAUAUGAAUUUUCUAUGAUUUUCUUUAGAAAAGUAAUUAAUUAAAUAGGAUAACGAAAAUAAAAAGUUGUAAACUUGUAAAACAGUGAGACUAACAUGUAGAUCUUGUGAUUACAAAUCUAACGCAAUUUGAAUGGAUCAAAUCGGAGUUAAAAUGAAGAUUUUAUGAGCUAAACAAAUCUAGUGGCAAUUUUGUAAUCACUGAAAACGUAUUUUGAUUUAGAAACUAAGAUAAACUAAUUGGAGCAGAGCACACGCCCUGGCGGCCAGCCAUUGGCAGCAGUGAGCUUCUAGCCGGCGAGCAUGAAACUUGAGCCUACGGCCAUGAUUUGAUGCGGGGAAAACAAACUCACUAAUAGAGAUUUCGCAGAUAGGUACGAAGCGGAGAUGGAAAGCAGGGCGACGGGCGGAUCGACACCGGACUGAGGGUGAUCACGUUGUAGAGAAGAAAAUAUAAUUUUAUUUUACUACCUUAGGAAUUCUCAAAUUUGAGGCUUUCCAUAUGAUAGUCUUUGGUGUGCUUUGCCUAAGGGGUGGGUACACAUAUAUAGGGAGAAAAAACUCCCCACCUCCACGUCAACUAGCCAUAUUGUACUAAUUGAUUUGCAACCUUCAUCUUUACUAAUAGGCCUAAUUAAUUAUUAAAGCCCAUUAGUAAAUAAAGACAUGGGCCUUAAGCGUUGGAGAAAAAUGAGAUAUUUAUUAUUUUCGGAAUUAAUUAAUUUCAUGGAUAAAAUAAUUUAAGAAAAAUCCAGAAAUAUUGUUUAAGCCACGAAAAAUACUCCGAAAGCUCCAAAAAUUCGAAGAAAAUUCUCAGAGACAUUAUGGAAUAUGAGGAACCCAAAUAAAGUAUUUGGAGCUCAAGAUGAGAUAAAUUGGAGCACCUAAAAAUUAGAUUAUGCUCACAGACAAGUGGAAACAAAUUUCAGAAAAAGCUAGAAAAAUUCCCAAUAAGAUUGUAGAUAUUGUUUGAUGAACGAGGAACUGAAAUGAGUGAGUUGGAUGACAAAGAAAAGAUUUUAGGAAGCUCCUAAUAAAAAUUUGAGCUCAGGAAAGGAAUUUGGCUGUAGAUAAAGAUAAAGAUGUACCGACCAAGGAAGAUCGUUCUACUUAACGCAAUUUUAAAAACUUUGCUUACUCUCAACACACAAAGGAGCAACAAGCAAACAUUACAUCAAAUCUUAUAUACCAGCAUGUAUGCACAACAAUGUUGCUAAGCCUUACGAUAAAUUUAAUUUAAUAAAAAAUAUUAUUUUUCCUAUAUUUUCAUGGGCACAGAAAUAUAUAAUCAAAUUGUUUUAACUCUAUUUCGAAAGGAGUAAAUUUUAGGGUGCUACAAUUAAUCAUUCAAGCAAUAGUGGUAGGCUAUGAAUUGAAAACUUUUCAUUUGUCAUGCAUGAUCCUAUUAAGCAUGUACUAUAUGCACUAACUGCAUACUAGUAAGGGAUGAAAUGACCAUGCACAUUACAAUGAUACCUUUGCUAUCUUGGAGUAGAGGAUAGUCACAUAGAUUCCAAUUAAUUUCUCCAAUAGCAAUGUGAAGUCCAAUUAUAAGCUUGGUGAAGACAAAUUAUAAAUGCCAAUUGAUAGAUCAAAUCUUCACCCAUAUGAAUUUGAGAACCACUUAGGAUCAAGUGCACUAUCUUGUUGUGGUUGCCUUGCUUCUUCUUUUGACCAUUGCUUGCAUGAGAGAACUACUAAGAAUAUCACUUGAAAUAGCAUGACUAGCUCUCUUUUGGGUUGUUGCUUGCUUUCUUGAUCAAUCCUUUUGAUUGCUUCAACUAAGCAUCUCAAAUGUCCUUUAGAUCACCACUUCCAUGUUAGACUUCCAAGCACCACACUUGGUUUACCCACUCCUCGGGUGGCACGCCCCUCACAUAGGGAGAAGUGACCUCUCUCCAAAGAACCAUUCUUGACACUCACUUGAAUUGCCUUUGAUUGAUUGAUUCAAGUGAUGGACUUAAUAUGAUGAGUAACCAUGAAUCCUUCUUUAAGUCCUUUUCUUUCUACUUGUUUAAGUCCUUUUCUCUCUACUAAAUGAUCUCCAAUAGUCACUAGAACUUAAACUUCGUUUUCAUCUUGAGUUUGAUCUUGAUCUCAAUUUGAGUACUAAAAGUGUACACCAAGUACAUUUCACAACCAAAUGCCCUUGUACUCAUUACUUGUCAUGCUUAUAGAUCAAUUCAAAACCUAACUUAGGUGCCUCAAACACUUGUAAACAUGUUUCCAACUUGAGGACCUUUCAAUUGAAGUGACUCUAGAUCAAUCCAAUAUUUGUCACUUUUCUGACGGUUUCUGUACCCUUUAAAGAAGUAUCCAUAUCUCCCAAUGUACAGAUCCAAAUACCACGAAAUGUGGUGGAGAUGUGAUUCACUAAGUCAUCUAGCAGCUGUAAAAAUUUGAGCUUCAUUUUACUUCUAGAUUGCUACCAGACUUCCACAUGCUGAAAUCUGCUGCACUAUAGCUGAUAAGAUCCACUCUAAAAUUGAAGUAUCCCUUAUCCAAUUCUCAUGAGAUUUUUACAGCAUCUUAUAUGAUACGUGUAUAGCAUGCGUACCAAAUUUCAAGUCAUUCCAAUAAGGUUUGAUCACUCAAACUUAGACUUGAUCACUGCUAGCUCAGAUUUUCAAUAUUUAGACAGAUUUCAAGCAACUGAGCUAUGCUUCUUCAAUUUGAAUCAAACUUGAAAAAGACUUGUUUGAAUACUUUCACAAGACAUAUAACAAUUCAAUCCACUCACUAAAUUCACCUUAUGAACUUAUCCAACUCAAAUCAAUCCAAAUUGAUUACUAAUUAUUUUAUCCAUUCAAUCAUCUUAUAGCAAGCAACAUUGCAUAUAUAUAUCCAAUUCAAUCAACUCAUAUGCACCCAAAUGAAUGUGAUCAACAAAGAUAUACCUUGGUUAGCUCAUGACUGUUGGGUAUUCUUAACAUCAUUACCAAAAGUAGACUAAGUUCUCUAAAUCUAGUAACGGUGCCAAAAAUGCCAAACCUAUCCCUUACACCACUUAAGCCAAGUUGUCAUCCCUAGCAUGAUAUAAGAGGCGCGGUAUUGAAAUAUGCAAUUGCUCUUCUAAAUAAAUAAUGAAUUGGAUCUGCAAGCGCACAGAUUCAUACCGAUGCAGCAUUUUAACCGGGAAGUAUUCCAGGUAUCGUUAUUUAUAUUUUUACCACUGGGAAGGGAUUAGCAAUCAUCACUAAUGAUUACAGAAUAGAAUAUGAGAUUGAGCAUCUAUCAUUGCAUGUAUAAUUGAGAACAUUAUAUCUAACUCUUCAUACAGGGAUAAGUGUCACAUAAAAGAUAUAUGAAAUAAUAAUAGUGACAAGGAUAACUAAUCUGAUCUAGCCACAUAAUAAAUAUGAUAAGUGUUGACGGUCCUUAAGUAUCAAAUUUAACUAUCAAAUAAACAAAGAAAAGGAUCCAAAUGAAAUCAACAUCCAGACUUAGGGAUUUAUCUGACAGAAUUCUACGAGUUUUGGUGUUUGUCUAUUUCUGCAGGGGGUUAUCAGGAAAUAAGGAAGAAAGGCCACACGUCGGGAUUACAUAGAGAUAUCAACGUGCCGCGCAAUUAUCUUACAUCUAGAAGACUCCAGAAGCCACGAGACCGAAGCAGAGGCGAAACGGGGCCAGAGACAGGGCGCCCGCCCUGUCCUACUGGGCGCCCGCCCACCUCCUGUGGCCAAUCAUGCUCAAUCUCGCGGAUUAUGCUCCACCGACCUAAAGGAUCAAGAAUAACCGUUCAAUCAAUGUGGGUUUGAUCCGACGGCCCAGGUUCACUUGAGGGGACUAUAUAACCAGACCCCCUGGCCCCUGGAGGAGGCACCCCUUGAUCAUUAUUCAUUAUUCAUAGACAGAGCAAAAGCUAGGGUUUAGAGAUGAGAGCUCUCCUCUCUUCUCUAAACUAGAGUAGAUCUAGAUAGAAGCGAGAUGGAGAGGGAAGGAGGAUUAGAGGAGAGGCCGGCCUAUUGGUUCUUCCUCCGGUUGUACUUCGCCAUGAUCAAGCUCUAAUCAAGCUUGCUCAUGGGAUGACUCUGGUAAUCUACUUCUAAUUCAUUAUGCAAUUACUAAUCAUGUAUGUUCUGGUUCACAACUCUUUUGAGUACUUCUAAUCUAUAGGACCCUAUAGGUUAGAGUUGUAGUAUAGGUGUAAGCGUGGUGCUUAGACCUAGAUUACUUGUGGAUAUCCCCUGACUAGCUGGAUCGUGUGGUAGGCCGCGUAGGUGACAGUUACGUUGGUCCCCUGUAGUCCACCUCUCGUUAGCGGGACGGGUAGGGUUUAUCGGCCUAUGGAUAAGCAUCCUUUGUGGUGUACUCUUAUCACGUGGUUCAUCCCAGACAUAGACAUACCCCUUUGAAGUAGAGAAACCAUAGUUAUCCUCUCUAUUCUGCUACCAUCGCCCAUAUACUAGAAUUGCUCUACUCUCUAUUCCCAUAUUAUCACUCACUGUUAUCUUACCUUUAAUAUUGUUCUUAUUCGAUUCUGCCAUCUUUUCUAUUCACACCUAUUUACUUAUCUUGGUUAAGUUAGAGCGUAGAUCAGUUCUCCCGUUUCCCUGUGGAUACGAUAAAACCUUUAACCGGGUAAAAGCUUCAACGGUAUCCGUGCGCUUGCGGAUUAUCUGUGUGCGUAUAAAUACCAUAGUACACUCUAGUGCCAUGCUGGGGAUGACAACCUAGUAUUCAAGUGGUGUUAGCAAGUGUCAACAAGCAUUUUUGGCGCCGUUGCCGGGGAAACGGUUGCUGAGUUGACUACGAACUAGUUUAAUCAUUUUAUAAAAAAUAAAUAAAAAAAAAAAUUUUCCUUUUAUCCUUUGCCUCAUCUCUGCUAUUCUUUCUUCUUAUCUAAUCCUUGAUCUCUGGUCUAUUAUGAAUUCAAACAUGUCUAUCUAUGAAUUUCAUAGACCUAAGGGCACACAUCUCGAACCACCAAAAUCUUCAAAGCCUAUCAUAGCAUCUAGUUUUGAGAUAGACCCCGAAUACAUAGAAUUUAUUCAAAAACAACCUUUCUCGGGAAAAGGUGAGGAAAACCCAUACACACACCUAAGAGAGUUUUAUCGAGUCUGUGACCUCCUUCGCAUAGAAGGCAUGUCCGAUGAGACCCUUAAAUGGAAGCUCUUUCCGUUCUCUUUAACGGGAAAAGAUAGACAUUGGUAUAAACUCAAAGUAGGGAGUGUUCAUGGAGAUUGGAAGGAGUUAUAUAGUAGUUUUCUUUCUAAAUAUUUUCCAAUCUCCAAAGUGGUGGAACUUCGGCGUGAGAUUCUUUCUUUUAGACAACUGGAAGAAGAAUCUCUUGGCAAAUCAUGGGACCGCUUUAUUAACCUUACUCUCACUGGCCCAAAACUUUCUAUUCCAGAAGAAGUUCUUCUAAUUCACUUUUUUGAGGGCCUUAGUAGGAAAAAUAAGCAAACCCUUCAUGCGGCCUCUGGAGGAUCUUUCCACCACCUAUCCGCUAGUGAAGCUUGGAAUUUGAUUGAUUUAAUGAGCGGAAAGUCUCCUAGCUUUUAUAUCCCUGAGAAAGAGAAAGAACCAAUUUCUAGACAAGAAGAAGAAGUUUCGAUAGCCAGAUCGCAACCACUUCAAUCCCAAACUUUAGCUAUCGAUCCUAAACCAUCAAUACCCCAAAAUUCUCCAAGGGAGGAAGGAAUUCCGACCUUAAAUCUUUUAGAUGCUGAUGGUUUAGACUUCUGGUUCUAUAAGAGACCUUCAAGCAGGGAUAAUUCAAAUCAUUGCAAUAAUGUUUCUCUUAGAGAAUGUCCUGGUUCCUAUCAUGAAGAAGUCGAGGAUGACAUAUCAAGUGAAGGAGAGCUAAGCCAUAUAGACAAUUCUAUCUACUCCCCUUCCAUGUUCACAAGUUCUAAAUCCAUCCUUGACCUUAGAGAUCCCUCUUAUCCCUCUUCUUUUCAGUCUCAUGAUGAUCCUAGCAAUUCACCAAGACGACCAAACCAUAGGAGUCAUGAAGACCAUAAGGAUGGCAUGUCAAGUAAUGCCAUAGAAGGAGAGCUAAGCCAUAUAGAAAAUUCUAACACCUCCCCUAUUUUGAUCACAAGUUCUAAAUGGCUAGAAUGUAUAGAAUGGAUGGAUAAGGAAGAAGCCUUAAUGAAUUCUGACUUUGGCUCAAUUUCAAAUGGUGAGUUCUUAACUCCCUUUGAAGAUGAGAUUCAUCCAACUACAGAAGAGGACAUAGGUGAGACCAAUCCAGGAGAAACUCCGAACAUUCAGAUUAGAGACGAAGAUAACAUUAAUGAGCAUGGAAUUUAUUUCAUAGCCACUUCGUUUACUCCAUGCUCAUAUGUAACAUCUUCCCAAUCUAUUGGUCUCUCCGACAUCACCACACUUGAGAUCUCCAAGCCCCUCUUCCUUUCUAUUUAUAAAAACUUUAAAAGGGCGGUUGUCGAUGCAUAUGUCUAUAAUAAAUAUUGCAGAUCUCGUUGAGUUGAUCUAGAUAUAGGUUGGCGUCGGAAGGGAAACCACUUCGCCAACAUAAACUGAUGGUUUCCCAAGGACAAGCUUAGUGUCUUAAAAUAAGCAUUGAUCAGAUCGUAACAUGAGCUUUUAAUUAUUUGCAACAUUACCUUGUGUAUUGAGCAUAUAAGGAUAAUUGUAAAAAAAUAUAUUCCUUCGGGUAUUCUUGUCACUAACCUUUCUAAGAUUGGAGCAAGAAGAUCGGAUGAAUGACAAGCACAAGGUAUGUCCAACCAAUCAUCAUACGACAUUGAAUUCAUCCAAACUUGAAUUUUGCAAAAUUCAAGCUUGGGGGAGUACUUUACAUAAAAACAUCCUUUGCGAUGUUGCUAUGCUGGUUGUCCCUACCUUUGAGACAUGCUCAAUUUGUUAAAUACUAAUCACACUGCUUCAUCUCCACUUGAGUAGAUCUCUAUAAACGCUGUCAUGCUACCUUUGUCUAUUUACUAGCAAGUGUUGGUUUGGAAGUACUCGCCAUACUUCCAUUGGCAUUUAAAUUAAGCAUGGUGCUUCGGUUAAAUAGCCUUCCUUAAUCUGAUUAGACAUGGAGUCUAGUUUGGUUAUUGAAAUAAAAAACUGCUUGAGUAGAUAUUGGUAUAUUUUAUCGGACUAACCCCUGCAGAAAAACUUUCAAUAUCGAUUUGGGAAGUCCUGAGAUAAACUCACAUCAAAGACGAAGAGAGUGACACAUGAAGUUUAACAAUUUGCACAAGAAGGACAUAGCUCAUUCAUCAUAGAGAGAUGAUCCAUGGAGGGUGCCACAAACACGACGCACAACCGCUAAGAAAGGAAAGCUUCCAUAAGGUGAUACUGUACCAUCACUCUUCAAGCAAGGUAACAUCUUGAGGUACUUGACUAUCACUAAAAUAAGCUUCUCCUUGGUUCUGGCGUUCAUCUAAAUAAAAGAGACAAACAUGUAUGAUUUACAACUCUAGAUUAACCAACCCAACUGAUUCAACAUGUUUAGUCCUUUAAUCCUUGUUCUUAGUACUACCUCCAUGAUCCCACACUCCUAAUCAUAUGAGCUAAAAUGUUACACAUUCAAUCAUUGAGAGAUAUAAAGAAAAAGACAUAUACAUAGAUAGAUAAUCUUUCCAUAAGGUUGAGCGAUCUGAUCUGACAAAUGUUAUAAGUGCUACACUCAUGAACUUAUCAUCCAUCAACUUGUCUUGCUCACUAUGCUUAAGGUUAAAGAAGAACAAAUACACUUUUGGUUCUGUUGGUGUUUUCCACCAACAGGGCCCAUGCACUUGAUCUCUGCCUUGUCUCAAUGAGCAGGUACACUACGACCAUAAACACACUGAGCAGGAUACUGCCAACGCCGCACUUCGAACUGCUGGGCAAACGAAGAGGUGCAGACGUCAAGGUCCGCACCUGAAUCAAAUGACGCACCUGAAGAAUGAACACGAUGAGAAGUCUUGACAAGAAGACUUAAAACAUUGAACCCUCGCCGAAAGGUAAGAUUGGUAGUUAUCCAUAUUUAUCCUUUCUGCAUUCCCUUUUCCAUUUAAUUAUUUACUUUCCUUAAAUAGAUUAUUAGUUAAUCAUGCUAUCUUGAAAAGAAAAUAAAAAUGUUAAAAAAUACUAAGCCCCAUGUGAGUAUACGAGUGGCAUAAAAUCCAUAAGUACCUUCACUGUGGUGGCAUAAAAAUAAAAUAAAUAUUUCUUUUCUACUUUAUAAAAUAAAAAUAUAAAAACAGAGAGUAAUAUUUAUUGAGGAAGCUCAACGUGAUGAAGGCUAGAUAUUUAUGCUAACACUUAAUUAGUUCCACAAGCUUUGUUGUCUAUUUGAGCUCCACAGAAUUUAAGAAUCAAGAAGACUAGCAGACGGAGGACAUUCUAAUCGCUGUCAGAAUGCUGCUGACUUUCAAAUACACCUCUGCCACCUGCUAGCUACGUUAAGAGAAAUUACGUCAAAAUUCAGCUUGGGGGAGAGCACCCCUAUUUAUCUCGCUAAGUAUUUCUACCUAUCUUUAUACUUAUAUUAUAUUAGAAUAUUAAAAUACAUAAACUAUGAAAAAACCAAAUAAAGAUUUUAUGCUUAUAUAUAUAUAUAUCUUUUCUUAGUUUGCUAAAUAAAUAAAUAAAUAAAUAAAGUUUGCUAUGAAUCUUAAUAAUAAAACUCUAGCAUGGAUAUAAUGAAUAGUUGCUCUGCCUAAUUUGCAAAUUUAAAGUUCUCUCUCAAGUUUAGACAUAACUGUUAUAAUUUAAAGCUUGCUCUAGAUCUAAACUUGUGGGAUAAAAACUUGAUCUGAAAUCUAAGUUGUUAACGGAUAUGAUAUGGGAAGGUUGAGCUGCUGUUUAUCUAUUCCUAGAGAUGCUAGAAUUCUGGAGAAUUUUAUCUUUGAAAAUCUUUAAAAUAUUGCAUGAUGAGUUCCUGUAUGAUGAAAGUUUAAAUUCCUACCACAGCCAUAUAUACAUGCUUGCUAGACGUUGAGCCACACAUUUAUUAUUUACUGCUUAUGAGCAUUGAGUGUGGUCAAGCUGUGUAGACCCUUAGGAGCUUGUCAUGUGGUUAAAUCAAGAUUCACUUGCACGUUCACUCAUAUAUAUGCUACUUCUACUCUGGAAGUACCAUCCACAUAUAUCCAUCCAUUUCCAUCUUCAGAAUCACCUAAAAAUAUUCUACUUCUAAUUCGGGAGAGAAUAGCCAAAAACAUCCCUGUUAUUCCCUGUGAAAUAAAUGCUCCAGUUAUUUUGGUUACUACCACUUGCUACAUUAUUUCAGGAGAUGAGUGCUCUGAAAAAAAAGAAAAAAAAAAGAGAAAAUGAAAAAAAAAUAAUAAACGAGGAAAUAAAAAGGGGCAAGUGCCCGGAACCUCGAAAGAAAAGAAAAAGAGUGAGACGAGAGGUAAAAAUGGACAAGUGUCCGACAGUAGAAUUAGGGGUACAGGAUACCCAUCUGAGAGAAAAGAAAAAUAAGAGCAUCUCAUUCUCCUCAUAAAGUUUCAAAAAGCAAGGAAGGUAUGUAUCCCCCCAAAAGAGCAAAAGUAGAAUUAGACUUUCACCAUUGUUAUCACCAUCAUCACCAUACACUAUUCAUUCGCCACACAUGCACAUCUUGAUUUGGCUUAUUGAUUUGUUUCUUUGGAUCCAUGGUUUGACUAUACAAUAAAUGUCUUGUAAGUAUGUAUACUUUAUCUCCCACCUAUGAGCUCCAGAUAUUAAAGCCUUAUUAGAGUAGGGUGAGAGAGAAGGCAAUGUCACUAUGCCUUAUACCACAAAUAC